rnacentral:lncRNA from 1 species
CGACAUCAGUUCACUAGAACCAGUGAAGCCGGCUGACCCUCACGUGAUCCAGAUCGGACAAUUUGUAGUGGAAAAAUGUCACCACGGCCAGCUGCUUUUCGUCGCCGUGGUUGGCGGAUUCACGUGGAGCGGUGAUGGAGGUUAUUACUACGCACUUAUCAUUGAAAAUCAGGAUUGCGACGGUGCCACAUAUCUCCAUAAAGCCCUUGUUCUUGAGACCCCAUGUGAAACGAAACUCAUCUGGCACAAGAAAUAAGCAAGCACUGCUGUUGAUCAACUGAGGAUCAACGACUUUAAGUACUCUAAUUAUCCAGUGUCUUUGGUGUGGUUUUCAGUUUCUGCAUGGAUGAUGUACUGCUGGCAUGCAUACAUCUCCCUGCUGUUGUACUAGUAUGUAAGGUGCAGUUCUACCAACAAAAUGCACCGUUAAAUAAAAAAAUCCGUCUGUGUUUGAAUUUAUAUCAAUGUAUUUUGUUUCUCUGUUACUUGCAAGCAGGUUCCAAUCACUAAGCAGAUACUAUAUUCAUGACUAGCUAUAAAAGCUUACUAGUUAAAUAUUACUUAAAAUGAAUCCAAACCUUAAAAGGAAAUGAAAGAUUAACUGAUAUAUUGAGAGAAAGACAUAUAACUCAAAAGCUAGAGUUCAAAUAAGUUUAGAAUGCAUAAGUAUGAGCAAAGAAUGAUAUUCUCUCCUUAAAACGUGACAACAAAAUUAAUAGAUCAUGAAAUUCAACACAAAAUGAUUCAAGCAAUCAAGAAGAAAAUAACAUCUUAUGGUUAAUAUUAAGGAAAAAAAUUAGACUUUCCUCCCCCUUCAGUUUUAGAACUAUGUUUAGUUUUCCUUUUAGUCCAAAACUCUCUCUUUAUUUCACUGUAGCUAAACGCUCAGGCACUUGACAUAUGGUAGGAUACGCACAUAUUUAUAUGUACGUACAUACACAUACACACCGCCAUACACACACAGAUACUCACACUAGUAACAGAGAAGGUGCUUUCCACGUGAAUAUGAUGCUUUUCGAUUUUCCUUUUCUUCUCAAAAAUUUAAAAAAAAUCAAUGAAAUUGAGAUAAAAAUAAUGUGAUAUUAAAUGUUUAUAUUUUUUUAUAUUUUUUGAAACUUGAUUUAUCCUAACCAACACAAAUGCGCAAGCAGCAAAGUAUCCUUUAUCCCAAGAGCACUUUUGUUUUGUAAUAGUAUCAAUGUUUUCGUCUUUUGGUUGAAUUUAAAUGACUUGAAUAUUGUUCUCUUUUAUGCCAUUUGAGUUAAAGUUUUUAUCUUCCUAAAUAAUUUAUUGUUCCCCCUUACGUCAUUUUAUGAAUUUUUUAUUAGUUUUAGUGAGUUUUUUCCUUUAUUAUUUCUAUUAAUGGUGGAAUGUAAAAUGAUUCAUAGUGCUAUUGUAAUUAUAAAUAAAUUCAAUGCAUUUAAGGUAAUGACUGGUGUUAUAUCUAUAUACCAAUUUGAAUAGAUGUAGCUUUGCAGUGUUGGUAGAACUAUACGUUUUGUUGAAAAAUGAGGAUUGAAGAUUGAGGAAAUAUUUUCUAAAAAAUAAAGUAACACCUAGCCAAACUGAAAUUUUAACAUUAAAAAAAUGUAUCUUGAAUAGAAAAAAUAACUGUAAGGUGUGAGAUAUAAGUUGGUGAAAGGACAGAUUUCAUUUCAAUGCUGCGUCAUUAGAGUCUAACUUUGACCUAAAGUUCUUCUUCUUCUUCUUCUUUUUUUUCCCUUGGAACAUGUUUAAUUGAUCAAUAUUUUCUCCUUUUUUUUUUAUCCCAACAAAUUUUAUUCCAUGAACAAAAAGGUUACAACCGCCAAUGCUCCCAAACUACCCCUCCCUCACCACACGGCGGAGGGAAGGCAUACCAAGCCUAUCCAGAAAUAGAGCUCCUCGCGCUAAUCUAGGCAAAUCCGAAGCAACCACAUAGAUGUCGUCCCGAGCCAACUGGCAACCCGUGUUAGCCAAUGCAUCCGCUACCUGAUUCGCUUGACGGAAACAAUGUACAAUCCGAGGCAAGGAAGAACCAAACCCCAACAACUGCUGUACCUCUGUGUGAAUACCCCAAGGGCAAUGUACUAACCUUUUCAAAAUACGAACUAAUACCAACGAGUCCAAUUCCACCUCAAAGGGACCGAACCCCUUCUGGAGACACAACUUGACCCCAAACAGCAGGGCGCGGGCCUCAGCCUGCAAUCAAUAUUUUCUCCUUAUUAUAUAAUCUUGGAUAAUCUUUGUUUAAAAGAUUUUUUUUUUUGUGAAAAAACAGUUUGUUGCCUAUUGGGAGGCAACCUAAUAUUUUAGUAUUUUAUUUCAAUUUAGUGUGAUUUUUGGGUUUAGUUAAGUAUUGAUAUUAUUUUGUUAUGUUUGUUUUGUAGCAAUGGGAAAAAGAAGCAAAAGAAGCCAAUUGAGGUGAAAAUGGCGAAUUUCGAUCAAGAAACUUAAUUCUUUGAUUUGAGUAAUUAUUGUUCUUGAUUUGUUAAAGAGAGUUAGAAUGCAAGUUUUGAUCAUUUUACAUGUGCGCACAUUGAUUAUUUUGACAAAAGAAUGAUCUAGAAUGCAUUUUGAGAAAUUGGGAUAAAGUGUGUAAUUUUUCAAAGGUAAAAUUUUUUUAUUAGUUUUAGUGAGUUUUUUCCUUUAUUAUUUCUAUUAAUGGUGGAAUGUAAAAUGAUUCAUAGUGCUAUUGUAAUUAUAAAAUAAAUUCAAUGCAUUUAAGGUAAUGACUGGUGUUAUAUCUAUAUAGUAGGAUGCACACACAUAUACAUGCAUGCAUGCACAUAAUAUUUAUAUAUAUGUAUAACAAAUAUAUACACACACAUACACAUACUGGUAACAGAUAGGUGCUUUCCGCAUGAAUAUGACGCUUUUCGAUUUUCCUUUUCUUCUCAAAAAUUUUAAAAUACUAACAAAAUUGAGAUAAAAACAAUGUGAUAUUAAACAUUUAUAUAUUUAUAUUUUUUGAAACUUGAUUUAUCCUAACCAGCACAAAUGUGAAAGUAACAAAGUAUCUUUUAUCACAAAAGUACUUUUGUUUUGUAACAGUAUCAAUGUUUUCGUCUUAUGGUUGAAUUUGGAUGACUUGAAUGUUGUUCUCGUUUAUGCCAUUUGAAUUAAAAUUUUUAUCUUCCUGAAUAAUUUAUUGUUCCCCUUUGCAUCAUUCUAUGAAUUUUUAUUAGUUUUUGUUAAGUAUGUCUUUUUAUCCCACAUCUAAAAUUUAACAAAGAAAUCUCUCCUUGUGGUAGUUAUAAAUAUAGUAGACUUAAAUGAGUUUAAUAAUACUCAGGGCACCGGCCCCAAUGCCAUAUGCACCAAUCCAAGAGUUUUGAGCAGCCCACACCCCCGUUUUUAGUUUUAGGUGCCUUUUGAAUCUGGAAAUUAUUUCCUAGAGUUGUGUACUCUAUCUUUUGUACUCUCUUUCUGUUAUAGUAAAGCUGCUACUCUUUCGUCCGUGGAUGUAAGUCAAUUGAACUGAACCAUGUAAAUUCCUGUGUUUCUUUGUUUAAUUUAUUUGCUUUAUUAUUGUCAUUAUUGAGUUGACAAGAACUCUAUUAUUCUCGUUGGUCAAUUUUCUCGGACCAGACCUAACAGUUUUAGUGAGUUUUUUCCUUUUAUUAUUUCCAUUAAUGGUGGAAUGUAAAAUGAUCCAUAGUGCUAUUGCAAUUAUUAAAAAAUUUUAAUGCAUUUAAGGUAAUGACAGGUGUUAUAUCUGUAUACCAAUUUGAAGAGCUGUAGAACCGUACGUUUUGUUUGAAAACGGGGAUUGAAGAUUGAGUAUAUGAAUAUUUAAUUUAUAGGCCAAGCUAAUUAAUAUUUAAUUUGAGGAUUGACCUAAUCACCGAUGUAUAAAAGCGUGUUCCACAUUGGCCCUUGUCAAAUUUUCACACGUGUUAAAAUAAUUAUAAGAUGGCGCAAAAUUCAAGUUCAUCAUAGUAGCAGCUCCGACCAUGACACUGGAUAACACCAUAUGCACUGUAUGAUUUAAUACUUAGAUUUCUGAAUCACUUGAUCUUCCAUUGGUGAAAUUGUAUUCCGUCGGUGAUCUUUAACAUUUGAGGAUAACUAACACCUGCAAAACCCAUAUGAAAGAGCUGAAGUUAAGGCCGCAAUUGUUAUAUACAGUGAAACCAUAUGACAACGUGAGCUGGGGAUUUUGUUCUAAGCUCUUCUACUUUCAGCUGGGAUUUUUUUUUUUUUCUUUUUUGCAAGCUCUAUAACCUUUUGGAUUUCCUCAACAGCUGGUUAGCAGGAUCGGUAACUAUGUCGCCACUAACCCAUUAGUUUUCCCAUAUUCUAAUUGGAUCAUAUGGUAGGAUGAGUGUUUGAAUGAUAAAUUGUAAGUUGAUAUAAAUGCUAAUGCGAUCCUUUCAAGUAAAUAUCUUGGUCUACUAUCUUUAAAAGAUUGCAAUUGUCAACCUAUCUUUAUCAAAAUACAGUAACAAAAGACAAAGCUGGGCUAUUGUUGAACUCUGUGUUAAAUGGAAUUUACUUGUACUUGUCUAGUGCUUUUAUACUGCUUAAAUCAUUUACUAAAAAGUUUAGCAGGCUAGUGUUGAAGGGUAAACUGUUAUUGGCACUUUUUUUUUUUUUUUUUUGUUAACGACAAUCCAUUUGUUUCAUUUUCUUUUACGAAAGUUUUCGAUGAGAUGGGGUAAUGUUAAGAAAAAAUCAAGAGUGCGUCUGAAUCCUAUGUACUCGGGGCUCCGUAAAUCCCUCGACCUUUACGAGGUACACCUACCUCUCGGGUUAAUUGAAGUCAAACAAAAUUUGCGUAUAAGAGCUCCUACCUGCUGCAUUGCAUGAGGGCAUGAUGAAGAAAUAGGGAUGGCAAUGGGGCGGGGGACACCUCCCCCAACCCCGUCCAGUUGCAUUUUAAUCCCCCCCGCCCCGUCCCCCGGCCCCCGCUUCUCCCGCAGGGCCACCCGUGGGGUUAAAAAAAUUUUAUUAUAUAAUUUCAUUAUAAUUAAAUUUGAGCAAAUAAUCAAAUACUAAAAUAUCAACACAUCACCAAACCAUUAUUCAUUAUAAUUUCACAAUUGAAACUCAUAAAAAUAAUUAAACAAAGGUUAUUUGAAAUACAAUCUAAUAUGAUAAAACAAAUAUAACUAAAAUAAUCAAGUUUUCACUUUUGAUACAAAUACAAUCACUAAAUUAUUAUUAUAUUUUUUUUAGAAAAAAGUAUUAUUGUAUUAAGUGUAGCUAGGAAUUUAACAUAAAUGUAUUAAUAAAUUUAGUAUAAAUAAUUAAUAAUUUUUAUUAAUAGACAUGUAUAAUUAGUAGAAUAAUUGAUAAUAUCAUUAUAUAUAUAAUUAUGUACAUAUAUAUAUAUAUAUUUCAAACGGGUGGCGGGGCGGCCGCCCCACCCCCGCCCCAAUGACCCCCCGCGGGUGCCCACCCCCGUUGCCAUCCCUAUGAAGAAAUCCUGUGAGUCUCACUCAUGAAGUCUGUUGAUAGGUUGUAUUUUUUGUUAUGAAAUUCAAGAUUGUUUUCCCCUUGAUUUUGGCUAAAUGAUGCAUUAAUUGGUGGAUUCUGAUUAUAUUUGGUGAUUGAUGUUGGUUGUAGGGAUUUGGAACAAAAAGGGGUUGAAAAUGUGAAUUUUAACUGAAUUUUUGUGCAAAUCAGCGUGGGCACAUCAAAGUCUAAUUCUACAUGUUUGGAAGUUCGAAAUUUAACACGUGAAUUCCAAUCUUAAAUUGAAACCAGACUUUUCAUCAGAUGACUAGUCUCCUAUUUCUAUUAGGACACUAGUCUAUCUUGACUUUGUGGAAAGAAUCCAUUAUGCAGUGAGAAUUUGAUUCUAUUUAGAAAAGGAACUUUAGUAGACACAGGAAACGAAGUCCGGAACAUUAGCAUCGUGACAUUUUUUCUCCUUUCUCGUAAGAAACAAAGGGACGUUUUCCUUUGUUUUUCUUCUUUUUACUCUUGACACUUCAUCUCAUAUUUGGAGAGCGAUUUCUUCAACGGAGAUCAACUAAAAUUGGUUCUGAUUCUAGUCAAGAAAUAACGGAGGAUUUGAUUCAUCUGAAAUUAUGAAAUUGAAUUAAUUAUAUUUAUUUCUUUUAUUUACUAGUAUUCGUAUAUUCCCUGAUUUUAUUUCUUAUGGUCAUUACAUUAUUUGAAUAUCUAAGGUUUGGUAUUUAAAUUAAUCUAAUAAACCUAAAACCAAUUAGAACAGUUAAAUCUGUAAUUGUUUAAUUGCCUUAAACUAGUGAUAACUGCUAUAAUUGAAUUUGUGUCAGGGAAACAUAUAAGCUACUUUAAAAUAACCCUCGUAGCGUGUUAUUUGGUUAGAAUAGAGUUACUCUAAUUUUUAAGACAAUUGAAAAAUUAAAUUCUAAGGUCGUACCUAGGGUUCUUUCUUGAAUAGGUCAGUGGCUAACUGUCAUAUCUUAAUCACCAAUACAAUAAGAUGAAAUUGAUUGUCACCAAACAGGACUUUUUGCAAUAUUUGCAUCACCAAACAUCGCUCUGCCAAUUUGAGAUAAGUUCUUAAACAUGGCUUGGCUGGUUGAAAUUUCUCAUUUCCUGAAUUUCUUAAGUAUUUUCAAAUGAAAAUUUGAUGAUGUUUGCUUAUAUUUAGGAGUUCCAUUAUACUUAUUUAACAUUUCGAAGCAUGUUUAGAUAAUCAAAUGUGGGAAUAUGAUGAUCUAUGUAAUGUUUCAAUUUAUGAAUAUUUCUAGUUAUAAUUACGGUAUAAUUGGCUCUCCUUUACUUAAUAUUAUGAGUACUUGAGUUUAAUUGAAUGAUUGUAUAAUUGUUAUUUACUUUGUUUUGAGGAAAUGAAGUUGAAUUGUGCAUAUAUGUUUAAUUUCAAAGUUUUGAACUAUUGUUGGUUUGUAAUUCUUAAUUGUUUGAAGACAAGCAAUGAUUCAAGUGUAAGGAGUUCGAUAAGUGUAUAUUUUGCAUGUUUUAAGUGUAUUUUAUUAGUUAGUUUUGGUGUAUUUUAUUUAUUUUUACAGCUAAUAAACUAGACUUCUAGUGAAAAUAUGCAUUUUAUGGUUAAAAUGUCAAAAAUUGUAUUUUUAUGGAUUUUAAUAGUGAAAACUUCAUGUUUUUGUACGUUUAAUGAUUCAAUCAUCAAAUGGAGAGGGUUGAGAAGAUAAUUGGAUGAUUCUUGAUGAUUUAAAGUGGUAAAAAGAGAAUAUGAAGUGGAAGAGAUGAAAUGCAACUUAGUAUACAAGAAGGAAGUUUUAUAGCUUUGAUAAUUUGUAGUAUUUCAACUAUAUCUUGAGUUACAAGUAUUGGAUUGAGAUGAUUCUUAUAUUAUUUUGAAACUAAGAGAUAGAUCUACAUUUGGUAUGAAAACAUAGAAAUCCAGUUUAGUUAUUUUCAUUGUCAAAAUGUCAAAAUACAGAAAUGCAAUUUUGUUGUCGAAAGCUGACAUAGGGCAUUGACUAGUUUGGAUAUUUUGGUCAUGUCUUGGUCUGCAGAGUUCCAAAUUGGAUGAUUCUUAUGCAUUGGAAAGGUAACUCAAAUAGGUUAACUUUUCUGUUUGUACAAGAGUUAAUUCGACUUCUAUCAUCAUCAAGAAAAUAUCAGUGGAAUUUGGUAUAAAAAUAGAACAAGGAUGAAAUCUACCUAGAAUGAGCAAACCUACAAAAGAGCAAAACAUGGGUAGAAUACGUGACCUUAGGUCGUGUUUUGGGGUCGCGUAUUCAUGUUUUGCUGCUGCAACUUGUGCUUGGUUUACACAAUCUUUUUGACCAACUUUUCUGCAAAGAUCCCGGUUAGAAAUGAGCAGAUGAGCACAGAAACUUUGAAAAGCAACCUUUGAGAGUUUCAAGAAGCACUACAACAAAAAUGGCCUUUAACGGCAUUUAAAGGUGUCAGUAUAGAUAAUCUAAUCUGACAUUUUAUCUAUUCUCACACCUAGGGCGAGUGUUGUCCCUUCCAAUGUGGGGAUAGCCUCAAAUCUUUAGCAACAUUCAAAUGUGUCAGGAAAACCAUGCUGCUAGAGCAUUCCCUCUGCCAACAAAAACUUUUUUUUGUGAUAAUCGAAAGUGUCUGUAUAGCAUUAGAACAUCAGUAGCGGAUCAGUAAUAUAUCCAAUUUAUGAAGGCAUCUUGAGUUGUCUUAAUAGUGAAUUUACACUGCUUUGGACGACAUGCCCAUUUGUCAUUAGUGUUUUUCGAAGCUAAGCUAUGCUGACACAUUUAAUUGCCAAGAGUUUUUUCCCUAUUUUUUUUUAUAUGGAAGCAACCUGCAAUUAGUCCUCCCUGCAGUACAUUCCAUCAACCAGAAUCCCAAGGGACUUGUAAAAUUAUCCCAAAGAGCAGAAUGCAUAUAGCAAUUUAAAAGAAGAAAUCGAUACUCAAAUAUAAUUCAUUGAAUUAAAAGUCGAUAACAAGUACAAACAUAGCAAGUACUAAAAUCACAAACAAGUGCUCAAAGCAAGUACUAAAAUCCCAAUAAAGUACCGAAAGAUUCUCAUUUACAAUAACUUGAAAGACUUUCUUGUGCACAAACAAAAAGACUCUCAUCCCUAACAAGUUGAAAGAAAUGCUAAAAGUCAGGUAACGUAAUUGUACAACAUUAGCAACGAUCCGCGAGAGGUAUAGUAUAUAUAUAGUACAUUGUUUGGGCUCCAAUAAAGCAGGAUAUUAAAACCGAGUAACCCAUACCGUCAGCAAACUAAUCAAAGUGAAGUCAGCUCCAUGAAUUUCUGUCUAAUGUGAUAAUUGUCCACACCAGUAAAGUACUUUACGGGCAUUUUCUUUGAACAUAAGAAGUUCCAUGUUCCUCAAACCUGUUAAUCGAGAGAUAAAACAGACUGAAAAUAGGGAGAAAAAAAGAAAAAAGUUGAAUAUUGAAAGGUAGAGUGGAUGUAAAAGCUUACUCAGAUUUUGAAAACCACAUUUGCUGAAAGGAACCAAGUGCCGCCAAUGUACUCCCACCUGUCCAAACACUGAAUGCAACGGGUUAGUCAACAAUGCAUGGCACUGGCAUGCAAAAUUACUUCUUGCUACAAAUGAAUAAAGCUAGCUUAGAUUCUGCCCACAGGCAAGGGCUUAGAAGUGUAACUAGUUAACUUGAUUAACACCUUCUUGGUAUAAUGCCAGAGGUUCAGCAUCGUUUGUAACUUCAUUAGAAACUAUUGUCAUAUGCAUAUUUGUCCAAAGUUUUCAUAGAAACAGAUACUCAUUCAAAAUAGAUAGCAAUUUCACAUUUAGUUCUUCAAACAUUAGCAGAAUCAUAAUAGAAAUCUAUCUUUUCAAUGAUCAGUAUGUGCUCUUCAUAUUCUUUGUGGAAGCACUGCAAGUUUAGUACCAUACAGUCGGAGCACAUGCUGAUAUAAUUUCCCAGGUUGUGCUUUGACAUAUGUAGUCAUUAACAUUUUGAAGUGUGUCAAUUUAUGAUCGGAAAUUUUCAAUUAAAUUUCAACAGAUCAAAGCACUCAAUAAUCAAUAUUUUUUAAGUGCCCACUGGAGGAAAGAAAUCUUAAAAAACUAUGUAACCAAUCCUCCUGAAUUGGCAAACUUUUAAAAGAUAAGAAACUAUUAGUCACAUUCCAACUUGAAAGACUAAAUCAGGACACUUCGCUGGAGACUGUAACUGAAAGGCAAUUUCUAGUAUGUUACACUGCAGAGGAUUUACAAAAUAUUGAAUGGCUAGCAAAUCUCAAUUUGUUAGUUGCCCAUAAUGCAUUAUAGUGCAAACAGUCCCCAUUGGGUUUAAUGUGCAAGAUCUAUAUUUUUUCUAUAGAGAAAUUCUGCAACAAAAAGCAAUAUAUUCUUGUCUAAAAAUAUAGAGUAAUCAAUGCUCUAGAUCAUAAAAGCAGACAAAAAAUAAGACAGUCACACAAAUAAAUACCACACAAGUCAAAUAAAUAUAGAAUCCCUUCAAGUUUUUUUUUCUUGAGAUAUAAAGUCAAUUCAAAGAAAUUAAGAUAUGUACCCAGCAUCUUGCAAUAGAGUACUAGUCACCUAAUCCAUCUUAUGUAAAGUCAUCUUCAACUUUAUCAUAACUGGAGUUAUAACAAUUAACUUCUCCAUCUUCAUUCUCUUCCUCUACAUCCUCAUAAAUUCAAAUUAUUCUUAUUUGUCCAUGAGAAGAACAUUUAGUUUGAAGAAAAAAAGGAGAGACACAGUGUGUGCCUAAGUUAAGGUUGGGGGAAAGAAUUACGAGGGAUGUUGGGAGAAAAGAUUUGACAAAUAUUCUUUUUAUUCUUCAAUUUGCUGCAGUUAAUAUCUUCUUUUUGUCCAUAUGGUAAUUGUUCUAGGUCAAUAUAACUGGGAUGCAACAUAAUAAGUGAUGUACAACCAGUUUAUUACCCAUUGGACUAAAAACUCGAAAUAAUUGAAUGCGUAGAUGAAACAUCUCCAAAAUUACAGAGUGCACUACUUUAGUGCUAUGUGCUAUGAAUAGCUGACAUGGUGCAUGGAAUGCAAAAGUAUCCAAGCUAUGCAGUAAUUUUUAAUAAUAAUUUAAAAAAAAAAACCUUUUUAUGGGGCUAUAGCAAACAGAACAACAAGCAUGACCAAAGCAUCAAAAAUAAGUUGCAUAGCAUCCAACAAAAGUUCCAAACAAGAUUUCCUCUAAGAUAGUUAGGAAAUUGUACUAAAUGUACUUUUCUCUUGCACUUGAUGAUCAAAAACAAAAGAAAAGUUCACCAAGGCAAAAUCUCACUCUCCAAUCACUUUCAUCUCUCUCUGUUUGCUUCCAUUGCAAAUUUCCUUCUUUCUUCAUUCGAACCUUUUGACAAAUAGGUAGUGAGCAUGAAAAGUUUUGAAAUUUCUUUUCAUCAAUUCCUUAUAUGGCCUGAGCUUGAAUUUUAAAUCUAAAACUCUACUCAAACCUAUGAUCAAUUCUAACCACAUAAAAUUGAUUAACAAGACGAAAGUAAAGCAUAACCGACAUGAUUGCAGACAAAGAAGAAAACAAUACAAUUAAGGGGGAAAAGGUAUAAGAGUGUGGGAAACUUUACAGUGAUGAUUUCCGCUGUAGUGGCUGGACUCCAGUGAGACCAUGGCGGCAACCUUCGCCUACUCUACCCCUCGACAUGCUCAACCUGAAUAUCUAGUCAGUAAGGAGAAGCAUGGGGAUCGGUUUCAAAUGAAAGAAGAAAAAGGAAAGAGCAUGAGUAUCUAUUUUCUUAUUCUUUUUGUCCUAGCAAAGAGAGCGAAGACUUAUUGGUGCAGGUGUCGUGGUUGACUGAACAGGGCAGAGAAGCGGCCGAGUUAGCAACUGAAAAUAGAGGAGUGGGGCGGCGUCGAAGGCGGAAGACAGAAGAACCAAAAUGGGGGAGUUUUGAGAGAUAGUUUGCUGGGAGAGAGGGUUUGUGAGAGAGAUGAGAAGAAUCGGCAAAAUGAAAGUUUUGAGAUUUCACUAAGUGUUUUGGCAAAUGAAUCUUCCACCAAAAUCAAACGACAUCGUUUUAUGUUUUAAUUUUUUCGUUGUAUCUCACAUUUUCUGAAAUGUCAUGAUAGGAAAUCUAAAGACACAUUAUUAUUUUUAUAUUAGAUAAAUAAAAAAAUUAAAGUAUAAAUUAGUGAAUUGAUAACAAAUGUCAUGAUAGAAGUGCUAUAAUGACAAAAACCAGCAAGUGUCCUUAUAGACAUGCCAGGAAAGACCAUUUUUGUUGUAGUGAAGCAAUUUUGCCAACUAGAAACAACUUAUCUUGAGAUUGAAUCUCUCUAUAAAAAGAGGCUGAGGAGAAGAUUUUCACAACUUUGGAAGACUAGAGAAACUCCACCAAAAGAUAGUCUUCGCUAGUUUUUCUUAGUUCAGUAGUAUAGUAUAGUUAGAGUAGUUUAUCCUUAUUGUAUUUAUAGUUAGAUUUGGAUGAAGAUUUGAAAAACAAAGAUGGAAAGUUGGAUCUCAUGUGAUAAGGGUGACUUCUCUUCUGUCACUUUCUCUUUUGUAUUCGAUUUUAUAUUUACCUAUAAUACAAGUUUGGAUCUUGUUCCUCAUGUUUAGUUAAGGUUUAUUUCUAGAGUUAUGGAUGAAUUUUCUAUAUCUUAUUUGUGAUAUCUACUUGGUUAUUUGAUGAUAUUAUAUUGAAUAAAUUAUUUAUCACUUUUGCUUUUCUAAUUAUGAUUGACAAGUGUCUGUUUUACCUAAUAGUUUAUUUAUAGUUAAUUCUGAGCUCCUAAGAUAAUGUGAAUGACUAUUUUGGUAAUAUUUGAUGUCUUUCAGUAACAUUGAGAAGACUUGUGAAUUCAUCCUUUUUAGUUGUUAAUGUUUAUCAUAUUUUGGAUGAAGGGGCAAGGACAAUAUGAGGCUAUUUACACAAAGUCAUCACCAGAUUGGAUGAGAGUAUACGGAGCCGGAUAGUGAAUUUUGAGUCAGAAAUUAAACAGGAUACCCGCCAGAAGGUUUUGCAAGAAAAAAGGUGUUGAGCAGUAUACGAUAUCGGAUUGAGAAAGUGAACUCGGAUAGUCGCGCCAGAUACUCGUCAGAGAAUUUUUCGAAGAAGAGUGAUUAAUAGUAUACGUCGCCGGAUAGUGAAAUUUGCUUCAGAUACCACUUCAUAUACUUGAGCGGGAAAAAAUCUACACUUUGUGCAACUUGCACAACUUACAGAUAUCUUUUCAUCCUUUUUUCUGGCAGCAUCCAUGACGUUUUGGCAGCAACAUUUUUGGCCCAAAACAUCAACUUUUGUCAACUUUGUGUCAUUUCAUCUCACAAUCUUGACUCUUCAACACCAAGCCAAGCUUCUUCUGGAAGAUUCAAGAGAUUUUGAAGAUUAUAAAUAUAGGGGCAUUUAGUCUUAGAAGAAGCUUUUGGGGAGUUUAGUUUUAGUUAGUUUUAGAGAGGGAGAGAGUUUUGAAGCAAAAGAGAGAAACAAAGGGCUUGUGUCUUGCCCUUUGAGGCAAGACAAAAACCCACCACAUUUAUAAUUGCUUCCAUUUCUCUUAGUUUGUAGGACUAGUUUAGGAUUUGUAUUGUGUAUCCAUUCUUGUAAAAAGCUGAGCAAGGAGGAAGAUUGGGAUGAAGAAGGGGCACGGUGGAGGCUCUAGUGACAAGGGUUAUCCUCUUCCCCAAACUCUUUAUCUUGUUUUUAACUCAAUGUUUAGUGAAUCUACUAGUUUGGAUACUAUGUUGUUGAUGUUGUUUUAAAAUUUAUGCCUUGGGUAUUUGGUUGAAUUAUCUAUGAUUGCUAUGUCUUGAUUUCUUAAUUAUUUUGGUCUAUUAUCUUGAUUGAGUUAUUUAGCGCUUUUGUUCUUAAAAUCAUGAUUAACUGGCCAUUGAUUGUGAUAAUCUCAAGGUGUUAGAUUUGUAAUAAAAAUUGGAAUUUGACGCUAGUUCAUGAAAGUGUUAAAUCUAGGGAGUACACUCACGAAAGUAGAGGUGCACCUUUGUGGCUUAUUUUGUAGUUAUUUCAUAGAAGCAAAUGAGCUUAUGGUUGAUUUCAUAACCAUGAAAGUAGGUAUGGAUUAACUAUAGGCAUGGUUGGUACACCGGCGAAAGCGAGUAUCACGUACACAAGAAAAUUACGCCAUGUCUUAACCGAGAUUUUAGUAUUCAAUUAGUCGAGAAAUUGCACUAGCAUAAGUAGAUAGGGAUUCCAUUACCCGAAGAGCUUUCAUUUUUAUUUUCUUCCCAUUAGUAGUUUAGAUUUGUUGAUUUUAAUUUGUUGGUACUCUAAAUAAUAGAGAAACUUUAGUAGUGCUGGUAGCUGUCCGUCUUUCCAGUAGGUUUGAUUCUAAUUAUCUUAUAUUCGCCCACGACCUGUAUACUUGCGAAAAAUUGAGUGUGGGGGUAGUUUAGAAGAUUAUAAAUUCAAAAUUUGACUGUGGAUUGAGUUUUAUUGUUAUAUGCAUAUCCCGCGCACGUCAAUGAUUUACUGCCAUUAGUUGUGAUUGAUAGAGCAAUUAUUGGACAUAUUUUACACUAUUAUUCUGUCCUAAUUUUGGCUACUCAUGAUGUUAAGAAUUGAGAAUUUGCUCAUAUUUGACAUUUGUGUAAAUUGUAGGUAGUUGGUAUUCAAAGUGAUCGCGUGAGGCAAAUUUUCAGAAGACUCUUUGUUUCAUGGCGUGUCCACGCCAGAAACUAAGGAGUGAUACCUAAAAGCCGGACCCGCGAGAUUGGUAGCAGCAAAAAAAGUGGGCAAUUAAGAGGUUGGGUCCACGUGGACCAGGUGCAUGGGAUUAAAACCCCAGAAAAGAAAGGUUUUGUUCCUUACCUUUUCGGUGGACUUCUCCUAUGGCGGCUACAAAAAGAAAAAGAGGGCUUUGGCUUUUGGGGAGUCAAACGUCUUUGGUCCUUGGGUCGGCAGCAGCAAUUAAGAAGCCAGAUUCACGUCUAAUCACGAGACUAGCUUUAGUUUUCUUUUUCCAUCUGUCAGAAGUCUUCUUUUUCUUUGGAUCUUUCCUCCUUAGUCGACUUUUGAAGGGAGAAAACAUUAGAAAAGCGCCGAUUGUUUUAUGUUCGCAUGGUUGGUUCUCCAUUAUUGGAGAACUAGUUUCUUAAUUCUAGUCAAGGGACAAUUGAAGAUUUGGUUCGACAAUUACUGUGAAAUCUAAAUUAUUUUAACUAUUUCCUUCAUUUAUUGGUAUUUAUAUAUUUUUCACUUUUAAUUGUUAUAUACCAAUCGUGUAUGAUUGAAUAGGUGCGCAAUAUUUAAUUAUUCACGUAGGUUAUUUGCUAAUUGGGGGUAGUUGAAUCCGUAAUUGUUCGAUUAUCUCCAUCCUAGUAGCAACUGACAUAAUUGGGUUUAUGUCAAGGAAACAUAUGACCUAAUUUAAACAAACCCUCGUAGCAUGUUUGUUAGUUAGGAUUGGGCCUUUCUAAUUAUUAAUACAAGCUAGAAAUUAAAUCCUACGGUCGUACUUAGGGUUAUUUUUAGGUUAGAAAAAUAGCUAACAGUCGUACCUUAGCUACCGAUAAAUUAAGGAAGGGUUGAUUGUUUAUCGCGUGCAUGACAACUAUAACUAAUCUAUUAAUAAAUGUUGAAAUUAACUGUGAAUCGAUGAUCAGUACAUGAACCAUUUUCCGAAGUGUACUCUUGGCUAGAGUUUCUCUUAAUUAUUUCUUGUAAUUAAUUAUUUUCUGCACUUAAUUUUUUUAGUUGGCAUUUAAUCCCAAAACCCCCCAUUAAUCUUGAUUUGAAAAGAAAUAAAUUUCUCUCCAGUCCCAGAGGAGACGACCUUGCUUACCACUGUCUACUAGUUAGUGAAUUCAGUUAAAUAAUUAAUUCAGGUAUAUCGGACUAAGCAAAUUCUUUGAGAAUAGGGUGAAUCAAAUAACCCAUUGCACACCUAGAGUCCCUGCUCCAGUACUAGAAUUGAUUAUUGACUGCUUCAGGUGGUAGUUAGGUUUUAUUUAUUAUUAUUGCACAGGUUCGGCAUCUGUCAAUUUUUGGCGCCAUUGCCGGGGACUGGUGCCUGAUUAAUUUGUUUCUUUUUGAGUUCAUUUUUUUCAUUUUUUUUAUUUUUCUCUUAUUUUUUUUAUAGUUUAUGGCUGUUAACAUUCCGUAUUUUGGUGAUAGACUGGAUUUUAUUUCUCUAAAAGAUUAUGAGACCCAUGCCUUUUCUAAUGAUCAAUGGGUUGUUGCAAAUUGUGAAACUUAUUUUGUCUCGAAUCAUUCAACUAACAUAUAUCCUGCAUUUCAAGAUAGCUUAGGUGUUCCAAUCGAUACUUUUGAAAAUUUUCUAUCUCAAUGUCAAACAUGGUAUGACCCUUCCUCAAAUGGGUAUGAUCAAGGAUGGUGGAAUGAUUCCAAUUUUAAUUAUGAACAAAGGCCAAUAAGUUUUCAACAGUUAGAGUCUCAAGAACCGUCAUCCAUGUCAGGUAUAUCUCUUAAAAAAUAGUGGAAUUAGUGACCACUAACACCAAACAAUUUCAACAGGAGAUACAAAGGAUAGAGAUAAGAUUGGCAUCUAUAAUGAGCAAAUUGAUUUCUCCAGUUCAUGAAGAAUUGUCCUCGCAGACCAUCAACGAUCUUAAAGAAGAUGAGAGUACAAUUAUCCUGACAAAUGACAUGGAACUGCAAGAGUCUCAAGAAGAAGAAUCUAACGAUGCAGUUGAAAAGGGAAUUAAAGUAUAAGAAAUGGAACCCCAAUAUCAAAGUGUUCAAGUGGAUGAAUCCAGUGAAUAAUCUCCAAAUGCGGUGACAUCUCCUCCAAUUCUUAAUCAAUAUUUACAUAACUCUUAUUCUUUAACUCCUGUUAGUGAAAUUGAUUUUAUUAUACUAGAAAAUUUUGAGUUUCAUGACAGGAAUAAGUUAAGAGUUGCGAUGGAAAACAUCUCAAACCAAUAAGUGCUCGUGAUGGAGGAGUGAGUGAAGAUUUAAGGUCAUUAUUUCUUUGUUUGGCGCCAUUGACUAAUCUAUGGAAGACCAUACCUCUUGUGCUAAAGGAUUACUCUAUUUACGAGGGAUAUCAAGAAUACAUAGAGGAUAAAGCACUGAAACGAGUUACACGAUUUUAUUCUCCGUGAAUAAAUAUGACGAUGUCUAGCCAAAGACAUUAAAGAACGGCGCUGCUUGGGAGGCAACCCAAGGCUUCUUUUGUUUUAGUUUUCUUAUCUUUUUGAAAUUUUUGUUAAGUGUUAGUGUUAUUUAGUGGGUUGUUGUUUUGUGGCAUGAAGUUGGCAGUUAGAUAUGCCCACGCUAGUUGGUCACGCCUAAGAAAUGAAGUUUUGGAAUUGAUGGUCAGAAGACUAUAGCUUCCAAGGCGUGCCCACGCCUUCCAGCCUUUGCGCCAACAAAAGUCAAAGAUUGACCAAAACCCUCUCUAAUCCUACUUUCUACUUUUCUCUUUUCUUGUCUUGUAUGGUCUUGUCAAUUUCCAUUGUCUCAGCUUUUACUUUUCAAUUUUUUUUGUUUUGUCUUAGUUCAAGGUUGCCCCCUUGUCCACCACCGCUAGAAACUCUCUCUCUCCUCCUCGCGCCAUCCAUCACACGCUGCUGCCUGCCCCACUGUCACUAUCUCUCUCAUCAGACAGUUUUCUUUGCUCACAUUGAAUUUCAGCCACCUCACCCUUCUCUGCCUUAGUGUCUCGCUGCAUCCUCUCGGUGGUCAGGGAAGUUUCUCUCCUUUUCUCCUUAUACUUCAUUCAUCUUUUCUACAUUGAGAACAAUGUUGGUAUUAGGUAUGGGGGGAUGCUUCCAUUAUUAUCUCCUUUUGCUUUGCUUUAAAAAAAAAAGAGAAACACAAAAAGAAUAAAAAAAAGGAGGAAAAUGAUGAAAAACAAGAAAGAAAAAUGAAAAGAAAAGAAAAAAAUGUAGUUAAUUGACUUCUCUAGUCCUACAUUUGUUAACUACUAGAGCAUGUUGCUAUGAUGGAUUGCACAAUCAAGGUGCACGGAUAUGUGGUUAUAUAUACUAGCUAUGCAUUUUGUUUUUCCUUGACAAUAGUGUUGAAUGUUGAAUAUGCUGGACUUGACCCAUUCUUGAAACUUUUGGGAGGUUUUGAGCCAUGCAUGAGCACAUUAUUCUUGUUUGCUCUAUUUUUGUUUGAUUGAGUGGGUAUCACACAUGGUAUUGGCAUUCUAGAACUUGCUAUUUUGUACAUAUCAAGACCACAUUUUGUUGAAUUGGAUGCAUUUGAAAUGAUAAGGGCAUGUAAGAUGUAACCUUUUUUAACUUUCUACAAACCAUGCCUUCAUCUUGUCUCCCAAUAGUGAACCAUUUUGUGCUUUUAUCCCUCUCCUUUGUUUGUUAGCCAUGCUUGAUAGCCCAGAACCUUUAUAGACUUUCUUGUUCAACCUUGUGUCGUCAAGAGAUGUCUAAAUUUCAUUAUUUGUGCAAGGCAAAUGAAUCUAGAGUCGCAGGUGUUGUCGAAAUAGAAGCUGUACGGUGUUGUCUCUGCACAUUUGAGAUCGAAAGAAAAAGCAAAGGAGAAAAAAGUGAAGAAGAAAAAGAAAGGAAAAAAAAAGAGAGAGGGGCUCGUGAAAAGAAGACUCCAGCUUACAAGGCAUGCCCACGCCUUGCAAGCCGCCUGCUCAAAAAAAAAAAAAUUCGGCGACACUUGCACAGUGGGAAUAGCAAAUGGAAACGCCCUGCUUGUGAAAUUUCCCCGAUAAAACGUUGUGGUUAUGUGGUGGAUAUCAGACAUUCUCUUGACACAUUACACCUUAUCUUCACAUUUUUAUUCCGCCUUUUACCUAAACCCCAUUAUAACCCUAUUAAAGUUCCUUUGAUUUGUGUAUUUAGUUCAUUUUUCAGUGGUGGAGAUGUGAUAAAUGUGCAAUCCUAUGGUAAUGCCAUUCCGUGAUGUUGAUUUGAGCGUUCCUAGUAUUUAUAUGUUCUCUUUGAAUUACCAUCUGUCCUGUGUGUUCUAAUUUUGGCAACAUUGUCAGGGAUUUGAGAUGCUUGUGUUAGUAUAGAUUACUACAUGACCUUUGCUCUCUUGGUUAUACUUCUAAGGCUCGAAAUGCUUGAGAACAAGCAUUGUCUAGGUGUGGGGGGAUUUGAUAGAGCAAUUAUUGGGCAUAUUUUACACUAUUAUUCUGUCCUAAUUUUGGCUACUCAUGAUACUAAGAAUUGAGAAUUUGCUCAUAUUUGACAUUUGUGUAAAUUGUAGGUGGUUGGUGUUCAAAGUGAUCGCGUGAGGCAAAUUUUUAGAAGACUCUUUGUUUCAUGGCGUGUCCACGCCAGAAACUGAGGAGAGAUACCCAAAAGCCGGACUCGUGAGAUUGGUAGCAGUAAAAAAAGUGGGCAAUUAAGAGGUUGGGUCCACGUGGACCAGGUGCAUAGGAUUAAAACCCCAGAAAAGAAAGGCUUUGUUCCUUACCUCUUUGGUGGACUUCUCCUACGACAGCUACAAAAAGAAAAAGAGGGCUUUGGCUUUUGGGGAGUCAGACGUCUUUGAUCCUUGGGUCGGCAGUAGCAAUUAAGAAGCUAGAUUCACGUCUAAUCACGACACUAGUUUUAGUUUCCUUUUCCCAUCUAUCAGAAAUCUUCUUUUUCUUUUCACCUUUCCUCCUUAGCCGACUUUUGAAGGGAGAAAACAUUAGAAAAGUGCCGAUUGUUUUAUGUUCGCACGGCUGGUUCUCCAUUAAUAGAGAACUAGUUUAUUAAUGGAGAACUAACUUCUUAAUUCUAGUCAAGGGACAAUUGAAGAUUUGGUUCGGCAAUUAUUGUGAAAUCUAAAUUAUUUUAAUUGUUUCCUUUAUUUAUUGGUAUUUAUAUGUUUUCUGCUUUUAAUUGUUUUAUACUUAUCAUGUAUGAUUGAAUAUGUGCGUAAUAUUUAAUUAUUCACGUAGGCUAUUUGCUAAUUGGGGGUAGUUGAAUCCGUAAUUGUUCGAUUAUCUCCACCCCAGUAGCAACUGGUAUAAUUGGGUUUAUGUGAGGGAAACAUAUGAAUUAAUUUAAUCAAACCCUCGUAGCGUGUUUGUUAGUAGAAUUGGGCCUUUCUAAUUAUUAAUGCAAGCUAGAAAUUAAAUCCUACGGUCGUACCUAGGGUUAUUUUUAGGUUAGAGAAAUAGCUAACGGUCGUACCUUAGCUAUCGAUAAAUUAAGGAAAGGUUGGUUGUUUAUCGCGUGCAUGACAACUAUAACUAAUCUAUUAAUAAAUGUUGGAAUUAACUGUGAAUCGAUGAUCAGUGCAUGAACCAUUUCUGAAGUGUACUCUUGGCUGGAGUUUCUCUUAAUUAUUUCUUUUAAUUAAUUAUUUUCUGCACUUAAUUUGUUUAGUUGGCAUUUAAUUCCAAAACCCCCAUUAAUCUUGACUUGAAAAGAAAUAAAUUUCUCUCCAGUCCCUGAGGAGAUGACCCUACUUACCACUGUCUACUAGUUAGUGAAUUCAGUUAAAUAAUUAAUUCAGGUAUAUCGGACUAAGCAAACUCUUUGGGAACAGGGUGAAUCAAAUAACCCAUUGCACCCUUAGAGUCCUUGCUCCAGUACUAGAAUUGAUUAUUGACUGCUUUAAGUAGUAGUUAGGUUUUAUUUAUUAUUAUUGCACAGGUUUGGCACCUGUCAGUGAUAAUCUUAAGGUGGAAGUUAACACUAGUUUAAGGAAGUAAUAAACCUCGAGAGUUCGAUUACGAGAAUAGAGGAGCACCUGUGUGGUUUUAGUGACUUGUUUCAUGUAAUUUUGUAGAAGAAAUAUACUUGUAGUUAAUUUCAUAACCAUGAAAGUAGUUAUAACUUAACUACAUGUAUAGUUGAUUCAUUACGAGAGUAGGUUUCAAAUACAUAAGGAAAUUACGCCAUAACUAACCAAGACAAUAGCAUUCGCUUAACUAGUAAUUUCAUUUGCAAGAGUAGUGACGAAUUUCAUAUCUCUAGGAGCUUUAUACUGUUAUUUUUAUUACUUUUAUUUCAUAUUUAUAGUAUAGAUUUAAUUUCUUACACUUGUGAUAGUCUAAAUAAUAAAAGAGUUUGAAAACCACCGGUAAUUAACAAUUUUCUUUGUGGGUUUGACCCUUAAUACCCUAUAUUCAAUCACGACUCAUAUAUUUGUAAAAAAUCGUGUGUGGGAUAUUUAGAUAUUUAUAAAUAUAAAACUUGACUGUAGAAGAGUUAAUUGUUAUAUGUAUACUCCGCACUCGUGAGUACUCAUAACAACAACUAGGUAUGCCGUAAACAAACUUAGGAUAUCCGUGAAGACUCCUUGGUACCCCUGGUACACCCAAGGCCACGUAAGAAAUUUUGAAACAAAAAGAACUUAAUAUGGCUCCAAUUUGUUAUACUUGUUCAACUAGUGUACUGCAGUCAGAUACUAUUAUCGAAUCAAUCCAUUGUAAAUGUUUUAUGAUUCAGGUUGGAGGAUAUGUGGUAGGGCAUGAAAACUUAACCUUUGAAACUGUUAGAGGAGCUGGACAUUUGGUUCCUAGAUACCAGCCUGCCCGCGGACUUGCUAUAUUCUCUUCGUUCCUAGAAGGAAAGCUUCCACCAUCAAGCGAGAGCAACAUCACAGGGUAAAAGAGAAAAGGAGUGUGAUGAGUGCCACGGAGCAAAACAUUUCAGAACCGUUUCGCUUACCCAGAUUAGUUGUUUAUUUAUUGGAUGCUUCUACUUAAUCGUCAACAACCUUGUAAUCCACUUUUUUGUAAUUUUCCAGUUUUUCAGUAUUUUCCACUUCUCAAUAAAUAUUAUUGUUUCUAAAGGCAAGCUUGGGGCGCUCCUUGAGGUGCGCCCGAAGACGAGGGGAAGCAUAAUCACCUCAGGGCAUCCAAGUGAGGUGUUUCUUCUGAUGGGCGAAUGCCUAGUGUCGUCCUUGACCCUGAGGCGUCGCCCAGGGCCAAUUUGACAUUUAAAUUUAUUUUGCAGUUUCAAAUUAUUACUUAAAAUCAAUUUGGCUUAUAAUAGACUAACUAAAUAGGGGUAUUAUGAGAACGUCAUUCAUUGGACUAUAAUUAAACAAGUAAAUCAUAAAAAAAUAACAGAUAAAACUUUUAAAUCUUGUAAAAAAAUCACUACAUAAAAUUUUUAAAAGUUGAUUCUUGUGAAUUUUUACACGAUUUACUUGAUUUAUUACUAUCCCGUGAAUGAUAUUCCAAAAUACCCACGUUUAGUUGGUCAAUUAGAUGCCAAAUCGAUUUUAGGCAGUGGCGCUAUCACGAAGAUCCUUAAUUGAACUACAAAAUAAAUUUAAGUGUCAAAUUAGUUAGGAAUAAAAGUUAGAGACUAAAUUGGUACUAACAAAAAUUUUAGGGACAAAAUUGACUAUUUACCCCUAAAUUAUUUAAAAGCUUCAUAUUUUGUUCUUCAACAACCAUUAAUUGAACUAAAUAAUUUACUUUAUAGCAUGAAUAUUAUGGCUUUACAAUAUUGUUUUCAUAAUAUUACGAGUAUUUUUUAUUUUUAUUUAUUAAAAAGUUUAAAAAAAUUAUGGGACUUAAUCCCGCGCUUUAGGGUUUACGCCUUGUCUAGGCGGAGAUAAUAUGCCCCGUCUGAUGCCUUCGCCUUUCAAAACACGACUCUCUAUCUUAUGUAUGGAUGAUGUAUUCCUAGCGUGCAUACGUCAAUCCUAGUCAUGCGAGUAGAAUUAAUUUGUAAUCCUUGAAACUCCUCAUCUUAUAGCUAAACUAUGGUUAUUUCCACGCGUGAAAGUCUGAAACUGAUCACGUUGACUUUGAAGAAACCUAUUUAAAUGACAAGGAGAAUUUUCAUAAAGCGAUUAAAUAUCACAUAGGCAGUUUUAAGAAGUCAUAUAACAAUCUUUCUAAAGUGGCAUCGUAUAUCAUUUAUCAUCCACUGCAAUGACAUUAGAUGCAUUUAUAUGAACUUUCUUGAAUAGUAAACUAAUUUAGGUUGAGACUCGAUAUCUAUAAGAGUUGAAUCGAUAAGUUCAUCAAGUGAAUAGAAAAAAACUCUAAAACACAAAAUGUGGUCAUAAAUGGCAAGUAUAUUAUUCCGGGUUUUAAUUUUUUUGGUUCGUAUAGUUCUUUCAAGAUCUAUGUAUCUUUUCGUGUAAUUGUUAAUCGUCUUCUUUUACAUCAACUCACUAAGAGAUACAUCAAAUCCUGAAAGAAAUACAAAAAAUAUAAGUUUUGCUUGACUAGAAUUAGUAGAUUCAAGCCGAAAGUAUUUUUUUUUUCUUUUUAACUCUCCCUCCCCUUUCUAUAACCCAUUCCGCUCACAAUUAUCAGUCUCAAAAUUCGAAUUGAUAGUAGGGGAAAUCUUAGUCACUUACCAACCCGGCCUAGUGGUAAAACCCGGCCUAGUAGGGGAAUUGAUACUGGGAAUUGAAGCCAAAGGUUUGAAUGAUGAUAAAACAAUAACAUGAUAAAACAAUAACAUAAUAAAACAGGCCUUGCUAUAGUAAUUAGGUGAUGUUAGUGUAUAUUUUCACACUGACCUCAUCACGGACGUGUAAAAACAUGUUCCAUGCUGGUGGGCCAAGAUUCUGGUUUUUUUUUUUUGGUGAAAUAGGGAUUAAAUAUUAAUAAACAACAGAGUUUUGCCCUAUCUAUUACAAAGCAAAAGAGAUAGUGCGGGGAAAACAGAUCCCUUUCAAGUCCUCAUCAUAGACAAAAGCGAGUUCUUGAGGACAAUUAGCAAAAGUUACAAAGUUGGAUUGUAAUCUGCCUCCCAUUCUUGCGAGUGCGUCCGCGCAUCUAUUUGCCUCCCGGUAUAUGUGGGAUAUUUUAACAUGCCGCAGCUGCGAAAGGAGGGAUCUGCAAUCCGAAAUGAUAGAGUUCAAAAGGUGAUUAGGAUUGGCAACAGCUGUUAACAAAGUAAUAAUAGCUUCGCAGUCAACUUCAACUUCAAGUUGAGAAAUUUUUAAGGAAAGGGCUAUUUCUAGUCCAUCUCGGAUACCCCAACAUUCCGCCAGCAUGCUGUUUGUAGAACCCAAGUUUCUGCAGUAUCCUUUAAUCCAACAUCCGGAGGCGUCUCUGAUAACACCUCCAGCUCCCGCUGGACCUGGGUUUCCUAAGGCUGAGCCGUAUGAAUUGAGCUUGAACCAAUGGAGGAUUGGAGGAAUCCAUCUGAUAAGAAUAUGGGAUUUUCUGCGAGGGGGGUGGCCAGAAUUUGGGCCAAGGGAGUAGAACUCAGUGGCCAACUUGAUGCUGGUUUUGGUUGGAGGAGGUUGUGUUCUGUUGGGCUCAAAAAUCUUUUUAUUCCUGGAUUUCCAAAAGGUGGAGCAAGUAAAGGCAAAGAGUGUGCCCCAAGGAAUAUUGUAGAAAGGGGAGGGUGUGGAAAGUUUACAACCUUCCCUAAUCCAGAUGUGAAAAGGAAUGUGUAGAGUGGAUAGAUAGUAGUUGGGAUUGAGCUCCAUCCAAACAGCUUGGGCGUGGACACAUUUGCGCAAGACAUGAUUAGUAUCCUCUAUCAGUCCUGGGCAGAAAGGGCAGAUAUUAUCAGGGAGGAUGUUUCUCUUAUGAAGGAGGUAUCUUGUUGCUAGUUUGUCUUGAGAAGCUAACCAGAGGAAUAAUUUGGUUCGAUGGGAUGUGUGAGUAGUCCAAAUCCAAGUGAAAGACUGGCUUGGAGGAUGGGGUGUUUGGACAUUGGGUUUGGCCUGAAUAUAUAGCAAACUAGUGAUCUCAUAUGCAGAUUUGAGACUGAACUCCCCAUCUGGAGAAUUCCUCCAUAUAAGGUUGUCUGCUUGUUUAGAAUGGUGAGGUCUAGGAAUAGCUUUUAGCAGGUCGGUAAUGGAAGGGGGUAGAUGGAAGGAAAUAUUGUUGAAAUUCCAAUUGCCAUUGCUGUCAAAAAGAUCUGAUAGGAGUAGUUGAUCUUCCUCUGGUAGGAGUGGUCCUUCAAUUAAGGAUCUGAGGGUGCUUGCUGAGAACCAUUUUCCAGACCACACUUUAAUUGUUUUACCAUCUCCUAUGUUCCAACCCAACCCUUGGUUGAAGAUGUUGUUACCGUGUAUGAUAUUCCUGAGGUUUAUGGAACCUCUAGAUUUGCAGAAGCUAAGAGGGGAUUCUUUCAAAGGUUGGUUUCUAUGUAAGUAGAUAUCUGAAAGAAUUUGAACCCAAGGACGAUGUGUGUUUCUCAUCAUCUGCCAAUUGAGUUUGGCCAAAUUAGCUUUGUUCAAAAGGGCUGAUUGUCUCAAUCCCAAACCACCCUCCUUUUUGGGGAGGGUAACAGUUUCCCACUUAAUCAAGUGGAGUUUUUUCUUCCCCUCUGUGGAGCCCCAGAGGAAAUUUUUCUGUUCUCUAUCGAUGGCAUCACAGAUUUUUUUUGGGAUAUGUGCUGCUUGGAAGAAAUAGGUAGGGAUGGAAGAUAUGCAUUGUUGGAUAAUUGUCUUUCUCCCAGCAAAGGACAACAGGUUUGCUUUCCAGCCUUGGAGUUUGGACUGAAUUUUUUCCAAAAGGAAGUGGAAGGUUUUGGCUGUUGCUUUCUUAACACUAAGUGGAAAGCCAAGGUAUUUUCCUAGGUCUCGGGUACCCUGAAUGUUUAGAGUCCUGGUGAUAGAGUUUUUAGUGAAUUCAAGGGUGUUUGGGGAAAAUAGAAUCCUUGACUUGGAGUGAUUGAUACGGAGGCCAGAGAGGUCCCCAAAUAUGUUCAGAAUAUUUUGGAUAGUGGUUAUAGAGGUAUCAUCUGUCCUCGAGAAGAGGAUGAUGUCAUCUGCAAACAGACAAUGUGACAGACAAUGUCUAGAUCUCCCAAACUUGAGAGGGGUCCAGUUGUUACCAUCCACUUCUCUGGUGAUAGCCAUUGACAGGUAUUCCAUGCAAAUAAUGAAGAUGUAUGGGGAUAAAGGGUCUCCUUGUCGAAUGCCUCUAGAAGGGGAAAAAAAGUUUGUUGGGGAUCCAUUUAUGAGUAUGGCCAAAUUGGUAGAUGUAAUGCAAUGAAGAAUGAGAUUGAUGAGGGAUGGGGGAAAAUCAAAGAAAGUGAGGGCUUGAUGAAUAAAAGACCAUUCAAGACUAUCAUACGCCUUAUGAAGAUCAAUCUUGAUGGCACACAACCCAUAUUUGCCCUUUUUAUUUUUUAGCCUGUGAAUGGCUUCUUGGACAAGCAUGAUGUUAUCUGUUCCACUUCUACCCGAGAUGAAGCUGGAUUGGAGAGGGGAGAUGAUGGUUGAAAGGAUGGGUCUAAGUUUAUUAACAAUGGUCUUGGCUAGUAUUUUAUAAGUGGUAUUGCAGAGUCCUAUGGGUCUAAACUGCUGAAUGAUAUCCGGGUUGUCAAGUUUGGGAAUCAAGCAAAUUAAAGUAUCGUUAAUCCCGACUGGAAGGGGCUUUUGAUUGAAAGCAUCAUGUAUGAAUUGGGUGAUUGAAGGAGCAAGGAAAUUCCAAAAUUUCUGGUAGAAAAUAGGGUGAAAGCCAUCCGGCCCAGGACAUUUGAGAGGUUUCAAAUCAAAAACAGCCUUUUUAAUUUCUUGGAUGGUUGGGAGGGUGACUAGGGAUAUUUUGGUUUCUUCCUCCAGAUAAGAUUUCUGAAAAGGGAAAUUCUGUGGGUAAAAGGAUGACUGAGAAUGGUGAGAAGUAAAUAGGGAAGAGAAGAAAUCAAGGAUAUGGUUUUUAACAACAUCACUAUUGGUCAGCCAUUUACCUUCAUUAUCUCUCAAAGAUACAAUUUUAUUCCGUUUCCUUCUACAGAGGGUAGAAGUUUGUAGAAAUUUGGUAUUGAGGUCAUCUGAUAUAGCAUAGUCCAAUCUAGAUUUCAUAAUCCAGAGGGAUUUUUCCUGAUGAAGGAUUUCAUCAUACUCAAAAAGCAACUGUUUUUCUAAAGACUCUAGGAAUAUAGAAUGGUGAGAUUGCAUCGCUUUUUGAGCACCUUGGAGUCUAGCUAGGAUCCUCUUUUUCUUAAAGAAAAUAUUCCCAAAGGUCUUUUUACUCCAGGAAAGGAUGUUAGAAGUGAGGUUUUCGAUAGAAUUGGAGAUAACAGAGGGGGGCCCAGACCAAGAUUGAUGAAGGAGUUGUGGGAAUUCUGGGUGAGACAUCCAGAAUUUCUCCAGUCUAAAGGUCUGUUUAAGGAAUUACUAAUAGCCGGUUGGAGGUCUAGAAGAAUUGGACAAUGAUCUGAAUGAGUUCUUGCAAGGUGGUGUAUUUGUGCCUCAGGAAAGAGGUUAAUCCAUUCAGGGUUACAAAAGGCGCGAUCCAGCCGUUCGUAAAUAUGACCUAGAUCCCUUCUAAAACACCGCCAGGUGUAACGAGGCCCAUUGAACCCUAAGUCUAACAUGUUACAAGAGUCCAAACACUCUUUGAAUAAACAGGCUCUAUUUGGACUAAUCGGGUUACCCCCUUUCUUGUCCGAACUCAUUAAAAUCUCAUUAAAGUCCCCCAUCCAAACACAAGGGAGAUUGGGGUUAUUAGAGGAACACAAACUAUUCCAUAAUUGAAUUCUUUCCUGAAACCGUGGGCUAGCAUAAAUUCCACAAAGGAUCCAAGGGGGUGAGUAGGGGGUUACCUGGACUGAAGCGUGGAUGACCUGCGAAAGGUUUGAGAUAGGAUCUACGCGAACUUCUGCCUUGUUCCACAGUAGCCACAUUCCACCUUUGAACCCGGAAGAGUCGACCACUGAGAAAUUGUCAAACGGGAGUUGACUGCAAAUAUGGCGUGCUCUGUCUCCGUGGAGUUUAGUUUCUACUAGAAUAACAAUUGCGGGAUUAUGGAGCUGGACAAGUUGAAGAAAGUGAUUUUUGAAAUUCGGGUGUCCCGCACCCCUGACAUUCCAGAAAAGGAUCUUCAUAGAGUCAGGAAAUGGGUUGGGCAUCAUCGGCUCUGGUGGGCUCUGAGGCCUCACUUGGGAGCUGGGAUUUCCGUCGUAGAUAUUGACGGGAAAGUGAAACUCUCGACUGAAUCUUGGGCGUAGUGUUAAGGAGUGGUCUCUGGAGUCUACGCCUAGCAGUUCGAUGGCCGUCAUGAAUAUUUUUACGGCUAACAUUUCUUUUAUCGGCGUGAUAAUUGUGACAGAGCUUUGAGAGUCUCUGGCAGUGACUGAAAGUGGGGAUAUGGAGAGUACUUCUUGCCGGACGUACAGUUGUGGCAUUGUUUCGUGUUCUGGAGCGGGGUUUGAGCCCGUGGGUUCCUGGGCAUCUAUCCUCUGAGAAGUCUCCUGAGCUGUCGCUGGGCGAUUCUGAGUCCUCCUCCAUGAUGGGUUCCAACGAUAGUGGCGGUUUGAGUGUCUCCUUGGUUCCGGGUAGUCCCUUUCUGGCUGAGUCUGGGGCUGAUGUGGCCGGUUGUGUGGGCGGUUUGGCCUUUGGUGUUGUUGUUCGUAUGGAGGUCUCCCUGCUCUGAUUCCCCUCACCUCCCUGUUCCUUGAUGUCAGCUGGUCUUCUGGGUCCAGGUCUGUGAUAAAAGCUAUCCUGGUUUGAGUUGCCCAAAUCUGUAUUCUUCCCAAACUGUGUUGGUCCUGGAUUUGGCGGAUCUCUUCCAAGGAGAGAUGUGGGUUCGCGACUAGGAGUGGGUCUACCACUCUGUGGGAGCAUAUCAGAACCCACUCCUCCUCCCUGAACAUGUGGUUGAGAUGCGGUGCUUGGGGGUGUUCUUCCAAUCUGUGAGGGGGGUAGUGGUUCCAAACUUGGUGGGUUUGGUAAGAGGGGUGAGAGUUUCUCAGGUUGGUUCUCGUCCUCCGGGACAUUGCUGAGGCUUGUUGGUGGUUCAUACUGAGCUGGGGAGGUUUUGGUGAGAGUAACGUAGGGUUUUUCUGAGGUUGGGGUGGGUGAAAGAACUUCUCCGGUUUUGGAUAUGUAGCUGAUGGCGUGGGGGCUAAGCCUGUCUUCCGAAGGAAGGUAAUCGAAGCUGGCUUUCGACGGGUCAUUUUUGGAAGCAGGAGGUGGAGGAGGUUGGAAAGUGCACUUUCCAUUUGCAGGCAAAAUUUCUCCCAACUGUUUGCUAAGAAGUUUCAAUGUAGGAGAAGGAGCACUAGGCAGGAAAUUUUGGGACUGAUGUUCGGUGGCAGGUCUGGGAGGCUCAGCAAUAUUGGCGCCGUUGGAAAGCACAGAGUCAACAUCAGAAAGCAAGUCAAAAUUAUUUCUAAUAGGGAUAUCUGUGGUACCGAAUAUAGGGACCCGGUUAGAGGUUUGGGUUUUGGGUUGACCAACACCUGGGCCAUGAAGCCUUAUGGGUCGGGAAGGCCUGGACUUAACGUUUGAAAUUGAAAAAUGCUGACCGUUGGGUUUACGAAGGAGAGGUCGCUUUCCUGACAUAGAAAACGAUUUGCCGGCGAACGCCUGAACACGUCUCCAUGUCCCUCCUCCCGGCUGUGCUUCCGUUUGUUCAUCGGAGGUGGGCUUAGGGCAGUAAGCUUGGUCGUGACCCAACAUACCACAACUAGGACAGAAGGACAAAGCUUCUACGGUCAGUAACUGAUGGUGUCCAUCUAGUAUGAUUGAGGUAGGCAGAGGGCGAGUAAUGUCUAGCUCGAUGCACAACCUGGCGAAUCUUCCACGUUCUGUAUUGGCCGUCCUUGCAUCAAUUCUAAUGAGCUUCCCGAUUUUAUUUCCAAUGAGAGAGAGUGCUUCUUGAUCAUAAAAUUCUAGGGGGAGUCCUGGUAGUAUGAUCCAGACAGUUGUUGUGGAUGCUUUCGCAACGAAAGCAUUAAAAAAUGGGCACCAGUUGCGAAUGGAAAUAAGAGAUUUAUUGAUAAACCACGGGCCGCCCGUUAAGAUUCUAAGAUGAUCUUCCGGGUUUUUAAAUCUAACUGCGAAGAAAUCCCUACCCAGAUCUAGGAUUGCUAUUUCGCCAAUAGGUUUCCAGAUAUGACGAAUUUUUUGGUCGAAGUAUCUAAAACCCGUGCUUUUCCCCAGAGGUUUAGCAAUCAGAGUGAAUUUCCAAGGUUCUCUGAGUCUAUCUGUGAGUUUGGGGGGGAAAUCUAUGGUAAGGGACCCGGUUUGGGUAUGGGUUUCAGAAAAGUUUAUAGGGGAUGCGAGUUCAGUUUGGGUGAGGUCUAGUUGAAUGAUUGAAGAGGUUUUAUCAGAUAUGAGGCAGUCCUUGUAGGAGCGUUUUGGGGACUUUGAGGCGUGAAGGAUGGAAGUGGAAUUGUGAAUUUCAGGCGAAACAGAGUGUGAGGGAAGUUGAAGUUGUGUCUGGGAGAUACUAUGGUUUACAGGUGUGGUUGUUGAACUUACAUGAAUUUCGGUUUGGGGAGAAAUGGCAGGGUCUGAUAUUAGAGGCUCUACUGGGUUUAUCGCCGUUGUCAUCGCUUGCUACUCCGGUGGGAAAUUUUGGUGCCAAAAAGACCUAGGCCAUUGUUGAAACCUCCAGCUCCGAGUUCUUCAUGACAUUAGAUAGGAUUUGAUGCAUUAGAUAGGAUUUGAUUCAAAUGCCAAGAUUCUGGUGAUAAGGUCCGACAUUACCACAAAAUAAUUUAUGGGAUGCAUUACCACAUUUUUAGGCCUAUAAAUACAAGGAGUCUGGAUCUCAACUAUACCAAGUUUUCGACAGUGACCAGUUACAAAUAUCUAUUUUCAUCCUUAUUAAUUAGCAAGCUAGCUCUUUAAGGAAAAAAUGGCUGCAGCCAAAUCUGCUAUUGGCACUGGAAAGGUGAAUAGUGAUUUAUGCCUAGCUAGACAUAGAUUUCUUUCUUUUUCAAGUUUGUGUGUGGUUUUGAGAAUCAACCCAUAAACAACUUGUACAGAAACGUUUGGAAGAGUAUAAGAGUUGCAAAAUUAAAGCAACAUUAACAUUCUUGAAUUUUCUUAAUCAAUAAUUUAUGUUUUCUAGUUGUCUACAUGCAUUAAUUGGUCUCUUGAAUUGUCUGAUUAAGCUUCUUCUGAGUGAUACAGUUUCUUAUUAAUUGGUCGGAUUUAGUUUUCUGGUCGUUUGUUUAUUUGAAAUGAUUCUAAUCGAUUUUGGGAACUCAAUUGUUUGGGGUUUACAGAACGACAUCAGUUCCGCAACGGAUCUUCUGUCCCACACCCUGUGCCACUCUCUGUCUCACUUUUUAUUAUAUUGCUAUUUCUCAUUCAUAAACAUCAUGUUUUAAUUCUUUUUUGCUUUCUUAAGAUCCAAUAACUAUUAAUUGAGUAAAAAAUAAACAUAACAGCUUCAAAAAAGUAAUAUAUAAUAGAAAAUUAAAAAAUACAGCAAAAAAUUCAUAAAAAAUCUCAUUUUUUAUGCAUUUUGAUUUUUUGAGUUUGUUAAAUUUUGUGUAUUACUCAAUUAAUAGUUAUUGGAUCUUAAGAAAGCAAAAAAGAAUUAAAACAUGAUGUUUAUGAAUGAGAAAUAGCAAUAUAAUAAAAAGUGAGACAGAGAGUGGCACAGGGUGUGGGACAGAAGAUCCGUUGCGCAUCAGUUCACUAGAACCAGUGAAGCCAGCUGACCCUCACGUGAUCCAGAUCGGACAAUUUGUAGUGGAACAAUGCCACCACGGUCAGCUGCUUUUCGUCGCCGUGGUUGGCGGAUUCACGUGGAGCGGUGAUGGAGGUUAUUACUACGCACUUAUCAUUGAAAAUCAGGAUUGCGACGGUGCCACAUAUCUCCAUAAGGCCCUUGUUCUUGAGACCCCAAGUGAAACCAAACUCAUCUGGCACAAGAAAUAAGCAAGCACUGCUGUUGAUCAACUGAGGAUCAACGACUUUAAGUACUCUAAUUAUCCAGUGUCUUUGGUGUGGCUUUCAGUUUCUGCAUGGAUGAUCCCUGCUGUUGUACUAGUAUGUAAGGUGCAGUUCUACCAACAAAAAUGCACCGUUAAAUAAAAAACCCGUCUGUGUUUAGAGUUUGUGUUAUUGCACUAGGGCAUCAAAGGUGCACUUAUACGAACAAAAAUGCACCAUUAAAUAAAAAAAAACAGCCGUCUGUGUUUGUCUCGAUUGCUUGGAAGCAGGUUCCAAUUACUGAGUUUUGUAUGUCAAUUAGGUGCUAUAUUCAUUACUAGUUAUAAAAUCUUAUUAGUUAAGUAUUACUUAAAAUGAAUCCAAAUCUGGAAAGGAAUGAAAGAUGAGUUGAUAUAUUGAGAGAAAGACAUGUAACUCAAAAGUUAGAGUUCAAAGAUGAGAGUUUCUGCUUUCUACAACCAUUCAUUUGGACAUCUCUAAACAACGUGUAUCCUACCGUGUCAAAUAAGUUUAAAAUGCACAGAUAUGAGCAAAGAAUCAUCUGCUCUUUAAAAUGUGACAACAAAAUUAAUAGAUCUACAUGCUAUUGGAUUUUAAUACUUAUCCCCAUAAUUUGUUUAACAUUCAAUGAAUUAGAGAUUGUGAAAUUCAACAGAAAAUCAUUCAAGAAAUUAAGAAGAAAAUAACAUCUUACGGUUAAUAUUAAUGAAAAAAAGACUUUCCUCCCCUUUCAGUUUUAAAACUAUGCUUAUUUUUCCUUUUGGUCCUGCACUCUCUCUUGAUAUCACUGUAGCUAAAUGCUUUAGGCACUUGACAUAUAGUAGGAUGCACACACAUAUACAUACAUACAUGCACACAAUAUAUAUAUAUAUAUAUAUAUAUAUAUAUAUAUAUAUAUAUAUAUAUAUGUAUAACAAAUAUAUACACACACAUACACAUACUGGUAACAGAGUAGGUGCUUUCCACAUGAAUAUGACGCUUUUCGAUUUUCCUUUUCUUCUAAAAAAUUUUAAAAAACUAAUGAAAUUGAGAUAAAAUAAUGUGAUAUUAAACAUUUAUAUUUUUAUAUUUUUUGAAACUUGAUUUAUCCUAACCAACCCAAAUGUGAAAGUAACAGAGUAUCCUUUAUCACAAAAGUACUUUUGUUUGGUAAUAGUAUCAAUGUUUUCGUCUUUUAGUUGAAUUUGGAUGACUUGAAUGUUGUUCUGGUUUAUGCUAUUUGAAUUAAAAUUUUUAUCUUCCUGAAAAAUUUAUUGCUCCCCUUUGCAUCAUUCUGUGAAUUUUUCAUUAGUUUUUGUUAAGUGUGUCUUUCUAUCGCACAUCGGAAGUUUAACAAAGAAAUCUCUCCUUGUGAUAGUUAUAAAUAUAGUUGAUUUAAGUGUACUCAGGGCACCAGCCCAAGUGCCAUAUGUAUUAGUCCAAGAGUUUUUGGGGGCCCACACCCCAGUCCGAGAGAAGUUUUGGUUUGACAUCAAACCAAAAGAGCAAGUUAUGGGUCAUUAAGCAUUUAGUGCUAUUUAGAUUCUUAUGUAUUUUCAGUUUUACGUGCCUUUUGGACCUGAAAAUUAUUUCCUAGGCUUUUGUACUCUCUUUCUGUUAUAGUAACAGCUACCCCUUCACCCAUGGAUGUAAAUCAAUUGGACCGAACCAUGUAAAUUUCCGUGUUUCUCUGUUUAAUUUAUUGUUUUGUUAUUGUCAUUAUUGAGUUGGCAACAACUCUAUUAUUCUUGUUGGUCAAUUUCUUGGGACCAGACCUAACAAACUGGUAUCAGAGCUUCAGGUUCUAGAUUCAACUUCAGGUUUUGGGUUAGGUCAGAUUUUGGAUUCUUGAUGACAAUAACAAGUUUUUAGGCGCUACAGAGAGUGAAAAAGAGAAAUUUUCAUUGGAGUUUAGUUGGGCUUUGAAGAUACGUUAUUUGGCCCAUUGGAACUUGUUAAGGGCUUUGAGAAGAAGGUAGAGCAAGAUUUCUAUGUUGGUGGAUUUUAACCCGUUGAAAUCUGUUGAACCUUUUGUGAGAUUUGGCCCGUUGGAACUUGUUGAGUCUUUUGCAUCUUGGUUCAUUGAUGGCUCGUUGUGGUUUGUUGGGACUUUUGUGGUUCGUUGAGAUCCGUUAGAACUUUUAUGGAGAUCAUUUAUCACAAAAGUACUUAUGUUUCAUAACAGAAUCAAUGUUUUCGUCUUUUGGUUGAAUUUGGAUGACUUGAAUGUUGUUCUUGUUUAUGCCAUUUGAAUUUAAAUUUUUAUCUGCCUGAAUAAUUUAUUGUUCCCCUUUGCAUCAUUCUAUGAAUUUUUUAUUAGUUUUAGUGUGUUUUUUCCUUUAUUAUUUCUAUUAAUGGUGGAAUGUAAAAUGAUCCAUAGUGCUAUUGCAAUUAUUAAAAAAAAAUUAAUGCAUUUAAGGUAAUGACAGGUGUUAUAGCUAAAUACCAAUUUGAAGAGCUGUAGCUUUGUAGUGUUGGUAGAACCGUACGUUUUGUUUAAAAACGGGGAUUGAAGAUUGAGUAUAUCAAUAUUUAAUUUAUAGGCCAGGCUAAUUAAUAUUUAAUUUGAGGAUUGACCUAAUCACCGAUGUGUAAAAACGUGUUCCACAUUGGCCCUUGUCAAAUUUUCACACGUGUUAAAAUAAUUAUAAGAUGGCGCAAAAUUCAAAUUCAUCAAAGUAGCAGCUCCGACCAUGACACUGGAUAACACCAUAUGCACUGUAUGAUUUAAUACUUAGAUUUCUGAAUUACUUCUAUAAGAUUACCUGAUCUUCCAUGUAUUUAUGACUAUACUAAACUGCAACCAUGACCAUGUCACAAUAGUCUUGCCUCUUCCGUAACUUUUUGUGUAUCAAUAAAAGUGAUAUUUGCAUAAAAUAUUGGAUUAAAAACAGAAUAGCUAUUUUUGUCCUUUUUGGAGUUUUGUUUUGUUAGAUGUAUUGUUAUUAUGUUAUAUAAUAUAAAUUUUAUAUUACAUAUUUUAUUAAAAAAUUAUAUUAUAUAAAUAAAUAUUAUAAAACAAAUUUGAAAUUGAAUACCGAUUUCGAUUCAUGAUUUCGAAUUGUGAAUUUGAAAUCGAAAAUUUUGAUUUCAAAAAUUUUAUUAUCGAAUCCAAACUGAUUUCGUAUAAUUUGAAAUAGGAAAAACCGAUUUCCAUUCCAAAUUCCGAAUUAUCAAUUUUGAAAUUUUCGAAUUAAAUUUGAAUUCGGUCUAUAAAUCAUUAUUUUUCAAUUUUGCACACUCCUAAUUCUCCAACUCAGAAUUUCGGCUACAGUUGUAAAGAAAAGUGUAGAGGCUUCAAGAAACAACUUUUGAUGAUUUUAAGAGAUAAAAUUGCCAACUAAAAACAACUCACUUGGACUUUUAAUUCCUUUAUAAGUAAGGACUUUGUUGAGCUUGCUUCAUAACUUUGGAAAGCUAGAAAUAGUACUAAAAUAUAGUCUUCGCUAGUUUUUUUUAGUUCAUUAGUAUGGUAUAGUUAGUACUCCCUCCGUCCCAAAAUUUGGGACGUUUUUCGGGAAUAGCACUUUUUAUGCACAGUAAAAUGGUGGACUGCACUUUUCAUAUUCUUCCAGUUUUACCCAUUGUCUAUCACACGAAAAUAGCCGGCCAAAAGCAAAAGGUCACAGAAUGGUGAAAGUGUGCAUGUGUUGUGGUGGGCCAUAUGUAAUUGUUUAUUAUUAGUUGAUGGAAUCUUGUCAUUAUUACUAAGGGUAUAAAAGGAAAGUAGUAGUGAAAGUUGUUUGACUUUUGCCAUGAGACUCUUAUUUUGGGACAACAAAAAAGUGAAAACAUGACAUUAACAAUGGGACGGAGGGAGUAUAAUUUAUCCAUCUUGUACUUAUAGCUAGAUUUGCAUGAAAAAUUGAGGAGUAAAGAUGGAGAGUUGGAGCUCAUGUGACAAGGGUGACCUCUUUCCUAUCACUUUCUCUUUUGUAUUUGAUUUCAUGUUUAGUUAUAAUACAAGUUUGGAUUUUAUUAGGUUUUACUAAAAUUUAUGCCUAAAGUUAUGGAUGAACUUUCUAUAUCUUGUUAGUGAUAUUUACUUGGUUAUUUGAUGAUAGUAUUUUGAACAAGUUGUUUAUCACUUUUACUUAUCUAAUCAUGAUUAACCGGUCAUUAAUUUUGAUAAUCUUAAGGUGUUAAGUUUGUAAUGAAAAUUGAGAUUUGACACUAAUUCAGAAAAGUGCUAAACUUAGGAAUUACACUCAUGAGAGUAGAGGUGCACUUUUGUGAUUUUAGUGAUUUGUUUCAUAUAAUUUCAUAGAAAGAAUGAGUUUGUAGUUAAUUUCAUAAUCACGAGAGUAUAUAUGAUUUAGUUAUAAGUAUAAUAGAUUCACUACGAGAGUAAGUUUCACAUACAUGAAAAAAUUACACUAUAACUAGUCAAGUUAAUAAUAUUCAAUUAACCGGUGAUUUCACUUGUAAGAGUAGUGAGAAAUUCCAUACCUUUGGUGACUUUCUAUUAUUAUUUUGUAUUACUUUCAUUUCAUAUUCAUAAUGUAGAUAUAAUUUUUUACACUUGUGAUAGUCGAAAUAAUAAAGGAGUUUGAAAAUCACAGGUAAUUGACAAUGUUCAUGUGGGAUCGACACCUAAUAUUCUUAUCCUCGAUAAAUUAUAUGCAUACUCACAGAAAAUGAGAUGUUUAGGUUUUAUUAAAAUUUGAUAUAUGGUAGAAUCUCGUCCGCAUCGUAUAUCAUUAGUCAUCCACUGCAAUGACUUUAGAUGCAUUUCUAAGGACUUUCUUGAAUAGUUAAACUAAUUUAGGUUAAGACUCGAAUCUUUGAGUGUUGAAUCAGUAAGUUCAUACAGUGAAUAGGAAAAACUCUAAAACACAAAAUGCAGUUAUAAAUUGCGGGUGUGUCAACUUGAAGAUGGCAUCGGUUCAUGUGUCAACUUGCUAAAAUAAAUAAUAAACUGCCAAUUGGAGAUAAGAGAUGAGAAACUCCAAAUUCGAAUUCUAAUUCUGAAGUUGACAGUGAGAGGAUAUCUUAGUCACUGGACCAACCCGGCCUAGUGGUAUGAAGUCAAAGGUUUGAAUGAUGAUAAAACAAUAGCAGACAAAUUAGGUGAUGUUGGUGUAUAUUUUCACACUGACCUCAUCACGGACGUGUAAAAACAUGUUCCAUGCUGCUGGACCCUGAUUUUGGUGAUUAGGUCCAACGUUACCACAAAUUAAUUCAUGGGGUGCAUUACCACAUUUUUAGGCCUAUAAAUAGAAGGAGUCUGGUUCUCAGCUAUACAAAGUUUUCGACAGCAACGAGUUACAAAUAUCUAUUUUCAUCCUUAUUAAUUAGCUAGCUAGCUCUUUAAGGAAAAAAUGGCUGCAGCCAAAUCUGCUAUUGGCACAGGAAAGGUAAAUAACGUUUGGAAGAGUAUAAGGAGUUGCAAAUUACAGUAACAUUAACAUUCUUGAAUUUUCUUAAGCAAUAUUUUAUGUUUUCUAGUUGUCUACACACAUUAAUUGGUCUCAUGAAUUGUCUGAUUAAGCUUCUUCUGAGUGAUACAGUUUGUUAUUAAUUGGUCGGAUUUAGUUUUCUUAUAAGCAGUUUGUUUAUUUGAAAGGAUUCUGAUUGAUUUUGGGAACUCAAUUGUUUGGGUUUCACAGAACGACAUCAGUUCACUAGAACCAGUGAAGCCAGCUGACCGUCACGUGAUCCAGAUCGGAGAAUUUGUGGUGGAACAAUGCCACCACGGCCAGCUGCUUUUCGUCGCCGUGGUUGGAGGAUUCACGUGGAGCGGUGAUGGAGGUUAUUACUACGCACUUAUCAUUGAAAAUCAGGAUAGCGAGGGCGCCACAUAUCUCCACAAAGCACUUGUUCUUGAGACCCCAAAUGAAACCAAACUCAUCUGGCACAAGAAAUAAGCAAGCACUGCUGUUGAUCAACUGAGGAUCAACGACUUUAAGUACUCUAAUUAUCCAGUGUCUUUGGUGUGGUUUUUCAGUUUAUGCAUGGAUGAUGUACUGCUGGCACUGUUGUACUAGCAUGUAAGGUGCACUUGUACCAGCAAAAAUGCACCAUUAAAUAAAAAAUGCCGUCUACAUUUGAGUUUGUAUCCUUGUUCUAGUGUGUCAAAGGUGCACUUAUGCGAGCAAAAAUGCACCAUUAAAUAAAUAAAAACAGCAGUCUGUGUUUGAAUUUCUAUCUAUUUAUUUUGUUUCUCUAUUGCUUGUAAGUAGUUUCCAGUCACUGAGUUUUGUACGUCAACUAGAUACUAUAUUCAUGACUAGUUAGGAAGUUUGAUAACUAGUUAAGUCUUAUUUAAAAUGAAUCCAAACCUGAAAAGGAAAUGAAAGAUUAGUUGCUAUAUCAAGAGAAAGAUGUGUUGCUCGAAAAGUUCGAAGAUGGGAGCUUCUGCUUUCUACGACCAUUCUUUCGGUCAUUUCGGAACAAUGCGUAUCCUACCACAUGCUAAUCAAGUUUAGAAUGCAUAGGUGUACGUACAUGCAUACACACAAUAUAUAUAUAUAUAUAUAUAUAUAUAUAAAACAAAUAUAUACAUACACAUACACAUGCACGUACUAGUAACAGAGUAGGUUCUUUCCAUGUGAAUAUGAUGCUUUCGAUUUCCUUUUCUUCUCAAAAAUUUAAAAAAAUUAAUAAAAUUUAGAUUAAAAACAUGUGCUAUUAAACAUUUAUAUUUUUAAAAUUUUUUAAAACUUGAUUUAUCCUAACCAACACAAAUGUGAAUGUAACAAAGUAUCCUUUAUCCCAAAAGUACUUUUGUUUUGUAACGGUGUCAAUGUUUUGUCUUUUGGUUGAAUUUGGAUGACUUGAAUGUUGUUCUCUUUUAUGCCAUUUGAGUUAAAAUUUUUAUCUUCCUGAAUAAUUUAUUGUUCCCCUUUGCAUCAUUCUUUGAAUUUUUUUAUUAGUUUUAGUGAGUUUUUCCCUUUAUUAUUUCUAUUAAUGGUGGAAUGUAAAAUGACCCAUGGUGCUAUUGCAAUUAUAAAAAAAAUUUUAAUGCAUUUAAGGUAAUGACUGGUGUUAUAGCUGGAUACCAAUUUGAAUAGAUGUAGCUUUGUAGUGUUGGUAGAACUAUACGUUUUGUUUGAAAAUGAGGAUCGAAGAUUCAGGAAAUGAAUAUUUAUUGGCCAAGCUAAUUAAUAUUUAAUUUGAGGAUUGACCUAAUCACCGAUGUGUAAAAACGUGUUCCACAUUGGCCCUUGAUAAAUUUUCACACGUAUUAAAUUAAUUAUAAGACGGCGCAAAAUCCAUUAAUGAGGAUUGAACUAUACGUUUUUUUUUUUUGUUAACAACAAUCCAUUUGUUUCAUGUUCUUUUACGAAAGUUUUCGAUGAGAUGGGGUAAUGUUAAGAAAAAAUCUAGAGUGCGUCUGAAUCCUAUGGGUCCGUAAAUCCCUCGACCUUUACGAGGUACUCCUACCUCUCGGGUUAAUUGAAGUCAAACAAAAUUUGCGUAUAAGAGCUCCUAGCUGCUGCAUUGGAUGAGGGCAUGAUGAAGAAAUCCUGUGAGUCUCACUCAUAAAGACUGUUGAUAGGUUGUAUUUUUGUUCUAAAAUUCAAGAUUGUUUUUCCUUUGAUUUGGCUAAAUGUUGCAUUAAUUGGUGGAUUCUGAUUAUAUUUGUUGAUUGAUGUUGGUUGUAGGGAUUCGGAGCAAAAAGAGGUUGAAGAUGUGAAUUUUAAUUGAAUUUUUGUGCAAUUCAGCGUGGCCACGUCAAAGGCUAAUUCUACAUGUGCGGAAGUUCGAAAUUUAACCGGUGAAUUCCAAUCUUAAAUUGAAACCAGACUUUUCAUCGGAUCACUAGUCUCCUAUUUCUACUAGGACACUAGCUCUAGUUUAUCUAUCUUGACUUUGUGGAAAAAAUUCAUUAGGGAAAAUCGUCCAAAACGUCCCUCACAUUUUGUAAAAUAAUUUUUUUCAUCCCUCACUUUUAAAAGUGUAAUUUUAUAUCUCUUACAUAUUCACAUCGGACAAAUUUAGUCCCUAACUAGGUUUCCGAUCAUUUUUUGGCCGGAAUCCAUCAUGUGCAAGGCACGUGAUCGUUUUUGAAGGGUAAAUUUAUCAAAUUAUAUUUUACAUAAUCUAAUCUAUAGUCCUCCACAUUUUAUAAAAUAAAUUUUUUCGUCCCUCACAUUUUAUAAAAUGAUUUUUUUUCAUCCCUCACAUUUCACAAAAUGAAUUUCUCCAUCCUUCACAUUUCAAAAAAUGAAUUUUUCAUUUCUCACUAAUUAUGUGUGUGAAUACAUUUUUUUAAACAUAUGUAUAUGUUUAUUUGAUUUUGCUUAAUAAUAAUAGUAUAAACACAUGUAUGUAAUUGGGCCCAGAUUGUGGGCUAUCUUCUCUUUUUGUAUGAUUAUGACUAAUAUUUACCAAUAGAACCUUAAUUUGCAUAUUUUUAUUGUAUUUUGACUGAAAAUAGCUUUAUUGGUCAACUUGACAAUGAAUGCAAGAUUAUUCACUAGCUAAUACUAGAUGAAAUCAAAUGAUCACGUAUAAUAUAUGGUAUUCAUAUUGUUAAGUGAAAUCAAAUAGACACAUACAUAUAUUUAUGUUAUUCGUAUUAUUAAGCAAAAUCAAAUAGACAUAUACAUGUGUUUAAACAAAAUGUAUUCACACACAUUUUUUUUAGGGUUUCCCUCACAUACAUUAUUAGUGAGGGAUGGAAAUAUUCAUUUUUUGAAAUGUGAGGGAUGGAAAUAUUCAUUUUUUGAAAUGUAAGGGAUGGAGAAAUUCAUUUUGUGAAAUAUGAGGGAUGAAAAAAUCAUUUUAUAAAAUGUGAAGGACAAAACAAUUUGUUUUCUAAAAUGUGGAGGACUAUAAAUUAGAUUAUGUAAAAUAUAAUUUGACAAAUUUACCCUUAAAAAAUGAUCACGUGCCUUGCACGUGAUGGAUUCCGGCCAAAAAAUGAUCGGAAACCUAGUUAGGGACUAAAUUUGACCGAUGUGAAUAUGUAAGGGACAUAAAAUUACAUUUUUAAAAGUGAGGGACGAAAAAAGUCAUUUUACAAAAUGUGAGGAACGUUUUGGACGAUUUUCCCAAUCUAUUAUAUAGUGGGAAUUUGAUUCUAUUUAGAAAAGAAACUUUUAAGCCCUCGCGGGGUAACUUGAGUGGUCCGCUCCUCCUCUUUAGGGUAUGGCGACCUUUCUGGCAUCCAGGGUUCAAGUCGUACAACUAUCGUGUUCGGUGUGAAGUGGGGCCUCUUCUCCCGGGCCGCAGGAGGAUUAGUCGGGCCAAAGGCCCGGACACCUCCUGUGCCGACAAAAAAAAAAAAAGAAAAGGAACUUUUAGUAGACAUAGGAAACGAAGUCCGGAACAUUAGCAUCGUUACAUUUUUUCUCCAUUCUCGCAAGAAACAAAGGGACUUUUUCCUUUGUUUUUCUUCUUUUUCCUCUUGACACUUCAUCUCAUAUUUGGAGAGCGAUUUCUUCGACGGAGAUGAACUAAAAUUGGUUCUCAUUCUAGUCAAGAAAUAACAGAGGAUUUGGUUUAUUUGAAAUUAUGAAAUCGAAUUAAAUAUAUUUAUUUCUUUUAUUUAAUGGUAUUCAUAUAUUCUCUGAUUUUAUUUCUUAUGGUUAUUAUAUUAUUUGAAUAUCUAAGGUCUAGUACUUAAAUUAAUCUAAUAAACCUAAAACCAAUUAGAACAGUUAAAUCUGUAAUUGUUUAAUUGCCUUAAACUAGUGAUAAUUGCUAUAAUUGGAUUUGUGUCAGGGGAACAUAUGAGCUAAUUUAAAAUAAGGUAAAAAACCUUAGUGGCCACUAAACUAUUGGUCAGAUCAUAUUUUGGCUAUCAAACUAUUUUUCAUCAGUAAUUGGCCACUAAACAACUUAAUCAGUGAACUCUUGACCAUUUAGUCGAUAAUUGCUCUUAAUCUGUAAAAUUAGCAGUUAAUCUGUGAAAUAGGGUCGCAUAGUUGUUGGACAAAAUUACCACGUGCUUUGCCACGUGUACUGCUAAUUUCACAAAUUAAGAGCAAUUAUCGACUAAAUGAUCACAGAUUUACUGACUAAGUUGUUUAAUGGCCAAUUACUGACGAAAAAUAGUUUGAUAGCCAAAACAUGAUUAAACCAAUAGUUUAAUGGUCACUGAGAUUUUUUGCCCUUUAAAAUAACCAUCGUACGUAGCAUGUUAUUUGGUUAGAACAGGGUUGCUCUAAUUCUUAAAAUAAUUGAAAAAUUGAACUCUAAGGUCGUAUCUAUGGUUCUUUCUUGAUUAGGCUAGUGGCUAACGGUCAUACCUUAAUCACCAAUACAGUAAGAAGAAAUUGAUUGUCACAACUUAUUUGGCAGCUAUAACUUGAAUAUCAGUGAGUAAAUGAAGUUAUCAUUGCAUCAAGGAUCAAUUGAGUGAACCAUCUCCAAAGUUAUUUCUUGACUAGAGUUUAUUUAUUAUUGAUUCAAUUUUAAUAAAUUGUCACUUAAUCCCUUUAUUUGAAAUUAAGCAAUAAAAUUACUAAAUUUCCAAGCCUAGUGACACUAUAAAUUUUUAAGUAAAAACAAAACCCAGUUGAAAACGUUCAAUGAAAAUGUCAUGGUGUACUUCCUGGUUUGGUUAUGACAUAUUUCAACAGAUUCUCUGAAUGCGUGAGAAGUUUAUAUACAUUUUCACCCCGUAUCUAGCAUAAAUCGCCACCAUCAAAUCAAUCUUAAAUAACUUAUGCAGUUUUUUAUAUUUCUAAAAUCAGAAAAGUAAUAAUUAAACCACAAGAGCCUAAUGUGCAAAUUUCUGAGCAAAGAAUAGGAAAUGCCUUUAACUUUGGUGUUUUUACAAGUAAAAGGCAAUAAAAAUAUUAUAAAUGAUCAUUUUUUCAAGAUAUGGAUGAAUAAAUGAUUUAAUUGAGUAUCAAUAAAAGUGAUAUAUGCAUUAAAAUAUUGGUCUAGAAUUGGAAAACAUAUUUUUUCUUUCUUCCUUAAAAAGAGGAAGUAAGAUGUUUUAAGUGAGCAACGAUCUUGAUAAGAGUUUCCUCAACUUUCCUGAUCCUAUGUACAUUAUAAAAAUGUUUUAAGUUAUACAGUUACGAUCUCUACUCAAAAACAUUAUAUCCACUCUAUAUCUUUCUCAAUCUCAUUCCUAGUAAUGCGAGUAGAAUUAGUUUGUAGCCCUUGAAAUUCCUCAUCUCAUAGCUAAACUAUGGCUAUUUCCACGCGAGAAAGUCGACUUUGUCCGAGAUAAACUACACUUUGAGAAAACCUAUUUAAAUGACAAGGAGAAUUUUCAUAAAGUGAUUAAAUAUAACAAUCUCUCUAAAAUGGCAUCGUAUAUCAUUUGUCAUCCACCGCAAUGACAUUAGAUGUAUUUUUAAGGACUUUCUUGAAUAAUUAAACUAAUUUAGGUUGAGAUUCGAAAUCUAUAAGAGUUGAAUCAAUAAGUUCAUACAAUGAAUAUGGAAAACUCUAAAACACAAAACGUAGUAAUAAAUGGCAGGUAUAUUUGUCCGGUUUUUUAUUAUUUUUGGUUCGUAUAGUUCUUGCAAGAGCCUGUGUAUAUUUUUGUGUAAUUGUCAACCACCUUCUUUUACAUCAACUCAUUAAGAAAUACAUCAAAUCUUGAAAGAAAUACAAAAAAUGUCAAUUAUUACUUGACUGGAAUUAGCAGAUUGAAGUCGAAAGUAUUUUUUUAACCCUUCAUCUCUUCCUCACACUCCUUUCCAUCCCCAAUUGUCAGUCUCGUCAUUCAACCUUUGAAUCUGGCAGCGCGAGAAGCUCUUAGCCACUAGACCAACCCUACCCGGUGGCAUGAAGCCAAAAGUUAGAGUGAUGACAAAACAAUAACAUAAAAUUAUACGCCUAGCAAUAGUAAUUAGGUGGCGUUGGUGUAUAUUUCCACAUUGACUUCAUCACGGACGUGUAAAAACGUGUUCCAUGCUGGUGGACCAUGAUUUUGGUGAUUAGAUCCAACAAGAAAAAUUAAUUUAUGGUGAUUUUGAGGCCUAUAAAUACAAGGAGUCUGGUUUGUUAUUUCAAUGUGCUAAACUCAGCUACCAAGUCUUCUCGAGUCACAACCAGUUACAAAUAUCUAUUUUCAUUCUUAUUAAUUAGCUAGCCGGUUCUUUUAAGGAAAAAAUGGCUGCAGCCAAAUUUGCAAUUGGCACUGGGCAGGUGAAUAGUGAUUGUAUGCCAAGCUAGACAUAUAUUUUUUUCAUUUUCAAGUUUCUGCAUGGUUUUGGGAAUCAACUCGUAAACAACUUGUAUAGAAACGUUUGAAAAAGUUUGCAAAUUAAAGCAAUUUCAACAUUCUAGAAUUGUCUUAAGCAAUAUUUUAUAUUUAUAGCUGUCUACAUGCAUAUGUCAGGAGGCGAUCUCUUGAAUUGUUUCAUUAAGCUUCUUCCGAGUGAUAUACUUUCUUUUUAAUUGGUUGUUUGUUUAUUUGAAAGGAUUCUAAUUGAUAUUGGGAACACAAUUUUUUUGCUUUUUCUUACUGGAAAAUAUGUUUGGGAUUUACAGACCGACAUCAGUUCACUGGAACCAGUGAAGCCGGCUGACCCUCACGUGAUCCAGAUCGGAAAAUUUGUAGAGCAACAACAUCACCACGGCAAGCUGCUUUCUGUCGCCGUGGUUGGCGGAUUCACGUGGAGCGGUGAUGGAGGCAAUUACUACGCACUUAUCAUUGAAAAUCAGGAUAGUGACGGUGCCACAUGUCUGCAUAAGCAUAAAGUACUUGUUCUUGAGACCCCGAGCGAAACAAAACUCAUAUGGCACAAGAAAUAAUCAAGCCCUACUGUUGAUUAGCUGAGGAUCAACGACUUUAAGUACUUAAAUUAUCUAGUGUCUUUGGUGUGGUUUUUCAGUUUAUGGGGAUGAUGUACUGCUGGCAUGCAUGCAUCUCCUCCUGUUGUACUACUAAUCUACUAUGUGAGGUGCACUCGUACCAACAAAAAUGCACCAUUAAAUAAAAAAAGGUGUCUGCGUUUGAGUUUGUAUCCUUGAACUAGUAUGUCAAAGGUGUAUUUAUACGAACAAAAAUGCACCAUUAAAUAAUAAAACAGCUGUCUUUUGUUUGAGUUUGUAUUUGCACAUUUUAUUUCUCUAUUACUUGCAAGCAAUUUCCAAUCCUUGAGUUUUGUAUGUCAAUUAGGUAUUAUAUUCAUGACUAGUUCUGAAGUCUGAUGACUAGUUAAGUCUUAUGAUAAGUGCAUAUUUUACAUAAUUUUCAACGUGUUUUAUUAGUUAGUUUUGGUGUGUUUUAUUUACUUUUAUAGCUAAUUAACUAAGUUUUUAGUGAGAAUAUGCAUGUUGUGGUUUGGCUGGUAAAAAUUGCAUUUCUAUGAAUUUUAAUGGUAAAAACUUCUUAUUUUUAUAGGUUUAAUGAUUCAAACAUCAAAUGGUAUGAACUGAGAAAAUAAUUGAAUGAUUGAUGAUGAUUUAAAGUGAUUUAAAGAUGACAUGAAGUGCAAAAUACUCAAAGGAUGAAAUGCAAGUUUUCUAGCUUUGGCACCUUUUAGUAUUUCGGCUAUAUGUUGAGCUAAAAAUAUCUGAUGGAGGUGAUUCUUGAACCAUGUUAAAUCUAAGAGGUAGAUCAACAUUUGAAAUGAAGACAUCAAAAUCCAGUUUAGUCAUAUUUCUAGUCAAAAAGUCGAAAUAAAGAAAUGCAAUUUCAUUGUCAAAAGCUGAAACAAAGUUUCUAAUUAGUUGAGGGUAUUUUGGUCAUUUAUUGAUUCACAAAGCUCCAAAUUGGAUGAUUCUUGUUGCAUUAGAAAGCUAACUCAAAGGGCUAUAACUUUCAUGUUUCACAUAAGAGUUAGUUCAGCCUCUAUCAUCAAGAAAAUAUCAGUUGACGUUGGAUAAAAAACAGAGCAAGGAUGAAAUCUGUCCAAAAUUGAGCAAACCUACAAAAAACAAUAUGUGGGAUACAAUACUCGACCUAAGGUCGGGUAUUCAUCAUUUUCAGCUGCAACUUGUUCCUUAUUCACACAACUUUCCAACUCAAUUCCAGCAAGGAAUUUUGACUAUAUCUGACCAAGAAGAGUGUGGAAACUUGGAGAACAACUUUUGGUGAGUUCAAAAGCCAAUUUUGCUAACGAAGAAAGAACUCAACUUGAGCUUAAAUUCUCUAUAAAUAGUAGCCUUUGGAGACCAUUUUAAAAAUUUUGGAAGGUUAGAAAAACUCCACAAAAAUGUAGUUUUCACUAGAAUUUUCUUAGUUCAUUAGCUAGGUUAGCAUACUAUAGAAUAGUUUAGGUAGUUAUGUGUGUUAUCCACUAUUGUAUAUUAGCUAGAUUAGAAUAAAAAUGGAGAUGAAGAAGUAGGAGUUGAAACUCAUGUGACGAGGGUUAUCUCUUCUCCAACUCUUUAUCUUUUGUAUCGAAUCCUUAAGUAUGGUUAAUAUACAAGUUUUGGAUUUAUGUUUCAAUAUGUGUGACUAAAGUUUAUGUCUAGAGUUGUGGAUGAACUUUCUAUAUCUUGUUAGUGAUAUUUACUUGGUUAUUUGAUGAUAUUAUUUUGAGUAAGUUAUUUAUCACUUUUGCUUUUCUAAUCAUGAUUAACUAGCCAUUAAUUAUGAUAAUCUUAAGGUGCUAAGUUUGCAAUGAAAAUUGAAAUUUAGCACUAGUUCAAGGAAAUGAUAAACCUAAGAAAUCCACUCACGGGAGUAGAGGUGCACCUUUGUGGCUUUAAUAACUUGUUUUAUGGAAUUUCAUAGAAAAAAUGAACUUGUAGUUAAUUCAUAACCACGAGAGUAGGUAUGCCUUACUUACAAGUAUAGUUGAUUUACUACGAGAGUAGGUUUCGUAUGCAUGAGGAAAUUACGCCAUAACUAGUCAAGAUAAUAAUAUUCACUUAACCGGUAACUUCACUUGCAAGAACAGUAAGAAAUUCCAUUUCUCUAGGAGUUUUCUAUUGUAUUUUUGUUACUUUUAUAGUGUAGAUUUAAUUUCUUGCACUAGUGAUAGUCUAAAUAAUAAAGAAAUUUGAAAACCACCGGUAAUUGAAACUCUUCCCUGUGGGUUUGACCUUUAAUGCCCUAUACUCGCUCUCAACUCAUAUACUUGCGAAAAAGCCCAUGAGGGGUAUUUAGAAUGUUAUAAAUGCAAAAUUUGAUUAUGGAUGAGCUAAUUGUUAUAUGUAUAUCCUACGCUCGUCAAGUUUUUAGCGCCGUUAUUGGGGAAGAUUUUGUCAAUAUCGGUGCUAAGAACAACUUUAUUAAUUUAGAUAUUUUUUCUUAUUUUUCUUGGUUUUGUUGUGUUUAGUGUCUUAUUGAGUCUUUUAUUUUGUGUUUAGUAUCUUAUUUUUAUAUGUGUCGAGUCAUCUAUUCUUUUUAACUGAACUUGUUUUUAAGUUACUUUUAAAGCAUGUUUAGGGAUUCAAGGAGAGUAGGAAAUAUGAGCAAACAAUGUGUGAGAAGUGGAAGAUCAGCAAUGGAUGGUUAUUACAUCCAAAGCUCCAUGGAUAGAGGUAAUCAAAAAAUUACCUCUUGUUCAUGGUUUAACCAGUCAAACCGGUCAAUCUGGCUCGAUUUAAAAACAAUGCAUGAUAGCCUUCUUUUAUGUCUCUGGUAAGAUGUCAACAUCCUUUAAUUUUGGCUUGAGAAAAAUUAAUGUAGUUACUGCUUGUUUACCCAAAAGCCAAAUCAAGUCACAAUACACCGGGAAGACAGUAUUUUAUCCCGUCUAAAAAAUGCCAAUUAUUAAUGCCAAGGUAAAUUUAUCAGGAAGAAACCAACAAAUACAUAGUGCUAUAGAUUAAACACUGGUUUCCUAAACUAUAAAUAGAAUGCUAAUGGAUUGAUUCAUAAAACAAUCACUUUCUAGUUCAACGUGUCAAUGAUGAAAGGCGCAUUAGUCAUAUUUCUUACCCUUAUAAGCCUAGUUUCAUUUGUAAAAUGUUACAAGGGAGAAAAAUACGAGACUCUUCGAAAAUUCCUCCACGCUGAGAGCUUAAACAGAUCAAACAAUUACAUAACUGAUGAGGAUUCAGCUCAUCAGUAUUCGCCAGUUUAUAUUGGUCCUCAAGAGGGGUUUAAAGCAGCCAACAAAAUCAUCGCAUUGCCAGGGGAAGCAAAAGGAGUAAAGUUUGAUCAAUAUUCAGGGUAUGUCACUGUUGAUCCUACGGCUGGUCGAGCUCUCUUUUACUAUUUUUCCGAGUCCGAAAAUCCUUCUAGCAAGCCUCUUGUGCUGUGGUUAAACCAAGGUAUAUGUCCUAAUUAUUUUCCCUAACCUAUUAAGCAUUCUGGAUGUGCGUAACUUGGAAAAAAUCUCUUAAAUGGGUGAUGGCAGGGCGUGGCUGCUCUUCUCUGGGUGUUGGAGCGAUGAGUGGACAAGGUCCAUUUCGAGUUAGUAAAGAUAACAAAACACUAUGGCACAAUGAAUAUGCCUGGAAUAAAGGUACAAGCGAAUCCAUACAAUUUUAUAACACUUAAAUUCUUUUGCAAGGAUUUGAAUGAGCUCUCGAGAUUUAUCAUGUUUGAAUGCAGUGGCAAACAUACUUUACUUGGAAUCACCGGCAGGUGCUGGAUUUUCUUACUUAAACACGUCAUCUAAUUACACUAUUGGAGAUAAACAAACGGCAAAAGAUUCUUACACAUCCUAAUAAAUUGGUUGGAAAGAUUCGCUGACUACAAAAGCAGAGACUUUUACAUAGCUGAAGAAGCUUAUGCUGGCUUUUUCGUACCUGAACUUGCUCAGCUUAUCCCCCAUAACAACAAAAUAACUAACCAAACGGUGAUUAACUUGAAAGGAAUUGCAGUAAUUUUUGUUUCUUUUUUGUUUUUCCUUUAUUGGUUACAUUAUAUGUUGCUGUUCAAACAUCAAUAUGUUUUACAUCUAAUGAUGAUGCUGUCUUGUUAUUUUCAGAUGGGAAAUUCUAUUGUGGAUACAGAAACACAAAGCAAGGGACUAUAUGAUUUUUUGUGGUCACAUAGCCUAAUAUCUGAUGAGAUAUAUCACGGUUUAGUUUCAAAUUGCACUUGUAAUAAGUACGCCGAACAAGCGGUGAAGGCAAUAGGAAACAUCAAUCGCUACAGCAUAUAUGCUCCAGUGUGCUCUUCUACUUCCAAUGCUCCUUGGGUACAAUUCUACUCUUCAUAUAUGAUAUGUUACCUUUCUAUUCUCAUCUGAAUGAAAAGCCAAAUUACUUACAGUAAUUUGCAAUGUUUCCGUUGAUUGAAACAGAUAUACGGUGAAGAUCCACGCGCGGAUGAUUAUGCGUUAUCCCACCUAAACAAUCCUGAAGUGCAAAAGUCGCUUCAUGCGAAUGCAACUGGAAUUGGACUUAUGGGUUACUGCAGGUACGUAUGCUAUCGUGCCAUUGCUAUUACAUUAUUUCACAUCAACAUUUGAAGUUAUUUUUUGUGACCGUACAUAACUAUCAUCGUUCUAUGGCUUGGACAUCCGUAUAAAGCAGAUUCAUUAAUUGGACCGAUAGUCCAGCUACAGUUUUACCUACCAUUAGGGAGCUAAUGGCAGGUGGCAUUAACGUAUGGAUGUAUAGGUAACUAAGUGAUGAAUUUGUGGCUGUGGAAAAGCUAGCAUUUAAUUACGGCAAUCUGCCUUUGUCCGUCUAUUGUGUUAACUAAGACAUUGCAACAAUUUUGAUGAAUUCCAGUGGAGAUACAAAUAGCUUUAUACCCGUGACGGCAACUAGGUAUGCCAUAAAGAAGCUAGGGAUAGCCAUGAAUGCCCCUUGGCAACCCUGGUACUCCCAAGGCGAGGUAAGACAAAAGUGAGGUUCAAAUAUAUUGUAUUUAUUCAAGUCAUUCACUACCUCGUGAUACUAGUAUUAAUUGAAUCUGUUCUAAAUUGAAAAUGAUUAGGUUGCAGGAUAUGUGGUGGAAUAUGAGAACUUAACAUUUGUGACUCUUAAAGGAGCUGGAUUGUUCGCCCCCAGCUAGAAGCCUGCCCGCUCACUCGCUAUGUUCUCAUCAUUCUUGGAAGGAAAGCUUCCUUCAUCAAGCUAGGACGAGAUGAAAGGGCCAAAGAGGAAAGGAGUUUGAUUAGUGCCAUGGAGCAAAUUGUUCAUGAUUGUUCAGCUCAUUUGGUUUGUUGUUUCACUCAUGGUUCAACUUUGUUAAACCAAAAUAGGUUUCUGUACGUUGCUUCAAGUUUAUAAUUAUGGAGGGCCUCUGCAAGUUUUAUGUUUUAAUAAAGAACUCUGAAAUUGUCUUAAGAUCAAUUUGUGGCUUGGUCACCAUACAACUACCCUUCACUUGGAAGUUAACCAUAAAUUAAUUUAAUUCAUACCCCAAGUCUGCUCUUAUUUCAGAAGCAUAGAUGUACGUGAAAGCAAAUAUUGGGUGAACCACAGGAGAAACUGUGAAUUUCUAAUUGGAAGAUUGAAGUCAUUGGCACAUUAAAUUUCUCAUUAGAAAUUUCUGAGAGGAGUUUUGGUUUGGCUUCAAAUCAAAAGAGCAAGUCAUGGGCCUUUGGGCCAUUAAGCAUUUAGUGAUAUUUAGACUCUUUUGCGUUUUCAGUUUUAGGUGCCUUUUAGAGCUGAAAAUUAUUUUCUAGAGUUUUGUACUCUCUCUCUUGUACUCUCUUUUCGUUAUAGUAAAUCUACAACCCCUUCGCCCGUGGAUGUAGAUCAAUUGGACUGAACCACAUAAAUUUCUGUGUUUCUCUAUUUAAUUUAUUUGUUUUAUUAUUGUCAUUAUUGAGUUGGCAAGAACUCAAUUAUUCUCGUUGGUCAAUUUCCUGGGACCAGACCUAACAAACUGGUAUCAGAGUUUCAGGUUCCAGAUUCAACUUUCGGUUUUAGGUCAGGUUAGAUUUUGGAUUCUUGAUGACAACAAUAAGUUUUUGGGGGCUACAGAGAGUGAAGAGAAAAAAAAUUUCGUUGGAGUCCAGUUGGGUUUUGAAAAUAAGUUAGUUGGCCUAUUAGAACUCGUUAAGGGUUUUGAGAAAAUGGUGGAGCAAGAUUACUAUGUUGGUAGUUUUUAACCCGUUGGAAUUUGUUGAACCUUUUGUGAGAUUUGACCUGUUGGGACCUGUUGAACCUUUUGCAUCUUGGUUCGUUGGUGGCUCGUUGUGGUUUAUUGAGAUCCGUUAGAACUUUUAUAGAGAAAGUGGAGCUUGUUUGCUGUUCAUCGGUUAUUUAUCGAUGUUGGAUACACGCCAAGGUGGAGAUUUGUUAAGUGCGUCUUUGUAUCCCACAUUGGAAGUUUAACAAAGAAAUCUCUCCUUAUGGUAGUUAUAAAUAUAAUGGACUUAUGUGAGUUUAAUUGUGCUCAGGGCACUAGUCCAAGUGCUAUAUGCACCAGUCCAAGAAAGUUUUGGGAGCCCACACUCCAGUCUGAGAGGAGUUUUAGUUUGGCAUCAAACCAAAAAAGCAAGUCAUCGGCCUUUGGGCCUGACGUGCGUAGAGUAUACAUAUAACAAUUAACUCAUCCACAAUCAAGUUUUACAUUUAUAAAUCCUAAAUACCCCACACGUGAUUUAUAGUAAGUAUACGAACCGAGAGCGAGUAUAAGGUAAUAAGGGUCGAUCCCGCAGGAAAGAUUUUCAAUUAUUGGUAUUUUUCAAACUCCUUUGUUAUUUAGACUACCAUAAACAUAAAAGUAAUGAAGAUUAGCACUAGAAAGCUCCUAGAGAUAUGGAAUUUCUUAAUCCUCUUGCAAAUGACAUUACCGGUUACUUGUAUGUUAUUAUCUUGGCUAGUUGUGGCGUAAUUUCCUAAUAUAUGUGAAACCUACUCUUGUAGUGAAUCAACUAUACUUGUAACUAAACCAUACCUACUCUUGUGAUUAUGAAAUUAAAUACAAAUUCAUUUCUUCUAUGAAAUUACAUGAAACAAGUCACUUAAGCCUCAAAGCUGCACAUCUACUCUCGUGAGUGAAUUCCUUAGAUUUAUCAUUUCCUUGAACUAAUGUUAAAUUCUAAUUCUCAUUGCAAACUUAACCCCUUUAGAUAAUCACAACUAAUGGUGGGUUAGUCAUGAUUAGAUAAACAAAAGUAAUAAAUAACUUGUUCAAAAUAAUAUCAUCAAAUAAUGACAGGUUGUUGAGCAUGUGCAAUAAUAAUAAUAAAACCUAACUACCACCAAAAGCAGUCAAUAUCAAUUCUAGGUACUGGAGCAGGGACUCUAGGUAUGCAAUAAGUUACUUGAUUCACCCUGUUCCCGAAAAUUUGCUUAAUCCAAUAUAUCAUAAUUAAUUAGCUGAUAGAAUUUACUGACUAGUGGAUAGUGGCAAGUAGGGUCGUCUCAUCAGGGACUGGAGAAAAGUUCGUUUCCUUUCGAAUCAAGACAAAUAGGGGGUUUUAGAAUUAAAUGCUAACUAAAUAAAUUAAAUGCGAAAAAUAACUAAUUGACAGAAAUAAUUAGGAAAACUUUAGCCAAGGGUACACUUCAGAAAUGGUUCAUGCAACUGAUCAUCGAUGCAAAUAUAAUUCCAACAGUUGUCGAUAGAUUGGUUAUAGUUGUCAUACACACGAUAAACAACCAGCAUUUCCUUAAUUUUUCGAUAGUUAAGGUACGGCCGUUAACUAUUUCUCUAAUCCGAAAACAACCUUAGGUACGAUCAUAGGAUUUAAUUUCUGGUUUGAAUUAAGAUUUAGAAAAGCCCAAUCCUAACUAACAAACACGCUACGAUGGUUUGUUUAAAUUAUAUCGUAUGUUUUCCUGACAUAAACCCAAUUAUGCCAGUUGCAACCGGAAUAGAGAUAAUCGAACAAUUACCGAUUCAACUACCCCCAAUUAGCAAAAUAGAUUAUGUGAAUAAUUAAAUAUUGUGCACUAUUCAAUCAUACACAAUAGCUAUAACAAUUAAAAGCAGAAAACAUAUAAAUACCAAUAAAUGAAGGAAACACUUGAAAUAGUUUAGAUCUCAGAGUAAAUGUCGAACCAAAUCUUCAGUUGUCCCUUGAUUAGAAUUAAGAAGUUAAUUCUCCAUUUAUGGAGAACCAGCCGUGCGAAAAUAAUUGAGAAGAGCUUUUCAAUUGUGUCUCCCAAAGGUCGGCCACAAGGGUAAAAUAAAAAGAUAGGAAUUGUUGCUUCCCUUUUCUGUCUCUAGCCUCUCAAAGGAGAGCUAAUGUCUACCGAAUAAUAAUCCAUAUUUUUUCUCCUAAUUGGUUGGUAUCUUGAUACCAAUCAACUUCCUAAAAAGAUUCCUAUCACAAUUUAAUUUCCUAAAAACUCUCCCAAUCACUUAAGGGUGAUCUCGUAAAAUCAGGAAGGUCCUGAUAGCUAUCAAAUUAGGAAAUUGAUUCAGAUUUGGAGAUUGUUCAAUAUCAAUCCCGACUUUCUGGUUUUGAGCAGUGAACUUAGGCGCGCCUAUGUGCAACCAUUAGAUAUUUUUCACUAGAAAAUCUUUAUUGAAGCACUUUUCAUUCCCGCUCAUGAAAUAAGUACAAAAUACCAAAUAUAAGUAGAAUCUAUCAACUAACGCAAUAUUUGGUAAACUAAAAGAGAGAAAUAACCAUAAAAUUAAUGACAAAAAUGCAACAUAUCAAAUAACCAAGUAAACUUCACUAACAAAAUAUAGCAAGUUCAUCCAUAACUCUAGCCAUAAACUUUAGCAAAACAUGAAGAAAAACAAAGCCAAAUUUGUAUUAUAGUUAAACAUGAACUCAAAUACAAAAGAGAACGUGAAAGGAGAGAAGUCACCCUUGUCAUAUGAGCUCUAACUCUUCAUCUUUGCUCUUCAAAUCUUCAUCCAAAUCUAACUACAAAUACAAGGAAAAGCUACACUAACUACUCUAUACUACCUUAAUUAAUAAACUAAGGAAACUCUAGUGAAAGCUACAUUUUUGGUGAGUUUCUCUGGCCUUCCAAAGUUAUGAAAAUGUUCUCCAAAGGCCUCUAUUUAUAAAGGAUUCAAGAGUGAAAUGAGUUGUUUCUAGUUAUUAUUUUUUACUCUUGAAACUCUCAUGAGUUGUAUUUCCAACUUUUUAACCUUUUCUUGAUCAAAUAUAACUGGAAUUGAUAGCUAGAAUUGAGUUGGAAAAGUUGUGUGAAAGUAAGGCAAGUGUAUGAGCAAGUUAUAGAAAUCAGGUGAGAAUACGCGACUUCAAGCCACGUAUUCAUGAAAUCGCGUUUUUACUUUUAUGCAUUUGGCACCACUUCAACUGCUAUUUUCUUAAUGAUGAAGGCUGAACUAGCUCUUGUGAAAAACACAAAAUUUAUAACCCAUUGCACUAGCUUUCCAAUGUCUCAAGAAUCAUCCAAUUUGGAGCUUUGUAGACUGAGAUAUGACUUAAAUACCAUCAACUGGUUAGAGCUCUGUUUUAGCUUUCGACCACAGAGUUGCAUUUCUGUAUUUCAACAUUUUGACAAUCAAAACGACUGAACUGGACUUCGAUGUCUCCUACCAAAUGUAGAUAUAUCUCUUAUCUUCAAAAUAAUUUAAGAAUCACCUCAAUCUAGUCAUUGUAGCUCAAGAUAUUUUCGAAAUACCACAAUAUAUCAAAGCUGUGAAACUUCCUUUUAUUCUUGAUUGCAUUUCUUCUUUUGCACUUCAUGCCUUCUUUAAACAAUUAAAGUCAUCAAUAAUCAUCUAAUUAUCUUUUCAAUUCAUGUCAUUUGAUGAUUGAAUCAUUAAACCUACAAAAACAUGAAAUUUUCAUUAUAAAAAUCCAUAGAAAUGCAAUUUUUACCAAUUAAAACCAUAAAAUGCAUAUUUUCACUAGAAACUUAAUUAAUUAGCUAUAAAAGUAGUUAAAACACACCAAAACUAACUAAUAAAACACUCUUGAAACACGCAAAAUAUAUACUUAUCAGGGCCAUUAAACAUUUACUGCUAUUUAGUCACUUUUGUGUUUUCGGUUUUAGGUGCCUUUUGGACCUGGAAAUUAUUUUCUAGGGUUUUGUACUCUUUUUCUGUUAUAGUAAAUCUGGUACCCCUUGGUCCGUGGAUGUAGGUCAAUUGGACCGAGCCACUUAAAUUUCUGUGUUUCUCUGUUUAAUUUAUUUGCUUUAUUAUUGUCAUUAUUGAGUUGACAAGAACUCUAUUAUUCUCGUUGGUCAAUUUCCCGCAACCAGACCUAACAGCUUUAGUGAGUUUUUUCCUUUAUUAUUUAUAGGGUAAAUUGCAUUUUACCCCUGUGGUUUACCCUUUUUUUCACUUAACCCCCCUAUGGUUUCAAAAGCUAUACAUAACCCACUCAUGGUUUAGAUUAAAGUGUUAAAGUAACGGAAAUAGUCACUCAUAACGGAACUUCUAAAAAUGUCGAAAUUAUCCUUAUAAAUACAUGAUACAUUAACCCCGUAUGAUUUUUAUAUUUUACCAUAUAACCCCCUUAUGGUUUAAUACUUUACCAUAUAACCCCCUUAUGAUUUUCAAAAUAUACACAUAACCCCCCUUGGUUAAUACAUAAAUUUCAACUUUAUAUAAGGGUAAUUUUGACAUUUUACGUGACGCUAUUAUGAAUGAUCAUUCCCAUCACUUUGACACUUUAAUCCAAACCACAAGGGGGUUAUAUAUAGUUUUUGAAACCAUAAGAGAGUUAUGUAAAAAAACGCUAAACUACAGGGGGGUAAAGUGGAAUUUGCCCUUAUUUAUAUUAAUGGUUUCUAUUAAUGGUGGAAUGUAAAAUGAUCCAUAGUGCUAUUGCAAUUAUUAAAAAAAAAUUAAUGCAUUUAAGGUAAUGGCAGUUGUUAUAGCUAUAUACCAAUUUGAAGAGCUGUAGCUUUGUAGUGUUGGUAGAACUGUACGUUUUGUUUAAAAACGGAGAUUGAAGAUCGAGUAUGUGAAUAUUUAAUUUAUAGGCCAAGCUAAUUAAUAUUUAAUUGGAGGAUUGACCUAAUCACCAACGUGUAAAAACGUGUUCCACAUUGGUCCUUGUCAAAUUUUCAUACGUAUUAAAAUAAUUAUAAGAUGGCGCAAAAUUCAAGUUCAUCAUAGUAGCAGCUCCGACCAUGACACUGGAUAACACCAUAUGCACUGUAUGAUUUAAUACUUAGAUUUCUGAAUUACUUCUAUAAGAUUACCUGAUCUUCCAUGUAUUUAUGACUAUACUAAACUGCAACCAUGACCAUGUCACAAUAGUCUUGCCUCUUCCGUAACUUUUGAGUAUCAAUAAAACUGAUAUUUGCAUAAAAUAUUGGAUUAAAAGCAGAAUAACAUAUUUUUGCUUCUUUUUAAGAAUACGGAUAAGGCUGUGUUUUAAGUGAUGACUCAACUCAAAUGCACCUUCUUGAAUUGCACUUAAUGAGUUUAUAAAUAUAUGCAAUAACAAUAAUUGCACUCCUUGCAUUUUGAUAUGUUCGAUAAUUAACUAUACAUUUCUAAAAAAAGACUAACACCUAGUUAUAUUUUUCUAAAAAAAUAACACCUAGCCAAACUGAAAUUUUAACAUUAGAAAAAUGUAUUAUUAAACUGAAAUUUUAACAUUAAAAAAAUGUAUAUUGAAUAGAAAAAAUAACUAUAAGGUGUGAGACGUAAUUUGGUGAAAGGACAAAUUUCAUUUCAAUGUUGUGUCACUAGAAUCUAACUUUUGACCUAAAGUUCUUUUUUUUUCCCCUUGGAACAUAUUUAAUUGAUUAAUAUGUUCUCCUUAUUAUAUAACCUAGGAUAAUCUUUGUUUGAAAGAUAUUUUUUUUUGUGAAAACCAAUUUGAUAUAUAUUGAAAGAUGGUUUCAAUAAAAAAAGUUGCACCAUUAUUAGUUUUCAAAAUUAGAAAACUUAAAGAAACUCAUUAGUCCAAGGGUAAACUCCAAACCAUAUAAGGUAUAGACUUGAGGGUCAAACCAUAAAUCUCACAAUUACUGUCUAACAUCUUUCUCUUUUUAACGGUUUCUCUUUUAAUGCUUGUAGUAUCAUGUACCUGUUUGCCCAACUUGGACAAAACUCCUGAUUCUGUCCCGGCCUACAUCCACUUGGACUAGACAAUUAUUAAGUUUCUGCCAGGAACUCAAGCUCAAUGGCUUGAAUCUGAGUUGCUGGUUAGAGUUGAAUGUGGGAACGAAUUGGGGAAAAGAAGAAAGGAAAUCAGAGGGAGUGAGAAGGGAAGAAGAGAAUCAGAGAAAAAUGAGAUGAAAUUUGUUAUUACUCAAAGACUGUAUUCUUCACAUGUAUGGGCCCCUUUUAUAACCAAUUCUAACAACCUGCAAUUUGCUAAUUAACCAACUAACUAACUACUAACCCAAACGACAUCGUAUGGCUUCAAUUGAUUUAUGCCCAAUUUGAGCAUUUAUUACAACUAAUUCAUGUCCUAACAAUUCCCUCCGCUUAAGAUCAGACUUAUCCUCAAGUCUGGAACGUGGGAAACUGGUGUUCAAUAAAAGACUUGUCCUCCCAGGAAGCUUCUUCAUAGUCCAGUUGAUCCCACUUGAUCAAGAAUUGUACAACAGGCUGCCCUCCUCACAAAAUGACCCUCCUCUUCAAGAUGAUUUCUGGUUGGAGAGGACAUUGAUCUUGAGUGUCUAAUUCUGGCAGCUUGGUUGAACUGUUCUGUAGUGGCCCCAACUUCUUCUUGAGCAAGGACACAUGGAACACAGGGUGCAAUUUGGUGCCUGCAGGCAACUUCAACUUGUAGGCUACUGAGCCAAUCUUCUCCUCUACCUGGAAGGGACCAAGAUACUUGGCAGACAACUUGAGGCACUUCCUGACUGCAAUAGUUUGUUGUCGGUAUGGCUGCAGCUUCAGAAACACCCAAUAGCCCACAGUAAACUCCCUUUCAAUCCUGUGUUGAUCAAUAAAAUACUUCAUUAUUUGCUGAGUUUUGACUAAGUUAUCCUUGAUGCAGUUGGCAAUCCUGUUCCUCUCUUGGAUCAUGUCAGAAGCUGCAGGUACCACUGAUUCCAAGUAAGGACCUAGAGGUAAGGGUACUGGUUUGUAUCCAAACAAUGCCUCAAAUGGAGUCAUUUUAAGACUGGAAUGGUAAGUAGAGUUGUACCAGCACUCAGCCAUUGCCAACCACUUGCUCCACUGGGAAGGCAUUUCCCCAGUCAUGCACCUUAGAUAAUUUUCCACACACUGGUUCAGUCAUUCACUUUGUCCAUCAGAUUGGGGAUGAUAAGAUGAUGAAUAAUGUAGUUCUGUACCCAUCACCUUGAAUAACUCCCUCCAAAAGCCACUAGUAAAGAUCCUAUCUCUGUCAGUAAUGAUGGAUUCUGGUAGACCAUGCAGUCUGUAUAUGUUGUCCAUGAAACUUUGAGCUACUAUCUUAGCUGUGAAGGGAUGAGUGAGCAUAAUAAAGUGGCCAAACUUCGUGAACCUAUCAAUGACUACCAAGAUGGUAUCAUAACCCUGUGACUUGGGCAAUUUCUCAAUAAAAUCCAUAGAUAUAUGAGACCAAGCUUCUUUAGGAAUGGUGAUUGGUUGCAGCAGUCCAGGGUAGGGAACAUGUUUAGAUUUAUUCCUCUGGCAUACGUCACAGUUCUGUAUGAAUGCCACCACCUCUUCCUUCAUUCCUGGCCAGUAGAACAAACUCUUUACCUUCUGCCAACAAUUUCUCUGACUUGAAUGUCCCCCUAAGGCUGAAGCAUGUAGGACCUGAAUGACCUGUCUUCUAAUGUCACUGGAAUUUCCAAUAUAGAUCUUGCCUCGAUAUCUAAGUACUCCGUCAACCCAAGUGUAGUCAGAGUGCGAGGUGGAAUCCAGUGAUAACUGAGCUAUGAUAUCCUGACACUAGUUAUCAGUCUCAUAGCUCUUCUGCAGUUUUUCAAUCCAUCCAGGUCUAACAGUAGUGAUGGCGAGGCAGGAAUGAAGGGGAAAGCUGUAGUCAUGAUCAGGUCUCCUUGAUAGUGCAUCUGCUACUUGGUUCUCAAUACCUUUCUUGUACUGUAUCUCAUAAUCUAAUCCCAUCAACUUGGUCAUCCAUUUGUGCUGAAGUGCAGUGUUCAGCUUCUGAUCUAGUAGGUACUUCAAGGACUGGUGGUCAGUCCUGAUAAUGAAGUGAUUGCCAACCAAGUAAUGCCUCCACUCGGUAACUGUCAUUGCCAAGGCAAGUAACUCCUUCUCAUAGACUGAUAGGCCUAGGUUACGUGUUGACAGUGCCUUGCUUAGGAAGGCUAUGGAGUGUCCUUCCUGCAUCAAGACUGCCCCAAUGCCCCCUCCACUGGCAUCUAUUUCUAUCACAAAAGGCUGCUUGAAGUCUGGCAACUUAAGAAUAGGAGCUGAGCACGUGAGCUCCUUAAGCAGAUCAAAUGCAGUUUGUGCUUGGGGGUUCCACUUAAAAUUAUCCUUUCUAAGAAGCUCAGUCAGUGGUUUGCAUACCAGUCCAUAUUGUUUAAUAAACCUUCUAUAAUAGCCAGUAAUUCCCAAAAACCCUCUCAAUUCCUUGACAGAUCUUGGUACUGGCCAUUGUGAGAUGCUCUGGACCUUUGAAUUAUCCAUACUGACCCCUUUAUCAGUAAUAGCGUGUCCCAAGUAGUCAACUUGUUUCUGAGCAAAUGCACACUUGGAUUUCUUCACAUAUAGUUGAUAUUCUCUCAGAAGUUCUAGCACAAUUCUUAGAUGACGAACAUGAUCUUCCAGUGUGGCACUGUAGACCAGGAUAUCAUCAAAGAAUACUAAGACAAACUUCCUCAAGUAAGGUUGGAACACCUGAUUCAUUAGUGAUUGAAAAGUUGCAGGGGCGUUGGUGAGGCCAAAAGGCAUUACCAAGAACUCAAAAUGACCACAAUGAGUUUGGAAUGUUGUUUUAAAGCUGUCCUGCGGCUUCACUCUGAUUUGGUGAUACCCUGCAGUCAAAUCCAACUUGGUUUUAAACACAGCUCCUGCUAACUCAUCCAACAAUUCAUCUACAUUAGGUAUUGGAAAUCUGUCAGUGAUCUCAUUCAGUUUUCGGUAGUCCACACAAAAUCUCCAGGUGGCUUCCUUCUUCUUGACCAGCAGCACUGGGGAGGCAAAAGGACUGUUACUAUGCUUAACAAUGCCUUUUUGCAACAUUUCAGCAACCUACCUCUCUAUCUCCUCCUUGUGGCAAUAAGGAUACCUGUAAGGCUUCAGUUUGAAGGGCUGAGCCUCUGGUUUAAGAGGUAUCUCAUGAUCCACGCUCCUACUUGGAGGCAGUGAGUUAGGGGUCUGGAAUACAUCCUCAUACUCUUGUAGCAGAGCCUCUACCUCCUGAGGUGUAGGCUCUAAUUCCCCCUCUCUGUCCUUGUCCUGUUUGCCACUCAUAGCCAUACACAUCUGCCUCUUGUACUCUAUAAAUGUUCUUAAGGUUUUGCCUCUGAUCAAGUCCAUAUCAUAGUUAUCUGCUUGGCCAUGUAAGUGGAUUUCACCUUCCUCAUGGUGCAGAGAUAUCCUGAGCUGUUGGAAGUCAAAUGUGAUGGGACUAAAGUGUGUCAUCCAGUCCACUCCCAGGAUUAUGUCCCAACCUCCAAGUUCCAUCACUUUGAGGUCAUACCUAAAGUUGUGUUGGUUAAUCCUCCAGUUCACCCCCUUGCAUAUAGCAUUGCUGGUGACACUGGAUCCAUUUCCCAUGAUGACAGAAAAAGAUUGAUCCACCCACUGUUAGUUUAUGUCCAUUCCAAUUACUAGCUCACUACUAAUAUAGCUGUCUGAGCUCCCAGUGUCCACCAAUAUCAGUACUUCCUCUCCAUCCAGGACGCCUAUGAGUGUAAUAGUUGUCCUUUUUAGAGCCUCAGAUAAGGCAUGCAGUGACAUCUCCAUGGUCUGUCCAGGAUUCCCAGUUUGCUCAUCUUGUUCUCCAAGUGCAUCCUCAAAUGCAGCAUCCUCUUCUUCUUCUAGUAUCAUGCAAUUUGAGUACCCACUUUGCACUAAUGUCCUACCCCAUACUUCUCUCCACAUCUGAAACACAAACCAUUACUCCUCCUAUGCUGUAACUCCUGAGCAGAUAUCCUUUUUGGCUCUCUGGUGUCCCCUGGUGAACUCCUGAACUUCGAGUGCUUAAAAUUAUUAAUGGCAGGGACAUUAUAAGAAUUUGCUCCCACAAAAGUAGCAGUACUCCUGGUUAUGCCAAAUUUGUUUUCUCCCAAUGACCUGGUGUUCUCGUUAGGUCCUUUGCUCUGGAUUCUUAUGGCUUGUUCUUGCCAUUGAGACAGCUCAAGAGCUUCAGCCAGUGUAGUAGGCUUCAACAUUCUGACCACAGGCUUAAUUUCCUCCUUAAGUCCACUUAUAAAACUAGAAAUGAAAUAGUUUUCAUCUAGUUUUCAUCUAGGUUUCUAUUUUUUUAUCAUUAUCAGAGGUUUCAAUUCCUCAAAUCUCUCCUGAUAGUCAUCAAUACUACCUACUUGCUGUAGUUUAUUGAAUUCCUCCACUAUAUCCUUACACGUCCUAUCAUUAAACCGCCUACAUAACAGAUCUUCAAAUUCCUCCCAAUCUAGUCUAGGCUUCUCAAUUUUUACACCUUGAAACCAUUUGUCAGCUUUGUCUUCCAAAUACACUUCAAUGAUUUCAACUUUAUGCUCGUUUGGAACUUGAUAGUUCAAGAAGUAUUUAUUACAUUUCCUCAACCAAUCCCUAGGAUGUUCUCCAGAAAAUAACUGUAAGUCAAUUUUAGGAGGAUUUGGAAUCUGAAACUUACUCCAGUCUUUCCUGAGGAGUUUUUGAGCUUCGCCUUCUGUUUGUAUCCUGUAGUGAGCUGGUGGAGUUGGUAAAAGUGGCGUAGGAUCUACUGGCACUCUUCCAUCCCCUUCGGUGGUUUUCUCCUUCAUAGGAGUCCUUAGCAGAAGAUUGGUCAGCUUUUGCUUCAAAAUUUUGUGAAAAUUCUGCUCCAUUCCUGUUAAUAGGCUUUCCAUCCGUUUGCUACUCUCUUCCAGUUCUUGUUUCAGAUCCUUCUUAAUUUGCUGCUGCUCCGACUGUGAUACAUGGAGAGAUUCUACCAACUCCUGCAACUUGAUUUCUUGUUUCCUUACUUGCUCCUCCAAUGACCAGAAUCUAGUGCCUUCUGCCAUUGCUAAUGGUAGGUUCCGAGAAUCUUCUAGCUCUUGAUACCAAUUUGUCAGGACCUCAAGCUCAAUGGCUUGAAUCUGAGUUGCUGGUUAGUGUUGAAUGUGGGAACAAAUUGGGGAACAGAAGAAAGGAAAUCAGAGGGAGUGAGAAGGGAAGAAGAGAAUCAAAGAAAAAUGAGAUGAAAUUUGUUAUUACUCAAAGACUGUCUUCUUCACAUGUGUGGGCCCCUUUUAUAACCAAUUCUAACAACAUGCAAUUUGCUAAUUAACCGACUAACUAACUACUAACCCAAACGACAUCGUAUGACUUCAAUUGAUUUAUGCCCAAUUCGAGCAUUUAUUACAACUAAUUCAUGUCCUAACAGUUUCCAGUUCAACCAAUCAAACCGGUUGAUUCAUUUCAAGUUUAAAUCGCUUAUCUCUAUAUGGUUUUUUUUUUUUUUGUUGGUAGGCUCAUUACUUUUUAUUGAUCAUCAACGAAGCACUCUCAAGAGAUGUUGACAGCCUAUGCACGACUAUAACAAAAGCAAACACAACCUAUACAUAAAAAAUAGUAACUGGCAGAUCCAAAGCAAAGCAAAAAUCUCUGUUGUUUUGAGUCCCCGCAAUAUUCUCCCAAUCAGAAGCGAAUAAGCGAAGAGGAAAUGAAUUGCAGAGCAAGUUUGGGAGAAGAAGAGGAGAAAGUGGAUAAGAAAAUAAACGGCAUGAGAAGGAAAAGGGACUUUGCGCAAGAGAUUAGGGACACUCUGUGAUAUGUUUUGCUCAUAAACCGAUCCAUUUUUUUCAUUUUCAAAAUUUUCCCCAUUUUGUGCAGAACCGCCAUAUUGCUGUUUUAUCUUUUCCAAAUUAUGAUUGAUUAAUAAAUUAUGGAAAAAUGAUCAAUCACGUCUAUAAAAUAUUUUGUUAGUGUCGAUUUAAUCCCUAACCUUUAUUUAUGGCCAAUUUGGCACUUAAAUUUAUUUUGUAUUUUCAAAUCACUACCUAAAUUCAAUUUGGCUCCUAAUUUAUUAACUAAAUAGGGGUAUUAAGACAAUGUCACUCACAAGACUAUAAUACAACAAGUAAAUCAUAAAAGAGAUCACCAGAUAACUCUUUCAAAUCGUGUAAAAAAUCACUAGAUAAAACUUUUUAAAAGUUUACUCUUGUGAUUUUUACACGAUUACUAUCCCGUGAGUGAUAUUCCAAAAUUACCCAUGUUUAGUUGGUUAAUUAGGAGCCAAAUCGAUUUUAGGUGGUGACACUAUCACGAAGGUCCUUAAUUGAACUGCAAAAUAAUUUUACAUAUCAAAUUGGUUAGGAAUAAAAGUUAAGGACUAAAUUGGUGCAAACAAAAAUUUUAAGGGACAAAAUUGACCAUUUUCCCACAAAAAUUAUUUGAAAGUUUCAUAUUUUGUUCUCCAACAUCCAUUAAUUGAACUAAAUAAUUUACUUUAUAGCCGAAAUAUUAUGGCUUUACACUAUUAUUUUAGGGUUAUUAUCACUUUACCCUUUAACGUUUGGUGUUACUAUCAAUUUUCUUCUUAACAUUACAUUUUAGUCAUUUUACCUCCAAAACUAACGGUCAAAUUUAAUGGAGCUUAUUAAUCUAAAAGAUAAGACAUGUUUUAAAAUUAUUAUCACUUUACCCACAUAAACUACAACUUUAUUAUUAUUCACCCACCAGAGUUAUUUGUUAGGCAAUUUAUCCCACCAUUAAACCAACUAAGGAAGUUAAAAAGCUUUAGAAGAUAGUACCCUCCUUUUUAUAUAGUAAAAACAAUAAAAAAUUUAGAGCGACUCUUCUCCUUUUUAGUAUCAAAAAAAGUCAAAACAUUAAUCUCUUUUUUUUUGGUAAUUUUAUUAAUAUUGAAAAAAAAAAGAAAAAUAGGGGAGGGGGGAGAGAGAGAGCCCAAUUCUUUUUUUUAAUACAAAUAAGAAAGAAUUCAAUAUUUUUAUUAUUUUAAAAUUACUUUAUUUAACUGUUUACUACCCAAUUCCAAUCGUAAUCUCGUGGAUAUUAAAGUAAUACGAUAAUAUUAGAUUCUUCCUUAUUUUAUUUCUUUACAAAAUCCAAUUUUAUGUCUCCUUCUUUUCCUAUCUCCUUUUCUUUUUCUGGUAUUAAUAAGUGUAAAAAAAUAAAUUUAAGAAAAUCCUUUUAUUUUAAUGUUUUUGAAAUCUUAGAGUGAAAAAAGGAAGAAUAAAUAUUCCAAAUUUUUUAUAUUUAAAUAUAUUUAAAAAUUUUUGAACAUGCUUUUUAAAUUAACGAUAGGGUAAACUAUCUAGAAAAUAAUAUUAGAUAGUAAACCGAUUAUAUUACUAUAAUUUUAAGGGAUAAAGUGAUAAGAACAAUGUAGUAAUGCUAUUAAAAAAUGGUAUUUUUGUCAAAAAUUUAUUAGCAUGUAGAGUUGAAUUACUUAUGGGAUGAAGCGACUAAAAGAUAACAUUAGAUGAUAAACUAACUGGAGUGAUAUAGUUUAAGUAGAUAAAGUGAUAAUAACCUCUUUUUUAUAUAAUAUUACAAGUAUUUUUAUUUUUAUUUCUUAAAAACUAAAAAAAAAAAUUGUGGAGCUUACGCCCGUGCCUUAGGAUUUACACCCCGUCCAGGCGGAGAAAAUACACCCCAUAUAAUGAUUUCGCCUUUUAAAACACUGCUCUCGAUCAAAUUUGGAUCAAUGAUUUUAAACACUUUAAUUGUCUAGUGUCUAUAUAUGGUGUGGUUUUCAGUUUAUGCAUGGAUGAUAUACUGCUGGCGUGCAUACAUCUCCCCAACGGAGGUACUAGUAUGUUAAAGGUGCACUUGUACCUACAAAAAUGGUCUAGAAAUGAUAUAUGCGUUAAAAUAAUGGUCUAGAAUUGGAAUAACAUAUUUUUUUAUCUUCCAUAAAAGCUGGAAAUAAGAUGUUUUAUGUGAGCAACGAUCUUGAUCAUAGUUACUUCAACUUUCUUGAUCCUAUGUGCAUUAUUAAAAGAAAAAAUGUUUUAAGUUAUAGAGUUACCAUCUCAACUCACAAAUAUCAUAUCCACUCUAUAUCUUUCUCAACUUCAUUCCUAGUCAUGCAAGUAGAAUUAAUUUGUAAUCCUUGAAACUCCUCAUCUUAUAGCUAAACUAUGGUUAUUUCCACGCGUGAAAGUCUGAAACUGAUCACGUUGACUUUGAAGAAACCUAUUUAAAUGACAAGGAGAAUUUUCAUAAAGCGAUUAAAUAUCACAUAGGCAGUUUUAAGAAGUGAUAUAACAAUCUUUCUAAAAUGGCAUCGUAUAUCAUUUAUCAUCCACCGCAAUGACAUUAGAUGCAUUUCUAAGAACUUUCUUGAAUAAUUAAACUAAUUUAGGUUGAGACUCGAUAUCUAUAAGAGUUGAAUCGAUAAGUUCGUAGAGUGAAUAGAAAAAAACUCUAAACCACAAAAUGUGGUCAUAAAUGGCAAGUAUAUUAUUCCGGGUUUUUAUUCUUUUGGUUCGUAUAGUUCUUUCAAGAUAUAUGUAUCUUUUUAUGUAAUUGUAAAUCGUCUUCUUUUACAUCAACUCACCAAGAGAUACAUCAAAUCCUGAAAGAAAUACAAAAAUAUAAAUUAUUACUUGAUUGGAAUUAGUAGAUUCAAGUCGAAAGUAUUUUUUUACUUUUUAACUCUCCCUCCCCUUUCUAUAACCCUUUCCGCUCACAAUUAUCAGUCUCAAAAUUCAAUUUCUGAACAUGAUAGUAGGGGAAAUCUUAGUCACUUACCAACCCGGCCUGGUAGUAUGAAGCCAAAGGUUUGAAUGAUGAUAAAACAAUAACACACACUGACCUCAUCAAGGACGUGUAAAAACAUGUUGCAUGCUGGUGGGCCAAGAUUUCUGUGAUAAGGUCCGACAUUAUCACAAAUUAAUUUAUGGGAUGCAUUACCACAUUUUUAGGCCUAUAAAUACAAGGAGUCUGGAUCUCACCUAUACCAAGUUUUCGACAGUAACCAGUUACAAAUAUCGAUUUUCAUCCUUAUUAAUUAGCUAGCUAGCUCUUUAAGGGAAAAAUGGCCGCAGCCAAAUCUGCUAUUGGCACUGGAAAGGUGAAUAGUGAUUGUAUGCCUAGCUAGACAUAGAUUUCUUUCUUUUUCAAGUUUGUGUGUGGUUUUGAGAAUAAACUCAUAAACAACUUGUACAGAAACGUUUGGAAGAGUAUAAGGAGUUGCAAAUUACAGUAACAUUAACAUUCUUGAAUUUUCUUAAGCAAUAUUUUGUGUUUCUAGCUGUCUACACGCAUUAAUUGGUCUCAUGAAUUGUCUGAUUAAGCUUCUUCUGAGUGAUACAAUUUCUUAUUAAUUGGUCGGAUUUAUUUUUCUGGUUGUUGUUUAUUUGAAAGGAUUCUAAUUGAUUUUGGGAACUCAAUUGUUUUGGGUUUUGAUACUGAAAAAUAUGUUUGGGGUUUACAGAACGGCAUCAGUGAACUAGAACCAGUGAAGCCGGCUGACCCUCACGUGAUCCAGAUCGGACAAUUUGUAGUGGAACAAUGUCACCACGGCCAGCUGCUUUUCGUCGCCGUGGUUGGAGGAUUCACGUGGAGCGGUGAUGGAGGUUAUUACUACGCACUUAUCAUUGAAAAUCAGGAUUACGAGGGCGCCACAUAUCUGCACAAAGUACUUGUUCUUCAGACCCCAAGUGAAACCAAACUCAUCUGGCACAAGAAAUAAGCCAGCACUGCUGUUGAUCAACUGAGGAUCAACGACAUUAAGUACUCUAAUUAUAUAGUGUCUUUGGUGUGGUUUUCAGUUUCUGUAUGGAUACAUCUCCCUGCUUGUUGUACUAGUAUGUAAGGUGCAGUUCUACCAACAAAAAUGCACCGUUAAAUAAAAAAUCCACUGUGUCUUUGAGUUUGUGUCAUUGUACUAGUAUGUCAAAGGUGCACUUACACGAACAAAAAUGCACCAUUAAAUAAAUAAAACAGCCGUCUGUGUUUUUCUCGAUUGCUUGGAAGCAGGUUCCAAUCACUGAGUUUUGUAUGUCAAUUAGGUGCUAUAUUCAUGGCUAGUUAUAAAAUCUUAUUAGUUAAGCAUUACUUAAAAUGAAUCCAAAUCUGGAAAGGAAAUGAAAGAUGAGUUGAUAUAUAUUGAGAGAAAGACAUGUAACUCAAAAGUUGGAGUUCAAAGAUGAGAGUUUCUGCUUUCUACAACCAUUCAUUUGGACAUCUCUAAACAACGUGUAUCCUACCGUGUCAAAUAAGUUUAAAAUGUAUAGAUAUGAGCAAAGAAUCAUCUGCUCUUUAAAAUGUGACAACAAAAUUAAUAGAUCUACAUGCUGUUGGAUUUUAAUUCUUAUCCCCAUAUUUUGUUUAACAUUCAAUGAAUUAGAGAUUGUGAAAUUAAACAGAAAAUCAUUCAAGAAAUUAUGGCAGUUAUGAAUAUAAUAGACUUAAGUGAGUUUAAUUAUACUCAUGGCACUAGCCCAAGUAACAUAUGCACAAGUCCGAGAGAGUUUUGGGGGCUCACACCCUAGUCUGAGAGGAGCUUUGGUUUGGCAUCAAACCAAAAGAGUAAGUCAUGGCCUUUGAGCCCUUAAGUAUUUAGUGCUAUUUAGACAAUUUUGUGUUUUUAGUUUUAGGUGUCUUUUGAACCUGAAAAUUAUUUUCUAGGGUUUUGUACUCUUUCUUUUAUACUCUCUUUCUGUUAUAGUAAAUCUGCUACCCCUUCGUCCGUAGAUAUAGGUCAAUUGGACCAAAACACGUAAAUUCCUGCGUUUCUUUGUUUAAUUUAUUUGCUUUAUUAUUGUCAUAAUCGAAUUGGCAAGAACUCUAUUAUUCUCGUUAGUCAAUUUUCUGGGAUCAGACCUAACAGCUUUAGUGAGUUUUUUCCUUUAUUAUUUAUAUUAAUGGUUUCUAUUAAAUGGUGGAAUGUAAAAUGAUCCAUAGUGCUAUUGCAUUUAUUAAAAAAAAUAAUGCAUUUAAGGUAAUGACAGUUGUUAUAGCUAUAUACCAAUUUGAAUAGCUGUGGCUUUGUAGUGUUGGUAGAACUGUACGUUUUGUUUAAAAACAGGGAUUGAAGAUUGAGUAUAUGAAUAUUUAAUUUAUAGGCCAAGCUAAUUAAUAUUUAAUUUGAGGAUUGACCAAAUCACCGAUGCGUAAAAUCGUAUUCCACAUUGGUCCUUGUCAAAUUUUCACACGUAUUAAAAUAAUUAUAAGAUGGCGCCAAAGUCAAGUUCAUCAUCGUAGCAGCUCCGACCAUGACACUGGAUAACACCAAAUGCACUGUAUGAUUUAAUACUCAGAUUUCUGAAUUACUUCUAUAAGAUUACCUGAUCUUCCAUGUACAUAACUGUACUAAACUGCAACCAUGAUCAUGUCACAAUAGUCUUGCCUCUUCCAUGACUUUUUGAGUAUCAAUAAAAGUGAUAUUUGCAUAAAAUAUUGGAUUAGAAACAGAAUAGCUAUUUUUGUCCUUUUUGGAGUUUUGUUUUGUUAGAUGUAUUGUUAUUAUGUUAUAUAAUAUAAAUUUUAUAUUACAUAUAUUAUUAAAAAAUAUUAUAUUAUAUAUAUAAAUAUUAUAAAACAAAUUUGAAAUUGAAUACCGAUUUCGAUUCCUAAUUUCGAAUUGUGAAUUUGAAAUCGAAAAUUUUGAUUUCAAAAAUUUCAUUACCGAAUUUGAACUGAUUUCGCAUAAUUUGAAAUAGGAAAAACCGAUUUCCAUUCCAAAUUUCAAAUUACCGAAUUUGAAAAUUUUGAAUUAAAUUCGAAUUUGAUCGAUAAAUCAUUAUUUUUUGAUUUUGCACACUCCUAAUUCUCUAAUUCAGAAUUUCGGCCGCAGCCGUAAAGAAAAGUGUAGAGGCUUCAAGAAACAACUUUUGUUGAUUUUAAGAGAUAAAAUUGCCAACUAAAAACAACUCACAUGGACUUUUAAUUCCUUUAUAAAUAAGGACUUUGUUGAGCUUGUUUCAUAACUUUGGAAAGCUAGAAACAGUACUAAAAUAUAGUCUUCACUAGUUUUUUUUUUUUUUAGUUUAUUAGUAUGGUAUAGUUAGUAUAAUUUAUCCAUCUUGUACUUGUAGCUAGAUUUGCAUGAAGAAUUGAGGAGUAAAGAUGGAGAGUUGGAGCUUAUGUGACAAGGGUGACCUCUUUCCUAUCACUUUCUCUUUUAUAUUUGAUUUCAUAUUUAGUUAUAAUACAAGUUUGGAUUUUAUUAGGUUUUACUAAAAUUUAUACCUAAAGUUAUGGAUGAACUUUCUAUAUCUUGUUAGUGAUAUUUACUUGGUUAUUUGGUGAUAGUAUUUUGAACAAGUUAUUUAUCACUUUUACUUAUCUAAUCAUGAUUAGCUAGUCAUUAAUUGUGAUAAUCUUAAGGUGUUAAGUUUGUAAUGAGAAUUGAGAUUUGACAGUAAUUCAGAAAAGUGUUAAACUUAGGAAGUACACUCACGAGAGUAGAGGUGCACUUUUGUGAUUUUAGUGAUUUGUUUCAUAUAAUUUUAUAGAAAGAAUGAGUUUGUAGUUAAUUUUAUAACCACGAGAGUAGAUAUGGUUUAGUUAUAAGUAUAAUAGAUUCACUACCAGAGUAGGUUUCACAUACAUGAAAAAAUUCCAUUAUAACUAGUCAAGAUAAUAACAUUCAAUUAACCGGUGAUUUUACUUGCAAGACUAGUGAGGAAUUCCAUACCUCUGUUGACUUUCUAUUAUUAUUUGUAUUACUUUUAUUUCAUAUUCGUAAUGUAGAUAUAAUUUUUUACACUUGUAAUAGUCGAAAUAAUAAAGGAGUUCGAAAAUCACAGGUAAUUGAGAUCUUUCAAGAGUUUAUGUAUCUAUUCGUGUAAUUGUCAAUGUCUUCUUUUACAUCAACUCAUUAAGAAAUACAUCAAAUCUUGAAAGAAAUACCAAAAAUAUGACUUAUUACUCAACUGGAAUUAUCAGAUUUAAGCCUAAGGUUUUUUUUUUAACCCUCCAUCUCCUCUCCACAUCCCUUCCCAUCCCCAACUAUCAGUCUUGUGAUUCAAACUUUGAGCCUUACAGAGGAGGAGCUCUUAGUCAUUGGACCAGGCCAGGGGCAUGAAGCCUAAAGUUCGAGUGAUGACAAAACGGUAACAUAAUUAUAGGCCUAGCAACAGUAAUUAGUAUAUUUCCACACUGACCUCAUCAUGGACGUGUAAAAACGUGUUCCAUGCUGGUGGACCCUGAUUUUGGUGAUUAGGUCCAACAAGACAAACUAAUUUAUGGGGUAAUUACCACAUUUUUAGGCCUAUAAAUACAAGGAGUCUGGUUUGUUAUUUCAUUGUGCUAAACUCAGCUACCAAGUUUUCUCGAGUCACAACCAGUUACAGAUAUCUAUUUUCAUUCUUAUUAAUUAGCUAGCUAGAUCUUUAAGGAGAAAAUGGCUGCAGCCAAAUCUGCUAUUGGCACUGGACAGGUGAAUAGUGAUUGUUUCCCUAGCUAGAUUUCUUCCUUUUUCAAGUUUAUGUGUGGUUUUGGCAAUCAACUCAUAAACAACAUUCUUGAAUUGUCUUAAGCAAUUUUUUAUAUUUCCAGCUGUCUACAUGCAUCUGUGGGUAGGCGGUCCCUUGCAUUGUUUCAUUAACUGUCUUCCGAGUGAUGUAGUUUCUUAUUAAUUGGUUGGAUUUAAUUUCUGGUGGUUUGUUUAUUUGAAGGAUUCUAAUUGAUUUUGGGAACUCAAUUGUUUUUCGUUUUCUUAUUGGAAAAAAUGAUUUGAAUUUACAGACCGACAUCAGUUCACUAGAACCAGUGAAGCCGGCUGACCCUCGCGUGAUUCAGAUCGGACAAUUUGUAGUGGAACAAGCUCACCACGGCAAGCUGCUUUUCGUCGCCGUGGUUGGCGGAUUCACGUGGAGCGUCAUUGGAGGCAAUUACUACGCACUUAUCAUUGAAAACCAGGAUUAUGAGGGCGCCACAUAUCUGCACAAAGCACUUGUUUUUGAGACCCCAGAUGGAGUCUUGACACUCAUCUGGCACAAGAAAUAAUCAAACACUGCCGUUGAUCAACUGACUAUCAACGCCUUGAAGUACUUUAAUUAUCUAUCACUGUCUUUGGUGUGGUUUUCAAUUUAUGCAUGGAUGAUGUACUGCUGGCACGCAUACAUCUCCCCACUGUUGUACUAGCAUGUAAGGUGCAGCUGUUCCAGCAAAAAUGCACCAUUAAAUAAAAAAUGCCCUCUGCAUUUGAGUUUGUAUCCUUGUUUUAGUAUGUCAAAGGUGCACUUAUGAGAACAAAAAUGCACCAUUAAAUAAAUAAAACGGCAGUCUGUGUUUGAAUUUGUAUCUAUUUAUUUUGUUUCUCUGUUGCUUGCAAGUAGUUUCCAAUCACUGAGUUUUGUAUGUCAACUAGAUACUAUAUUCAUGACUAGUUAUGAAGUUUGAUAACUAGUCAAGUCUUAUUUAAAAUGAAUCCAAACCUGAAAAGGAAAUGAAAGAUUAGUUGCUAUAUCAAGAGAAAGAUGUGUUGCUCGAAAAGUUCAAAGAUGAGAGCUUCUACUUUCUACGACCAUUCUUUCGGUCAUUUCGGAACAAUGCGUAUCCUACCACAUGCUAAUCAAGUUUAGAAUACAUAGGUAUGAGCAAAGAACGGUCUGUUAUCUAAAAAAAUGUGACAACAGAUUUCAUCGAUUUACGUACAACUAAUAUUUAUCCCUAUACUUCUGUUAGAAAUUCAAUGAAGUUGAGAUCAUGAGAUUCAACACAAAAUCAUUCAAGCAAUCAAGAAGAGAAUAAUAUCAUAUUGUCAAUGCUAAGGAAAAAAUGUAAAUUGGACUUUCCUCUCCAAUUUCAAUUUUUGAAAUUUUUUUUCCUUUUUUGUGCAACACUGUCUCUGGAUUUCAUUAUAGCUAAAAUGCUUAGGUGCUUGAUAUAUGGUAGGACACGUACCUACAGACAAUAUAAAAGAUAUAUACACAUACUUGUGGUGUUAUAGCUAUAUACCAUUUUGAAUUGAUGCAUCUAUAGAGAGUGUUGGCUGAACUAUACGUUUCAUUGAUUGAUGAUUGAAGAUUGAGGAAAUGGAUAUUUGUAGGCCCAAGCUAAUUAAGUGACCUUUGAGAAUAUUUCCACACUAUCCUAAUCGUGAAUGUGUAAAAUGGUGUUCCACAUCCUUGUCCAUUUUUUCACACGUGUUAAGUUAAUUACAAGACUUGGCAAAAUUCAAAAGGUACGUACCACUAGAUAAUACCAAUUGCUCAAUAUGAGUUAAACCUACUUCUAUAUGUGAUUCUAGGUUUGAGUGUUGACCAAGAAGUGAAUGUUCCAAUUAGUUCAAUUAUGAAGGGUUCAUGCGAAGGUCAAAGGUUCACUUCAAACAUUGGUACGCGCUAUUUAAGACCAAGUUAGGUCUCAAAAACUAAUUGAAGGAAUUGAUGAUACACAAGCGAGCCUCAACAUGCUGAUUCGCGUUCCAUUCAAGAUGAAUUGUAAAUAGUGACUAGAAGACUUGGAAUCAGUAAGAUAUGGACACGCCAGAGUAGCUGUUUGCUAAUUCGCAACUCAAGAAGAAAUGGAUUGUGUCAGACUUUUGAUAAGUGCAUAUUUUACAUAUUUUUAGUAUGUUUUAUUAUUUAGUUUUGGUGUAUUUUAACUACUUUUAUAGCUAAUCAACUAAGUUUCUAGUGAAAAUAUGCAUUUUAUGGUUUAAAGUGUAAAAAUUGCAUUUUUAUGGAUUUUAAUGGUGAAAACUUCAUGUUUUUAUUGGUUUAAUGAUUCAAUCAUCAAAUGGAGUGAGUUGAGAACGUUUUUGGAUGAUUGUUGAUGAUUUGAAGUAGUUUAAAGAAGACAUGAAGUGCAAAGAUGAAAUGCAAAAGAGAACAAAAGAAAGGAAGUUUUCCAACUUUGACAGCUUAUGGUAUUUCGACUAUAUAUUGAGUUACAAGUAUUGGAUUGAUGUGAUUCUUAAACCAUUUUGAAAUAAGAGAUAGAUCUAUAUUUGGUAUGAGACAUCGAAGUGCAGUUCAGUUGUUUUCAUUGUCAAAAAAUCAAAAUACAGAAGUGCAAUUUCAUUGUCGAAAGCUAAAACAGAGUUCUGAAUAGUCGAAGGUAUUUUGGUCAUUUCUUGGUCCACAGAUCUCCACGUUGAAUGAUUCUUCAUGCAUUGGAAAGUAACUCAAAGAGCUACAACUUUUAUGUUUUACAUAAGAGCUAGUUCAGCUUCUAUCAUCAAGAAAAGAUCAGUUGAAGUUGGAAUAAAAACAGAGCAAGGAUGAAUUCUGCCCAGAAAGUGCAAACCUGCAAAGGAGAAAACAUGGGGUGCAAUACGCGACCUAAGGUCAUACAUUCGAGGUCGCGUAUUCUAGUUUUUCUGCUGCAACUUGCUCUGCAACUUUUUCUUUGUUCACACAACUUUCCAGCUCAAUUCCAGCAAGCAAAUUCGGCUGUAUCUGACCAAGAAGAGGGUGGAAACUUGGAGAACAACUCUUGAUGAGUUCAAAAGCCAACUUUUCCAAUCAAGAAACAACUCACCUUGAGCUUGAAUCAUCUAUAAAUAGCAGCCUUUGGAGACCAUUUUCAUAACUUUGGAAGGCUAGAGAAACUCCACAAAAAAAUGUAAUUUUCAUUAGAAUUUCCUUAUUUCAUUAGUUAGAGUAGAUUAGUAUAGUUAGAGUAGUUUAUUCCUCUUGUAUUUAUAGUUGGAUUUGGAUGAAGAUUAAGGAGCAAGAUCGAGAGAUUGAUCUCAUGUGACAAGGGUGAUAUCUCUUCUACUACUUUGUUUCUUGUAUUUGAUUUCAUGUUUAGCUAUAAUACAAUUUUGGAUUUGUGUUUUUAUCAUGUUAAAUUAAAGUUUAUGCUUAGAGUUAUAGAUGAACUUGCUAUAUCUUGCUAGUGAUGUUUACUUGAUUAUUUAAUUAUGUUAUUUUGAGCAAGUUAUUUAUCACUUUUGCUUAUCUAAUCAUGAUUAACCAGCCAUUAAUUGUAAUAAUCUUAAAGUGUUAAAUUUGCAAUGAGAAUUGGGAUUUUACACUAGUCCAAUAAAGUAAUAAACCUAGGGAGUACACUCAAGAGAGUAGAGGUGCACCUAUGUGAUUUUAGUGACUUGUUUCAUAUAAUUUCAUAGAAUAAAUGAACUUAUAGUUAAUUUCAUAACCACGAGAAUAGGUAUGGCUUAGUUACAAGUAUAGUUGAUUCACUACGAGAGUAGAUUUCACAUACAUUAGGAAAUUAUGGCAUAACUAGCCGGUAACUUCACUUGCAAUAGUAAGGAAUUCCUUACCUCUAGGAGCUCUUUAUUGUUACUUUUAUUACUUUUAUUUCAUAUUUAUAGCAUAGAUUGCAUUUGUGAUAGUCUAAAUAAUAAAGAAAUUUGAAAAUCGUCAGUAAUUGAUAAUCUUCUCUAUGGGAUCGACUCUGAAUACCCUAUACUUAAUCACGACUCGUAUACUUGCAGAAAAUCAUGUGUGGGGUAUUUAAAAUAUUAUAAAUGUAAAACUUGAUUGUGGAAUGAGCUUAUUAUUAUAUGUAUAUCCCACGCACGUCAAGUUUUUAGCGCCAUUGCCGGGGAAGAUUUGUUCAAUAUCGGUGCUAAGAGCAACUUUAUUAAUUUAGACAAUUUUACUUCUUCUUGUUGUUAUUGUUGCGUCUAGUGUCUUAUUUAUUGUAUUUAGUGACUUGUUGAGUCUUUAUUUGUAUGUUUUUAUAUGUGUCGGGUCAUCUAUUCUCUUUGACUAGAUUUGUUUUUAAGUUACUUUGAAGACAUGUUUAGGGGCUCAAGGAGAGUAAAAAUAUAUAGGGGGGGACAAUGCUUCAGAAGUGAAAAUUCGGCAAUAGAUGGUUACCAAAUGCAAAGCUCCUUGAAUAGAGGUAACCAAGAAAUUACCAAAGGUAUGUUAUUUGAAGAUGGUUUAAGGAGUUUAAAGGCAAAACUUGAUGUUAUAAUGUUAAAAGUUUAAUUGUACAUCAUUAUGCAUGAGAUUGAGCAAAAGAGAAAUGUUAAUGCUUUUAAUUCUAAUCAUAUGAUUUGUGAUUUGUGUGAAAGUUAUCAUACUAAUCAUACAUGUAUCCAAGCACAAAAUAUGAAUUAUUAUGAUAAAUUUGGGCAUUAUAAUUCUUGUUGUGAUUAAUGUAACCCUAAGUGGGGCAAUUCUUAUACUUAUGCUUGGGAUAAUCAAUGUACAUAUAGUGAUUCUUCAUGUUUUUAUGAUUACUAACUCGAAUAUGUCCAAUAUGAAUCAAAAUCAUCUUAGAAAUUAGCAAUAGAAAGGUUAGCUAAUGCAUCCUUACCUUGGGAACUAAAAAACGAACCAUUAUCUAAUGAUUCUAAACCCUUUUGGGAGUUAGCUUUAAAAAGGUUAGCUAAUGCAAUCGCUGACCGUUUUGCAAGGAUUGAAGAAAAGUUAGAUGAAUUAACUUCUCACUUUGAUGGAAUACAAAACCAAUUGCAUGAGUUGUAUGAAGUUAUUUGAUACAGUUGUCUCAGAUGUGCUAUCCGGUAGAUGAGGGAGGAGUUGGUUUCCGGAGGUUACAGGACAUCUACACAGCAUUCUCAUUCAAGCUUUGGUGGAACUUCAGAAAGGGAUGCUCGUUGUGGGCUUCAUUCAUGAAAGCUAAGUACUGUAGAAUACUACAUCCUUGUCAGGUUGAAAUCAGGUCAUUGGACUCCGCAAUCUGGAGAAGGAUGGUCAAUGUAAGUCGACAAGUGGAGCUAUCUAUGCUAUGGGAUAUCAAGAAUGGAGCUUGUCAUUUUUGGUACGACAAUUGGUUGGGAGGGGGUGCCUUGUUUCUCCGUACGACAGUUGUCUCUAAUUUGUCGUUUGGUGAUUUUAUCAUCAAUAGACACUGGGAUGUGAGUAGAUUAUAUCAGACAUUGCCGACGGAUCUGGUUCCCUCCAUUUUAGAGCAUCCAGUCCCGGAAGACUGGGGUGAAGCUGAAGUCUUUUGGAUGUCCACAACAUCUGGAAUCUUCUCUCUAGCUUCGGCAUUUCGGGAUAUUAGGCAAGCAUGAAACAAGUCUAUGGUUUUUGAUAGCAUUUGGCAUCCUCAGAUUCCACUCAAAAUUUCAUUCUUCAUGUUAAGAUUGUUGCUGCAGAGGCUGCCUUUACCGGAUAGGUUACGUAAACUUGGUUUACAUUUACCAUCAAAGUGUUUCUGCUGCGAUUCCGCAUCUGAGGAGUCAAUUGAACAUUUAUUUUCCAAAGGCCAUAUAGCUUCAACAGUUUGGAAUUAUUUUGGAGCUUCAUGUGGAUUGACUUUUCCAGGCUCUUCUUUACGCUCCUGUAUAGUGGGUUGGUGGUUGCACUCAUAUGAUUCAGAGAUACAGCGACUCAUUGGACGCAUUCUUCCCACUAUAGUAUGUUGGCAAAUUUGGAAAGCAAGAAAUAAAGCAUUAUUUGAGGAUGUCCAUAUGAGAUCUCCCGCCAUUUGUCUUGCCAUUUCCUUGGAAAUCCAGACCAUUGUGGAAAUUCAUUUCAAACAAGUUUUCAAGGCUCAUUCAUUCUACCAUUUGUAUGAUUGGCCGUAUUCAUCUCACACUUAUGUCACGUACAAACUUGUUCGUUGGGAACCAAAGGAAACUGGUCGGUUUACUCUAAAUACCGAUGGCUGUUCUAAGGGUAAUCCAGGACUGGGUGGAGGAGGUGGGGUUCUUCGGGAUUCACAUGGUAUUCCUUUGAUUGGUUUUUCGGCAUAUCUUGGAGAAACUACAUGUCUAAGUGCAGAGGCCCGGGCUCUUCUUAUUGGCAUUCAAACAUGCAUACAUAGGGGUUUUGAGAAUCUCUAUAUUCAAUCGGAUUCUUUGGUAUUAAUUGGAAUUCUUCAGAAACGUAUUCACUGCCCUUGGAAGAUUCGACGAGAGAUUAGGCAGAUUUGGCAAUUCGUGGAAGAUCCUGAUCGUUUUGCACAUUGUUAUAGAGAAGCUAACACAGUCGCUGAUGCAUUGUCCAAUGUGGGCGUCUCUCAUCCAGAGCAUCAACUCAAGUUAUACGACUCCUUCCACUUGUUUCCAACUAUGGCCCGUGGAGCAAUUCGCCUUGACAGAUUAGGGAUGCCUUCAAUUCGGAAAAUUAAGCGUAUGAAGGGCUGAGGAUAAAGGAGAAUUUGAGAUAUUUUGCCUUUCAACUAAGCACCAAACAUUUCUGGUUCAUUUGUUGUCUUUAUAGUCCAAUCCUGUACUUCAAAAUGAUGUUUCUUUGAGUGUAACUUUUAUUCUCAUCAAUAAAAGACUACAAAUUUGAAAAAAAAAAAAAAGAUAUGCACUAUGACCCUAACAUGAAUGGUGAGCAUGUUGUAAGUGAAAAUGGAUUGUAUUUUGAUGAAAAUAAUGAAUCUUAAUUAUGUUUCAAUGAGAAAAUGUCCAUUUCACAUGAUAGUAUCUUUGGAACUAAUCUUGAACCUCAAAAGAUGAGUCUUAACAACUUAUUUUUCACCACUCUUGAGGAAUGUAUUGAGAAUAUAGGUUUUAAAGGUAUUAUUCUCCAAGAAAACUGUGCGGGAGUUCCUGUGGUGAGUUCUCAACUGAUGCAUAUUGAAGGUAAUAUCUAUGAAACACUUGCGAUAAGUAUGUCACUUCCAUCUCUCACAUUAUUAGAACAUGUGACUUUUGCUAUUAAGUUACCUUUAAUGAUCCACCACGACCUAAAAUGAAGGAUUAUUCAUUAACAAAACUUCCUUGAAAAAUAAGGUAAAAUAGUCAGCCAACGACUAUAAACAAAAGCGCUUGUUAGGAAGCAACCCAAUGUUUUUGUCAUUUAUGUUAAUUUUAUGUGAUCUUAUGUUUAAAUUAUGUGUUUGAGUUAUCUUGUUGUUUUUCUAGGUAUGGAGAAAUAUGAUAAGUGCAUAUUUUACGUGUUUUAAGUGUAUUUUAUUAGUUAGUUUUUAUGUGUUUUAAUUAGUUUUAUAGCUAAUUAACUAAGAUUCCAGUGAAUAUAUACAUUUUAUGGUUUAAGUGGUAAAAAUUAAAUUUCUCUAGAUUUUUCUGGUGAAAACUUCAUGUUUUUGUAGGUUUGAGAAUUCAAUCAUCAAAUGGAGUGCAUUGAGAAGAUAAUUGGAUGAUUGAUGAUGGAUUAAAGUGAUAAAAAGAGAAUAUGAAAUGCAAGCAAGUUUUCAUAGCUUUGACACAUUUUAGUAUUUCGGAAAUAUCUUGAGUUACAAGUAUCGGAUUGAGGUGAUUAUUGAACCAUUUUGAAAUUAGGAGAUAGUAUACAUUUAGUAUGAAAACAUCGAAGUCCAUUUUGUCGUUUUCAAAGUCAAAAAGUCGAAAUACAGAAGUGUAUUUUCAUUGUCGAAAGCUAAAAUAGAGUUCUGACCAGUCGAGGGUAUUUUGGUCAUUUCUCAGUCUAUAGAGCUCCAAAUUGAAUGAUUCUUGAUGCAUUGGAAGAUAACUCAAAGGGCUACAACUUUCAUGUUUUACGCAAGAACUAGUUCAACCUCGAAUAUCAAGAAAAUAUCAGAUAAAUUUAAACAAAAAAUAGAGCAAGUAAAUCCGAGUUCAGAUGUGUACUAAACCUUUGAAUAAACUUCUAUAAUCAGAGGCUACAUCCCAGAUGAGGAUCCGAGCUCGGAUCCCCAUGUUAUAGGCCUUGGAUCCUAAUGUGCAGUGAACACAAAAAUGAAGAAAAAUGAGAUCCAGGGGUAUUUUGAGCGAUCCGACCUCAGAUCUUGCCCUCGGAUCCCCAAUUGCCGCUCUGUAACUUACUAUGUAACUUGUGCUCUAUUCACUCAAGCUUUUAGACCAAUUUAUCUGCAAGAAAUCUGGUUGGAACUGAGCAAGCAAGUAUAGAGAAUUCAAGACGCAUCUUUUGAUGAUUCCCAGGAGCAAUUUACAUCAACUUUAAUAAGUCACCAUAAGGUUGAAUUCCUCUAUAAAUAGAGGCCUUGGAGAACAUUUUCACAACUUUGAAAGGCUAAAGAAACUAACCAAAAAUGUAGUCUUUACUAGAAUUUCCUUAGUUCAUUAGUUUAGUUUAGUAGUUUAGUAUAGAGUAGUAUGGUUUUUAUCCACUCUUGUAUAUUGGUUAGAUUAGGAUGAAAAUGGAGAUGAAGAAGGAGGGGUUGAAACUCAUGUGACAAGGGUUAUCUCCUCUUCAACUCUUUAUCUUUUGUAUUAGAUUCUUAAGUAUGGUUAAUAUGCAAGUUUUGGAUUUGUGUUUUAAUAUGUAGUUCUAAGUUUAAGCCUAGAGUUAUGGAUGAACUUGCUAUAUCUUAUUAGUGGUAUUUACUUGGUUAUUUGAUGAUGUUAUUUUUUGCAAGUUAUUUAUCGCUUUUGCUUAUCUAAUCAUGAUUAACUGGCUACUAAUUGUGAUAAUUUUAAGGUAUUAAAUUUGCAAUGAAAAUUAGAAUUUAGCACUAGUUCAAGGUAGUGAUAAACCUAAGGAGUACACUCACGAAAAUAGAGGUGUACUUUUGUGGCUUCAGUGACUUGUUUCAUGUAAUUUUACAGAAGAAAUGAGUUUGUAGCUAGUUUCAUAACCACGAAAGUAGGUAUGAAUUAACUAUAUGUAUAGUUGGUAUACUGGCGAAAGAGAGUAUCAUGAAUAUUAGGAAAUUAUGCCAUAACUGGUCAAGAUAAUAGCAUUCGAUUAACCGGUAAUUUCAUUUGCAAGAGUAGUUAGGUAUGCUAUAUCUCUAGGAGAUUUCUAUUAUUAUUUUUAUUACUUUUAUCUCAUGUUUAUAUUAUAGAUUUAAUAUCCAGUACUUGUGAUAGUCUAAAUAAUAAAGAAGUUCGAAAAACAUCGGUAAUUGACAGACUUCCUUAUGAGAUCGACCCUUAAUAUCCUAUACUCGCUCACGACCUAUAUACUUGCAGAAAAAUCGCAUGUAGGGUAUAUAAAAUUAGUAAAUGUAAAACUUGAUUGUGGAAUGAACUCAAUUGUUAUAUGUAUUCCCUGCGCUCGUCAAAAUAGAAGCAAAAUUGACCAAAUGAGGUGAAAAAGACGAAGUUCAAUCAAGGAACUCGACCCCUCAAUUUGAGUAAAUAUUGUUUUUGAUUCGUUAAAAAGGGGUAAAAUAUAUGUUUUGAUCAUUUUACAUGUGCGUGCAUUGGUUAUUGUGACAAAAGAAUGAUCUAGAAUGCACUUUGAACAAUUGAGGUACAGAGUGUAAUUUUUAGAAAGUUAAAAAUUUCUACAAAAAUUUGCAGAAGAAAAUGCGAGCUCAGGAAACAGGACCUUAUGUCGCGUAUUCUUGAGUUCUACAUGAUUAAAGCAGAAUACAUGGCCUUGAUAUUAUGGAUGAACUUGCUAUAUCAUGCUAGUGAUAUUUACUUGGUUAUUUGAUGAUAUUAUUUUGAGCAAGUUAUUUAUCACUUUUGCUUAUCUAAUCAUGAUUAACCACCCAUUAAUUGUGAUAAUCUUAAGGUGUUAAAUUUGCAAUGAAAAUUGGGAUUUAACACUAGUUCAAGGAAUUGAUAAACCUAGAGAGUACACUUACGAGAGUAGAGGUGCACCUAUGUGGUUUUAGUGACUUGUUUCAUGUAAUUUCAUAAAAAAAAUGAACUUGUAGUUAAUUUCAUAACUUCGAGAGUAUGGUUUAGGUACAAGUAUAGUUGAUUCAUUGUGAUAAUAGGUUUCACAUAUAUUAAAAAAUUACUUCAUAACUAGCCAAAAUAAUAGCAUUCACUUAGCUAGUAACUUCAUUUGUAGGAGUAGUAAGGAAUUUUAUAUCUUUAGGGGUUUUUUAUUGUUAUUUUUAUUACUUUUAUUUCAUAUUUGUAGCAUAGAUUGCAUUUGUGAUAGUUUAAAUAAUAAAGGAGUUCAAAAAUCAUUAGUAAUUGACAAUUUUCUCUGUGCGAUCGAUCCUAAAUACCCGAUAUUCAAUCACGACUCGUAUACUUGCGAAAAAUCGAGUGUGGGGUAUUUAGAAUGUUAUAAAUGUAAAAUAUGACUAUGGAAUGAGUUUAUUAUUAUAUGUAUAUCCUGCGCUCGUCAACUUUCUUUGAAGCAUCUUUGGGCUGUAUUGUUGCUCAACAUCAUGUCGGAACCCACAAAAGCAUUGAAGGAAUCGAACUUAGGGACCAUGCAUUACAAACCCCAGUUUGAGUUCGACUAGAGGAGGUUGAUUAAGGACUUACAACUUGGGGCUGAUUGAUAUUCUUGAUUGAGUCAAGUUUUGGCCAAAGCUUUAGCCAUUUGUUACUUGUUCCAUUAGUCGUUUGUUUAAUUUGCAUAGACAAUAAAAAUGACCAGCUCAUGUUGAGUUUUGGUUAGCUAGAUUGUUAGGGUUGAGUCCAAAUUCUGCCAACUAGAUGUUUGUUGGGCCAUGAGUCUUGUUAGUUUAUAGAUGAAAUAAUCAGCCAGUUUGUUUGAUUGAUGGGUCGAGUAGUUACUUUAGUUAAACUAGGAUUAAGUGCAGUAAUCUUAGUUCCAUUUGGAUUAGUCUAAGUAGGAUUGUUGCCUAUAAAUAGGCAAGUCUUUUCUUUGUAAUAGGAAGUCGAAAAUUCCCAACAAAUAACAUUGAGAGUGAAAAUUUUCUUGGCUUCUUGUAAGCUUUCUUUGAAUUUCUUAAAGCUGUCCUAAAUGUUCAUUCGAUAUAUCAAUCAAAAAUCGCACUUGAUUGUAAUAUCGUUCUACCCAAACUUGAUUCAUCUUAUGCUAUCCAAGAUCAAAUUAUGUUUUCUGCUUCCAAUCUUGGAUACCACCAAUUCUAGAUCCUGUGGUUCGUCGUGUCACAGAUUGCAUUUGAAAUAGGGCGUGAGUCGUAUCAGCGUCACAAUAUUCUUGCCUUUUCUGUGAACUUUUUGAGUAUCAACAAAAGUGAUAUUAGCAUAAAAUAUUGGUUAAAAAUUGGAGUGGCGUAUUUUUCUUUCUCUUUAAGAGCAUGGAUAAGAUGUGUUUUAAGUGAUGAGCAACGAUCCUAACCAAAGUUUCUUCAAACUACCUAGAUUUUAGUACAUUGUAAACAAAUGUUUUAAGUAAUACAGUGAUUCACAUUAAUGAUAUCUUCACUAGAUCUAUUGAUUGCAAUUGAGCAAUAAAAUUACUAAAUUUUCCAGCCUAUUAACGCAAUAACGUUUUAAGUAAAAACAAACCUAAUUGAAAAUGUUCAAUGAAAAUGUCCCUUCAGUCAUAAUGUACUUCCAAAUUUGGUUAUGACAUAUUUCAACAGAUUCUCUAAAUGCGUGAGAAGUUUACAUAGAUUUUCACCCGGUAUCUAGCACAAAUCGCCAUCAUCAAAUGUAUUUUAAAAUAACUUUUGUAGAUUUUUUUAUAUUUCUAAAAUCAGAAAGGUACAAAUUAAGCAACAAGAGCCAGAGGUGCAAAUUUUUUAGCAAAGAAUAGGAAAUGCCUUUACCUUUGGUGUUUCUAAAAGUAAAGGGUAAUAAACAUAUUAUAAAUGAUAUUUUUUCAAGAUAUGGAAGAAUAAAUGAUUUAAAAUGGAUUUCUGCCUCCUCUAUGAAAUUUUGAGAAUCAAUAAAAGUGAUAUAUGCAUUAAAACAUGGUCUAGAAUUGGAGCAACAUAUUUUUCUUUCUUUCUUAAAAGGAGGAAGUAAGAUGUUUUAAGUGAGAAACGACCUUUAUCAGAGUUUCUUCAACUUUCUUGAUCCUAUGUGCAUUAUAAAAAAUUUUUUAAGUUAUACAAUUACUAUCUCUACUCAAAAAUAUUAUAUCCACUCUAUAUCUUUCUCAAUAUCUUUCCUAGUGAUGCGAGUAGAAUUAAUUUGUAAGGUACACUUCUACCAACAAAACUGCACCGUUAAAUAAAAAAAUCCGUCUGUGUUUGAGUUAGUAUCCUUGUACUAGUAUGUCAAAGGUGCACUUAUACGAACAAAUAUGCAUCAUUAAAUAAAUAAAAACAGCCGUCUAUUGACUUCACUCUCCUAUUCAACCGAAGCCAAAAAAAGUAGGAAGUCUCUUAAUUGGUCCGUUUCCUAUUUUUGCUAAACUAUCUUUUCCAAUUCAAAUCUAACAAUCAGCUAAUGGAAUAUUUGCAAUCCCACAUUGUACUUCCAAUUGGCAAUUGGUGUCUCGCGCUUCUCCCGCAUUUUCUGGACACGUUAAGGUCUGACUUGACAUGCCUAUGCCAAAUAGUAAUUGUAGUGGAGAAUUUGCAUGUUUUUAUCCCAUUUUGUUCCAACUCCCUGCAAUCAAUACAAAUUCCCAAAAGUGAGUAGAAUCCGUCAAUUAAUGCACACUUGGUAAUAUAAUAGGAGGGAUUUAAUUACAAAAUAAAUGACACAAUUGCGACUUAUUAAUUCCCCCCACACCUAAAUCAUGCUUGUUCUCAAGUAUGAGAACAACAAACAAACACCAAUUCUAGACAAUGGCUAUUGUUCCAUCUACCUUAUUGCCGAGCUAUCAAGAAAAACACAUAUCAAGCAUCAAUGGUCAAGAUCCAAGAAACAUCACCCCAGUUAGUUUCUAAACCGCAGACUCCUCCAAUUUAGGGUUAACUAUUCCAAGAAAAAGGAAUGAUCGAUCAACAUUUAUCAGUAAAUGAUCCAAUUAUUAACCAAAAUAUCAACAUUAAAUCCACAAAUCGGGAAGCUGGCUUUAAUCACAUAUUGACACAACCUUCACUUUUAUCACGCUUUUCUAUUUUUCUAUUUUUUUCAGUUUUAAUAGUAAUAAUAGACUUAGUGUCUAGCCAUUAGAGUCUUUUGACGCGAACUCCAAUAUUUGCCAGAUGAAGGAGCCCGAUUACUCAGCUCCUAUUGCUACGCGACCACAUACUUAUAGCAAUUACUACCUUUUGACGCGAGAAUCGAUACUUUAACUGAAGAUCCCCGGUUAUUCAGUAGUAACAACUAGCGGAGUACAAUCAACUCUUAUUUACAAUCAGAUAACACAAUAACUCAAAAUAUCACAAAGAAAAUAGCAGCAGCUAGCCUUAUUUUUCAAAUAUGGAGAACUAAAGUUAAUAACUGGAUCAAUUCACAUGAAAAUGCCAACAAUCAUUCUCAAUGCCUAGAAAAGUUAACCAAAAAUUAAAAGAGCCAAACAAUCACCGAUAUUCACCAAAGAGAUGUUUUUAGACUCAACCAUAUUAACUAGAUACACUUUUAUUACUAAAACUUGGCAAUAGCAGAAUUAGAGUCAACAAUCCAACAUCAAACCUUGGUAUUCACAUGAGAGCUAAUCACUAAAAAGAAAGAAAGAGAAUGAACGAAAGAUAGACAAAUAACAAACUAAAAAAAAAAAGAAAAAACAUCUAAAAACUAAAAACUAGAAAUACUAGCAUCACAGCUGUCCAAUCCCCCCCACCCCACACUUAAAUUCGACAUUGUCCCCAAUGGAGAGUAGAAAGCAAGUAAAGCGAAGAGAACAAUGAAACUUCCCUCACGAGUGGCUAACGGGUAGGCGGGAACGGUGCAUGGAAACUAAUGUGAUAGAAGUACGCAGCCAAGUUCUGAGACAUCUCAACUCAAUUCAACCAGCAAAUGUAAAACUCUGCCCACCCAAAAUCUCAACAAGUCUCCAAUUAGACAGUGAAUAUCUCAACUCAAAAUCAGCAAUUCCAGCAAUAGCAGUUUAGAAAUUUGACAAUAACCACAUAAUUACAAGUUCUUCCUUUUCAAUCAGGCAGCUAACCAAUUAUAAAUAACAAAUGCUAGUCAAAAUACCCCAACCAGUACCACUGGUGUGCCCCACAGUAAUGAAACGAGUCAAUCGGCCACGGAAUCUAAAUCACCGGUAAACCCAACAGCACCAGACAAUACCAAAAAGAAAUUGGAAAGCGACUGUCAAGUACCUCCAACGUAGACAAUGGCCAAACAAUAUCUCUGAGAGAGAAUGAUAGCUGUCAAGAGAAGGAGACAGAGGUAAUGGCGCGCGACACGCGACUGCGGAGGCGUCGAGAGGCGGAGAGAAGAGUGAAUCCAACAAUCAAACCCAGCAACUUAUGUUCCAAUUAAUCAAGUGGGAGUUAAGAAGAGUGAACACCUGUACCAUUAUGUGAAAGAGGGAGAUGCGAGGGAAGGGAGAAAUACGGACAGUCGCGAGGCGAGGAAUGGCGGCGGACAGCAGCGGUGCGAGAGAUGGCGAAAGUGGAAGGUCGCGACGCGCAGCAGUGGUUGGUUGCGACAAGAAGAGAGAGGGAGAGCGAGGUAGUGGCGUGGCGCACGAUGGUGGAAACGUUGGCUUCGAAUAGUGGCAGUGCGGAGGUGGCUGCGAGCAGAAAGAGACAGAAGGGUAACGGGGUGCGUCCAUGCGGCCUGGUGACGGCGAGAUCGACAGUGGCGGCAACGUUGUUCGUCGAUUGCGGAGAGGGGUGGCGAGCAUAGGUGUGAAGUGAAGAGGCGGCGACGGCGCUAGUUUGAGUCGCGACCAAGAGAGAACUAGGGAAAAAGAAGGAAAGAAGAGAGAAAGAAAGAAAAAGAAAGAAAAAGAAAUGAGAGGGAGAAAGAAAAAAAAGAAAAGGAAGAAAAAGAAAGAAAUAGUUUUGGGUUUUUUGUAAAUUUAAAAAGUUGUAAUUUGAAAAUUAGAAGCUAUAGUUAAACGGAAAUUUUUUUAAUUAAAAAAUUUUAAUUUUUUUUAUCAUCAACAAAAUUUAUUUUCGAAAUUCAAAAUUAGAGAUUAAAUGGAAAUCAAAAUUUUCUUCAAGGUUUCAAUACUUACCUUUCCCGCGAACAUGACGCGGCACAUCAUGAGGGUAAGAACCCUUCUGACGAAGAGCUCUCCAUGUGAUUCGAUGCGGGCACGUCAUGAGGGUGGAAACCCUCCUGACUAAUAUCAAGAAGUUACACCUUGCCACGCGCCCAGUUGACGCAGGUGCGUUAAGUCAUAGAGAUACCUAUGCAUCAUCAAAAACGAAAAUGAAAGCCAGAAAUCUUUCAAACUCAGGGAAAAUAUAUUUAAACUAUCAAACAAAACUGAACAAACAACUAAAAAAAAUUGGGUUGCCUUCCAAUGAGUGCAUUUCUUUAAUGUCUUUGACUAGACGUUAAACACCACUCUUCAAUUUGGAUGUAAUUUAAUUUUUCUUGUAAUCGGUGGCCCUCCUCCAGGAUCUAAAUAGUCAUUGAGUGCAACCUUCUUUCUUAAUUUUCUAUUCAUUUUUACUUCAUAAAUUACUUUCAUCCCCUGAUACUUGUUCGCAGCAAUUUUGAAUUUAUUCCUACAAGCAAAUUCAGAAAAUUCUUGUACAGAGGGAUUAAUAGCAUGAAUAGUAAAUAUAGAGUGAGAAUUAACAGGAUGUUUCAUUGUAUCAAAAAUAUUAAAGUGGACUACUUCUCUAUCAAAUUUUAUUGUGAAAGUACCCUUAUUAACAUUAAUCUUAAUUUGGAUAGUACUCAAAAAUAGCCUUUCUAAUAUAACCCUCCUCCGGGAUCUAAAUAGUCAUUGAGUGCAGCAUUCUUUCUUAAUUUUCUAUUCAUUUUUACUUCAUAAAUUACUUUCAUCCCCUGAUACUUGUUCGCAGCAAUUUUGAAUUUAUUCCUACAAGCAAAUUCAGAAAAUUCUUGUACAGAUGGAUUAAUAGCAUGAAUAGUAAAUAUAGAGUAAGAAUUAAUAGGAUGUUUCAUUGUAUCAAAAAUAUUAAAGUGGCCUACUUCUCUAUCAAAUUUUAUUGUGAAAGUACCCUUAUUAACAUUAAUCUUAAUUUGGAUAGUACUCAAAAAUAGCCUUUCUAAUAUAAUGGGUGAUGGAUUUGGAGCACUUUCAUCUUCCAUGUAAAGCACAUAAAAUUUAGUAGGAAAAAUUAAUCCAUCUACUUGCACUAAAACAUCCUCAACUACCUCAUCCGAAUAAGCAAAUGGACGAUCAGCCAAUUGAAUUAUUAUCUCUGUUUCUUUUAAACAUCCUAAAUUUAGGGAAUCAUAGAUUGAUUUAAAUAUCACAUUAAUAGAAGUCCCUAAAUCUAGCAUGGCAUUUUUAAUUUUAGAAUGUCCAAUCUUACAGGGGAUAGUAAAUAUAUCUGGAUUUUCGCAUUUAGGUGGUAGUUUCUUUUGUAAAAUCACCGAAACGUUCUCACCUACCACAAUAUUAUCAUCCCCCCUCAACUUCUUCUUGUUGAUGCACAAGUUCUUCAAGAAUUUGGUGUACUUUGGCACUUGUUUGAUUGCAUCUAACAGGGGAAUGUUGAUCUCUACCUUGCGAAAUAUCUCCAAUAUCUCUUUCUCCUUGUCCUGCUUCUUCGAGCUCUCUAACCUGCUAGGAAAAAAAGGUGGAUUAGUUUUAAUUUCAAUGAUUGGGUCAGGGAGUACCACUAAAUUUUUACAAUUUCUGUCCUUCUCCUCAAGUUCUUUCUCGAUUUUUUCCUCAUCCUUAUUUUUGGAGUCGCCAGUUCAGACUCUUGAAUCUCCUUCUCACUCCUGAAGGUCAUUGCACUUACAUUCUUCAAGUUUAGUUUAGGUUGAGACGGCAAUUUUUCGUAAACUUGGGAUUCCAGGCAGUUAAUUGCUAUCGCCAUCUAACUCAUCUGACUCUGCAUUGCUUGCAUCUAUCCCAAUUGAUUCCUCAUACUUUGUAGACCAGAAUCUGUCUUUUGUUGAUUAGUAAUUAAUUGCUUCAUCAUCUCCUCUAUAGACGGACUUGAGUUUGAAGGGGGUGGUGGCGGGUGAGGUUGAUACUGUUGUUGAUACCCUUGCGGCCUAUUUGGUGCGAAAUUUGACUGCAUAUUUCCUCCAUAACAGAAGUUAGGAUGAUCUCUCCAACCCGGAUUGUACGUAUUCGAAUACGGGUCAUAUUGUUUUUUUUUGCGCAGGCGCGUGACCAGCCAUGUUCACUUACUCAUAAUUUUUUUCUUGAAUCAUUGGGCACAUCUCUGUAGAAUAACCCAUAGCAGUGUAAAUCCCACACACUUUGACUUGUGAUACAGUUCCUACAGCCAAUUAUCUAACAAACGAUGUUAACUCAAUCAACUGCUGUUGGAUAGAAAAUAUCUCCACCUCAUUCACUUUGCGUGUCAGGACAUCCCCCCUCAUACCAAACUGCUGCGAAUUCUCAGCCAUUCCUUCAAUUAGUUCCCACGUUUCUCGAGGAGUCUUGUUCACGAAUGUCCCUCCAUUUGCAGUAUCAAUUAUACUCCCGUUUCUGAAAAAUAGUCUCUCGUAAAAAUAUUAGAUGAACAAUUGUUCACUUAUAUGCAGGAAAAUAUUUGUCUAAAAAUUUUUUCUUCAGCUGGUCUCAUGUGGUGAUGCUACCUGGUGGAAGGUAGUACAACCAAUCUUUUACGAAAUCCUUCAAGGAGAAGGGGAAUGCUCUCAUUUUAUCUGUUCUUCUGUAAUCCCCGAGGGUUUCAUGCUAUUGCAAAUGACAUCAAACUCUUGCAAGUGCUUGUAAGACUUCUCACCUAGUAAACUAUAGAAAGAUGGUAAGAUAUGAAUUAGACCAAAUUUUAACUCAAAAGACGUGUUAUCAUUUAAAUGUGAAAAAAUAAUACAUAAGAGCUGCUGAUUUAAAUCAGGUGCAGCCAACUCCCUUAGUGUUUGUGCAUUAGCCAUAGUCACUUCUUCUCAAUCCGAAUCACUUGAAGUAUUACCAAACGGACUUGUUGCUUCAACUUCCGGAUCAAGUCUAUGAGAUGCAGCACUAGAUUGCUUCUCUCUGAGCUGUCUGAUCUCUUUUCGCGUUCUUCGCGUGAUCUUCUCUACCUCAGGGUCAAAAAUCAAUUCACCUGUAUAAGAAGAACGAGCCAUACACUAGAAAAAUACCAGAAAAUUAAAACAAAAAUGAAUUUAAAAGAAACAAAUACUGACGUCAGUCUCUGGCAACGGCACCAAAAAUUGACAGGUGUCAAACCUGUGCAAUAAUAGUUGCUAAUUAAAAUAAUCAAAACCCGAUUCUAAGUACUGGAGUAGGGACUUUAGGUGUGCAAUGGGUUACUUGAUUCACCCUAUUCCCGAAAAGUUUGCUUAAUACGAUAUAUCCGAAUGGGAUGGCUCAUUCACAAAUAAUUAUUGAUUUGUAAAUAAGGCAAGUAGGGUCGUAUUCUCAGGGAUUGGAAAUAUUUGUCUCUUUUUGAUGUUCAAAGUAACAAUGGGGGAUUUUUUUAUAGCAAUGGCAAUAAGUAAAUGAUUUGAAUAAAAAUAAAUAACCAACAAAAGAUUAAAUGACAAAUUACUAAAAUCAGAGUAAUAAUAACUAAAGAUCUAGCCAAGAAAUAACUUCAGUAAUAGUUCACCUAAUUGAUCAUCGAUACAAAAGACAAUUUCAAUUAUUUACUAAUAAAUAGGUUAUAAUUGCCAAACAAGCGAUGACAGUCAACCCUUCCUUACUGUGUCGGUGAUUAAGGUAUGCCCGUUAAUCACUGGUCUAAUUGAGAAAUAAUCUUAGGUACGCCCGUAAGAUUUAAUUUUUCAAUUGCCUUACGUAUUAGAGGAGUCCUAUUAUAAUCAAAUAAUGCACUAACAGAGUUAUUUUAGAUUAGCCCGCGUAUUCCACUGACACAAACCCAAUCAUGCCAGUUGUCACUAUUUUAGAGCAAUUAAAUAAUUACGGAUUUAACGCUCUAAUUGACAGCAAGUUGCUAAAUUAAUUCAACGUCCGGGCCCAAGAUAUUUAAUUAACAAAACAACCAUAAACAUUAUAAACAGAGAAUAUGCAAAUACCAGUAAAUAAGAUGAAUAAAUAAAAUUAAUUCGAUCUCACAAAUUUUAGAUGAACCAAAACCUCUAUUGUUCCUUGACUAGAAGAAGGGAUUUAGUUCAUCCCUGAUGAGGAAAACCCACGCGAAAUUGCAAAAGUAAUUGUUGCGUACGUUGCCUCUCAAUUGAGAGUAGUAAUCCGAUGGAAUAAGUCACAAGAAUAAUAUGCCAAAAGUCAAAAUCCAAAGUGGUCAAGAAUGUCUGCUACUUUUUCUCCAAUUCCCCUCUAUUUCCUACCUAAUUGUCCACUCCUAUACGGCUACUCCAGUGAGUAUUAGGAAAAGAGAGUCCCAAUCUCAAUUAACUUCACUCUCCUAUUCAAUCGAAGCCACAAAAAGUAGAAAGUCUCCUAAUUGGCCCGUUUCCUAUUUUUGCUAAACUAUCUUUUCCAAUUCAAAUCUAACAAUAAGCUAAUGGAAUAUUUGCAGUCCCACGUUGUACUUCCAAUUGGCAAUUGGUGUCUCGCGCUUGUCCCGCAUUUUCUGGACAUGUUAAGGUUUGACUUGACGUCCCUACACCAAAUAGUAAUUGUAGUGGAGAAUUUGCACAUUUUUACCCCAUUUUGUUCCAACUCCUGCAAUCAAUACAAAUUUCCAAAAGUGAGUGGAAUCCGCUAAUUAAUGCACACUUGGUAAUAUAAUAUGAGAGAUUUAAUUACAAAAUAAAUGACACAAUUGCGACUUAUCAGUUUCUUUGUUGAUUGCAAGCAAGUUCCAAUCAUUAAAUUUUAUAUAUCAACUAGAUACUAUAUUCAUGACUAGUUAUAAAAUCUUACUAGUUAAGUAUUACUUAAAAUGAAUCCAAACCUUAAAAGGAAAUGAAAGAUUAGUUGAUAUAUUGGGUGUAAGACAUGCCGAUGACACUUUGGUUUUCUCAAGUGGUACUCAUUCUUCUUUGAAGUAUAUUUUGGAUGUUCUUCAUAAAUAUGAAAACUGUUCAGGCCAGCAAGUUAACAUAAGUAAUAGUUUUUUCUUGACCCAUCAACGGUUGUAUGUGGCAAGACGGCGAGUAAUCAAAAGCAUCACUGGGUAUUCUUAUCAAGAUUUUCCAGUGAGAUUGCUUCAAAAAGAAAAUAUUUUCCAGUGAGAUGUUUGGGUUGUCAACCAUAUGCUAGCCGUAGCAAAAUUUCCUUUUUUGGAACGUCAUGUCAAGCCAUUGUGACUCUGUAAAUUCAUUUAUCAUAGUGACAGGCCGCUCUUGAUCAGGGACGUGCUUUCAUCCUUUCCUAUUCAAGUCCUAGCUGCAGCUACUCCUCCUAAGUCUGUUUUUAAUAUGAUAGAAUCUAUUUUUCCUAGAUUUUUUGUGGGUUUUCUCAGAGGAGCGGAGGAACACUCCAGUUUCUAACUCGAAAUGGUCCUUGUUCCUUCACUCUCACUAAUUCACGAGCUGUACCCUCUCACCAAUUCAUGCAUUAGUAGUAUAUUAUCAGCUAUACUUCUUCCUAUUAUAAAAGUACUCUAAUACUCACCAAUGAUUCGAGGAAUUACAGCUUUCAACCUAUUAGUUUGCACUUUUGAAUAGCAUUUAUAUAGUAAACUACAACAGGCUAUAGGCUUGAAAUCCCUCAUUUGUGUUGUAUUUUGCACCGUUGGGAUUGGUGUAAUUAUACUGCUACUCAAAGGAUAAUACAUAUAUUUCUUAUCAAAACAAAAUUGAACACGGCUCGAAUUACUUUAUCACCAAUUACAUGCCAAUUCUUUUUUUUUUUUUAAAGUGCAUUAAAGCCGUCUUGGCUUGUAGCUUUGCCAACUUUCAUGGUAAACAUAGCAUGUUUAAUCUCUUCAGCCAACACACUAGCUUGGAGUAAGUGAUCGAAUUGAUCACUAGUGACGGUUUUAAUGUUUAUUUGUUGCAGUUUGCCCUUCAAAUCAGGGUACUGAGAGUUAGAUUUACUGAACAGAGUCUUACAAAAUUCUACUGCAAUUUCUUGAACUUGCUCAUAGUCCUUAACAAUAUCACCUUCAUCAUUUCUAAGUGAAAGUAUCUUAUUCCUGGCAACAUGACCCUUCACCUUUAUAUGGAAAAAGCAAUAUUUUUUAUAGAACGUGAAUUGUAUUAUCGUUAUAUAUACAAAUUACUAGUUAAUAGUGAUAGUUGAGCUACAAUUUGAAUAGAAACAUCUUAAUUUUGAUCAUAUGUUCUUUUAAUAGGUGGAGAGCUCAAUCGAAGAGAAAAUGGACUAAUCUUGGCAAGACGAAUCAAGCAAAGAAGCAAUAAAAGAAGAAGAAGAAUGAACGAACAAGGAGUUUUACUGAAAUCCUCUCUCUAGUGUAAAGGAAGCUCUCUCUUGGGGUAAGAGCCAACCUCUCUUCGGUGGGAGUUUCAGAAAUUUUCAAACUUUUUCAAAAUUCACACUAUCCCGUACUUUCUUCCCACAAUAUCCCAGCCAUCAUCACUACCAAUCUGGUUCUGUAACCAAGGAUAGAUUAAUGCAGCUUAAACCACCGUACUCAUGGAACUUUAAGGAUGUCUCUCAAGGGGGAACACAAGGUAGUCAAAGUCCUACACUUUAUGAACAGCUGAAAGCAAGGUACAACUUGAUUAUCUCUUUUCCCUUGCUCCCGUUUCUGAGGUAGGGUCUGUACAUGUGCAUUAGUUUUACAGCGUUUAUUGUUUGUCUGUUUAAUCCGUUUCUCUUGUCGUAAGCCUGGCUGGUCCCAUUUACUGUGAUAGUUUCGGUCUAGACGUACUCGUUUGUCCCCGAUUUUUUUUCGCAUCUUCACUUCUUAGCUACUCUUUAUGUCUUUCUCUUCUACUACAACUUGGCUGGUAGUUGAAAAGGUUAAAUUCUAAGUUCAGAAAGAGUAUACCCGCUAGCUUCUCAGGAUAUAUCUAUGGAGGGAGAGUUAACUGAAUUAUUACAAAGAUUUUUGCUGGAGGGGAAUGAGAUCUCUGGAGCUAAACUGGAGUUGGAGGACCUGAGCAGUGGAGUGAAGGACUGUAAAGGAAGCCUGAUAGGAAGAAUCAUGGGUGAGAAAAUAGCUAACUUCACGGGGGUGAAGAAUUUUGUGACCGCAGCUUGGAGUUACACCAAGAAUCUGACAAUCAUGGAAUUGGGACCAAACUUGUUCCAAUUUAAUAUCCCAAACCAAGAAGAUAAAGAAAGAAUAGUGACAGGGGGUCCUUGGUUAAUGAAUAAUCAAAUCUUAGUGCUGAACAGAUGGUCAGAAGGGAUAGAAGAGAAUUAUGGUGCCUUUGUUACUGCUCCUUUAUGGGUUCAGAUUUGGAACCUUCCUGUGCAUUGGCUCUCCAAAGAGGUGGGCAGGAAAAUAGGAGCAGUGUUUAAAGAUAUAAAGGACGUUGUUAUCCCUCAGGGAGGGGGAAAAGAAGGUAGGCACUUGAAAGUUUUGGUACAUGUUCAUCUGUCAAAAACCCUGCUCAGAGGAACAUUGGUGUAGAUAGUAGGACAUGGGGAACAGACUUGCAAAGAACACAUAACUGUUCCAGGAGGUCUUCUAGAGAACCAAUACGACCCAUGGAUACGUGCUGGAAUUAACAGAAGCCCUUCUAAGGAAAGAGUAGGAAAGGGAUGAUACGGUGAAGGAUAAAAAAUACUGGAAGUUUCAGAAUGGAGAAAUGGUGGAGAGAGAGAAGAGUAGGAUCCAAUCCGGAGAGGUGCUUCUGGAGGCACUUAGAACCUCAGGGCUAGGAAAUAGAAGUACCCAAGAGUUUACGAAAGAUCAGGAGGGUGAAAAGGAGGUCCUACAAAAUCAUAGUGGUCCCUCUAUUAAUGUGGAAACUAGUCGAAGGGAACAAGUAAGUAGGGAAACUCCCCAACCCUCGAACAAGGAGAAUCUUGAAUUUCCUCUUCUAGCACAGGAGAAUAUAGAGGAGAAUCUAUCUUUAGUUGAAAUGGAGAAUAUGGAGGAGGACAGAGAAGUCUGCACAAGGUGGCUGGAACAGGAGAAUAGAUUACCAGAGAUUCCAGUUCAAAUGGCAGGGAGGCAGGGAGAGGCCCAAGGUAUUGCUAAGAUUCAAGAAGCUAUAAACAAGCAAGUAAAAAGGUCUUAUAAGAAGCUGAAGUCCCCAAUGAAAACAAAAAGGGCUCUGAAAGAGAGGAAUGAUCAGGAUAUUAUCAUUGAAUGAAGGGGGAAAAGAAAGGUUCAGCUACAUAAUGAGGAUAUGGAGGAUGUACAUCUGCAAGAGAUAUCAGGCAAACGAGCUAAGCCUCUGUAGAUUGUGAGAUACACAGCUAUGACUGAGGUGGACGUGGAGUCCUUCCCUAAUGGGGCCCCCCAAAGGAAAUGAGGGCUUUGGUAUGGAACUGUCAAGGAGUGGGGAGCCCCUUGACAGUUCCCCAUCUAAGGAAGGUUAAUAACCUCCUCUCUCCAAGUUUGAUCUUCUUGAGUGAGACUAAGAACAGGAAACUAGUGGUAGAUAGGAUUGCUAGAGGGUUAAGAUUUGAUAAUAGUGUUGUAGUGGAAGCAAUGCACAAGGCAGGUGGUAUGGCUGUGAUGUGGAAAGAGGACACUAAGAUCAUUGAAGUUAAUCAGACUGCUUUCACCAUAGAGGUCAGAAUAGAGGAUCAUGAGUAUCAUUGUAACUGGUGGUUUGUAGGGAUUUGUGCGAGUUGUGAUACUCAGAUUAGGAAGGAACAAUGGAGAGUGUUGAGAAAUAGAAGUAGGUUGUAGGGAGAUAGAUUCUUGAUUGCAGGAGAUUUCAAUGACAUAGUGUCAAAUGAUGAAAAAUGGAGUGGAAAUCUCAGAGAGGAGAGAAGCUUUAAGGACUUCAAGGACUUUAUAGACCAGAAUAAUUUGAUAGAUUUAGACUAUGAAGGACAUCCUUGGACUUAGAGUAACAACUGGGAAGAAGAUGGAGAAAUCAGACAGAGGCUAGAUAGAUGUCUAGCUAGCUAUGAUUAGGUCCAGAUUUUUGAUAAGACAAGAUGUCAACAGCUGGACACUUAUGCCUCUGCCAUAUUAUGCUCUUUUUAGACACUGAGCCACAUAAGGAAAAAAGGAAAAAGAAGUUCUAUUUUGAUAAACCUUGGCUACAAAGGGAAGGGUGCCAACAAGUUGUGGAGAAAGCUUGGCAGUUGGAAGAGCCUGGUUCAAGAAUGUUCAGGAUUACUAAGAAGAUUAUAAAUUGUAGGAUAGAUCUUUUGAAGUGGAGAAACACUUUCCAAGCAAAUUAAAAAAGACAGAUUAAGGAACUAGGGAAAGAGCUGGAAGCUGUGAGAGGUUCGAAUCCUGUUAACAAAAAAGAGGUUACUGCUGAGAUCAAGAACCAACUGAAGGAGGCAUACAAAAAGAAAGAGCAAUUCUGGUGUCAAAAAACAAGGAUCGAAUGGUUAAGGGAUGGGGAUAAAAAUACAAGGUACUUUCAUGUAUAUGUCAAUGGGAGAAGAACCAGGAAUAAGAUUAGAAAUCUGCAAAGGGAUGAUGGCUCUUGGACAGCGAAUGAAGAGGAAGUAACCACAGAAAUAUCUAACUUCUUCAGUGAGUUGUUUUCUAGUGGAGGGAGGAGAGAUAUGACCGAGAUGUUAGAGGGUAUCCCCCACUCUAUAACUCAGGAAAUGAACACCAAUUUAACUAAGUCAGUUAAGGAAGAAGAAAUCAAAGUAGCUCUCUUCUCUAUGCAGCCUGAUAAAGCUCCAGGCCAAGAUGGCAUGACCCCUUUAUUCUUCCAAUGUUUUUAGAGUACUAUCAAAGGAGAUUUGGUUCCAGCAAUUCAGUCUUUCUUUAGCUCAAGUUUCAUGCUAAAAUCCAUAAAUCAUACUAUCAUUUCUCUUAUCCCAAAAAUCUUGAAUCCAACAACUGUGAAAAAUUUUAGACCCAUCAGCCUGUGUAGUGUCAUAUACAAAACCAUUUCCAAAAUUUUGGCCAACAGACUGAAGCUUGUUCUAAACAAGUGCAUAAGUAACACACAAUCUGCUUUCGUCCCAGACAGACAAAUUUUAGACGAUGUAAUCUUAGCUCAUGAGUACAUGCAUUACCUCAAAAACAAAAGGCAAGGAAAAGAAGGUUACAUAGCAAUCAAGUUAGACAUGGCCAAAGCAUAUGAUAGAGUGGAGUGGCAUUUCUUACAGGCAAUGAUGCAAAAGAUAGGCUUUUGUGCACAAUGGAUUACGUGGAUAACUAGCUGUUUAAAGACUGUAACAUAUUCAUUCAAUUGUAAUGGGGAAAAUAAAGGUUUUGUAACUCCUGAAAGGGGAAUAAGAUAAGGAGACCCACUGUCCCCUUACUUGUUCUUAAUUUGCUCAGAAGGGUUCUUAAAUUUGUUGAAGAAAACUGAAGAGAGAAAUGAUAUAAAAAGGCUGAGGAUAAGUAGACAAGGACCAAUCAUCACUCACAUUUUCUUUGCAGACGACUCCCUCAUUUUUUGCAAAGCAAACAAACAGCAGGCCAAUGAAAUCAUGAAGAUUCUCAAAAAGUAUGAGAAGGCCUCAGGUUAGUUGAUCAACUUGGAGAAGUCAUCUGUCUUCUUUAGUAAAAAUAUGCCCAUGGAACAAAGACAAGUUGUGUGCAGCUCACUGGGAGGAAUGAUAGAGAUGAAACAAGGUAAGUAUCUAGGACUGCCUAUGGUGAUCUCUAGGACAAAAGAGCAGAUCUUUGGGUUCAUAAAGGAAAACAUUAAGAGAAAGAUUCAAGACUGGAGGAACAAGUUGCUGAGCACAGCGAGCAAGGAAGUAAUGCUUAAGGCAGUCUCAAUGGCAAUGCCAACUUACGCCAUGUCUGUGUUCAAGCUGCCAAGAAAGCUAUGUAAAGACAUAAGCUCACUGAUGGCUAACUACUGGUGGGGGGAAGUAAAUGGGAAAAACAAAUUGCAUUGGGUAUCUUGGAAGAAAAUGUCAAUGAAGAGGAAUACAGGAGGAUUGGGUUUUAAGGACAUUGAAGCUUACAAUAAAGCAUUACUGGGUAAGCAGAUAUGGAGAAUUCUCACCAAACCAAACCUUUUCAUUAGUAAAGUGCUGAGAGCAAGAUACUUCCCAAAGGACUUAAUACUAACUUGCAAGCCUCACAAGAAUGCUUCUUGGAUAUGGCAAGAACUGUUAGGAGCUAGAAGCUUAAUCGAGAAAGGGGUGAUCAGAAGAAUUGGUAACGGGAAAAGUACGAGCAUCUGGGGCCAUAGGUGGAUUCCAGGUUCCAAUUCAGGUAGGCCAGCCUCUCUUGGACCUCAAAGCUGCAACUUGAAGAUGGUGCAUGAGCUAAUAAGCCAUCAUAGAUGGAAGAGGAACACCAUUUUUCAGCAUUUUAUUCAAAGCGAUGCUGAGAAGAUCCUGAAUAUUCCCUUAAGUUUGAUGGGGAGGGAGGACAACUACUAUUGGCAACACAACGCAGGAGGAAUCCAUACUGUCAGCUCAAGCUAUAAAUGUAUAAUGAAGGAGAGUACCAAUGCCAAGCAGAUAGCACCAGAGGCAGUUGGUCCAAGCAUCACAGAAGAAGGUCAGCAAGUUCGACAAAUGUGGAACACCUUGUGGAAGCUCAACAUCAAACAUAAAGUGAAGAUCUUCAUCUGGAAAUGCGUAACAGGGGCACUGCCAGUAAGAGCAGCAAUAUUUAGGAAAACAAGAUUGGGAGAUCCAGUGUGCAGAUUAUUUGGAGAAGACUAGGAAACAGUGGAACACUUAAUGCUAAACUGUCAACACACGCAGCAGGUAUGAAAGGCAGCUCCAAUACAAUGGGACGGUGCUAUUGAUCAAAAAAGGGACUUCAAAAGGUGGUGGAUCAGAAUUUCAAAAGCAAGGAAUAGGCAAGGAGGGAUGGAGCAUAUUGGCUUGACUGCGAAUAUCUUAUGGCAGUUGUGGAAAGAAAGAAAUUAGAAGGAAUUUGAAAACAAGACCAGCUGCUCUCCAGCUCAGACAAUUGUCAAAGCUCAAAAAAAGUGGCUGGAGCAAGAGGAAAUUAUGAAAGGCAAAACUAGCCUGAGCACAAGAGAAACAUCUUUCCAUCAGGAAGAGCACUAUUAGGGUUAUAAUGAAGAGGGUACCAUAAAGCUGGACGUGGCUACAACAAGCCAAAAAGGCCAGGUCUCACUGGGGAUUGGAGUUAUAGCGAUAAAGUACCCAAGUACUAGGAUUGCAGAAUGGACACUUAAAGAGCGAAGUAAGGGGGACAAAGUCAUAGAUGAAGCAGUGGCUAUCCAUCUGGUCUUGUGCAAGGCAUUAGAGCAUCAGUGGAGUAGAAUCACGAUCUAGUUUCAAAGCCAGGACCUUAUGAGACAGAUAAAGUACAACAGCCCCUCUAACAGUAGGCUAGCUACCUUGAUAGAUGACAUACUGAGCAUGCAAAAGUUAUUUCGAAUGUGCUUGUUUAGUUUGACAAAUGAAGAAAGUAUUAAACGAAAUAGAGAAUUAAGUUCUCAUGCCUUUGGCAUUUUAGUGGAUGAGGAAUGGAAUUUCCUCACUGCUAGAUGAGCACUAGUUGUACAGUCUUUUCGAGCUGUUGCUCGUACAUGUAAUUUCUUCUUCCAAAUGAAUGAAAAUCUUCUAACGUUUCGAAAAAAAAAUGAAUGAACAAGGGCUGUUGCAUUACUAAGGAUUCGCAGGCAAAUCCAUAGUGAUAUGUGUGUGGAUCCUCAAUAACCGCGUCGGAUAUCAAAAUGGUCCUCAUGCCAGACUUUUUCUGGUUGUUAUGGUUUUGAGCUUCAUCCAAUGACCAGCCCAAACUUUGGGCCAGUAUUCAUUCCAAAUCAGUUCCUUAGCAAUUUGUUUUAGCUCCAAGAAGUCCAAUCCUACCAUAUUUGGGUUAGAACUUUAACAAACUAUAAAUAGGGGUUAUUUAGGUCAUUAUUUGGGGGAGAAACACACUAUACUAACAUUAGUUCAUCAUAUAAAACUCUUUCUUAGGAGAUCAAGGAUGGGUUCAAGGCAUGGAAUCAAAGAGAGAUCAAGACGGAGUUCGGAGCAAGAAAAAUUAGAAAGUUUUCUUUACUUUUAUCUUCAUACAUGUAUUUACUCUUUGAAUUCUUGAUUGUGCAAUGAACACGUCGAACUAAUUUGUAUCUAGGGUGAAGAUUUUGUGAAAGAGUAUUGGUUAUUUAUUUUAAUUAAAUUCUUUAUAUUUGUCUUGAUUUAUCUAUCUUGAUUUAAUUACGUGCUAUGUUUGAUCACCAUAGAUAUGCUCUUAGAGUUUGUAUUGAACUGAGAAGGGACGUACAACUAUACACUAGAUAGAUAAACAUAUUUAAUUUAAUUACAUGAGUAGGCUAGGAUUUGUAUGAUGUAAUUGAAAUCACAUAAGAUCUUAAAAGAUUUAAUUAAAUACUUAUAAUCUUGAGAGAGAUGUAGGAUAUGAUUGGGCACAAUUUAGUUGUAUCAAGAGAUAAUCUAAAACACCUUUACAUAAUACGUUCUUGGCAUGUUAAGAAAUUAGCUGGAUAAUUAAUUCAAAUUCUAGCUCAAAAUUUGAAACUUUAGCCUCUUGCUAAUGGUUAUCUCGCAUCUAUUUUAUUUGACUUGAUAAUUUACUUUACCUCUUAAUUAUAAAUCAAAUCCUUUGAAUUUAAAUUUCAUUGCCUUCUCAUAAUAAUUAGAGUAGAGAAAAUUAAUUCGUCCUUGUGAGUUUGACCUCUAGAUUACUCCUGAUGAUUUUGUUACUACGAUCAGCUCUAGGCACUUGUAGAAAAACCCGAUCAAUUUUUAUCUCCGGAUUGUAGCCACUGCAUUCUAGACUAAUCCUUAUAGAAUUCCUCUUCAGCUAGAAUCAAUCUAGCGUAUUCCUAGAUUAGAACUUUCUCUUCAGCAAUUAACUCAGGAUCAAAAGAUUGCUAUUGCAUAUGCUGUUGCACUAUUAUCAGUUGCUCUUUUUUGCUUUGAACUCCACUAGAGAUGUGGUUAUAAUGUCGUUUAUUCAGCUCUUGAAGCCUACCCUUAAGCUGUUUUAGUCGAAAACUGAUAAGCUGCAUAGGAUUCAUUAACGCUUCAGGAUCAGCUUGCCAAGAAUCCAACAUGAGACAUCAAAAAACUCAUUAUGCUGCAUCCAAAAGCUACGGAAUUUAAAACACUUUGGCCCAAAUGUAACUUGAUCUAGCUAUUUAUUCGGAUUGGUAAUGAUACGACCAAAAAUUGUUAGCCUUAACGUUUGGAAAGUGCUAUUCUUUCUAUAAUCAUAUCUAUAGGAUUACAAAGGAAUAAAGUUAUCUCAGUCAAAACUUGAUUCAAAUUUAGUCAGCAUUGAGUCAAGUCGAAAUUGAGUUGACCAAGUUGAGGUGUCGUGCUUGUAUCUAGCAUAUGAUCAUCCUUUCUCAUUUUUUCCUUUUCUUUAAAGAUUAAUCUUUUCACAAACAUAUGCAUAUAUAUAUAUAUAUAUAUAUAUAUAUAUAUAUACACAUACAUGCAUACAUAUAUACACACACAGAUAUAUAUGUAUGCAUGUAUGUAUACAUACAGAUAUAUAUACAUACAUGCAUAUACAUAUAUAUGCACACACAGAUAUAUAUAUAUAUAUAUAUAUCUGUUUACAUAUAUAUAUGCAUACAUAUGUAUGUAUGCAUACAGAUAUAUAUAUGUAUGUAUACAUGCAUGUAUGUAUGUAUGUAUGUUAACGAGGCUGCAUGCAUGUCACAUGUACAUUCAAAUUUAAAUUAAGAUGAUGCGCUAUAUAUCCAAAUCUACUAAUGUAUAUGCUGACAAUGUGGGAAAUAUUUUAAAACAAAAAAGCAUUUUUCUUGAGAUAUAAAGUAUGCAGCCUUCUUUAUCUUGAAAGUAAGAUCACCAUUUUCUGGAUUUGGGCGGGUCAAGUGGUUGCUUGAGUUUAAUUAGGUACUAGGUGCAGAUGGGUGGACCUCAUAAGCCCAUUAAAUUAAUGGGUUUGGUAGGGUUGUGUAAAUGUUUUUUCAGUCAAUGAAAGCUUGACUAUGACCCAUUCAUAAUUUUUGGUUUCUGUCACUCGACCCGUUUACUUUUGUCCAAGCACGGGCUGCAUUUUUUAGACACCCAGCUUAAAACCCCAAAUUAAACAUUAAAGACCACCUGGUAAUUUCCCUUUGGGUCUCAAAUCUCAAUAUAGGUGGAUGUAGAUAUUUUAACUUUUAAUUUUGGAUAUUUUAACAUUUAAUGUCUCCAAAACCCAGCACAGUUGCAAAGAACAUUAAAUGUAUAAUUUUGAUGUCUGUAAUUUGACUAUCAAGCAUUUCUUUCAUUCCUUACUCAAAUACGACUUAUGUCAUAUUUGAUAAUUUAGUCCAGCAUUUAAAGUUAAUGGAUUCAAAUGUUUAACAUAUUCAGACCGUUUGAUAAUAAAAAAUUAAACAUCUAAAUUAAUUAAAUGGCGUUAAAUUUUCUAGACAAAACUUGCUCUCAAAAUUAAGCGAUAAACUAUUCACUUAUCAUUGAAUGUGAUGUGUACUCAAAUGUAUUAAAUUUAAUAUUUAACAAUCCAAUAAUUUAAUGGAUUCAAACUUCAAUUUUAUCAAACGCACCGUUAUAGUCCUCUUUAAAUUGGGAGAAAAAAAGAAAAAUAGUAACAUACACGGGAAUGAAAUUGAAAAUGAAAGUAACGAGGGAAAGCCCCACGAUGACUUCCGAUGGAGAAGUCAGGUUUACGUGUGAUCAUCAGUUGUCCGCGAAGGGAUGAGGCUCAGCUCAUCCAAGCAAAAAGAAUCGUGAUUGGAGAAGUCAUCGUAGACUUGGCAGCAAUGUUCAAUACAAAUUGGAAAAUGAAGAGAUAAGGCUCAGCUUAACCAAGCAUAAGGCUCAGCUUAACCAAGCAAAAAGGACUUGUGAUUGGAAAAGUCAUCGUAGAAUUGACGACAAUGUUCAAUAGAAAUUGGUAAGCGAAGAGAUAAAGAGACAGCUCACCCAAGCAAGAAAGACCCGUGAUUGGAAAAAUCAUCAUAGAAUCAAGCACAAUGUCAAUACAAAUUGAUUCAAUUAAUAAUAUAUAAAUAGAAUAUGUUAAACCCGUGAUUGGAAAAGUCAUCGUAGAAUCAAGGACAACGUCAAUACAAAUUGAUUCAGUUAAUAAGAAACAGAAUAUGUUAAAAACAUGCUAUCUAUAAAGAUUGUAUUAAUAAAUUAUCUGUAGUAUUCUUAUAAACGGCUCAUAAUUUUAGGAUCCAUGAUCUCAGAAGCAUGUCUUAUCCCAUGAUAAUAGUGACGAUAAUCCAUCCAAACUUUUUUUUUUCUCUUAUCAAAAGUGUAGAAUUGGCAACAACAAUAAUAACAGUCACGCUUUGUGCUUUCUUGCCUACCCUUAUUCCACAUUUUUCUACAAUGCAUGCUUGAUAGUUAACGUUUUUUUAAGGCAAAGUAGCAUUUUAUCGAUCUGAGCAAAACAGUACUAAAUGUGCCCAUUCUCCCAAACAUAACAAACCUGUAAAACUUUAUCCCCACGUGCAUGUAAAACAAAUUUGACCCGUAAAACAUAUAAUAAACAUCCGUAUACGCAACUAUAAGCGAUGUCCCAAAAUAAUUAUCCCUACAUAACGAGGGCAAAAUUUCACCCAUGAUGAAACUACUUUCGACAGGGAAUUUUGGUAAGAAUGUAUUAUACAAAUUUCUAAUUUACUAUCGAGAGCAAAAUUUCACCCAUGAUGGAACUACUUUGGACAGAAACUUUUUGUCAGAAUGUAUUAUUUGUAUACAAAUUUCUAAUUUACCAUACCAGGUUAAUUUUAUCUUAAAAAUUAGGAGGACUAUUGUCAUCCAAUUGACGUUGCCUAGCUGCCUGCCUUCCAGUCACAAACUGACAAUUAACAACAGAUACUAAAUCAAUUUUCAUUGGCCCAAGCAACCUCUCACAUUUAAGUACCGUUCUUUCUGGGAGUCAAGACCUUAAAAGUAAAGUCAAGAUAUCCUCCGUGUAUGCUUUCUCAUCCAUGUUUCUAGUAACCUCAUUUUUGUUCCUCUAUGAUGACAAGCUGUUCUGGAAAUAAUAAUCAUUUGACCACAUGAUUAAAGUAAACUAAUACAUCGCCAUAAAAAGUAAUCUCUCACCAUCUUACCUUCGUUUGAUAAGUACAAUUUAUUUCCUAACCAUUCUAAUUUGUGAUUCGGUUUGACUAACGAGUAUCUAAUGGGCGCUCGUUAAAAGAAAUUCGUAUUAGUUUUUUGAAAAAGUGUGUAAUAUAAGUGAGUAUGUGUAUUUAUAUAGCAAUUUAGGUGUGGUGGCCAUUCUGCAACACUUUUCCUAAUUAAGCCUUUACUCAGGCAUUUCUAGCCAAAUAUAUAUAGAUUGCGUGCCAUUAAAAAAUUCUUCAAACCGCCUAGCUAUAGUAAUUACGUGGCAGCGGUGUAUCUUUUCACACUGACCUUAUCAAAAGACGCGCCCAUGCUGGUCGUCCGACAAACGUCACCACAUUUUUAGGCCUAUAAAUACAAGGACUCUGGUUCGUUAUUUUGAUGUGCUAAACUCAGGUUUUCGACAGUCACAACCAGUUACAAAUACCCAUUUUCAUUCAUAUUAAUUAGCUAGCUAGUUCUUCAAGGGAAAAAAUGGCUGAAGCCAAAUCUGCUACUGUCACUGACCAGGUGAAUAGUGAUUCUAUUGCCAAGCCAGACCUAGAUUUCCUUCUCUUUCAAGUUUGUGUGUGGUUUUGAGAAUCAACUCAUAAACAACUUGUAUUUCGAAAAGUAAUUGCAACGUUCUUGAAUUGUCGUAAGCAAUAUUUUACAUUUCUAGUUGUCUCCAUACAUAUGGGUAGGCGGUCUCUUGAAUUGUUUGAUUAAGCUUCUUCUGAGUGAUGUAGUUUCUUAUUAACUGAUCGGAUUUAGUCUUCUGAUUGUUUUGCGAUUUUCUCACUGGUUAAAAUGUUUGGGAUUUACAGAUCGACAUCAACUCAAUACAACCAGUAGCCCCGGCAGACCCUCGCGUGGCCGAGAUCGGACAAUUUGUAGUGGAAAAAUUUCACCACGGCAAGCUGCUUUUCAUCGCCGUGAUUGGCGGAUUCACGUGGAAAUGUGAGGGAGGCAAGUACUACGCACUUAUCAUCCAAAAUCAGGAUUAUGAGGGCGCCACAUUUAUCCAUAAAGCACUCGUUGUUGAGGCCCCGGGUGAAACCAAACUCCUCUGGCACAGGAAUUAAUCAAGCACUACUAUUGAUCAGCUGAGGAUCAAGCAUUACUAUUGAUCGGAUAAACGACUUUCUUUGGGUACUUAAAUUAUCCAGUGUCUAUGGUGUGGUUUUCAGUUUGUGCAUGGAUGAUGUCCUGCUGCCAUGCAUACAUCUUUCCAGUAUUGUACUAGCAUCUUUCCACCAUUCCGUUUGUAUUUGAGUUUGUAUCCUUGUAUGUUAAAGGUGCACUUAUACGGACAAAAAUGCACCAUUAUAUGAAUAAAAACGGCUGUUUGUUUUUGAGUUUAUAUAUGUGUAUUUUGUUUCUCUGUUACUUCGAAGCAGGUUCCAAUCCCUGAAUUUGUAAAUCUGCUAUAUUCAUGACCAGUUAUAAAAUCUGAUAACUGGUUAAGUGUUACUUAAAAUGGAUCCAAACCCGAAAGGGAUAUGAAAGAUUAAUUGAUAUAUUGAGAGCAAGACAUGCCGAUUACGUUUUGGUUUUCUCAAGUGGUACUCGUUCUUCUUUGUAAGUAUAUUUUGGGUGUUCUUCAAAAAUACGAAAACUGUUCAGGCCAGCAAGUUUAACAUAAGCAGUAGUUGUUUCUUCACCCCUCAACAGUUAAAUGUGGCAAGACCACGACGAAUAAUCACAAGUGUUGCAGGGUUUUCUUAUCAAGUUUUUCCAGUUUGGGUUGGCCGUAGGAAAAUUUCCUUUUUCCGACAUCAUGUCAGGGCAUUGCAACUCAGAUUCUGUCUUUUGGAUGAAUAAAUUCCCUUCUCAUGGUGGCAGGCUGCUUUGCAUCAAGCACAUGCUUUCAUCCAUUCCUAUUCAUGUCCUAGCUGCAGCUAAUCCUCCUAAAUCUGUUUUUAAUAUGAUAGAAUCUAUCUGCGCUAGAUUUUUUCUGGGGUUCCUCAGAGGAGGAAAGGGACACGCCUAAGGAUGGCAGCCCCUGCGGGGGGCCAUUGGCGCGGGGGAGCGGGGGAUAUUAUCAAUUUUACCCUCACCCCGCCAACCGUUUGAAAAAAAAACAGAUAUAUAUAUAUAUGUACAUAAUUAUAUAUAUAUAAUGAUAAUAUCAAUUAUAUUACUAAUUAUAGAUGUCUAUUAAUAAAAAUUAUUAAUUAUUUAUAUUAAAUUUAUUAAUAUAUUUAUAUUAAAUUCCUAACUACACUUAAUACAAUAACAAUUUUUUCUAAAAAAAAACACAAAGUAAUUUAGUGAUUGUAUUUGUAUCAAAAGUGAAAACUUGAUUAUUUUAGUUAUAUUUGUUUUAUCAUAUUAGAUUGUAUUCAAAUAACCUUUGUUUAAUUAUUUUUAUGAGUUUCAAUUGUGAAGUUACAAUGAAUAAUAAUUUGGUGAUGUGUUGAUAUUUUAGUACUUGAUUAUUUGCUCAAAUUUAAUUAUAAUAAAAUUAUUUAAUAAAAUUUUUUUAACCCCACCGGUACCUCCUCGCGGGGGAAGCGGGGCGGUGCAGAGCAGGGCGGGAGAUGGGGCGGGGGUGGGGGGAAUUAAAAGGCAGCGGGGCGGGGUUGGGGGAGGUGUCCCCCGCCCCAUCCCCGCCCCAUUGCCACGCCUAGAGACGCCAGUUUCUAACUUGGAAUGGUCCUAGUUCCUUCACUGCUCCAGCUUCCAGAGCAGAGAAGUCAGGCCCUGCCAUCACCAAAUUAAGAACAUGUUUCCUGAAAUGCCCAUAGAGAGUGCUUUCUAGGUUCAACCAAAAACGAUACUCUCUCGGUUCCAUUAAAAAUAUCAUACCUUUUAUUUUGGAAUGUUUUAAAAUAUUUGUCACAUUGAAAAAGUUAGAUUACCUUUUAGUCUCUUUUUUUUAAUAUAGCUCUUCUUUCUAAUCAUAUACAUGAUAUGAUUAAAUUUUAAAUGUGUGGAGGGUAAAAUUAGAAAGAGAAGUAUAAAUAUCACAAUUAAACCAUUAAUUUUUAAAAAGUUAGAUUUCUCAAACAUGACCUUUUUUUUAAUAUAAAUAUCGAGAUUUUAUUGCCUGUAACACAAACUUACAAACGGAGCAUAGGCCAAUCACGUAGACGACCUUUUAAAAAAUCGGAGAGAUGGAAGCCCUAAUUUAUCCAACCUGACUGCCUCUCUUGCUAGCUGUGGCAAGUGAUUUGGUUGGUCAUAAACCCUAAUCGAAUCAUAUGGGUGCAAGAGAUCCUUAUUAGCGAGUAUGUCUGCCACCGUGUUUGCUUCUCUAAAGCAGUGAGAGAAUUGCCCUAGAUCCUCAGCCAGCUACCAUAUUUGGUCAAACAUGAUUAAAUAAUUGGAACGGAGCGAGUAAUAAUAACAAUAAAUAUACCUCCAUUUAGCCAUAAUACAAGAGGCUUGUUAGAAGGAUUUUCGGACUCCGCAAAAUAGUAGAAGAGAGCUUUACUAGUCCUAGGAUCAACAGUAACGUACCCCGAGAGUCUGUUUGGUUACAAACUAGAUGAAAUGGGAUGACUCAUCCUUGGAUUAUUAAUCCUGGGUUUGAGUCAUCUUCGGAUAAAUAAUCUAAAUUAUCUAAUGUUUAGUUGAUUCUCUGUUGGAUAGGAUAUAUUGUAAAAUAAUCCUAUCCUGUGUUUGGUCGAAAAUUGGAUGAGGAAGGAUUACUAUUUUAAUGACCAAAGCGUCCCUUAAUUUAUAGAUUCUUUUUAAUAAAACAAUUUAAUAUUUUAUAAAAUAUUAAUAAAAUAAUUUAAUAUUAUUUACUAAAAUAAUCUAAUAAAUAAUUUAAUAUUUAUAAAUUUUAUUAAAAUAGAGUAGCUCAAAACUUUAUAAUUAUAGUGUAAAUCAAGAAUUUUGAUAUAUAAAAAUUCAAAUUUAUUUAAAUUUAGCCCCUUCGAGCCCUUAAAAACAGAUUUUGACCAAGCUUUAACCCUUUUGGUUGCCCCGGCAAUGCUACUACUUUGUCGGCCGCCUUCCAAACCCUCUCGAGGACCAAUAUAAACUGGCGUGUUCUCAUGUCCGCAAUCCUCAUCAUUUACGUAAUUGUCUAAUUGUUGGGUGUCAGAACCACCAAAAAUAAAAUUCUUACUCCAAAAAGAUAUACUUUUGAAUACAAUGGUGAGUAAAGUCAAAAAUAAUAAUGUAAAAUUAAAUUAAAAUAAAUUAAUAAAAGACAAAUAUAUAGUCAAAGGUCUAAUCUCCAUUUUGGUUCAAUUAACUAAUCAUUGAUAUAAGGAUAAAAUUAUUUAUUUAUAAAUAAACUAAUUAUGGUUAUCAAUAAAUUUUAAAAACCUACCUUUCCUUACUAUUCUUGAUAACUACAUUAAACUCUGUGAUGAUUACUCUUGCCAAUUAUUAGGAUUUAAUAUAUUAACAAAAUUAAGCAAUUAAGCAAUUAUUAGCAAUUAAGCAAGCCUAAACAAAUUCAUAGGAUUUAAUAUAUUAACAAUAUUAAUUAUUAUAGAAGCUACUAGUUCUAACUAGUAAAGACAUGAGUUCCGUUUAUUUAGGCUAGAUUAUAUAUUUUUGUGACCUAUAUUCAAAAAUUUUACUACAAUCAAAAUAUAUCACGGGCCAUAAAUACUAAAAUCAUCAAACAAUUACAGAUUUGAUGAUUUAGACAGCAAUACAGUAUCUCGACACUUAAAUAGUGGUCAAUUAUUUAAUCGUAUAAAAUAAUCAUAUCAGGAAUGGUAAAAACUUAUAAAUAAAUUAGAUAUCACGAUAAAUCAAAAUUUUGAUUAUCCUUCAACUAGAAAAAAAAUUCAGCCACUCUUCAUGGUGGAUUCGCAGCCAAAGCAAACUAGGGUUUAUUGGAGGAAAAAUACGAAGAAAAAGAAAAGAGAGAAACGGCAAGAAAGCAAAAGAGAGGAGGUCCCUUGCUUCUGGUUCCUUCCGUCCAAAUUAUAAAAAAAAAAAAAAAAAAAACUACCGUUCUCCAAAGUCAUAACUACUAGUCUCAAUAGCACUUACCGUUCUCCAGAAGUCAUAACUACUGAUCUAAAUAGCACCAACGUUUCCUGCCACUAAAGGAAAAUGAUUCCUUUUGCUAAUGUAACUCUGACAAAUACUAAAACUAAUAAAUAUGAUAAAAAAAUAUAGUUCCCAACAUAAUCAACAACUUUAUAAGCAAAUAAAGAUUUAUUUUGUCACAACGAUAGAAGUCUUAUAAUAUAAUCUAGUCUAAUCUAAGGAAAGGAGAAAGGGAAUUCAAUGUGAGUAAAAACUUCAUCGAAGAUAGCCAUUUAAAACCGCCACAUAUAAUGACAAAUUGAUGGAAGGUAAAAAUUGAACCCUUAUCCUCCCGCACGCACCAAAACUGGUAGUGAGAAGUGACAGGUGCCGAGCCUGUGCAAUAAUAAUAAAUAAAAUCUAACUACCACAUAAAGCAGUUAAUAAUCAAUUCUAGUAUUUGAGCAGGGACUCUAGGUGUGUAAUGGGUUACUUGAUUCACCCUGUUCCCGAAGAGUUUGCUUAAUCCGAUAUACCUGAAUUAAUUAUUUAACUGAAUUCACUAGUUAGUAGACAGUGGUAAACAGGGUCGUCUUCUCAAGGACUGGAGAGAAAUUUGUUUCUUUUCAAGUCAAGAUUAAUGGGGGGUUUUGGGAUUAAAUGCCAACUAAACAAAUUAAAUGCAGAAAAUAAUUAAUUAAAAGAAAUAAUUAGAGAAACUCUAGCCAAGGGUACACUUCAGAAAUGGUCAAUGCACUGAUUAUCGAUUCACAGAUAAUUCCAAUAUUUAUUAAUAAAUUGGUUAUAGUUGUCAUGCACGCGAUAAACAACCAACCCUUCCUUAAUUUAUCGAUAGCUAAGGUACGACCGUUAUCUAUUUUUCUAACCCAAAAACAACCCUAGGUACGACCGUAGAAUUUAAUUUCUAACUUGCAUUAAUAAUUAGAAAGGCUCAAUCCUAACUAACAAAUACGCUACGAGGGUUUGUUUAAGCUAGAUCGUAUGUUCCGGUGACAUAAACCCAAUUACGCCAGUUACUACUAAGCCAGAGAUAACAAAUAAUUACGGAUUCAAUUACCUCUACUUAGCAAAAUAGCCUAUAUGAAUAAUUAAUUAUUACGCACUAAUCAAUCAUACACGAGACUAUAGCAAUUAAAAACAGGGAACAUAUAAAUAUUAAUAAAUGAAAAAAAUAAUUAAAAAUAAUUUAGAUCUCAUAGUAAUUAUUGAAUCAAUUCAUCAGUUAUGCCCUUGGGAAGAAUUAGAGAUUUAGUUUCCUACAGUUAGAGAACAAGCCAUGCGUGGAGAGUUGGGAAAAAUUGUUAGAUUUGCUCGUUCGAUUCCGGCCGACAGAGUGAAGAACAGAACGAAGAGAAUCGCCACUCUCUAUUGCUUCUAAUCAAAACAUACGGUAGAAGCCUGAUGCUUUCUACCAAUUUGGUCCAAGCUGCAGGAAAAAACAAAGAUCCACAAGUCCACAAUUGCGGCUGGACUUCAAUUCUGUGCCAAAGAAAAGAAAAGUCAACCCCGUAGCUUUUUUCUCUCAAUAAUGGUUCACAAUAACAUGCGAGAAUGUCUUUUUCUUGUUCCUUUCAUUCGGUCAACAAUAAUGAAGAACAAAUUCACCCGGUCAACAAUAGUGGCCUUUCUUUCUCUCCUGAUUGCCUACCAAAAGCCACGGCCUCCCCCAAAUUCAAAAGCAAAAACGAAAGUAAAACCUAAGCCAAACGAAAAUCCCCUAAAACAAGUAGUCCCCGAAAAUGGGAGGAAGGGAUUUCCUCUUAUCCCAAACUAGUAUUCAAAAGAAACAAAACUCCCUAAAAAUAAACUAAAAUAAAAUUCAUUACAAUUUAAUUUUCUCGGCUUCUCAAGCAGGCCUCCACUGGGCUAAUUCCUUAGACUAUUGUUUGAAAAAAAAAAAGUCGUCUACCUACGGAUCUGACAUGGGUUAAGUAUGAAUCUAUGGGUGCCGGGCUGUCUCAGCCCGGCACCUGACACUUUUUUUUUUUAAAAAAUCCACAUGGGUGACAGCCCGGCACCUGCCAAACAUUGUGUGUCAGGUACCGGCGGUACCUGACAACUUUUCUUAAAAACCAAAAAAAAAAAAAAAUACCGGUCAGCAAAAUUCAGUCUUUCAAUUCUUAGCGUACGUGACUCCAACAUUUCCAUUAGAAUUGCUAGGGUUGAAACAAAAUUCAUCACUUAGGGUUUUUUGGUGAACCAUAGGGGAAAGAACAGCAUGGGGCGGCAAGGGAGAAAUAUGAAUGGUUCAAGGCAACUCUUAACAUCCGCGAGAGUCGAGUAACUUUUGAAAAAGGGGCUCAAUUUUUGGACAAUGAAAAAAUAAUACCAAUGAAAAAGUAUCAAAAGCAUUUAUUAAAUAUUUAGGAGCAAUUUUAAAGUGAAAUUUUUUAAUCUUGAUGAUCAGGCUGGAGGAUGCUACUUUUGAUGAUUUGGACCUGUUACAAAUUGAGCAUAAGAAAUAGGCGUUAAUCAUAAUUAAUUUCCUUAGAAUAUAUAUCAUUUUUCACUUUAGCUUCUAACAACGGCUCCGUUUGAAUUAGCUGUUUUUUGUUUUGUUUUUCAAAAACACAAUUGUAGCAUUUUGAAUAUGAAAAACAAGUCCGUUUGGAUUAGUUGUUUUUGGGGUUGUUUUUUAAAAACUAUAUGAAAAACUUUUACUAUAGAUUUUUUUGGAUUAUUUUUAGAGGUAUUUUUGAAACAUAUGUUUGAGUAUUUUUAGAAUAUUAUAAUUUUUAUAUUUUUAUAUAACUAUACAUUUAUGCAUUUAUAAUACAUUUAUAUUUACAAAUGUAUAGAUGUAUAUUAUUAUGAAUGUAUAAAUUAUAAAUGAAUAUUAUAUAAAUGUAUAAAUUAUAAAUUUUAUAUUUUUAUAUAAAUAUGCAUUUAUGCAUUUAUAAUACAUUUAUAGAUAUUUAUAAAUAAAUAUUUAUAUAUUCAUAUAUAAAUAUAUAAAUGUAUUAUAUUAUAUAUAAUACAAAAUCUAAAUAUAUUUAUAAAUGUAUAAGUGUAUAUUAUUAUAAAUUAUAAAUUAUAAAUGAAUAUUAUAAAUAUAUUAUAAAUUAUAAGUGUAUAUUAUUAUAAAUGUAUAAAUUAUAAAUGAAUAUUAUAAAUGUAUAAAUUGAUAUAUUAUAAAUAUAUAUUAAUAUUAUGUAGAAAUGUGUUUAUAUAAUUAAUAUAAAUGUAUAUAUGUAUUGAUAUUAUGUAUAAAUGCAAAAUUAAUAUUAUGUAUAUUAAUAUAAAUGUAUAAAUGUAUUAUAUUAUAUAUAAUACAUAAUAUAAAUGUAUAUUUAAAUGUAUACAUGUAUAUUAUUAAAAAUGUAUAAAUUAUAAAUGAAUAUUAUAUAAAUGUAUAAAUUAAUAUAUUAUAAAUAUAUAUUAAUAUUUAGUAGAAAUGUAUUAGUAUAAUUAAUAUAAUUGUAUACAUGUAUUAAUAUUAUGUAUAAAUGUAAAAAUAUUAUUAUGUAUAUUAAUAUAAAUGUAUAAAUGUAUUGUAUUAUAUUAUAUAUUAUACAUAAUAUAAAUGUAUAUUAUAAAUAUACAUAAAUAUUUAUAUAAAAAGCUUAAUAAAAAGCUAGGUCGACCUGAAGUACUAAAUCUUUUAGUCUUUUAAGUUAAUUAAUUUUCAUUUCAAAGUUGAAACGUAAGAAAAAGAUGAAAAUAGAUUUGUGCAAAAUCACUAAUUACUCUUAUAGGAUGUUAAACUAAGAAAAGGUUUUUCAAACAAAAUAUCCCAUUCAUUUUGUUAGAAUUAUUAUGUAACUUUUAAAUGUUCACUAUAAUUUUAUAAAUAUAAAUUUAUUGUGCAAUAUAAAAAGAAAAAAGGACGAAAAAAAGAAAGAAAAAUGCAUAGUGUGACAUGGUGAAAUGGUUAAAUAUAAAAAUAACGAUAAGCAUUCAAAUAAUAAAAGGCUAAAAUAGCGCUAAAUCCCCAUAUUAUAAUAUUUGAUAUUUAACAAACAUGUACUGAAAAUGAUCACAUCAACGCCCCGUGCGCCUUUUGCCCUUGCCUUUAUCACCUGGUGUUGUGGACGAACAGCAAAAUCUUUUGGGUUGUCGUCUGCAACGUUCCCGCAGAACUAUUGGCUCCUGUUGUGUAUCGAUUGGAGGGGCAACAUCUAUGGAAGCAUCAUCAAGUCCUGCGUCCUCCUCCUCAACCGUGUCUGCAGUCGUACUGCUAUCACAAUCGUUCUGAGAGCGAUACGUAACAAAAUCUCCCGAAUGACCGUAUCCAGUAGCACAUACUGGCUGAAUCGACGUAGGUACGGUCAUAGGCUGUCCAAAACUAUAAUAAUCAGGAAGCUCUGAAAUAGGAGAUGUACCACCCACUCCACUAAGAAAAUUGAAUAUUGGAUGUAGUUCAGAAGAAGAUGAUGACACCGCUGCAAUGGUAGAGUCUCCAACUAGAGGCUCGUGCGAUGAGAAUGGAUAUUGUCCACCGAAGGCAGGACAAUAUGAAGAGGGUGUGGGAUGUGCACCAAAAGGUGGAAACUGUGGCAAAGGUGUGGCAUCUAGACCAAUAUGCGAUGAGUAUGGGAAAGAUGUCACCUGAGGGCUAAAAGCCGAUAUAUUCUGUGUAGUUGGCAUAGCAUUGAUAUUCGGCACCUCGGUGUGUUGAAUGGUCUGCUCCCUAAUGACUUCGUCUUGCAAGCCAUGCCUGUGCCGUCGACUUCUACUAGAUGAUGGUCCACCUUGUGUAGGGACACGCCGCACACGAUUGGGCUGUGGAAUUUCUUGUGACACAGGAGGAUUAUGACCGAAAGAAUUAAAAUCACCAACAACCAUGCGAUCAAAACGCUGGAGGUAUUGCAUUGAUCCAUAUGCUCUAUCAACAAUGGUUGCAUAAUGGGAAUGAAAGCGACCGUUAGUGUCGUCAAGCUGUAGUGCAUCAUGCGAUUGCUGGCCAACCUGCUACAUAGUACCCAUCUGACAUAUACAAAAAACGGCGACAAUCCUUUUUAAUCAUUGUUGAAUAGUAAAUAAAUUAAAUUGGUAUAUAGUAAUAACUUACCAAAUACUCAAACUGGCCAGAAACUCCAUGCAACAUUUGCCCAUACUGUGCAUGCUGCUGGAUAGGAGGCGUAAUGUACAGAAUGGUGUGAUUAUGAUACCACUCGAGAUACUUAUUGGAAGGCCUGAAUGUAUCUAUGGCACACCAGGUACCUCUGCAGUUGCACGCGCAUUCCAGUAUGCUAUCCAACCCUUAUGAAAAUCAGCCCAAUUUCUUCCCGGAUAACCAGAAAUAUCCAAUUGGUGUAAACCACCCCGAUUAGUGUCAACUGGUUCCGGAAUGUCCUGCCUCAUCCCAAAUUGACGCAUGACACGAUCAGGAAAAUGAAAUUCGACGAUGUACCAGAAUAUAAGAGGGACUCUUGCCCGCCAUAUGUGCGCUCCCCGUUUGCAGUAAUCAGGUAGUCGUGCCAGUAUAUCAUCGGUAUACGGUAUCCAAAUAAACUGAUAUCAUAACAGUUAUUUAGAUUGUGGAUCGGCUCUUUGUGAUAUUAUUAUUAUAAAUAAUUUAUUUAGAUAUAAGAGACAAAUACCUGAUCCAUGCGUAAUAAGGCUAACUGCUCCCGAUAAUGUAUGCCGGACUGACUAGAAGGGUCAAUCCCUGUUCGUUCGGCUGCCCAUCUCCCUCCUCUCGGAAAAUCCCCAAUUUCAGAAUAUGGGAGUACAUCAGGUCGAAUCACAGGAAUCCGCUCCCACGCCCAAAGUUGUAGUAACAAGUAUGGACCUCCAGUUGUUAUUGUUCCAACACGAGAUGCGUGGCACAUUCGUGAAUAUAAACAAGCCAACGUCGCAGCCCCCCAACUGUAUUGCCUCAUGGCAUCCAAAUCACGGACAUAGUCUAAUCAAUUCAAACUCACGAGAUUCUGACAUGAAUCAGCAAAUAACAAUCCACCCAAUAGAAUCAGGAUGUACAUGCGGGCAUACUGACGAACCAUAACAUCUGAAGCAUCUACUGGCAACGGUGUACUCAACCGUCGGGAUAUAGAAGUAAGCUUUAGACGAUCGUGGUUGAACAUGUUAUCUUCUGGCCAAUAUCCCAAAAUAUCAUAAAUCAACUGCUUCCGCUCCACCAAGUUACGUCUACGGUGCACUAAUGUAACCGGCAAACCAUCAACCCGAAGACCCCACAAAACCUCCACAUCCUGCAGAGUUACUGUCGCCUCUCCCAUAACUGGGAGGUGAAAAGUAUGUGUCUCUUGCCUCCAACGUUCCACAAGUGCAUUUAUAAGGCCAUAAUCUACUGUGAGGUAACCGGCUCUGCGAAUACCAUAAAAGCCUGCGGCAUCGAUGUAUUGUGGCCCCAACGAUAUCCCCCAUCUUUGCACAGAGCCCAUUGUUCGGGUCGAACUGAUCCACCCGUUAGCCAUGCAUAUGCCUCCGUAUUUAGGGAGAAAAUCACAUUCAUGAAGUUCUCAUACUUACGUGUCUGAUUCGCCACACCAGCCCCGUACAUCAGGUUUUUAAGCCUAACACACAUCGUAAAAUAACGUCAAAAGGGGAUUAAUUUACCUAUGAUGGGUGGAACAUGAAAAUAUAUUUAAUUUUUAGGGGUUAAAUGACAAUUUACCUUUCAUUCUUGAAUUUUUGUAUGAAAUUGCUCCGAAUAUGAAUCAAACAGAAUCGGUGCACCCCUAAUGGCUCCUGCCACUCUUCGAGUGUACGCAUUGCAUUAAUGAUGCCAUGAUGACGAUCAGAAAUAAUGCAUAUAUUCUGCAUGUCACCACACACGUGAAUGCGUAACAGUCUCAUGAACCAAGGCCAACUCCGAUUAUUCUCCUCAUCGACUAGAGCAUAUGCCAGGGGAAACAGUGAACCAUUAGCAUCAAAACCUACGGCGACAAGAAGUUUUUCCCGAUAAGGUCCUUUCAAAAAGGUACCAUCCACACAUAUGACCGGUUUCAGAUGGCGAAAGCCUUGGAUGGUAGGUGCAAAUGCCCAAAAUAUAUAAUCAAAAAUAAUAUUGGAAGGGGUACUCGAUGGAUGAUGGUCCCACACAACUACCGUACCCGGAUUGGACCGUUGUAACUCCUGAAUAUAGGUUGGCAGCUGUGAUAUGGAUGUCGGCCAAUCCCCGUAUAAUAUAUCAAUGGCACGGCGUCUAGCAUACCAAGCUUUCUUGUAAGACACAUCGCAAUGAAACUCCUGUUUCACCGAUGCUUGAAUUUCCUUGAUUUUAUACACUGGACCAUUCAUAAUGUGGGGAAUAAUAUGUUCGGCAAUUAUGUCGCUACUCAAUCCACGGUGGUCAUUAUUAAAACAGACACGAAUGCAUGUAUGAGCAUCAGCAAGUGUGACAAUCAUCCACAUGUUGUGCGAGCUACGCAGGGUUGCACGAAGCUGCCAAUUACACGGGGGUACAGAGUUACGAGCCCGACAACGAACAUACCAUGUUGUUGGCGUGCUCUCACGAACUUUGAACUCCCUAUUCUCCUUUAUGGACCACAAUUUCACAGCUCUCUUGACAUGUUCCUUUGUUUCGAAAAGUUGACCUAAUUCUAAAUCUUUGGUGUGUUCAUUCCACAAUUUUAACUUCUCAACUCGCCCAACAUCAAGGGGGUCAUAAUUCAAUGCAGCGUCGACACCAGCUUCAUAACGCAGUUGUGGUCCUUCACGAGUUAUCCAAGGAGCAUUGCGACCCAUGUCAUCAUAGGUCGUAGUUGGAAGAUUUGAAUACCCAUCUUGUCGAUCGGUAUCAUGUUGGUGGUUCUCUUCAUCGGAACCACUAAGAUUGGGCUCCGGUUCGGAGUUCAUGUCAACAUCUACAAACUGAAUGUCAGUAGAUGGUAGAGCAUCAAACAUCGGUGAUGAUUCAAUAUCCGUACAUCGAGUUUGAAAUGAUGAGGUGUGCUCUAUUGGUUGACCACUUGUACUUGAAGGAUCAUUAUUACUCCGCCGACCAUUACCCCUUCUUCGCCCUCUAUGCCUUGGUUGAACAUCACCUACAUCUAAUUGGGUCAUUUGACUCUCAAAAAGGCCGCCUGACUGGAAUAAAGAUAUGUGUUCUGAACUACUACCACCUCUAUCAAGAUUAGCACUUACAACACCUAAAAUUUGAGAAUCAUCCUCUUGUAAAUGAAAGACCUCCUCGACCUCCACAUAUAUUUCGGUUGCAAGUCUACUAUCAGAUUGUAAGUAGUACAGCCCGGCAACUCCGUUGUCAUUCACCAAAGGCAUUGCACCAAACUUGCCAUUUGGAAGGCAACUUCGAUAUAUCAAACUAAUCUUAUAGCGCUUCCGAUCUAAACCCAAAAGAUUGUAUAUUUGGUCUACCAAAUCAUCAUAACCUACCAUCUCUGGAAGGAACAAUACUUGUUUCGGUAUAGGGGGAUCAUAUGAAAUUGACCCUCCUUCGUAUAUAAUUUUUCCUUCCCAAUAUACUUGAAUCACCAAGCAAUUAUCACUUGACAUGUUAUACCUAUUAGAGACGAGUGUUGAUAGCAUUUUAAAACACCAUUAAUAUACUUAUUUGAAUAAUUAUUUAAUUGAAUCAAAUAUAUAUAUAAUUUAAUAACAAAUAAUAAAUAAUUACGAUUCUAUAACUGUGACAAAUAAUAACAAAUAACAACAAAUAAAGUGUAAUUAAAUAAUAACGAAUGAUAACAAAUAGUAUAACAAAUAACAACAAAUAAAGUGUAAUUAAAUAAUAACGAAUAAUAACUAAUAGUAUAAUGAAUAACCACAAAUCAAGUGUGAUUAAAUAACAACAAAUAAUAUAACGAAUAACAGCAAAUAAAGCGUAAUUAAUAAAUAACAAAUAAUAACAAACAGUAUAACAAAUAACAACAAAUAAAGUGUAAUUAAAUAACAACAAAUAACAACAAAUAAUGCAUUAUAAUUAAAUAAUUAAAUCAUUUAUAAUAAACAAAUGAAUAUUUAAUAAAUAACAACAUAAUCCUAAUUCAUCACCUUAAUUAAAUGCAUUUGAUCGAACCUCUUUAAUUUAACUAAUUUCACAACUAAUUAAACUAAUUAAUCCACUAAACUAAUUAAAAUAAUUGUUUACUAAAUAACAUAAACUAAUUAUCAACUAACUUAACAAAUAAAGUGAAUAGCAUUAAACUAAUAUCACUAGGUAUGAAAUUUUGCUAUGCUAAUUACAUUAAUUUUAUGUAUUUAUUUUAUUAGCAUAGGUAUUAUUUCAAUUACUUAAAUUGCCCCGACUAAACGGCUAUCUUAAUCAAAACUCAAUUGCACAAAUUCGUUCAAUUAAUCCAUUCAAUUAAUUAACCUCGCCAAGUACAUCUAAAUUCAUUUAAUCGAACCUCUUAAAAUUAAUUCAUUCAAUUAAUUAAACUAAUAUAUCCUGUUGGCUAAUUAAACUAAUCAUAUACUAAAUAACAUAAACUAAUUCAUUUAAAUUCAUUUAAUCAAAAUUCAUUUAAACUAAUUAAACUAAUAACAUAUACUAAAUAACAUAAACUAAUUCAUUUAAAUUCAUUUAAUCGAAAUUCAUUUAAACUAAUUAAACUAAUAACAUAUACUAAAUAACAUAAACUAAUUCAUUUAAAUUCAUUUAAUCAAAAUUCAUUUAAACUAAUUAAACUAAUAACAUAUACUAGAUAACAUAAACUAACCUUGCCGAAUACAUCUAAAUUCACCCCUAAUCGAACCUCUUAAAAUUAAUUCAUUCAAUUAAUUAAACUAAUAUAUCCUGUUGGCUAAUUAAACUAAUCAUAUACUAAAUAACAUAAACUAAUUCAUUUAAAUUCAUUUAAUCGAAAUUCAUUUAAACUAAUUAAACUAAUAACAUAUACUAAAUAACAUAAACUAAUUCAUUUAAAUUCAUUUAAUCAAAAUUCAUUUAAACUAAUUAAACUAAUAACAUAUACUAGAUAACAUAAACUAACCUUGCCGAAUACAUCUAAAUUCACCCCUAAUCGAACCUCUUAAAAUUAAUUCAUUCAAUUAAUUAAACUAAUAUAUCCUAUUGGCUAAUUAAACCAAUCAUAUACUAAAUAACAUAAAAUAAUUCAUUUAAAAUCAUUUAAUCGAAAUUCAUUUAAACUAAUUAAACUAAUAACAUAUACUAAAUAACAUAAACUAAUUCAUUUAAAUUCAUUUAAUCAAAAUUCAUUUAAACUAAUUAAACUAAUAACAUAUACUAAAUAACAUAAACUAACCUUGCCGAAUACAUCUAAAUUCACCCCUAAUUGAACCUCUUAAAUUCAACGAAUUCCACAAUUAAUUAAACUAAUUAAUCCACUAAACUAAUUAAACUAAUCAUAUACUAAAUUACAUAAACUAAUUAUCAACUAAUUUGCAUAAUAAAGUAAAUUGUAUUAAACUAAUAACACUAAUAUCAUUAAUUAAGUUAUGCUAAUUUUAUGUAUUUUAGUUAAACUAAUUUAAUUCAUCCAUUAAAUAAAUUUAAACAACUAAUUAAACUACUUAAACUAAUUUUAUCACUAAACUAAUUCAACUAAGCAUGUACCAUAUUAUUAAACUAAUAUUAGCUAACUUACGUAAAAAGUAAAUUACAUUAUUUGUAUACAACUAUUCUAUAAUAAAUUAAAUAUUUAUUUAACAAAAAAUAUUAACAACACAAUAUAACAACAAUAUAAAAUAUUUAUCACCAAUUGAGUAACAUAAUAUAACAGUUAUAACAAUUUUUAUAUAAGACAGAUCACUAACCUCUUUCGAACUAUUUGUAUUUAAAAAAUUGAUUGUCUUGUCAGCACCGUUAGUAGUCAGUACGGCGACCUAAACAAAAGCACCGUAAUUAAUUAGCACGGCGGUAUCGUAAUUAAUUAACACGAACGUCUUAGCAUAAAUACAUUAACAAUAGGCUCACCAAUUCUGCCCGCGAACAAAGCUAUGGUCAGAGACACCGAGAGGGACAAUCCUCGACAAGGCAAAUCUGAGACACCAAUAGGGAAGGCAAAUCGCAAACACAACAAAUGUCUUUCGGCUCUGGAGGAACUUUGGCCGAGAAGCUGAGUGAGAAGUGAGAGGGAUGAUGCAAAUAGAAUUGGGAGAGCUCAGAAAUAAGGAAAUGAGAAAUGAGGUGCGGGAUGAGGGGUGAAUGGUGAAGUUUGGUUCGUUUAUAUACACAUUCGGAGUUCACGACGCUGGAGCAAGCCCACGUGAUUGCAGUUUUUGUUUCUGUCCGUAGCUAGCCACCACGGGGUGCUAAGCUGACAUAGCUUUUGUUUGUUUUUCCGUAGCUAGGCACCACGGGAUGCUAAGCUGAGAUUCCACCAGCUAACAGGCACCUGAUAAAAGCUCUGGCGGGUCAGGAAAUUGCAUGGACGAGAGGGGCGCAUGGCUUUAAAAAGCUGUCUGGUGCACAGCUUUAAAAAAAAAAAAAAAAGGGAGAAUCUGUCAGGUGGCGGGUCAGGAAAUUGCAUGGACGAGAGGGGCGCAUGGCUUUAAAAAGCUGUCUGGUGCACUGCUUUAAAAAAAAAAAAAAAAAAUCUGUCAGGUGCCGGGCUGACAGAGCCCGGCACCUGAUAACACUUACAGCACAAAAUUCUGUCGGUUGCCGGGCUGCCAAUUUUUAAAAAAAAAAAAUUUUUUUUAAAUUGGAGUGUCAGGUGCCGGGCUGAGACAGACCGGCACCCAUAGAUUCAUACUUACCCAGUGUCAGAUCCGUAGGUAGACGACUUUUUUUUUUUCAAACAAUAGUCUAAGGAAUUAGCCUCUCCACUGCUUGAAGUGCUACACGUACGACACAUCCUUUAAAUUUUGACUUUUGAGCACUUUUGAGCAUUAGUUCCUGUAAUUAAUAUCAAAAUCAUAUCUGAAUAAAAUUCACCCAAUUAAUGAAAUAUUUAAUCAAACAAUUGUACAAUAAUAUCCAAAAUAUCUCACUAAAAUGCACCCUAUCAAGAAGCGUUUCCAUCAAUCAGCACAAGUUCCAAAUUGUGGGGCUCGCUUCACUUGAGAGCAGAAAAGGAUGUGGCCUAAACUGUGGGGUUCGCUUCCAAUCCCUCCAAAUUUGGACUACACAUCAAAUAAGAUGUGGUGGCAUCUUGUAAAGUCUGGUCUUCAGAAAAUUUAAUUUUUAAUAUACUUUCCACUCUACUUUCAUCAUAAAUUCCUAGCAAUAACACCAAAAAUGAUAUAUGUAUAAAAUCUAAUGAUUAACACCACAUCUUGGCAAAAUAAAAUGAGAAAUAUUCACAAAUUAAGCGCAAGAUUAACCAUCUGAGACUAAUCCUUUCGACCUGUUGCUUGGAGAAAUUUUUUGAGAGUCUCUCUCGACCUUUUCCCUGGUAACAUCGUACAAAUAUAAGCAGGCUUAUGAGGGUUAGAGAUAAGAUGGGUGUGCGCACAAAUUGUUUCACCCUCCCACCAUAUUUUCACAGGUUGUUUCACCAAAGCAACUGAUCACCUCUAUUUAUAUUGAGAUUUCGAAACAAAAUUGUUUGCCAUUUUCAUAUUUUAUAAUUCACCCUCCUGCCAUUUAAUAAAUGGCUUUCGCUUUCAAAUUGAUCAAAAUGAAUUUAUCUCCACGCCUUGCAUUUGGAACUCGAUUUGGCAUUUGACACGUUCACGCGGACACAAGACAAGCUCGAUUCUCAAGCCAAGAAAAGAUCUCGAUUUCUUACUAAAGGCAUAAAACAACGAAGACCAAGACGUGACGGGUGUCAAAAGGCAGACGAGGAUGAUAAGGUUAUCAAGACUCUGCCACCUGUUAACAACCAUCUCGCAAUUCAAGUUUCAGGAUCAGAAUCUAUGCAUAGCAUAAGUCGCUAUUUGCUUUUAAUUAUUGACCAAGAAAUUUGAAGCAAAUUGAUCUGGUUUCUCUGAAUUCUUGUCCAUUAGGACCACCAAAUUUGGCCAAGGCAAUUAAAACAAACGUGCCUUUGUUGCAAUCUUCUCAAGAUAAAUUAGUGAACUAAUUGUUUUGGUGACGAUUGCAGCCCAUUUCCUUUUCCUCUAAAGUGUAUUUUUCAUUUUUGAGGAGCCAUUAGUCUGCCUUUUUAAAUUUUUUUUCUUCUUUGAUAUCUCUAAACUGUCUGAAUUUUAUUAUGCUACUUCUGUAUUUGCGUAGAUAUUUGAACUACGAAUCAUUUCAUUGAUUAGGGGUAGAAUUAUUGCUUUUGCACGGACCACAAUAAAAAACUAUGAGUUAUUUAUACUUUUCUUAGCUAAAAGCAUACCAAAUAAUUAAUUAGCUUCCUCAAAAAUAGAAGGUUACUUAGCUAAGAUUAAAAAAAAAAAUGAAGAAAUAGUAGAACAAAAUUUUAAAAAAAAUAGUGGAAAAUAGACCAAAAUAAAAGGAAAAGGCCAUGAUAUGUUGGUCCAUAUUUUCAAUGGGAACCCAUGGUCACAAGAUCCAAGCCCAUUUGAUUCCUACCCAUUUUUAUUUCCUCAUCCUCAAGGGCUUUGACGGCUUGGCGUCAGUUUGUUUGUAGCCCAACCCGCCUAUGGGCUGUAAAAUGAAUGCUACAUUCUUUCUGUGUCUUCCUCCUUAUUAAUAGUUUCAGAAUUGGGUUAUCUCAAGAUUUAUUCUGUUUUCCUUUUAUUCUUUCCCAACUAGGUUUUUUCAUAUGAAACCGCACAGAACAAGCUAUAUAUUCAGAUUUUUUUAAGCAAUAUGAAACUUUUUAUUGAUAUAUCAAAAAAUUCAUACACAAUUUUCUCUUUAGCGUAAGUGAGAGAUGUCCAAUUAAGGAGUUUUCACACUUUCUCCUCCUAUACUAUCCGGCCUCUCGAUCUCACAAUUUUUUUUUAGUAUUUGUAAGUGGAAAAACAACUAAAUUACAUCAGGGAAAGCCCAUACUAUAUAAUUUCUAUAGACAUACAAUGUCAGAUGUGCUAUGACAAGCGCGAGAUAUGCAUAUAACACAACUAUAUCCAUGAUCAAUGAAAUUUGCAACUAUAUCAUGAGUAUUGAAACGGCAAUUCCUUAACGGGUGGUCAGAAAACUUCAUAUAUAAAGGUCCAACUGGGUGCCAAUUGUCGUACCAAAAACUCGAGUGUUCACCAUUGCCAAUAAUUUGCUUAAUAUGCAGCUGAGCCAUUCCUCUAAGCUUCAACAGUUUCCUCCAGCUCUAAGAACAAUCACUAGGAGUCUUAAUCCCUCAAUAGACUGUCCUUUAAGCAUAAUAGAAUAUACCCUUUUAACCAUAAUGACUCUUUUCGAGCACAAAUGUUCCACAGUAACUUCCAGGCACUUAUUCCAAUCUUCUAAAUUGAAGAUAGCAAGUCCACCCUCUCUCAAGGGUAGGCAGACAUCUUUCCAUCUCACUUUUGCUAAGUAGUGAUGCUUGAAUCCCCUAGUCCAUACAAAAGAGGAGAUAAGACUUCCCACAUUUUUCAGAAUAGCUUUGGGUGGUAUAAAGGUGCUAGACCAAUAUGUUUGCACUCCAUAUAAAAUGGACUCGACAAGCUGCAAUCUUCCUCCAUAGCUCAAUUUCUCGAUGGCCCAACCUUGAAUCUUGCACUGCAACAUAUCGAGGAUGGGCUGACAGUCCUUGAUGCUAAGCCUUGAAGCAAUGCGAGGCAGCUCAAGGAACAUAACAGGCAGGUUGCACAGAGGCAUGCCCACAACGUUACAAGGAUCAGUGCCAACUUCCUCAGUUACAACAGCCACAAAAUACCUGACAUCUGAUGAAACUCAUCCAAUGCUUGUCUUGCGACCUGAAACGAUCUGUUAGUUGUAGCAGAAACAGGAAAUAGGUCAUCAGCAAAGGCAGCGUGGAUAAAUUCAGCUCCCUGCACUUUGGGUGAAAAUCGAACCCCAUGCAUUUAAUAUUAUCAAUAAAUAACAUUGAGAAAAACUCCAUAGCUAUAAGAAAAAGAUCAGGGAAGAUUGGAUCCCCUUACCGAAUGCCCCUCACUUCUAAAAUAUCCCACCAACGCUCCAUUGAGGUUGAUGGUGAAAUGUGCAACGGAUACACAAUUUCUAACCCCAAGAGAUAAAUUUUUCUGGAAAGUGCAUAGUAUCCACUUUAAGAAAUAAGAAAUCCCAAUUGAUUGUGUAAUCAUGGUUCGCCAUAUCGGCCGAUAUCGAUACGUAUCGGCCAAGUCAUAACUGGAACGGAGGGCACCGAUACGAUACCGAUUCUCAAAUCGCAGAUAUUACCAUAUUCGCGACAACUCGCUCUGACUCGGCUGAUAUUGGCCGAUUCGAAUCCGUGAUACAUGAUAUCGGCCGAUAUAUCCGAGUCAAUUCGGAGUCGACUCAAAUAUUUUUUUAAAUUGUGUCUUUUUUGGUAUUUUCUAAUUUUAGUAAAUUUUUCAAAAUUUUAUCAAACUUUCAUAUGCUAUAAUGUGUAUAUCACCCGAUAUUCAACCAAUAUGCCGCGACGAAUGUGAAACAACCGAUACCGCGACCUGCGAUGGCGAACCAUGUGUGUCAUAUGCCUUUAUCAGGUCUAUUUUCAACACUGCACAAGCUAAUCCAACUUUCUUGCAGUACCCUCUCACCAAUUUAUACAUUACUAGUGUAUUAUCUGCUAUACUUCUUCCUAUUAUAAAGCACUCUGAUGUUCACCAAUGAUUCGAGGAUUUAAACUUUCAACCUAUUAGUUAGCAAUGCUAAAUCGCAUUUACAUAGCAAACAACAGAAGGCUAUAGGCUUGAAAUCCCUCAUUUGUGUUGUAUUCUGUAUCUUUGGGACCAGUGUAAUUAUAGUACUAUUUAAAGGAUAAUGCAUAUACUUCUUGUCAAAACAAGAUUGAACAUCUCGAAUUAGUUCAUCACCAAUGACAUGCCAAUUCUUCUUUGAAAAAAUUGUGCACUAAAGCCAUCUGGGCUUGGAGCUUUACCAUCCUUCAUAAUAAACAUAGCAUGUUUAAUCUCUUCAGCUGACACACUAGCUUGGAGAAAGUCGAAUUGAUCACUAGUGAUGGUUUUAGCAUUUAUCUGUUGCAGCUUGCCCUUCAAAUCAGGGCACUAGGAGUUAGAUUUACUGAACUCCUAGUGAGCGUCCUCACAAUAUUAUUAUGCAUUUUAAUACGGACGAUACCCUUACCAACAAUAUCACGAACGACAUUAUUACUCAUCAAAACAAUAUUUCCUUCAUUAGUGAAGGAAAAUAUUUCCUUCAUUCUCAUAAACUAUAAUACAAGAUUCGGCAGUUUCUGUAUUUUUCUUACCAGGUUUCCUCUUUUAUUUUAAUCUUUUCAAUUUAAAGCAAUUUACCUUAAUGUGCCCCAUUUUGUGACAAUAAUUGCAUUCCAAAUUUCUAUGUCAGAAUUUAGAUAUACUAUUGUCAAAUUUUCUUUUAUCGGUUCUGUCCCUGACAGCCAAGUCUUCCUUCUAACUUCCAUUAAUUUCUCCAAUAAUAUCCCCAUCAAUCUGCUCCUUAGAUUUUAAGGCAAAUUUAAUUUUCCAAUACGAAAUUAUUUUUUUCAUAAAUUAUAGUAUGGUGAAAAUAUUUAAAAGAUUGGGGAAGGAAAUACAAAAGUAACAAGGCCUGAUCCUCAUGGUCAAUUUUCAAAUAUAUAUUAUCCAAAUCUAGAAUAAUGGAAAUAAAUUUAUCAAUAUGUGAGAGUAUAUAUGUACUUUCAGGUAUGUGAAGCAUAUACAGACUUUGCUUUAAAUAAAGCCGAUUGUCAAUUGUCUUAUUCAUGUAUAAGGCCUUAAACUUGUCCCACAUGUCCUUUGCCGAAGUUUCAGUGGCUACCUCCCUCAAAAUCUCAUUAGAGAGAUUUAAGAUAAUACUGGACCUUACUUUCUUAUCUAUUUCGGCAAAAUUUGCAUUUGUCACACUUUUUGACUUUUUCUUAAUUCCUUGUGUUGCUAAAUCAAUUUCGACUCUCCAUCUUGAGCUACCACAUCGCGAAAUUUACAUUCCUGUCGAAUUGCUUGACAACAAUCUUUGUUAUUAUAAUAUUGCCACAGAAUUCAAAACUUUUGAAGAAGUUUUGAUAUCAGCUUGUUAGGUCUAACCCCAGAACAUCGACGAAAGAAUUUUUGGCAAUCCCAAAACAAAUAAUAAAGCAAAAAUAAAUAAAACAGAAGCACAGAAAUUUACGUGAUUCGAGAGCAAAAUUUCACCCAUGAUAGAACUACUUUUGACAGCAAUUUUUUCUCAGAAUGUAUUAUACAAAUUUGUAAUUUACUAUGCCAAAAAUUAUCUUAAAAGUUUGGAGGACUAUUGUCAUCCAAUUGACGUUGACUAACUGCCUGCCUUCCAGUCACAAACUGACAACAGAUACUAAUCACAAACUUGAUUACAAAUCACAAACUUGAUUACAAAUCACAAACUUGACAUCAGACACUUUUUUUUUUUUUUUUUAUAAGAGAACGUGAGGAACGUGAGGAGCAAACCAUAUCGAAAUCAAAAUAACACAAUACUAAAUCAAUUUCAUUGGGUGAAGCAACCUCUUAAGUACUGUUCAUUCUGGGAAUCAAGAUUUUAAAAGUCAAGAUAUCCUCGAAUUCUUGGAUAAGAUCAACAGUAUUGGUCAUCACCCUUCCGUGUAUGCUUUCUCAUCCAUGUUUCUAGUAACCUCAUUUUCGUUCCUCUGUGAUGACAAGCUGUUCUAGAAAUAAUAAUCAUUUGACCACAUGAUUAAAAAUCACUAAUGCGUCGCCAUAUAAAGUAAUCUCUGAUAGGCUGCAAUUUAUCGUUUAUUUUAUAAUUAAUUUUUUUUAUUACCUGAUUCAAUGUGAAUUAAUUAUUAGAUUCUACUCACUUUUAAAAAUUUAUACUUUUUAUAAGGAGUAAAAUAAAAAUAUUAUAAUAAGUGUCAAUUUAACAAUCAUAAAAAAAGUGUUCAAGUAGCAAGCAUUCAGGAAUAUUUUUGAAAUAUCAAGUAUCGGUCCUCCUUGAUAAUUUGGCCGAUGACAGCAUUUAAAAGAAAGGGCUGGAGUCUUCUUCUGCUGGCUGGGGGCCGCUGCACAAGAUAUAGGCAUUAGAGUAGGACUUUGAUAGAGAUUAGAUAGGGGAGGACUUUUCUCUUUUAGCUUAGUUUUUUUUUUUUUAAACUUUUCCCUUGGAUUUCUUUUUGGUUUUUGUCCUUCCUACGCAUGUCAGAGGACUGGAGCCUAGCUUUUGACUUUUCCUUGUUAGCUUUAUAAUAGCUUUUCUCUUCGUAUGUUGGAGACAAGCGAAACCCAAUUGAUAACGUCCUGUAUCUUGCUUUCCUUCUUGAUUGGAACGAAUUGAACUCUCAGGAAUCAGCGACAAUGGCCGCAACUACUUCUGCAAUUGUGUGUGGGUUUUUCAUAUUAAAGAUGAACUAAUUUCUUUACUCUAGUCAAGGAGCAACGGAGGCUUUGAUUCGCCUAAAAAUUGUGAAAUUGAUUUAAUUUUGUCUUUUUUGAUUAUUUAUUGAUAUUCGCAUAUUUUUUUAUUGCAGUAUUUAUGAUUGAUUGUUUUGGAUCCAAAUAAUUAGUUAAUUUGGUAAUCUAGUAUCAAUUAGGGCAUUAAAUCCGUAAUUAUUUAAUUGUCUUGAAAUAGUGACAACUGGCAUAAUUGGGUUUGUAUCAGGAAAAUACACGGGUAAAUUUAAAAUAACCUUGAUAGUGCGUUAUUUGGUUAGAAUAUGGCUCCUCUAAUACGUAAGGCAAUUGGAGAAUUAAAUCUUAUAGGCGUACCUAAGAUUAUUUCUCAAUUAGAACAGUGAUUAACGGGCGUACCUUAGUCACCGACAUAGUAAGGAAGGAUUGACUGUCAUCGCUUGUUUGGCAGUUAUAACCUAUUUAUUAAUAAAUAAUUAGAAUUGCAUGUGCAUCGAUGAUCAAUUAGGUGAACCAUUGCUGAAGUUAUUUCUUGGCUAGACCUUUAAUUAUUAUUACCUUGAUUUUAGUGAAUUAUCAUUUAAUUUUUAGUUGACUAUUUUAUUUUUAGUUGAAUUGUUUUAAAUGUCAUCCUCUAUACAAAAACACCCCCUGUGUUACUUUGGAUUUCUAAAGAGACAAAUACACUCAAUCCCUGAGGAUACGACCCUACUUGUCUUGUUUACAAAUUAAUAAUUAUUUGUGUAAGAGUCAUCACAUUCGGGUAUAUCGGAUCAAGCAAACUCUUCGGGAACAAAAUGAAUCAAGUAACCUAUAGCACACUUAAAGUCCCUAUUCCAGUACUUAAAAUUGGGUUUUGACUAUUUUAAUUAACAAUUAGGUUUUUUUUUAUUAUUGUAUACACUUUGACAACCUGUCAAUCUCUCACCAACUUACCUUUGUUUGACAAGUACCAUUUAUUUCCUAUCCAUUCUAAUUUUGUGAUUUGGUUUGACCGACGAGUGCUCAAAGGGUACUCGUUAAAAGAAGUUCAAAUGUUAGUUUUUUGAAAAAAUGUAAUUUAUUUGUAAAAGCAUCACAAUUCGAGAUGUGCAAUAUAUGUGAGCAUGCGUAUUUACAUAGCAACUUAGGCGUGCCCAUUAGUAAAACUUUUCGUAAUUGAGCCUGUAUUUAGGUCUUGUUUAAUAAUUCAAUUCAGCACUUAAAUUUAAUAAAUUUAAAGAAUUAUCCCCACAUAACGAGAGCAAAAUGUAGUUUAUUUGCAAAAGCGUCACAAUUCGAGAUGUCCAGUAUAUGUGAGUAUGUGUAUUUACAUAGUAACUUAGGGGUGCCCAUUAGGAAAACUUUUCGUAACUGAGCCUGUAUUUAGGUCUUGUUUAAUAGCUUAAUUCAGUAUUUAAAUUUAAUAGAUUUAAAGAAUUAUCCUUACAUAACGAGAGCAAAAUUUCAUCCAUGAUAAGGCUACUUUCGACAGGGAUUUUUGGUCAGAAUAUAUUAUAGAAAUUUGUAAUUUACCAUCGAGAGCAAAAUUUCACCCAUGAUAGAACUACUUUUGAAAGCAAUUUUUUCUCAGAAUGUAUUAUACAAAUUUGGAAUAUACUAUGCCAAAAAUUAUCUUAAAAGUUCGGAGGACUAUUGUCAUCCAAUUGACGUUGACUAACUGGCAACAGAUACUAAAUCACAAACUUGAUUACGAAUCACAAACUUGACCACAGAUACUUGUUUUUUUUUUUUUAUAAGAGAACGUGAGGAGCUAACCAUAUCGAAAUCAAAAUAACACAAUACUAAAUCAAUUUCAUUGGGCGAAGCAACCUCUUAAGUACUGUUCUUUCUGGGAAUCAAGAUUUUAAAAGUCAAGAUAUCCUCGAAUUCUUGGAUAAGAUCAACAGUAUUGGUCAUCACCCUUCCGUGUAUGCUUUCUCAUCCAUGUUUCUAGUAACCUCAUUUUCGCUCCUCUGUGAUGACAAGCUGUUCUGGAAAUAAUAAUCAUUUGACCACAUGAUUAAAAAUCACUAAUGCAUUGCCAUAUAAAGUAAUAUCUCACCAUCUUACCUUCAUUUGAUAAUUACAUUUUAUUUCCUUACCAUUCUAAUUUGUAAUUCGAUUUGACUAAUGAGUAUUCAAUGGACACUCGUUAAAAGAAAUUCGUAUUAGUUUUUUGAAAAAAAUAUAGUUUAUUUGUAAAAAUAUAGCAAUUCGAGAUGUGUAAUAUAAGUGUGUAUGCGUAUUUAUAUAGCAAUUUAGGUGUGGUCAUUAGCAAAACUUUUCCUAAUUAAGCCUUUACUUAGUAACUGGCAUUUCUAGCUAGCCAAAAUAUUGCGUGCCAUUAAAAAAUUCUUCAAAGGGCGGUGUGCCUUUUCACACUGACCUUAUCAAGGACGCGUCCCAUGCUGGUCGACCGUGACUUUGGUGAUUAGGUCGGACAAGUCAAAUGAAUUUACUUAUGGGGUACGUCACCGCAUUUUUUGGCCUAUAAAUACGAGGACUCUGGUUCGUUAUUUUGAUAUGCUAAACUCAGCAACCAAGUUUUCGACAGUCACAACCAGUUACAAGUAUCCAUUUUCAUUCUUAUUAAUUAGCUAGCUAGUUCUCCAAGGGAAAAAAUGGCUGAAGCCAAAUCUGCUACUGUCACUGAUCAGGUGAAUAGUGAUUCUAUUGCCUAGCCAUACCUAGAUUUCCUUCUUUUUCAAGUUUGUGUGUGGUUUUGAGAAUCAACUCAUAAACAACUUGUAUUUCGAAAAGUAUGAGGAGUUGCAAAUUAAAGUAAUAGCAACGUUCUUGAAUUGUCUUAAGCAAUAUUUUACAUUUCUAGUUGUCUCCAUACAUAUGGGUAGGCGGUCUCUUGAAUUGUUUGAUUAAGCUUCUUCUGAGUGAUGUAGUUACUGACUGACUGAUCGGAUUUAGUCUUCUAAUUGUUUGUUUAUUUGAAAGGAUUCUAAUUGAUUUUGGGAACUCAAUUGUUUUGCGAUUUUCUCACUGGUUAAAAUGUUUGGGAUUUACAGAUCGACAUCAACUCAAUACAACCAGUGGCGCCGGCUGACCCUCACGUGGUCGGGAUCGGACAAUUUGUAGUGGAAAAAUUUCACCACGGCAAGCUGCUUUUCAUCGCCGUGAUUGGCGGGUUCACUUGGAAAUGUGAAGGAGGCAAGUACUACGCACUUAUCAUUCAAAAUCAGGAUUAUGAGGGCGCCACAUUUAUCCAUAAAGCACUCGUUGUUGAGGCCAAAGGUGAAACCAAACUCCUCUGGCACAGGAAUUAAUCAAGCACUACUAUUGAUCAGCUGAGGAUAAACGACUUUCUUUGGGUACUUAAAUUAUCUAGUGUCUAUAUAUGGUGUGGGUUUUCAGUUUGUGCAUGGAUGAUGUACUGCUACCAACAAAAUGCACCAUUCCGUCUAUUUUUUUAAUUUGUAUCCUUGUAAUAACCUGUAAAACGAACAAAAGUGUAGCAUUAAAUGAAUAAAAACAAUCGUCUGUUUUUGAGUUUUAUCUGUAUAUUUUGUUUCUCUGUUACUUCCAAGCAAGUUCCGAUCCCGGAAUUUGUAUGUCAACUACGUACUAUGUUCAUGACUAGUUAUAAAGUUUUACUGGUUAAGUAAUAAAGCCUAUAAAAGAUUAAUUGAUAUAUUGAGAAUACGAAAUGCGGAAAAGUUUUAAGUUUUUUCAAGUGGUACUCGUUCUUCUUUGAAGCAUAUUUUGGAUGUUCUUCAUAAGUACGAAAACUGUUCAGGCCAGCAAGUUAACAUAAGCAAUAGUUGUUUCUUGACCCGUCAACGGUUUAACGUGGCACGACGACGAAUAAACACAAGUGUUACGGGGUUUUCUUGUCAAGUUUUUGGGUUGUCCGUAGGAAAAUUUCCUUUUUUCGACAUCAUUUCAGGCCAUUGCGGCUCAGAUUCUCUCUUGGAAGAGUAAAUUCCUUUCUCAUGGUGGCAAGCUGCUCUGGAUCAAGCACAUGCUUUCAUCCACUCCUAUUCAUGUCCUAGCUGCUGCCAAUCCUCCUAAAUCUGUUUUUAAUACGAUAGAAUCUAUUUGUGGUAGAUUUUUUCUGGGGUUCGUCAGAGGAGCAAAGGAACAUGCGGGUUUCUAUCUCGGAAUGGUCCUAGCUAGUUCAUUGAUCCAGGUCCCAGAGUAGAGCUCUCUGGUCCUGCCAUCACCAAACUAAGAACAUGUUUCCUUGAAACGCCCAUAGAGAAUGCUUUCUAGGACCAACCAAAAAUGAUAGUAAUAACAGUAAAUGUACCUCCAUUUAGCCAUAAAACACGAGGCUUGUUAGAAGGAUUUUCGGACUCCGCAAAAUAGCAGAAGAGAGCUUUACCAGUCUUCGGAUCAACAGUAACAUACCCUGAAUAUUGAUCAAACUUUAACCCUUUUGGUUGCCUCGGCAACGCUAUUACUUUGUCAGCCGCCUUCCAAACCCUCUUGAGGACCAAUAUAUAUAUUGGCGUGUUCUCAUGUCCUGAAUCCUCAUCAUUUACGUAAUUGUCUACUUGAGGGGCGUCGAAACCACCAAAAAUAAAAUUCGUACUCCAAAAAGAUAUGCUUUUGAGUACAAUGGUGAGUGGAGUCAAAAACUAAUAAUGUAAAAUUAAAUAAAAAUAAUUCAAUAAAAGAUAAAUCUCUGGUCAAAAAUCUAACACCACUUUGGUUCAAUUAACUAAUCAUUGAUGCAUGGAUAAAAUCAUUUAUUUAUAAAUAAAUUAGUUAUGGUUGUCAACAAAUUUUAAGAACCUGCCUACCUCUCCUUGCUACCCUCGAUAACCACAACAAAUUUUGUGAUUAUUACUCUUGCCAAUUAAACAACCCUAGACAAACUUUUAGGAUUUAACAUAUUGACAAUAUUAAUUAUUACAAAAGCUACCCAUUUGAUAACAUUAAUUAUUACAAAAGUUCCCAGUUCUAACCAAUAAACACAUAAGUUCCGUUUAUUUAGAUUCGAUUAUAUAUUUUCGUGACCUAUAUUUGAAAAUUUUUACUACAAUCAAAUUAUAUCGCUUGCCAUAAAUACUAAAACCAUCAAAUAAUCAUAGAUUUGAUGAUUUAGAUGCAAUAUAGUGUUUCAAUAAUUAAAUAAUGGCCAAUUAUUUAAUCAUAUAAAAUAAUCAUAUCAGGAACUUGAGAAGUUCGGUAAAAUUUUCAUUCCCUCAAAGGUUCAAGCCAAAUAAAUUUGAUAGGGAUUUUGAGAAGUUUGCUAAAAUUUUUAAGCAAUUGCGUAUUAAUAUCCUUUUUGCCGAUGUUAUUUUCAGAUUCCUUCGUAUGAAAAAUUUCUCAAGGAGAUCAUGAUUCGAAAGAGAAAAUUGGAGGAUUGUGAAGCAAUAGCAUUAACGGAGAAGUGCAGUGCCAUCAUACAAAAUAAGCUACCACCAAAAUUGAAGGAUCCAGGGAAUUUCUUUAUAUCAUGCAUGUGAGGACCAGAAAAUUUUUUUUUUUUAAAUUUUCUCCUAUUUUUGAAAAAAAUUAAUUUAUAUUUCCUUUUAUUUUACUUUACUUGCUUAUUUGCUAGUCUUAAUUUGAUAGUGAUUUUAAAGGUUAAGUUAAAAUUUUUCUUUUUUCCCUUUUUAUAAUCUUGAUGCAUGUUAAAUUUCAUAAAGUAUUAUGGUAGUUUAACCGACUAGUGAGAUGUGCACAUUAUAUUUGGUGGACGAGAAUAGUGUGGUGCUAGAGGAAUUAUGUGAUUAGAAGUGUUAAGAAUGUAUUAGAAGAACACAAGAUAGAUUGGUUAUUAGAGAAACAUAAGAGAGACAAAAGGAUAGACAUGAAACCAAGCCUCGACAAGUGUCGUGCAUCCAUGACGUCUUGACCAAGACUUGGACCAAGAGAAGUCUUGUGUUUAUCUUCCAAAAUUGACUCAAAAACCUUCACUUUCUUCUUCAUUGUGGCCGAACUUAAGGAGAGAGAGAAGAGAGCAAACUUUCAAAAAUCCUCUUGAUUUCCUUGCUUAAUUUGUGAAAAAAUCCAUGAUCAACCCUAAUUUACUCCAUAAAACCUUGAGUUAAUCUUGGAAUGAAACUUUUGGUGGAAUCAUUUGAGGAAAAAAGUUCUUAUCUUACAAUUUAUCGUGGGAUUUUGAGGUAUUAUACUAAGAACCUCUCUUUUUCCUUCUUAUUUUGCCAUUUAAGCAACAUAUAACUUGAUUAGGAUGGAUUUCAUAGAAGAAUUCAUGGUUUUGCUUAAUAGGUUGCAAUUUUCAGCUUUGGAAUAUGUUGUUCAGCCGUGAUAUGAAUGGUUUAGCUUUGAUAUGAGGUUGGAUAUGAAAUUUUAGCUUUGAUAUGAGGUUAUCUAGCUUCAAUAUUCGAAUUUCCAGCUUUGGUGUUAAUUUCCAGCUUUGAUUUUGUAUUUUCCAGCCUUGAGUUGAGAGUUUCCAGCUUUGAUGUGGACUUAUGAGUUUGGAUAUGAAGAUAUCUAACUUGAACAUGCACUUCUAGCUUUGUUAUAUGAUUUUUCUAGCUUUAAUGGUCAAUUUCCAGCUUUGAGAUGAAAAUUUUCUGCUUUGGUGUAAGUGAUUUGGAGCUUGAUAUAUAUCUUCAAAGUUGAUAGUUUUGUGGCCUAAAGUAUGCACUAUUUGUCCCCUAUAAUAUGUGGCCUUGAUUGAGGUUCAUUUACCAUGAAACUAGGAUUUGAAUGGAUGGUUAACUUGAAGAAAUUUGGGGACAUAUUGCUGGAUUUUCUUUUUGUUGGUCAUUUUGGGGACCUAAAUUUGGGGACAUAAAUUUAGGGCAUUUUUGUUUUCCUCUUGCAUAUGAUUUUACUCAAAACACUUGCUACAAUCUAUUUCUUUGCAUGUGCGUUAGUUUUGAGCCAAGACAAGAGGUUUAAAUGAAAGGAAAUGAGUUUUAUUAAAUCAUUUUCUAGUUGGACAAAUCCCAACUUGGCACCUUGAAAGUCUUGACAUAAUUUCCUCAAACUUUUGACUAUAAUCGAUGCUUGUGUGCUCCAAAUGACUCUUGAAACAUGGAUUUAGUAUGCACACGAGGUUUUCCCCUUAAUUUGAGCAAGAAAAUGUUAAAUUUUUUAGUAGUUAUACGGGGAUAAAACUUGUGAACUAGUGUAUUUUCUAAAUGAAGUUUUGAACCCUCAAUUUCUUCAUUGUAUUUUGACUUUGUUUACUAGUCUUUUAAUAUAGUGUAUGACUAUAGGACUCGAAUGUUAAAUGGAUUUUCAAUAGGUGAGUGUGUACUUUAUCACACUUGACCCAAAGUGAAAGUGGAUUUUCAAUGAUUGAAUGUUAUUUGUGCAUGAAUGUAAGCCUUUGACUGAAUUAGGCCCUUGCCCUUCAUUGCCAGUCGACUCGAGCCAGAAGCAGACUCGGUCGGGUGGCUAGUGACCCUAGGACAGUGUUUGGUAUACUCAAGUAUGAUCACGAAGUUGGAUGGAGUCCUAGCCAGUGAAUGCAAUGCAAUGAUUGAAAUGAAUGAUUGAAUGAAAUGAACACUGAAGGAGUUUUCACUUUCAAAUAUUUUUGAAUAUUGGAGGGAUAAGGGAAAUGGAUGACGAAUGAAUGACUGAAUGAAUGGCUCAAGUGAGUAGUAUCCUUUCAAUGAUUGUUUCUUGAAUAACUAUUUAUUAUCGUGCAAAGUGUAUAAUUGUCAAUUGUAGCAUUUCUGUGCUUUAUCUACCUAACUGCUUGUUUGGGAACUUCACUGGGUUUUUUGCUCAUUCUAUUAGUUUGUUUUUCUUUUAGGAGUGGAGGCCGGAGCAAGUAAGCGUGAACUAGUGUAUAUCAUCUUCAUGUACUAGUGUGUAUAAUUUUCAUGUACUAGUGUGUAGAUGAAAUGUAUUUGGGAUAUUUAGUAAUGUAAUCCUAUAUUUCACUUUUAGAUUGUAAAUUAAGUGAGAAUUAUUAGUUGAAUUGGGAACUUUUAUGUUAAUCUAGAGACGUGAAAGACUAUUUCAAGAAUGUUAGUGAGUGAGUCCUGAUGAGAGUGAGACAGGCGGUCCGCCCAACUCUUGGAUUCGUCCUAGGGAGAGGUGGAGUCGUCACAAUGCACUAUUGAUAACAUUGAUUUUUUUAAAGUAUUAUGUAACCUUGGUGCUAGUGUAUCAGUAAUUCCUUUAAGAGUGGUUAGACAAUUAGAUUUACAUGAGUUUAAAAGUACUAAUAUUACUUUGCAGUUAACUGAUAGGUCUAUUAAAUAUCUAUUGAAAGUGUUGGAGAAUGUAUUAAUUAAAGUAUAAAAGUUAUCGUCUUUAUGAAUUUUGAGGUAUUAGAUAUGAAAAAAAAAUGUCUAUAUCAAUUAUUCUUGGUAGACCAUUUUUAGCAGUUGCAGGUACUAUUAAUGAUGUUAAAAAUGACAAAUUUAAGUUUCAAAUAUGUAAAGAAGAGGUAGAAUUUAAUUUGAAUGAAAUAAAAAAAAUACCAUUUUUUUACUGAUCAUACUUGUUCUAUUGGCACAAUUGAUAAGUUAGUCAAAGAGUUGAGUCGAGUGAACUGUGAUUUCGACCCUUUUGAGAUUUGUUUGAUGAGUUUAAAAAUGCAAGAGGGAGACUGUGAAGAAAUUAAAGAAUUGGCUAAAUAUUUAGAUUUUCAAACAGCUUAUAAAUGGGAUAAUGUUUAUGAAAAUCUUGAUCAAAGAAAAGAGCCCCCACUAUCCUCAGAGAUUGAAGUUCCAAAAUUAGAACUCAAGUCGCUCCCAAAUCAUUUAUGGUAUGAGUUUUUUGGAGAAAAUAGCACUCUACCGAUAAUUAUUAGUGCUCACUUAGAUGAAGAACAAUGUACAAAAUUGUUAAGGAUUCUAAGAAAACACAAGAAGUCAGUUGGACAGACAAUUUCGGAUAUCAAAGAUACAAGUCAUUAUAUAUGCAUGCACCGCAUAUUAUUAGAAAAAAAUCACACACUGGUGGUGGAAAUGCAAAGAAGGCUCAAUCCAAAUAUGAAAGAGAUGUAAGAAAUAAAAUUCUCAAACGGCUUGAUUCAGGUAUAAUCUUUUUUUUCUCUAAUAGUAUUUGGAUAAGUCCAAAUCAUAUUGUCCCUAAAAAGGAUGGAAACACUGUAGUCAUAGGUAAAAAUGAUAAAAUGAUUCCAUCUCAAUUCAUGAAUUGGUGGAGAGUGUGUAUAGAUUAUAGAAAAUUAAAUGUAGUUUCUAGAAAAAAUCACUUUUCCGUACCCUUUUUUGACCAAUUAUUUGAGCGAAUAGCCGGUUAUGAAUUUUACUGUUUUUCUAAUGACUUUUCAGAUUAUAACCAAAUAGCUAUAAUUUCCAAGGAUCAAGAGAAUACCACAUUUACUUACCCUUAUGGUACCUUUGCCUUUAGAAAGAUGCCAUUUGAUCUAUGUAAAAUCCCUGCUACGUUUCAACGUUACAUGGUGGCCAUAGUUUCUAAUUACAUUAAGAAAAUUAUGGAGAUAUUUAUGGAUGAUUUUUUGGUAUUUGGUUCAUCUUUUGGUCAUUAUAUUCAUAAUUUAGAUUUGAUUUUACAGAGAUGUGAGGAGACAAAUCUUGUGCUAAAUUAGGAGAAAUGCUAUUUUAUGGUUCGAGAAAAAAUUGUCAGAAUCAGAUAAAGAUAAUAAUGACGAAAUUGUAACCAAACCCGUGAUAGUAGAUCCCUACGAAACAUAUAAACUACCAAAUCUGCAAACUUUUAUUACAAUAAGAGCGCCUUUAGAAACCUUCAUAACGUUAUUUUUAGUUGUGUAUGUGCACCCAAGAAUCUCCAGAGUGUCCAAAGAAAUGAGAUUCUUUUUCAAAUCAAGAACAUGUCUAAUAUUAGUGAGCGUUCUCAAAACACCAUCAUGUAUUUUAAUUCAAACUGUACCCUUACCAACAACAUCACAAAUGACAUUAUUGCCCAUGAAAACAAUUCCACCAUCACAAGAUUCAUAAGUGAAAAAUAAAUCCCCAUUGGGACAUAUGUGAUAAGAGUACCCCGAAUCUAAAAUUCAUUCAUUUUUAAACCUUGUCCUAUCAUCAGUCACAAAAUAUUUAUUUUAUUCUCAUCAACUGCAGCACAAGUUUCGACAGUUUAGGUACUUUUUUUCACUAGGUUUCCCCUUUUACUUUAAUCUUUUCAAUUUAAAGUAAUUUGCAUUAAUGUGUCUCAUUUUGUGAUAAUAAUUGCAUUCUAAAUUUUUGUGUCUGGGUUUAGAUCUAAAUUUAGAUCUAUUACUGUCAAAUGUUUUUUAUUGGUUCUGCCCCUAACAACCAGACUUUCCCCAUGAUUCCCAAAUUUCUUCAAUAAUAUCCUUGUCUACCUGUUCCUUAGAUUUUAAUGCAAAUUUAAUUUUACGAUACGAAAUUGUUUCUUUUCCAUAAAUCAUAGUAUUGUAAAAAUAUUUAAAAGUGGGAAAGGAAAUACAAAAGUAGCAACGCCUAAUUUUUAACAUCAAUUUCAAAUCUAUAUUCUCCAAAUUCAUAAUAAUUGAAUCAAAUUUAUCAAGAUGUGAGAGUAUAGAUGUACUUUCAGUCAUGCGAAACAUAUACAAACUUUGUUUUAAAUAAAACCGAUUCUCAACUGUUUUCUUCAUGUACAAAGCCUUAAACUUAUCCCACGUGUCCUUUACCGAAAUUUCAGUGGUUAUCUCCCGCAAAACCUCAUCAAAGAGAUUUAAGAUAAUACUGGAUCUUGCCUUCUUAUCUAUUUUAGCAAAAUUUGUAUCUGUCACACUCUUUGACUUUUUAUCAAUUUCUUGUAUUUCUAAAUCAAUUCCGUCUUGAACCAAAAUGCUCUCUAUCUUGAGCUGUCGUAUCCCAAAAUUGACAUUCCUGUCAAAUUUUUUGACAAUAAUCUUUGUUAUUAUCAUUGUUGCCACAAAAUUUAAACCUUCCGAAGAAGUUUUGAUAUUAGUUUGUUAGGUCUGGAUCCAGAAAAUUGACUAUAGGAUUUUUGGCAAUUCUAAAAGACAAAUAACAAAGAAAAAUAAAUAAAACAGGAAUACAGAAAAUUUAUAUGAUUCGGUCAAAUAGAUCUACGUUCACGGGUGGAGCAAGAACAAAAUUUUACUAUGAAUAACAUAUUACAAAAAUGUUUUAGACAAGCAUUUUUAAAUCCAAAACACCUAAUACUUGAAACACAAAAGAACCCAAAAAUAUUUUAUUAAACAAAAAGAUUUAAUGAUUCAAAGGCCCAAAAUAACUCACUAAAACUCUCUUAAUUUGAUGCAUCUAAUUCCAUCACAGGUUCAUUAUAUUUAUAGGCAGUUAAAGGAAAGACUCCCUUGUACAAAAGACAGUUGGAACAAAGUCACUUUAACAUUUUUUUUUUUUUAUCAAAAAUGCAGAAUUGGCAACAACAAUAAUUACAGUCACGCUUUGUACUUUCUUACCUGCCCUUACUGUACAUUUUUCUACAAUGCAUGUUUGACGGUUGACAUUUUUUUUUUCAACAAAAUAGCAUUUUAUCGAUCUGAGCAAAGCCGUACAGAAUGUACUUAUUCCCUCAAACAUAUCAAACGUGUAAAACCUUAUCACUGCUGAUAGGACGUUAAUUGUUAGUAAUUUUAUAGCUAUUUUUCCCCUUUAUUCUUGUUAAAUAUAUUUUUAAUUGUUAACAUAUACUUAUUUUUGGUAUUUGGACCUAUCUACAGAAAGUGAAACUGACAAUUGCUAAAAAGGGGAUUUUAUUGAGAAAAAUCCUCCACAUGCUAGAGCCUCCAGCGGAUAUACAUGUUAGGCCCACAUGGUGCUACAAAAAUUCCAUUUUCGGUUGCUGAUUAGGAGUUGAAGUCUUUGAGAAGCAAGAGGAAACGAAGAGAGCAAAAUUCGACGGAGCUUACUUUUGGGAAUUGGACUCUCAAUUUGUUCGGGGACCACGGAGAUAAGAGGCACUAGCCAUUGUUUUAAGAAGAAAGAACGUACAGAGGGUCGAGGGCAAUAGUUUUAGGAUAGUUUUUAGAGCUUAGUUUUUAGGAUAGUUUUUAGUUUUCUUUCUUUUCUUGUCAGGCGCACGUUUACUGUUCGACAAUAUUUUCUAAAGGGAAAAACAUCUUUUAUUUCUCGUUUCUUAGUGAACAACUUGAUGCCUUUGCAAUCAAUUAAUUUGCGUGGAGAUUUAUUUAUGCGGCGUGGUUAAGCAUUUCAUCUAGUCAAGGAUCAACUCGACGGCGCAGUCCCGAAUACCUGUGAGAUUUAAUUAGUUUUCACGCGUUCCUUAAUUUGUUAAUAUUUGCACAUUGUCUAUUUGAAUUUUCGUGGGAUUAUUUUGUUAAUUGGAUAUCAAGGCCCCGAUGUUCAAUGUAACUUAUUAAUCUCUUGCCAAUUUAGUCAAUUAAAUCUGUAAUUGUUUGAUUGAUUAAUAUUAGAGGCAACUGGCGUGUUUACAUACUAGGGGAACGUGCAAUCUAAUUUAAAUAACCCUCGUAGCGUGUUAUUGAUUGGGGUUAGAUUUUUCUAGUUAUUAAUGCAAUUGGGAAAUUAAUUCCUACAGUCGUAUCUAGGAGUAUUUUCUGAUUAGGGGUAAUCAAUGGUCAUACCUUAGUUAUCAAUAAAUUAAGAAAAAAUUGGUCGUUAGAGUUCGUCGGCGACUAUAACUAACCUAUUAAUAAAUUAAGUGAACCUCUCUUGCAUCAAUGAUCGGAUAAAUGGACUGUGUCUGAGUAGUUGUAUCCUUAGUUAGAAUUUAUCUAUUCUUGAUUUAAUUCCUGCUAUAUUCGUACUAGUUAAUUAUUUAUUUUUAGUUGAAUUGCUUAAUUGUUUUUAGUUUCAUUCCGAUAAAAUCCCCCUUUACCAAUUGGAAUUUCAAAGAGACAAAUAUUCCCAGUCCCUGAGGAGACGACCCUGUUUGCCAUUGUCUACUAUUUAGUAAUUUCUUGUCAACUAAUUAAUUCUGAUAUAUCGGAUUAAACAAACUCUUCGAGAUCAGGGUGAAUCAAAUAACAGAUUGCACACCUAGAGUCACUGCUCCAAUACCUAGAAUUAAUUAUUGACUGCUUUUAGUAGUAUUUAGGUUCUAUUUUUAUUAUUGCACAGGCUCAACACCUGUCAACGACGUCAUCUGAAACAUAUUUGACCCGUAAAACAUAAUAAACGAUGUCCCAAAAGAAUUAUCCCCACAUAACGAGAGCAAAAUUUCACCCAUUAUAAAACUACUUUCGACGGGGAUUUUUGGUCAGAAUGUAUUAUAGAAAUUUAUAAUUUACAAUACCAGGUCAAUUUUAUCUUAAAAAUUAUGAGGACUAUUGUCAUCCAAUUGACGUUGACUAACUGCCUGCAGUCACAAACUUACAACAGAUACCAAAUCACAAACUUGAUCACAAUAGUCCAGUCACAAACUUGACCACAGAUACUUGUUUUUUUUAUUAGAGAACGUGGGGAACGUGAGGAGCAAACCAUGUCGAAAUCAAAAUAACACAAUACUAAAUCAAUUUCAUUGGGCGAAGCAACCUCUUAACUACUGUUCUUUCUGGGAAUCAAGAUUUUAAAAGUCAACAUAUCCUCGAAUUCUUGGAUAAGAUCAACAGUAUUGGUCAUCACCCUUCCGUGUAUGCUUUCUCAUCUAUGUUUCUACUAACCUCAUUUUCGUUCCUCUGUGAUGACAAGCUGUUCUGGAAAUAAUAAUCAUUUGACCACAUGAUUAAAAAUCACUAAUGCAUUGCCAUAUAAAGUGAUCUCUCACCAUCUUACCUUCGUUUGAUAAUUACAUUUUAUUUCCUAACCAUUCUAAUUUGUAAUUCGAUUUGACUAAUGAGUAUUCAAUGGACAUUCGUUAAAAAAAAUUCAUAUUAGUUUUUUGAAAAAAAUAUAGUUUAUUUGUAAAAGUGUAGCAAUUCGAGAUGUGUAAUAUAAGUGAGUAUGCGUAUUUAUAUAGCAAUUUAGGUGUGGCCAUUAGCAAAACUUUUCCAAAUUAAGCCUUUACUUAGUAACUGGCAUUUCUAGCUAGCCAAAUAUAGAUUGCGUGCCAUUAAAAAAUUCUUCAAAGGGCGGUGUGCCUUUUCACACUGACCUUAUCAAGGACGCGUCCCAUGCUGGUCGGCCGUGACUUUGGUGAUUAGGUCCGACAAGUCAAAUGAAUUUACUUAUGGGGUACGUCACCGCAUUUUUAGGCCUAUAAAUACAAGGACUCUGGUUCGUUAUUUUGAUGUGCUAAACUCAGGUUUUCGACAGUCACAACCAGUUACAAAUACCCAUUUUCAUUCAUAUUAAUUAGCUAGCUAGUUCUUCAAGGGAAAAAAUGGCUGAAGCCAAAUCUGCUACUGUCACUGACCAGGUGAAUAGUGAUUCUAUUGCCAAGCCAGACCUAGAUUUCCUUCUCUUUCAAGUUUGUGUGUGGUUUUGAGAAUCAACUCAUAAACAACUUGUAUUUCGAAAAGUAAUUGCAACGUUCUUGAAUUGUCGUAAGCAAUAUUUUACAUUUCUAGUUGUCUCCAUACAUAUGGGUAGGCGGUCUCUUGAAUUGUUUGAUUAAGCUUCUUCUGAGUGAUGUAGUUUCUUAUUAACUGAUCGGAUUUAGUCUUCUGAUUGUUUUGCGAUUUUCUUACUGGUUAAAAUGUUUGGGAUUUACAGAUCGACAUCAACUCAAUACAACCAGUGGCGCCGGCUGACCCUCACGUGGUCGAGAUCGGACAAUUUGUAGUGGAAAAAUUUCACCACGGCAAGCUGCUUUUCAUCGCCGUGCUUGGCGGAUUCACAUGGAAAUGUGAGGGAGGCAAGUACUACGCACUUAUCAUUCAAAAUCAGGAUUAUGAGGGCGCCACAUUUAUCCAUAAAGCACUCGUUGUUGAGGCCAAAGGUGAAACGAAACUCCUCUGGCACAGGAAUUAAUCAAGCACUACUAUUGAUCUGCUGAGGAUAAACGACUUUCUUUGGGUACUUAAAUUAUCUAGUGUCUAUGGUGUGGUUUUCACUUUUCAGUUUGUGCAUGGAUGAUGUACUGCUGCCAUGCAUACAUCUUUCCACUGUUGUACUAGUAUGUUAAAUAAGGUCCACUUAUACCAACAAAAUGCACCAUUCCGUCUAUUUGUAUCCUUGUAAUAACAUGUAAAAGAUGCACUUUUACGAACAAAAAUGUACCAUUAAAUGAAUAAAAACAAUCGUCUGUUUUUGAGUUUUAUCUAUAUAUUUUGUUUCUAUGUUACUUCCAAGCAAUUUCCGAUCCCUAAAUUUGUAUGUCAACUACGUACUAUGUUCAUGACUAGUUAUAAGUUUUAAGUUUUUUCAAGUGGUACUCGUUCUUCAUAAGGACGAAAACUGUUCAGGCCAGCAAGUUAACAUAAGCAAUAGUUGUUUCUUGACCCAUCAACGGUUUAAUGUGGCACGACGACGAAUAAACACAAGUGUUACUGAGUUUUCUUGUCAAGUUUUUGGGUUGUCCGCCAUAUGCAGGCCGUAGGAAAAUUUCCUUUUUUCGUCAUCAUGUCAGGCCAUUGCGACUCAGAUCCUCUCUUGGAAGAGUAAAUUCCUUUCUCAUGGUGGCAAGCUGCUCUGGAUCAAGCACAUGCUUUCAUCCAUUCCUAUUCAUGUCCUAGCUGCUGCCAAUCCUCCUAAAUCUGUUUUUAAUACGAUAGAAUCUAUUUGUGGUAGAUUUUUUCUGGGGUUCGUCAGAGGAGCAAAGGAACAUGCCGGUUUCUAUCUCGGAAUGGUCCUAGCUAGUUCAUUGAUCCAGGUCCCAGAGUAGAGCUCUCUGGUCCUGCCAUCACCAAACUAAGAACAUGUUUCCUUGAAACGCCCAUAGAGAAUGCUUUCUAGGAUCAACCAAAAAUGAUAAUAAUAACAGUAAAUGUACCUCCCAGUAGAAGAGAGCUUUACCAGUCUUCGGAUCAACAGUAACAUACCCUGAAUAUUGAUCAAACUUUAACCCUUUUGGUUGCCCCGGCAACGCUACUACUUUGUCAGCCGCCUUCCAAACCCUCUUGAGGACCAAUAUAAACUGGCGUGUUCUCAUGUCCUGAAUCCUCAUCAUUUACGUAAUUGUCUACUUGAUGGGUGUUGAAACCACCAAAAAUAAAAUUCCUACCCCAAAAAAUAUACUUUUGAGUACAAUGGUGAGUGGAGUCCAAAAAUAAUAAUGUAAAAUUAAAUAAAAAUAAUUCAAUAAAAGAUAAAUCUCUGGUCAAAAAUCUAAUCACCACUUAGUUCAAUUGACUAAUCAUUGAUGCAUGGAUAAAAUCAUUUAUUUAUAAAUAAAUUAGUUAUGGUUGUCAACAAAUUUUAAGAACCUGCCUAUCUCUCCUUGCUACCCUCGAUAACCACAGCAAAUUUUGUGAUUAUUACUCUUGCCAAUUAAACAACCCUAGACAAACUUUUAGGAUUUAACAAAUUGACAACAUUAAUUAUUACAAAAGCUACCCAUUUGAUAACAUUAAUUAUUACAAAAGUUCCCAGUUCUAACCAAUAAACACAUAAGUUCCGUUUAUUUAGAUUCGAUUAUAUAUUUUCGUGACCUAUAUUUGAAAAUUUUUACUACAAUCAAAUUAUAUCGCUUGCCAUAAAUACUAAAACCAUCAAAUAAUUAUAGAUUUGAUGAUUUAGAUGCAAUAUAGUGUUUCAAUAAUUAAAUAAUGGCCAAUUAUUUAAUCAUAUAAAAUAAUCAUAUCAGGAACUUGAGAAGUUCGGUAAAAUUUUCAUUCCCUCAAAGGUUCAAGCCAAAUAAAUUUGAUAGGGAUUUUGAGAAGUUUGCUAAAAUUUUUAAGCAAUUGCAUAUUAAUAUCCUUUUUGCCAAUGUUAUUUUCAGAUUCCUUCGUAUGAAAAAUUUCUCAAGGAGAUCAUGAUUUGAAGAGAAAAUUGGAGGAUUGUGAAGCAAUAGCAUUAAUGGAGAAGUGCAGUGCCAUCAUACAAAAUAAGUUACCACCAAAAUUGAAGGAUCCAGGGAAUUUCUUUAUAUCAUGCAUGUGAGGACCAGAAAAAAUUUUAUUUUUUUUAAAAUUUUCUCCUAUUUUUGAAAAAAAUAAUUUAUAUUUCCUUUUAUUUGACUUUACUUGCUUAUUUGCAAGUCUUGAUUUGAUAGUGAUUUUAAAGGUUAAGUUAAAAUUUUUCUUUUUUCCCUUUUUAUAAUCUUGAUGCAUGUUAAAUUUCAUAAAGUAUUAUGGUAAUAUAACCGACUAGUGAGAUGUGCGCAUUAUAUUUGGUGGACGAGAAUGGAUGUGGUGCUAGAGGAAUUAUGUGAUUAGAAGUGUUAAGAAUGUAUUAGAAAAACACAAGAAAGAUUGGUUAUUAGAGAAACACAAGAGAGACAAAAGGAUAAACAUGAAACCAAGCCUCGACAAGUGUCGUGCAUCCAUGAAGUCUUGACCAAGACUUGGACCAAGAGAAGUUUUGUGUUUAUCUUCCAAAAUUGACUCAAAAACCUUCACUUUCUUCUUCAUUGUGGCCGAACUUAAGGGAGAGAGAGAAGAGAGAAAACUUUCAAAAAUCCUCUUGAUUUCCUUGCUUAAUUUGUGAAAAAAUCCAUGAUCAACCCUAAUUUACUCCAUAAAACCUUGAGUUAAUCUUGGAAUGAAACUUUUGGUGGAAUCAUUUGAGGAAAAAAGUUCUUAUCUUACAAUUUAUCUUGGGAUUUUGAGGUAUUAUACUAAGAACCUCUCUUUUUCCCUCUUAUUUUGCCAUUUAAGCAACAUAUAACUUGAUUAGGAUGGAUUUCAUAGAAGAAUUCAUGGUUUUGCUUAGUAGGUUGCAAUUUUCAGCUUUGGAAUAUGUUGUUCAGCCGUGAUAUGAAUGGUUUAGCUUUGAUAUGAGGUUGGAUAUGAAAUUUUAGCUUUGAUAUGAGGUUAUCUAGCUUCAAUAUUCGAAUUUCCAGCUUUGGUGUUAAUUUCCAGCUUUGAUUUUGUAUUUUCCAGCCUUGAGUUGAGAGUUUCCAGCUUUGAUGUGGGCUUAUGAGUUUGGAUAUGACGAUAUCUAACUUGAACAUGCACUUCUAGCUUUGUUAUAUGAUUUUUUUAGCUUUAGUGGUCAAUUUCCAGCUUUGAGAUGAAAAAUUUCAUCUUUGGUGUAAGUGAUUUGGAGCUUGAUAUAUAUGUUCAAGGUUGAUAGUUUUGUCGCCUAAAGUAUGCACUAUUUGUCCCCUAUAAUAUGUGGCCUUGAUUGAGGUUCAUUUACCAUGAAACUAGGAUUUGAAUGGAUGGUUAACUUGAAGAAAUUUGGGGACAUAUUGCUGGAUUUUCUUCUUGUUGGUCAUUUUGGGGACCUAAAGUUGGGGACAUAAAUUUAGGGUAUUUUUGUUUUCCUUUUGCAUAUGAUUUUAUUCAAAACACUUGCUACAAUCUAUUUCUUUGCAUGUGCGUUAGUUUUGAGCCAAGACAAGAGGUUUAAAUGAAAGGAAAUAAGUUUUGUUAAAUCAUUUUCUAGUUGGACAAUUUCCAACUUGGCACCUUGAAAGUCUUGACAUAAUUUCCUCAAACUUUUGACUAUAAUCGAUGCUUGUGUGCUCCAAAUGACUCUUGAAACAUGGAUUUAGUAUGCACACGAGGUUUUCCCCUUAAUUUGAGCAAGAAAAUGUUAUAUUUUUUACUAGUUAUAUGGGGAUAAAACUUGUGAACUAGUGUAUUUUCUAAAUGAAGUUUUGAACCCUCAAUUUCUUCAUUGUAUUUUUACUUUGUUUACUAGUCUUUUAAUAUAGUGUAUGACUACAGGACUUGAGAUAUUUCAAGAGGACAAACUGGGGUUGAAAUGAAAGAGUACGAUUGAUUGGUGAGUGUUCUUCGCAUGUUGUGCUUUAAAUGACUAUGUGGAAUGUUUGUUUGAAUGUCAAAUACUUUCUAAUGAUUGUUAAAUGGAUUUUCAAUAGGUGAGUGUGUACUUUAUCACACUUGACCCAAAGUGAAAGUGGAUUUUCAACGAUUGAAUGUUAUUUGCGCAUGAAUGUAAGCUUUGACUGAAUUGGGCCCUUGCCCUUCAUUGCCAGUCGACUCGAGCCAGAAGCAGACUCGGUCGGGUGACUGGUGACCCUAGGACAGUGUUUGGUAUACUCAAGUAUGAUCACAAAGUUGGAUGGAGUACUAGCCAGUGAAUGCAAUGCAAUGAUUGAAAUGAAUGACUGAAUGAAAUGAACACUGAAGGAGUUUUCACUUUCAAAUAUUUUUAAAUAUUGGAGGAAUAAGGGAAAUGGAUGACGAAUGAAAGACUAAAUGAAUGGCUCAAGUGAGUAGUAUCCUUUCAAUGAUUGUUUCUUGAAUGACUGUUUAUUAUCGUGCAAAGUGUAUAAUUGUCUUUUUUUUUUUGUCGAAACGUUAGCUUUAUAUAUAUAUCCAUAAACUUUACAGUAUUCGGACAAGGGUCCAAACAAACGGAAAAACUGUCCCACAAGAUCACUGAUGCCUAGCAUCUAAGAUUGGGAUUCACCCAUUCUUCAUCUACCCAGAUGUUUAGAGCAUAAAUGCUCAACUUAAUACAUUCUAAUUUCCUAGAGUUGGCAAAAAAGAUGGAGCACUGAUGAAACAAAGUACAUAUUGAUCUAAUGUCCUCUAUUAAUGUAGCCAUCUGCUGAUUGUUGGGCCUUGAUCCCUUUAUGGCAUCUACCAGCUUGCGGUUGCCCAGUUCCAUUCUGAUGCUCCUCCAGCCUUGGCUUCCAGCUUUCAGUAGAGCUAGCCUAACUGCAACAGCCUGAUCUUGUAAAGUGUCGCCUGAUGAACAUUCUCUAAGUGCCCAAAUUGCUUGCAAUCUUCCCAUGUUGUCUGUUGCUGAGAUUCCGAUCCCUACUGCUGCUUGUCCUUUGUCCUGACUGGUGUGGAGCUUUAAUAUCAAUCCAUAAUGCCUCUCAUUUUGAUCUUGAUCAUUCCAUUGUUGUAGCUCUGUUUCUUGAGUGCUCUUCCUUAAAUCUUUCCCUUUGUUAGCUUUAUCAAAUUCUAUCCAUUCCUUUAGUGCCUUCUCUAUUACCUUGAAAGGCUCCUUCUCCUUAUGGUUAAACUCUCUAUUGUUCCUAGCUUUCCAUAUCUGCCAGAGUAUGUUUAUGGUGAGAUUGACUUGAUCCUCAACACCUCUGCUGUCUUGAGCUUCCUGAAUUGCUAUCCACCAUUUGGAAAAGCAGUCUAACAGAUGUGCUAUUCCAUCCCACUGCACUGGUGCCAUUUUCCAGAUUUCCUUGACCUUGUUGCAUUGGAACAACAUGUGCUCAAUUGUUUCUUCCUUCUCCCCGCAUCCGGUACAUAUGGGAUUCCCUUGCCUUGUUCUAGUAUAGAUUGUCUCUCUGACUGGGAUACCACUGUGCAGGCAUUUCCAAACAAAAACCUUCAUUUUCUGACUUACAUUCUGCUGCCACAAUGAAUUCCAAAUCCUAGAAUUGGUUCUUUCAUAGCUUGUUCCAGCUUCCUUCCGCCUUCUUGCUCUCUCUAUUUCUGUUUCCUUCAUCCAAGUCUUGUAACCAGAUUGAACUGAGUACUGUCCAUUUUGAGGGUGCUUCCACCAGUAACUGUCCUCUAUUCCAGUCAUACUUAUUGGUAUGCUUAGUAUUCUCUCAGCAUCUUGUGGGUUGAAAGUUUUGAAUACCAGCACUCUAUUCCAUCUGUUAUUCCUGAUCAGAUCAAAAACAUACUCCAGUUGACACCCCUGUGGUUGAACUGAAGUUGGUCUUCCUUCUGGUCUAUCUGGAAUCCAGUUAUCCCUCCAAAUUCUGGUUCCUUUCCCGUUGCCAAUUUUCCUCCUAAUUCCUGCUAGCAUAUCCUUUCUGAUACCUGCUAAACUCUACCAGAUCCAAGAUGCAUUCCGAGACACCUUGCAAUUGAUUGAAAAUUGAUUGCUUGGGGUAGUACUUUUCUUUUAACACUUUACUAACUAACAAAUUUGGUUGCGUGAUCAGCUUCCAAACUUGUUUAGCCAGUAGAGCUUUGUUAAACAACUGCAAAUCUUUAAACCCCAUCCCUCCCUUGCUUCUUUUCUCUGUUAUCUUCUUCCAGCUUAUUCAGUGAAUCUUUUUCUUUCCUUCGGUAUCACCCCACCAAUAGUCUGCCAUUUUCGAGCUUAUUUCUCUGUACAGCUUUGAAUUUAGUCUGAAACAGGACAUUGUGUAGGUAGGCAUGGCCAUUGCCACAGCUUUGAGCAUAAUCUCUUUCCCUGCCUGGCUCAGAAGCUUAUUUUUCCAUCCUUGCAGUUUCUUAUCUAUAGAGUUCCUUAUGAAUCCAAAAACCUGGCUCUUAGAUUUUGUUAUAAUCAUGGAUAGUCCAAGGUAUUUGCCUUGCUCUACAUGUUUAAUUGACCCCAAUGCCUGACAGACCUCACUCCUCACUGCUAGCAUUGUAUUUUUACUAAAGAAAACUGAUGACUUUUCCAAGUUAAUAAGCUGCCCAGUUGCCUCUUCAUACUCUUUAAGUAUCUUGAUCAGUUUCUCAGCUGCUUGUUUGCUAGCUUUGCAGAACACCAAGGAGUCAUCAGCAAAGAACAGGUGGGUGAUGACUAGCGCCCCCUGUUGACUUUAACUCCUGUUAACUUCUUCCCCAGCUUUGCUUUCUGUAAUAAGCUUGAUAGACCUUCUGCGCAUAACAAAAACAGGUAAGGAGAUAGUGGAUCUCCUUGCCUGAUACCUCUUGAUGGUGUAACAAACUCCUUGUGUUCGCCAUUAAUGUUGAAGGAAUAGGUAACUGAACUGACACAUGAUAUGAGCCAAUUUAUCCAAGUAGAACAAAACCCCAUUUUCACCAUUAUUGCCUUCAGAAAUCUCCAUUCUACCCUGUUAUAGGCCUUUGACAUAUCUAGUUUCACAGCCAUAUAUCCCACUUUACCAUGCCUUUUAUUUUUGAGGAAAUGCAUCAAUUCAUGGGACAGAAUGACGUUGUCUAAGAUUUGCCUACCUGGUACAAAUGCAAACUGACUUUUGCUAAUGCAUCUGCUAAGAUAAGGCUUGAGUCUGUUAACAAGGAUUUUUACUAGAGCUUUAUCUACCUAACUGCUUGUUUGGGAACUUCACAGGGCUUUUUGCUCAUUCUAUUAGUUUGUUUUCCUUAUAGGAGUGGAGGCCGGAGCAAGUAAGUGUGAACUAGUGUAUAUAUAAUCUUCAUGUACUAGUGUGUGUAUAAUUUUCAUGUACUAGUGUGUAGAUGAAAUGUAUUUGGGAUAUUUAGUAAUGUAAUCCUAUAUUUCACUUUUAGAUUGUAAAUUAAGUGAGAAUUAUUAGUUGAAUUGGAAACUUUUAUGUUAAUCUAGAGACGUGAAAGACUAUUUCAAGAAUGUUAGUGAGUGAGUCCUGACGAGAGUGGGAUAGGUGGUCCGCCCAACGUUUGGAUUCGUCCUAGGGAGAGAUGGAGGGGCCACAAUGCACUAUUGAUAACAUUGAUUUUUUUAAAAUAUUAUGUAACCUUGGUGCUAAUGUAUCAGUAAUUCCUUUAAGAGUGGUUAGACAAUUAGAUUUACAUGAGUUUAAAAGUACUAAUAUUACUUUGCAGUUAACUGAUAGGUCUAUUAAAUAUCUAUUGAAAGUGUUGGAGAAUGUAUUAAUUAAAGUAUAAAAAGUUAUCGUCUUUAUGAAUUUUGAGGUAUUAGAUAUGAAAAAAAAAUGUCUAUAUCAAUUAUUCUUGGCAGACCAUUUUUAGCAGUUGCAGGUACUAUUAAUGAUGUUAAAAAUGAUAAAUUUAAGUUUCAAAUAUGUAAAGAAGAGGUAGAAUUUAAUUUGAAUGAAAUAAAAAAAUACCAUUUUUUUACUAAUCAUACUUGUUCUAUUGGCACAAUUGAUAAGUUAGUCAAAGAGUUGAGUUGAGUGAACUGUGACUUCGACCCUUUUGAGAUUUGUUUGAUGAGUUUAAAAAUGCAAGAGGGAGACUGUGAAGAAAUUAAAGAAUUGGCUAAAUAUUUAGAUUUUCAAAUAGCUUAUAAACAGGAUAAUGUUUAUGAAAAUCUUGAUCAAAGAAAAGAGCCCCCACUAUCCUCGGAGAUUGAAGUUCCAAAAUUAGAACUCAAGUCGCUCCAAAAUCAUUUAUGGUAUGAGUUUUUUUUGGAGAAAAUAGCACUCUACCGAUAAUUAUUAGUGCUCACUUAGAUGAAGAACAAUGUGCAAAAUUGUUAAGGAUUCUAAGAAAACACAAGAAGUCAGUUGGACAGACAAUUUCGGAUAUCAAAGAUACAAGUCAUUAUAUAUGCAUGCACCGCAUAUUAUUAGAAAAAAAUCACACACUGGUGGUGGAAAUGCAAAGAAGGCUCAAUCCAAAUAUGAAAGAGAUGUAAGAAAUAAAAUUCUCAAACGGCUUGAUUUAGGUAUAAUCUUUUUUUUUUCUCUAAUAGUAUUUGGAUAAGUCCAAAUCAUAUUGUCCCUAAAAAGGAUGGAAAAACUGUAGUCAUGGGUAAAAAUGAUAAAAUGAUUCCAUCUCAAUUCAUGAAUUGGUGGAGAGUGUGUAUAGAUUAUAGAAAAUUAAAUGUAGUUACUAGAAAAAAUCACUUUUCCUUACCCUUUUUUGACCAAUUAUUUGAGCGAAUAGCCGGUUAUGAAUUUUACUGUUUUUCUAAUGAAUUUUCAGAUUAUAACCAAAUAUCUAUAAUUUCGGAGGAUCAAGAGAAUACCACAUUUACUUACCCUUAUGGUACCUUUGCCUUUAGAAAGAUGCCAUUUGAUCUAUGUAAAAUCCCUGCUACGUUUCAACGUUACAUGGUGGCCAUAGUUUCUAAUUACAUUAAAAACAAUUAUGGAGAUAUUUAUAGAUGAUUUUUUGGUAUUUGGUUCAUCUUUUGGUCAUUAUAUUCAUAAUUUAGAUUUGAUUUUACAGAGAUGUGAGGAGACAAAUCUUGUGCUAAAUUAGGAGAAAUGCUAUUUUAUGGUUCGAGGAAAAAUUGUCAGAAUCAGAUAAAGAUAAUAAUGACGAAACUGUAACCGAUCCCGUGAUAGUAGAUCCCUACAAAACAUAUAAACUACCAAAUCUGCAAACUUUUAUUACAAUAAGAGCGCCUUUAGAAACCUUCAUAACGUCAUUUUUAGCUGUGUAUGUGCACCGAAGAACCUCCAGAGUGUCCAAAGAAAUGAGAUUCUUUUUCAAAUCAAGAACAUGUCUAAUAUUAGUGAGCGUUCUCAAAAUACCAUCAUGUAUUUUAAUUCAAACUGUACCCUUACCAACAACAUCACAAAUGACAUUUUCAAUUUAAGGUAAUUUGCAUUAAUGUGUCUCAUUUUGUGAUAAUAAUUGCAUUCUAAAUUUUUGUGUCUGGGUUUAGAUCUACUACUGUCAAAUAUUUUUUAUUGGUUCUGCCCCUAACAACCAGACUUUCCCCCUGAUUCCCAAAUUUCUUGAGUAAUAUUCCUGUCUAUCUGCUCCUUAGAUUUUAAUGCAAAUUUAAUUUCACGAUACAAAAUUGUUUCUUUUCCAUAAAUCAUAGUAUUGUAAAAAUAUUUAAAAGUGGGAAAGGAAAUACAAAAGUAGCUGGGCCUGAUUUUCAACAUCAAUUUCAAAUCUAUAUUUUCCAAAUUCAUAAUAAUUGAAUCAAAUUUAUCAAGAUGUGAGAAUAUAGAUGUACUUUCAGUCACACAAAACAUAUACAAACUUUGUUUUAAAUAAAACCAAUUCUCAACUGUUUUCUUCAUGUACAAAGCCUUGAACUUGUCCCACGUGUCCUUUACCAAAAUUUCAGUGGUUAUUUCCCGCAAAACCUCAUCAAAGAGAUUUAAGAUAAUACUGGAUCUUGCCUUCUUAUCUAUUUUAGCAAAAUUUGUUUCUGUCACACUCUUUGACUUUUUAUGAAUUUCUUGUAUUUCUAAAUCAACUCCAUCUUGAACCAAAAUGCUCUCUAUCUUGAGUUGCCCUAUUCCUGUCAAAUUUUUUGACAAUAAUCUUUGUUAUUAUCAUUGUUGCCAUAAAAUUUAAACCUUCCGAAGAAGUUGUGAUAUUAGUUUGUUAGGUUUGGAUCCAGAAAAUUGACGAUAUGAUUUUUGGCAAUCCUAAAAGAUAAAUAACAAAGAAAAAUAAAUAAAACAGGAACACAGAAAAUUUAUAUGAUUCGGUCAACUAGACCUACGUUCACGGGUAGAGCAAGAGCAAAAUUUUACUGUGAAUAACAGAAUACAAAAAUGUUUUAGACAAGCAUUUUUAAAUCCAAAACACCUAAUACUUGAAACACAAAAGAACCCAAAAAUAUUUUAUUAAACAAAAAGAUUUAAUGAUUCAAGGGCCCAAAAUAACCCACUAAAACUCUCUUAAUUUGAUGCAUCUAAUUCUAUCACAGGUUCAUUAUAUUUAUAGGCAGCUAAAGGAAAGACUUCCUUAUACAAAAGACAGGUGGAACAAAGUCACUUUAACACUUUUUUUUUUUUAUCAAAAAUGUAGAAUUGGCAAAAACAAUAAUUACAGUCACGCUUUGUACUUUCUUGCCUGCCCUUACUGUACAUUUUUCUACAAUGCAUGUUUGACGGUUGACAUUUUUUUUCAGCAAAAUAGCAUUUUAUCGAUCUGAGCAAAACCGUACAGAAUGUACUUAUUCCCUCAAACAUAUCAAACGUGUAAAAGGGAUACGGGGCAGGGAAUGACCGUCCCUGAACGGUCCCCUCACAAACACAACCGUGAGGACUAGAAAUAACCACGUCGACUAGUUUUGGGAAGGUGAAAAAAUGACGUCACAUAAAUUAGUAAUGGAAAAAAAUUUUGACGCUUCUGACGGACCUCGUCAUGAAGCAUUAGCUCCAUUCCACAAAAUCCCGCUCAAAUGAAUCAUCAAACAAAAAGUUCAUUUGCUUUCCCUCCAUAAUAAUUGCCAUUUUUCAUUCAUCUAUAACACCAGAAAAUGAAAACAAAGAGAGAAUACAAGAAAGUGGCUGGAGGCAAAAUAAGAAAGUGGUUGAAGGCAGACUAGGUAUAAGGGAAAGCAGGGAAAAUACAAUUGCACUAAGGUAUAUUACAGCAAGAAAAAGGAAGAAGUAGCGACAGAAGAGUAGAGUUUCGCAUCCAGAAAAGAGAUAAAGCAGGAAACAUCUAGGUAACAAAACAAUAAUGGUAUCACAUAACUUUCAAAAUUUGACAAGGUCAUGGAGCGAUGUGAGUAGUUGUCAUUGUUGGAUAAUGUUGUGAAUGAAUAGGUCAAUUGAUUUUUAAUGAUUUUGGUGAAACAGACUGUUCACUAGUCUCGAGUAGAAGAACGUAGGUAUUUUGGUGGCCAACAUAGGGGAGGAUAGGUGAGAAAAAUUUAGUGCGCCAAGUGUUUGUAAAAUCGUGUGAAUGGGAUGGAAAAUUGCUUGGGUAAUAAUAUAACAAGGGAACUGAUUGUUUUUAUGAAUGUCUUACAGAUUUUGUUGAUUAGUAGUGCCUGCGUGCAGAUUAUACUUUAUGUGGUUUGUACAUACUAUUCAUGGCAACAUACAAAGCGAAAGAAAAAGCAUUACAAAGAUAAUUUCCUUAAAAUUGCCUCUUACAUCAUGUUAUAUAAAAGACAUUUCACAUGAAUAAAUAAUGACGCGGAGUAAAAUUAUUAUGCGGAAUAAAAUAACAUGACACUCAGAUUGGUAGACGCAUUGCAGAGAAAAAAGUUAUAAGUUUUUUUAGCUAGUAGGGUUGGAUACCAUGUUGAAUAACUGUUACAUGCAGUUAGUUAACAGUUACAGUAGAAGAACUGAUAUGUAAUAUUGCGUGAGCAAACUGUAAAAUUGCUACAUAUUAUUUGUUAGUUAACUCGUAUUUGCAUAAUCACAGGAUAAAUAGAAGAAGAGGUUAAUUGUUUGAAACUUGAUAGUUAGGGCAGCAGAUGACAAUCUGAACAGGGUAGGCAAAAUGAAUAACAUAGUUUUUAACUUGGCACACUCAAUGUGGAAAAAGGUUACAAGUUUUACUUUGCUAGUGUGUGUGGACAUGAAGUUGAAUAACUGUAACAUACAGUGAGUUAGCAAUUACAAUAUAAGAACUGCUUUGUAAAAUUUCGUGAAUAUAACUGUGAAAUUGGUACCUCCUGAUUGUUACAUUAACUCAUAUUUAUAGAGUAGGACAAGAAAUAGAAGAAGAAGUUAAUCCCAUCAAACUUGAUAAAUGAGUGAGAGUAGAUUGUAAGUGAAAUUGGUGAGGCAGAAUAAUUAACCUACUAUUAAUUUUGACAAACAGAGUGUGAAAAAUAAGUUACAAGUGUUUAUAACUAUUGUUACUAAGAUUUGAAAGUGAUAUAUUAUUUAUCUUAGUACUUUGUAAUGCAUUAAGAAUAAAUGGGGAAAGCAUAAUGGAACUGAAGUGCAAUUGUUUGUGUAAAACUCCAGUUUAAAUGGACAGAUGCUCUGAUCUCUGAAAGGGAUGCAUUGGAGAUUAAGAAUCUUGGGGCUUAUGGAAAAGGAAAGUUGGUAACAUGUUAUUUACUGUUUACCUCAUUUCAUAUAAAAAGUAUUGGUGUAUGUAUUACGUGGCUUUGCUAUUGAAAUGGUUGGUUUAAUUUGAUGUUAAAGGUUGGAUGACAUGAUCCGGACGAGAAUAAUAUGGUGCGUGGCGUACUAAACUACCCCCUAAUUUGGUAGGGAUGAUGAUGAACAGCGGGCAUGCCGAUAUCGGUGUAAAUGGGUCUGUUCCAUGGUUAACGAAAUUUAUUAUUUGGUUUGACGUAAUUAUUGCAUAUUAUUGUCAACAUUAUGGGUCAUUGAUAGGUUUAUCAACUUGUAACUACAUACAGUUACAGUUAAUAUAUGAAACCAAUCCUAAUAUUAUAUUGAACAAAUAAGUUAUCUUGAAUUAAAUCAUACGCAUGUAAAUACAUAAAUGUAGUGAUCUUUUGGAUAAUCAUAUUAUAAAUAAAUGAAAAUUCAGUUUUCACGGUGACCAUUUUAUUUAUUGCCAUAGAACUUACAGUUAUAGAACCUAUGCCAACAGUACAAAUAUUAAAUUUAUAACUUUCACUUAGAUGUAUUAUUGUAUAUACGUGUAUUAUAUUCCAUUCUGGAGAGUAUGUGGCUCAUUUAUGGAUUGGUAAUGUCGUUAUGUAACUGCAGACUGAGCUAAAUGAGUUGUAUAACAUUGUUGUUAGUAGGCAUACUGUCAUAAUACACCAAUGUCAGCUACAUAUGAAGCGGACCUGACAAACUGAAUUGAGUAUAAUAAUUAAGUGUGACUUUAUUCAAGUUACAUCCAGAUAGGCCUAAUGUCAUGUUAAGCCAAUUGGAAAGUUACAGUGUGUUUGAAAAAUUGUUAGUUACAUUGUAUUUAAAAACUAUUACAAAAUAGUUAUUAAAAAGUUACAGUAUGUUUGAAAACUGUUACCAAAAAGAUUAUUUGGGAAGUUACAGAUUAAAAAUUAAUACAAAACUCCGUAUUUGACUAUUUGUUGACAGUGUGUUUGUAGGUUGUUACAAAAUAGUUAUUAGAAAGAUACAGUGUGUUCGAAAACUAUUACAAAAUAGUUAUCUAGGAUGUUACAGUUUGAAAAUUAAUACAAAACUCCAUAUUUGAAAACUAUUAGUUACGAAGUGUUUGUAAAUUGUUAUAAAAUAAUUAUUGAAAAGUUGAAUGUUAUUGAAGACUGUUACAAAAUAUUUAAUUGGGAAGUUAGAGGUUGAAAAUUAAUACAAAACUCCAUAUUUGAUGAUUGCAUGUUACAGUGUGUCUGUAGAUUGUUACAAAAUAGUUAUUAAAAAGUCACAGUGUGUUUGAAAACUGUUACAAAAUAGUUAUUUUAUUAGUUACAGUGUGAUCCAUACAACAGAACACAAGCAGACCACAUAUAAAUUUGGACCCAGUAUAGGGUCCAUACAUGUCAUGUUUGGACCCAAGAAUAAUUUUCGUAGUUCAAAAUUUGUUACUCAGAGCACAUAUAAAGUUCGUACGCGUGCAUUGUUUUACAACAUCGAUUCGAACAUGUCGACUAACAAACAUAGCUCUAUAAAAUUUGUUUGCAUUAUUAUUAUAGUAGAGAUCAAAACAUAUGCGGUCUUAGUUACGCUGACAUUUCUGUAUCUUUAACAACAAAAUCGACUGGGAUUUCAUACGUACUCAUUUUCACAAGCAAUAUUAGUUGCUAGUUUAUAUCUUCUAACGCCGCAUAUUACCACUCGAGAAAAUAGAGUGGCCAUGAAUGAAUGGCCAUGAUUUGUUAUAAAAAAAUCCAUGACUACUUUUUAAUGCAAACUGAGUAAUUAUAGUUGUUAUUUGUUUCUAAAUUGAUCUUUUACCAUGACCAUUACCCCAAACGUUGAAGCCAAUUAAGUUGAAUGUUUGGUGAAUAUUUACAAUUACGUGGUAACUCCGUCCAAAAUUUAAGUUUAGAUUUUAGGACACUUACUCUUUUAAUACAACAACUUUUUUUAUAUAAUAUUUGUUUCUAAAUACUACUUUUAUUACGAACGCAUACCUUUUUUUUGUUGAAGCAAGCAGGACCAUUUUGUGGUAUAUCACGAGCGCAUAUAUCAUGACAUAUCACGAACGUAUAUAUCACGAUAGUCAUUUGUUGUGGUAUUCUAUGAAAAAUACCAUAAUCAUAAAGAAGCAGGUUCAAUGGUAUUGUAAAAAUGUUAAUUUUCAGUCAACUUUAUAAUUUCUUAACAACUUUAUAUAACCCAUUACAGAACAAUUGAUGACUACUAAUAUGGAUAUGAUUACAAUUGUAACCCACUUGUCUAAGUUUGAAUAGAGUGAAACAUUGAAGGUGCCUGUCCAGGCACAUGAAUAACUUAUAAUAGCUUAUUAACUGCUUGUAACGUAGAUAUGCAGCAUUCUCAAUCAGGCCGACAUGGAGGUCCAAUAACAAAUGUUUUUCGAAAAACACUGCAAAUCUCGUUCAAGAUAACUAAUGUAUGAAAAUAAAAAAAAAUCUAGUCAGUUAUAGUCAACAUGCACUAAUUCAUUCCAACAUUGUAGAUUAAAAGAAACUGAUAAUAGGGAAGCAAUUGAAACUGAACAAUAUCUUCAACAGAGAAGUACUAACAUCAAUAAAUGAGGUCAACUUGGUGAAUGGAUAAUCGAAACUAAAUACACGUAAUGGAACAUACGGUUAAUAAUAUACGAUGUCCAAGACAUCCAAUUAACAAUACUAUAUAAAUAUGUGAUGUAACGAUAAAAGUUUGUCACCCGCAGUGAUGGUGAAAAUACAUGAUAUGCAUCAAUAUCAUAGCGUGUUGAAAUUGUCGCAUGCUCCUCCUACAUUAUAUUAUAUAACUAUUCAACUGUCAAUAAAUCAUUACCAGUGCCUAUAUUGCUCACUUCAAAAGCUAAAUUGAACUAGACAUUAUAAAAAAAAUUAUAUAUCAAAUCAUUAAGAUAUUUCUGAUGGAGUUAUGUUUGAAAAAAAUAGAAAAUUUGGGUGCAUCUAUUCUGUAGGGAUUGUCGCAGGUGGCUCCUGAUUAACCAAACGGUGGAUUUUCGGAUAAUACAAAAUACUAUGUCAUAAAAAUGAGUAUACGUUAACUACAUAAUAUACAUGCGUUGAAGCGUUCAGGUGUCCACCAUUACAAUAAUCAGAAAAGUAGUUUUAUGAUAUGAACAACAUCUUUAUUUUUUCAACUAAAUGUAUGCAUACCAUUUCAUUUUUUUUUAUUUCGGGAGCAACGGCAUUUGGAGGAUCAUUCACUGAUUGGCUCCUUGAAUGCGUUUACGAGUUUUGAAUGACUCCUACAUUGUAUAAAAUAGACCAAAUAGGUAUGUCAGGCAUAACAAAAUUAUCACAUAAUGUAACAUCCAUGUAACUAAUUAUACCGUUAGAAACAUUUAAAUAAAAGCUAAAGCCAUGGCCAUCACCUCUUAACAUAUUCAGAAGGAAUUGUCUUUAUACCCACGGUAUCAAAUACCUUCGGUAUCAAAUACCUUCAACGCGUGCCUAUACCAAAUUCCUUCAUUCUCAUAUUUUUUGCAACUACAGCGUACAUUUAGAUCAUUCCGAUUGAAUGCCACUAUUCUUUCAGGUCCUCCAUCAUACCUCAUGACCGCAAACUCCUCAAACAUCCAUGCAUCUUGUUGUCUUAAUAUAAUCAUAGUUGUCGACUCGCCGUAUUUAUUUUGGAAUGCAUCAAAUACUGUUAGUGAAUACAUCUCUGCUGCAUGCACAAGUAUAUGUGUUUGCCUCAACCCAAUCAUGGAUAGUUUUUGCCUUAUUUCAUAUUCUACGAUGAGUUCAUUAUGUCUCUUAUCAUCAACCACUCGAUUGAAAUGUUUAAACAACUACACAAGGUCGUGAUCCAGUUUCAAUGUGCAACUCAUGGUUAUGCUCUAAGACAAGGUCAUGCACAUGGUACUUCAUUGUCCCUCUAAAUAAUACGAUAACCAUUUUAGUUCCACACCCUGUUUUCGUCGGCGCUCGUGCCCUCUUUGGCACACAUCACCUUUGUACUUGCACUUCACACCUUUCUUGCAGCAACUACAUCUCCUAGACGUGGUCACUCCGUCUUUGUCUUUAUUUAAAUAAUCUUUGCGUACACUAAGAUCCAUUUUAGAGGCAUAUUUGUUGUAAAACUUGUACGCAUCCUCUUCACCGUUGAACUCUAUUCCUAACUCAAGGGUCCUAUCUUCUGCCAAUUUGCUGCAAUCCAUUACUUCUGCUCCAACCAAUUAUGCAUCAAAUACCCUAAUUUGCAAUACUUCAUGAAUAGUAUGUACAUAAACAACAAUAUAAAUGUAUAUUACCGUUCAUAAUGUGUUAUAAAUUACACAUUACUCGUAUACCAAAUCCUAUUAUUAUGCUUAUGAAUAUGAUUAAUGAUUCACAUUACUUUACUUUGACUCUAAGACAACGGCAUUAUUUAUGUACAAAUACAACUCCAUGUACACUAAAUUAUACGGACUGUAAUAUGUUGGUCACACGAUGUAAGUCUUUUUUAACUAUAUGUACAUCCACUCUGGUGAUUAUAUUUAGAUUCUAGGUUCCUUAACUCACUGAACCUUAUGUCAUUCGUUAAUUAUAUAAGUCUAAGCCAACUCCGCAUUUUAUACUAUUUCUACAUUUUGAGGGUCAAACAAGUAUUUUCUACUCAUUGUAAUAUAUUUCUUACAUCAUGUAAUUUAUUUACAACACUAGGUACAUCCAUUUGUUAUUCACAUCUAUUUGCCUCUUUUUCUCUGUUUCACUUCAUUCAACUCUAUACCUCUAUUUUAUACACACUGCAUGGUCCGGAGAAAGGCAAAUUAAGAUUGUAUAAUGAGCAUGGACCAACUAUUAGAUGCACAAUGAUUCAUACCAAUUGUAAUAUGGUGGCUAUAACCUGUAACUUAUUUACAACAAGAUGUACAUUCAUUCACUUGUUACAUGUGACUUUGUUUCUCUCAUCUUUCCCCAAUUCCGCUUGAUGUUUUACUUCAAUACAUAUCCCUGGAUUUUCGGAUAACUACUAUCUCAUUAUAGUUCAUCACUGAAAAGCUGAAUACUCACACGCACACACAUAUGGUACAAAUUCACUGUUCUUCACAACCAAUAUUAUGUUUUUAGUGACUCUAAUUUCAUCCCUAAACCCUAAACCGAUGUGCGUUGGGUGACAAAUGAUUGGCCACAGUUGAAGAUGAUGGUUCAGUCACGUUACCUUGGUAUGCUAAUACGCUUUAUGUUUCACCGAAUUCGGAGAGCGCAGUUACUUCUGCUAUUAAGUUGCAUGACUGAACCAAGUUCGUCAGAUGAUGAAUUUCCUCUAUUUGCUUCUACCUUCACUUUGCUUCCUGUUUGCUUCUAAUAGUUUGCUUCAGUUUGCUUCAUAAUACUUUGUUUCACGACUUUCAGAUUGCUUCAUAAUAGUUUGCUUCACGACCUUCACUUUCAACCAAGUUUGCUUCAGUUUCCUCUCUCUUUGCUUCCUCUGUUAGCAAACAGUUCAGUCGGGCAACCACUCUCCAGUCGUUUGCUUCCUUGGUUCAGUCGUUUGCUUCUGCUAUUAGGGACUCAGAGAGCACCCUUUUCGAUCGAUUUUGUUUUGUGCGGCUAUUUCAAAUUUUCAACUUUCAAAAUUUCAAUUCUUCCGUUUGCUCCGUCUGUUACCGUUUAGGCUAGUGCAAUUUUUUUUUGAAGCACCCAUCAUUUUUUAGCCUUCCUGACGUGGUUUUUUCUAGUUGUGUUUGUGAGGGAACCAUUCAGGAGAAUGACCGUCCCUACCUCGUAUCCUAACAAACCUUAUCACUGCAUCAUGUGAAACAUAUUUGACCCGUAAAACAUAAUAGACGAUGUCCCAAAAGAAUUAUCCCCACAUAAUGGGAGCAAAAUUUCACCCAUUAUAAAACUACUUUCGACGGGGAUUUUUGGUCAGAAUGUAUUAUAGAAAUUUAUAAUUUACAAUACCAGGUCAAUUUUAUCUUAAAAGUUAGGAGGACUAUUGUCAUCCAAUUGACGUUGACUAACUGCCUGCCUUCCAGUCACAAACUGACAACAGAUACUAAAUCACAAACUUGAUUACAAAUCACAAAAUUGACAACAGAUACUUGUUUUUUUUAUUAGAGAACGUGAGGAGCUAACCACAUCGAAAUCAAAAUAACACAAUACUAAAUCAAUUUCAUUGGGCGAAGCAACCUCUUAAGUACUGUUCUUUCUGGGAAUCAAGAUUUUAAAAGUCAAGAUAUCCUCGAAUUCUUGGAUAAGAUCAACAGUAUUGGUCAUCACCCUUCCGUGUAUGCUUUCUCAUCUAUGUUUCUAGUAACCUCAUUUUCGUUCCUGUUCUGGAAAUAAUAAUGAUUUGACCACAUUAUUAAAAAUCACUAAUGCAUUGCCAUAUAAAGUAAUCUCUCACCAUCUUACCUUCAUUUGAUAAUUACAUUUUAUUUCCUAACCAUUCUAAUUUGUAAUUCAAUUUGACUAAUGAGUAUUCAAUGGACACUCGUUAAAAGAAAUUCGUAUUAGUUUUUUGAAAAAAAAUAGUUUAUUUGUAAAAGUAUAGCAAUUCGAGAUGUGUAAUAUAAGUGUGUAUGCGUAUUUAUAUAGCAAUUUAGGUGUGGUCAUUAGCAAGACUUUUCCUAAUUAAGCCUUUACUUAGUAACUGGCAUUUCCAGCCAAAUAUAGAUUGCGUGCCACUAAAAAAUUCUUCAUAGGGCGGUGUGUCUUUUCACACUGACCUUAUCAAAGACGCGUCCCAUGCUGGUCGACCGUGACCUUGGUGAUUAGGUCCGACAGGUCAAAUGAAUUUACUUAUGGGGUACGUCACCACAUUUUUAGGCCUAUAAAUACGAGGAGCCUGGUUCGUUAUUUUGAUGUGCUAAACUCAGCUACCAAGUUUUCGACAGUCACAACCAGUUACAAAUAUCCAUUUUCGUUCAUAUUAAUUAGCUAGCUAGUUCUCCAAGGAAGGGAAAAAAUGGCUGAAGCCAAAUCUGCUACUGUCACUGAUCAGGUGAAUAGUGAUUCUAUUGCCUAGCCAUACCUAGAUUUCCUUCUUUUUCAAGUUUGUGUGUGGUUUUGAGAAACAACUCAUAAACAAUUUGUAUUUCGAAAAGUAUGAGGAGUUGCAAAUUAAAGUAAUAGCAACGUUCUUGAAUUGUCUUAAGCAAUAUUUUACAUUUCUAGUUGUCUCCAUACAUAUGGGUAGGCGGUCUCUUGAAUUGUUUGAUUAAGCUUCUUCUGAGUGAUGUAGUUACUGACUGACUGAUCGGAUUUAGUCUUCUAAUUGUUUGUUUAUUUGAAAGGAUUCUAAUUGAUUUUGGGAACUCAAUUGUUUUGCGAUUUUCUCACUGGUUAAAAUGUUUGGGAUUUACAGAUCGACAUCAACUCAAUACAACCAGUGGCGCCGGCUGACCCUCACGUGGUCGAGAUCGGAAAAUUUGUAGUGGAAAAAUUUCACCACGGCAAGCUGCUUUUCAUCGCCGUGCUUGGCGGAUUCACAUGGAAAUGUGAGGGAGGCAAGUACUACGCACUUAUCAUUCAAAAUCAGGAUUAUGAGGGCGCCACAUUUAUCCAUAAAGCACUCGUUGUUGAGGCCAAAGGUGAAACGAAACUCCUCUGGCACAGGAAUUAAUCAAGCACUACUAUUGAUCUGCUGAGGAUAAACGACUUUCUUUGGGUACUUAAAUUAUCUAGUGUCUAUGGUGUGGUUUUCACUUUUCAGUUUGUGCAUGGAUGAUGUACUGCUGCCAUGCAUACAUCUUUCCACUGUUGUACUAGUAUGUUAAAUAAGGUCCACUUAUACCAACAAAAUGCACCAUUCCGUCUAUUUUUUAAUUUGUAUCCUUGUAAUAACAUGUAAAAGAUGCACUUUUACGAACAAAAAUGUACCAUUAAAUGAAUAAAAACAAUCGUCUGUUUUUGAGUUUUAUCUAUAUAUUUUGUUUCUAUGUUACUUCCAAGCAAUUUCCGAUCCCUGAAUUUGUAUGUCAACUACGUACCAUGUUCAUGACUAGUUAAGUAAUAAAGCAUAUAAAAGAUUAAUUGAUAUAUUGAGAAUAAGAAAUGCGGAAAAGCUUUUAAGUUUUUUCAAGUGGUACUCGGAACAUGUUUUUCAUGCCAUCACCAAACUAAGAAAUGCGGAGAAUGCUUUCUAGGAUCAACCAAAAAUGAUAAUAAUAACAGUAAAUGUACCUCCAUUUAGCCAUAAAACACGAGGCUUGUUAGAAGGAUUUUCGGACUCCGCAAAAUAGUAGAAGAGAGCUUUACCAGUCUUCGGAUCAACAGUAACAUACCCUGAAUAUUGAUCAAACUUUAACCCUUUUGGUUGCCCCUGCAAUGCUACUACUUUGUCGGCCGCCUUCCGAGCCCUCUUGGGGACCAAUAUAAACUGGCGUGUUGUCAUGUCCUGAAUCCUCAUCAUUUACGUAAUUGUCUAGUUGAUGGCUGUCGAAACCACCAAAAAUAAAAUUCGAACUCCAAAAAUAUAUACUUUUGAAUACAAUGGUGAGUGGAGUUAAAAAAUAAUAAUGUAGAAUUAAAUAAAAAUAAUUCAAUAAAAGAUAAAUAUCUAGUCAACGGUCUAAUGCAAGGAUAAAAUCAUUUAUUUAUAAAUAAACAGGUUAUGAUUAUCAUAAAUUCUGACAACCUACUAGCUAACUCUCUUUACUGCCCUCAAUAACCAUAGUAAGUUACCUAUGUGAUUAUUGCCUUUGCCAAUUGAAAAACUCUAAACAAGCUCUUAACAUUUAAUCUAUUGACAACAGUAACUAUUAGAAAAGCUACCAGUUCUAAUUAUUGUAUAUUUUUGUGACAUAUAUUCAAAAAUUUCUACUACAAUCAAAUUAUAUCACUUGCCACAAAUACUAAAAUCAUCAAACAAUUACUGAUUUAACGAUUCAGAUGGCAGUAGAGUAUUUUGACAAUUAAAUAGUGGCCAAUUAUUUGAUCAUAUAAAAUAAUCAUAUUAGGAAUGAAUAGAGAAUAUAUAAAUGCUUAUAAAUAAAUAAAAUAAUAAAAAUAAAUCAGACAUCACAAUAUUCGAUGAAACAAAGUUUCAAUUAUUCUUCAACUAGGAAAAAAAAUUCAGCCACUUAUUAUGGUACAUUUGCAGCCAAGAAAACUAGGUUUUAUUGGAGAAAAAAUACGGAAAAAAAAAAAGGAAAAGCAAAGAGAGAAACGGCAGGAAAGCAAAAGAGAGGAGGUCCCUUGCUUCUGGUUCCUUCCGUCCAAAAAAAAAAAAAAAAAACUAUCGUUCUCAAAAGUCAUAACUACUAAUCUAAAUAGCACCUACGUUUCCUGGCACUGAAGGAAAAUGAUUCCUUCUGCUAAUGUAACUCCAAUAAAUACUAAAACUAAUACAUAUGAUUAAAAAAUAUAAUUCCUAAAAUAAUCAACAGCUUGCAUUCUAUAAGCAAAUGAAGAUUGGUUUCCAUUGACCGGCACAAGUUCCAAAUUGUGGGGUCUGAGUUCAAUCCUUCCAAAAAUAAGAUGUGGCCGUAUGUCCCAAACUAAGGGGUUCACUUUUUUUUUUUAUUUGAAGCAUGGGGUUCACUUUCAAUCCCUCCAAAUUUGGACUUUGCAGCAGAAUAAAAUGUGGCCGCAUCUUGUAAAGUCUAGCCUUUGAAAAUUCAGCUUUUAAUGCAUUUUUUACUCCCUUUUCGUCAUAAAUUUCUAACAACAACACCAAAAAUGAUAUAUGAAUAGAAUCUAACGAUUAACACCAUAUCAUGACAAAAUAAAAGGAAAAAUAUUCAUAAAUUAAGCUCAAGAUUAACCAUCUAACACCAAUCCUGUUGACCUAUGUGCUUGGAGAAAUUUUUUGAGAGUCUCUUGACCUUUUCCCUGGUAACAUUGUACAAAAAUAUAAGCAGGCUUACGAGGGCUAGAGAUAAGAUGAGUGUGCCAUUCAUCCUUGACACAUAUAGGUCUAUAACCUGUGAACUUGGUUGUUUCACCAAAACAACUGAUCACCUCUAUUUAUAUUGAGAUUUCGAAACAAAUUGUUUGCCUUUUUCAUAUUUAUAAUUCACCCUUCUGCCAUUUAAUAAAUGGCUUUCGCUUUCAAAUUAAUCAAAAUGAAUUUAGACCCAAGCCCAUUUCAUUCCUACCCAUUUUUAUUUCAUCAUGCUCAAGGGCUUUGAAGGCUUUAUGCCAGUUUAUUUGUAGCCCAUCCUCUUUCUAGGGUAGACAGACAUCUCACUUUUUCUGAGUAGUGAUGCUUGAAUUCCCUAGGCCAUACAAAAGAGGAAAUAAGACUUCCCACUUUCUUUAGAAUAUCUUUGGGUAGUAUAAAGGUUCUAGUCCAAUAAAAGAUCAAUUUCUGGAUUCGACAAGCAGCAAUCUUCCUCUGUAGAUCAAUUUCUAGUUGUUGGCCCAACCUUGAAUCUUGUACUGCAACUUAUCAAAGGAUGGGCUGACAGUCCUUGAAGCAAUGAGAAGCAGCCCAAGGUACUUUAUAGGCAAGUUGCACAGAGGCAUGCCCACAACGUUACAAAGAUCAGUGCCAACUUCCUCAGUAACAAAAGCCGCAAAAGACCUGGCAUUUGAUUAGAUUUGGCUGGAGUCCUGACAUCUGCUGAAACUCAUCCAAUGUUUGUCUUACGACCACAAACGAUUUGUUAGUUGUAGCAGAAACAAGAAAUAGGUCAUAAGCAAAGGCAGCAUGGACAAAUUCAGUUCCCUGCACUUUGGGUGAAAUUCAAACCCCAUACAUUUAAUAUUAUCAAUAAAUAACAUUGAGAAAAACUCCACAGCUAUAAGAAAAAGAUCAAGGGGAGACUGGAUCCCCUUACCGAAUGUCCCUCUCACUUCUAAAAUAUCCCACCAAUGCUCCAUUGAGGUUGAUGGUGAAAUGUGCAAUAGAUACACAAUUUCUAACCCCAAGAGAUAAAUUUUUCUGGAAAGUGCAUAGUAUCCAUUGCAAGAAAUAAGAAAUCCCAAUUGAUUGUGUCAUACGCCUUUAUCAGGUCUAUUUUCAACACUGCACGAGCUAAUCCAACUUUCUUGCAGUACCCUCUCACCAAUUCAUACAUUACUAGUGUAUUAUCUGCUAUACUUCUUCCUAUUAUAAAGCACUCUGAUAUUCACCAAUGAUUCGACGAAUUAAACUUUCAACCUAUUAGUUAGCAAUGCUAAAUCGCAUUUACAUAGCAAACAACAGCAGGCUAUAGGCUUGAAAUCCCUCAUUUGUGUUGUAUUCUGCAACUUUGGGACCAGUGUAAUUAUAGUACUAUUUAAAGGAUAAUGCAUAUACUUCUUGUCAAAACAAGAUUGAACAUCUCGAAUUACUUCAUCACCAAUUACAUGCUAAUUCUUCUUUAAAAAAAUUGUGCACUAAAGCCAUCUGGGCUUGGAGCUUUACCGUCCUUCAUAGUAAACAUAGCAUGUUUAAUCUCUUCAGCUGACACACUAGCCUGGAGAAAGUCGAAUUGAUCACUAGUGAUGGUUUUGGCAUUUAUCUGUUGCAGCUUGCCCUUCAAAUCAGGGUACUAAGAGUUAGAUUUACUGAACAGAGUCUGAUAAAAUUCCACUGCAAUUUCUUUAAGCUCAUAGUCCUCAACAAUAUCACCUUCAUCAUUCGAGAGAGAAUCUUAUUCCUGGCAAACAUGACCCUUCAUCUUUCUGUAGAAAAAAAGCAGUAUUUUUGAUAGGGUAUGAAUUGCAUUAUCUUUAUAUGUACAAAUUGCUAGUUAACGGUGAUAGUUGAGCUACAACUUGAAUAGAAAUUGUUUAAUUUUGAUCUUAUGUUAUUUUAAUAGGUAGAGAGCUCAAUUGGAAAGAAAAUGGACCAAUCUUGGCAAGACAAUCAAGAAAAGCAGCAAUAAAAGAAGAAGAAGAAUGAACAAACAAGGGUUGCUGGAUUACUAAGGAUCCAUAGGCAAAUCCAUAGCGAUCUGUGCAUGUAUUCUCAAUAACCGGCUCCAGAUGUCAAAAUGGUCUUCACAUUGAACUUCUUCUGGUUGUUAUGGUUUUGAGCUUCACCCAAUGACCGGCCCACGGAAAUUAAUAAAAGACUUUAAUUUAUUAAAAGAAUUUCUAUAUUUCUUUAUUUUUCUCAAUAUCCCAAACAAGAUCUAAUAAUAACAUUAAUUAUUAAUGGAACAAACGAGGGGUUAGGUCUGAGGGUCAAUUGGGCAUGAGAGAGGGGGUUGGUUGUUCUUUGAAAAGAUAUUCAUCAUCUGAUUGAUGAGUCAUAAUAAGACAAUUUGCGGUUAAUAUACUUACUAAGUAGGAAUCUACUACUCUAGGAAUAAAAAUUUGAGUUAUCAAGGUGAGUUUAUGGGCCAAUAAAUAAAAGAUUUUUAUCUUUGUAACCAAUUGCAUUGGGGUGGGACAGUGCAAGAGAUAUCAUACAAAAGAGAUUGAAUCCUCUAAAAAUGCUAUGAAGUGCUCCAAAAUGGUCGAAGUAGUUGAAUAGAAGGAUCGCUAUGACUAUAGCCCUUGGUAAAUUUACCAAAGGCGAAAAUGAUUUAUUUGAUAUUAUGGAUGAUUGGUUACGUAGAGACCGUUUCCUUCUUCAUCUGGAAUUGGUGCCUUCGCGAUUUUUUUCAACUCCAAGAAGUCUAACCCUAUCAUAUUUGGGCUAAAAUUUUAAGAAACUAUAAAUAGGAGUUAUUUAGAUUAUUUUUAGGGGAAGAAACACAUUAGACUAGCAUCAGUUCAUCACAUAAAACUCUUUCUUGGGAGAUCAAGAAUGGGUUCAAGGCACGGGAUCAAAGAGAAAUCGAGACGGAGAUUGGAGCAAGGAAAAUUGAGAAGUUUUCUUUACUUUUAUCUUCAUACUUGUAUUUAGUCUUUGAGUUCUUGAUUUUUAUAAUGAAUAUGAUGAACUAAUUUGUCUCUAGGGUUGGAUUUUAUUAAAAAGUAUUGGUUAUUUAUUUUAGUUAAAUUCUUUACGUUUGCCUUAAUUUAUCUAUUUUGACUUAAUUAUAUGUUAUGCUUGAUCACCAUAGACAUGCUCUUAGAUUUUGUGUUGAACUAAAAAGGGACAUACAACCAUGCAUAAGAUGAAUAAAUAUAUUUAGCCUAAUUAUGAGAAUAGAUUAGAUUUUGUAUAACAUAAUUGAAAUCACCUAAGAUCUUAAAGGGUUUAAUUAAAUAAUUAUGGUCUUGAGAGAGAUGUAAGAUAUAAUUGGGCACAAUUUAGAUGUAUUAAUAGAUAAUAUAAAACACCUUUGCAUGAUACAUUCUUGGCAUGUUAAUAAAUUAGUUGGAUAAUUAAUUCAAAUUCUGGAUCAAAAUCUAAAACUCUAGUCUCUUGCCAAUUAUUUUCUCGCAUCUUUUUUAUUUGACUUGAUCAUUUAUUUUACCUCUUAAUUAGAAAUUAAAUCCUUUAAAUUUAAAUUUCAUUGUCUUCUCAUAAUAAUUAUAGUAGAGAAAACACUCCUAACCUAGGAAAAGUCAAUUCAAAAGGAGAAUGCACGACUGAAGCGAAGAAAUAGCUAGAUCUGAGAUGAUUUUAUUAUACAAUCGAUCCUAUGCAGUAGCACAAAUAGCGGAUCAAUUUUUAUCACCGAAUUGUAGCCACUACACUCUGGGCUUAUCCUUAUAGAACUCCUCUUCAGCGAGAAUCAAUCUUGUGUAUUCCUAGAUAACAACUUUCUCUGCAGCAAUUAACUCCGGAUCAAAAGGUUGCUAUUGCAUAUGCUGCUGCACUAUUAUCAGUUGCUUUUUUUUUUUUUUUUGCUUUGAACUCCACCAGAGAUGUGGUUAUAGUCUCUUUUAUUCAGCUCUUGAAGCUUACCCAUAAGCUGUUUUAGUUCAAAACAGAUAAGCUGUAUGGGAUUUAUUAACACUCCAGGAUCAGCUUGCCAAGAAUCCAACAGGACAUAAAAAAACUCAUGCUACAUCCAAAAGCUAAUGAAUUUAAAAAGCUUUGGCCCAAAGUUAACUUGAUCUAGCUAUGUAUUCAGAUUGGUAAUGAUGCGACCAAAUAUUGUUAGUCUUAAUGUUUGGAAAGUGCUACUCUUUCUCAUAUCUAUAGGAUUGCAAAGGAAUAAAGUUAUCUCGGUCAAAACUUGUGUAGGGUAUUUAAAAAUUUAUAAAUGUAAAAUUUGACUACGUAUUGAGUUUAAUUUUGUAUGCAUGCCCCAUGCACAUCAAGCUCUAUUCCAUAGUUUGAAAUAUGUCAAUCCCAGGCCUCCUUCAUACUUUGGUUUACAAACUUCUGCCCAAAUAACUUUUGCAUGUGUCCUCACUCCUCGGCUCCACUCCAGACCAUAGAAAGGCAUUCAAAAUACUCUCCACCUUUGCAACAGACAACUUGGGGAGGACAAAUAAACAAAAAGGCUAUUAAGUAUAAAUUCAAGUAAAAUGAGCCCUCCUCCAUAAGAGAGUUUCCAAGCUGCCCAACUUUUAAUUAUAGCCCCUAUUUUAUCAAGAAUAGGCUAGUAGUCAAUAGCACUUAGCCUAGUAGAUAUUAAAGGAACACUUAGUUAUCAAAUUAGCAAGUGUCCCAAGCGAAUCCCCACAGCUUCAUUCAACUUCACACAUUGCUAGUUAGAUACACCAGCUGCAAAAAUCUCUGAUUUAGCCAGGUUUGGUUUAAGACUCGACAUCUCAGAGAAUUCUUUCAAAGUGGCCUGAAUCACAUAUCGAUUUUGAGUCUAUUUGUAAGAUUAAUUGGUAUAAAUUGUCCAUUUUAUGUCACUAAUUUGCACCUUAAGUGAUUAAUGGAUUAGUUGUGAUUUUAUCAUUUCACUUGCAAAAUUUCUUUGGUUUUGUAGGAAAAAUGAUUAAGCUUAAUUGGACGUGCAAUGAGCUGGGAUGAGAAGCUUAAGGAGUCACAACAAUGGCUAAAAGAAAUGGUGCAAGGAAAGCAUGAAGCUUGGAAGAAAGAAAGAAGGAAACAAAGAAGAAAAAAAAACUAGAGAGAAACCGCGGGAGAAUCCGUCUACGGUUUCUCCCACAGUUUGUGGCCAGUGAAUCAUUUUGAAGCAAAUCAUUUGUUCUGCACAAUCCUAGGGAGAAUCCCUCGAGGGAUUUGAUCCAGGAAUUCAUGGUAGCUGCAACUCACCAACUUGCAUGGUUUUUCUUUCUUUUUUUUUCGUGGACAAGACACAAAAAGACAUUUUGUACCAACUUUUGGAGGAUCUAAGAGUUUCUUUUGUUGACUCUUAACAAGGAAGAAACACGUUAUUGGAGAGGGAGAUUAGUUCUUGACAAGAGAGAGAGCCUUUUCUUCUCUUUUUUUUUAGUUUUAGCUUAGUGAUAGUUUUAGAUCUAAUUUUCAUUUUUCUCUUCAAAAACUUGAAGAACUCUUGAUGAAUAAUGUAUUUUUUAUUGCAAUGAAAAUGAUGAAACUUGAAGAUCUUGUUUCUUCACUUGAAUAAGCAUUUCUUUCUCUUUACUCUCUUUGUUGUGCCAUUAAUGCUCAGUUACAUUGAAGACAUGAGUUUUAUUAUUAAAUCUACUAUGUCUAGCUAAAUCUUCUUGUUUUAGGGGUAGAUGAAGCUAUUUGUAUUAUGGUUGAAUAAAGUUGAUUAUUGCUAUAUCUUAUACUUGCUAGUUCACUUAUUUUUGCUUUAACACUUGUAAAUGCUUGAUCACCAUUUACAAACCAUGAUAGUUGUUGUUAAUCUAUGAGAAUAAUUAACAAUGAUGAAAUGGAAUAGGUGAACCUAAUGAGUAGACACACGAAAAUAAUGGUACACUUAGGUGGAUAUUUUUGGCAUUUCUAGAUCUAGGUUAAGUCUUCACUUUAGAUUUCACCAUGAGAGUAGGGAAAGUAUAGUGUUGGCUAAGUUUAGUUCAUUGGCGAGAACGAGUUCUGAAGACUUGAGUGAAAUACAUCCUUAGCAAGACAAAAGCAUGAGUGAUAAUUGGCUAUUUCAUCCAUAGUUAGGUACAUUUAGUGGAAUCUAUACCCUAGGACAUUUGUCUUUAGUUGAGUUUCUUCAAGUUGUUAAUUUGCCUUGCAUUAUUUUAGCUUUUUGAUGGUUUCACUUAGUUAAAAUUCUUGAGUAGUUUAGAUAAUAAAGUGAGCAAAAUACCUUAGUAGUUGAGAGUGAUUUUCGUGGGAUUCGAUCUUAUUUCCUUUGUACUACAAUACACGAUCCAUACACUUACCGUUAACAAGGGAAUUAGGUUUAAAAUUAGAGUGCAAGUAUAAAUCUCGUCAAGGAUUUAUGUGAUGGAAUAGCCAUAAUGAACAAAUCAUCAGCAAAGGAAAUAUGGUAUGAUUUCAUCUCUGAACAUCUGGGGUGGUAUUCGAACCCCAUCUCUUCAAUAUUUGCAUCCAUAAUCUGAGAAACCGCUUCCAUUACUACCAAGACAAAGGUGACUAGAUAUAAAAUGUCCUUGCCUCAACCCUCUACAACUUGCAAAUUAGCCAACAAGGAAGCCAUUUAGGUUGAGAGAGAAUCUAGUAGUCAUAGCGUUUUUUGCGCAAUUAAUCAGGUAGAGGAGAAGUUCAUAAGUUUGAGAACUGUGAAAAAGAAACAGCCAUCUAACUGUAUCAUAUGCUUUCGUGAUGUCAACUUUCAGAACACAUCUUGCUUUUCUCCCUUUCUUAUGAUAAUUUCUCACCAACUCAUGCAUCAAUAGGACAUUAUCUGAAAUAUUUCAACCUUUUAAAAAGGCAUUUUGCCUCUUAGAUAUCAGACCUUCCAAAAUUUGUUUAAAUAAUUCAGUAAGCACCCUAGAAAUUAGAAUAUAUUUCUUAGAGUGCAUUGCAACAAGCAACAAGACCAUAUUCCUUCAUUCCCACAGGUGAAGCUAUCUUGGGAACCAAAGUGAUGAUUGUACUAUUCAAUCCUAUAGCCAUAUGCUGAGUAUGAAAACAGUACUAUAUAGCAUUAAUCAAACCAGCACCUAAUAUUCAUCAAUUUUUAUUGAAAAAAUCCACAGUGAAAGCAUCAGGCUCCGGUGAAGUACCUUCUUUCAUGCUGAAUAAAGCUUGCUGAAUCUCUAAGUCAGUAAUUUUCUGAAUCAACUUUGCCCCUUGCUUUUUGGUUAAUCUAUUUUUAAUAAUCUUGGAUAACCUAUGCUCCCUAGUUUCAGAGAAGGAACCAUGUUUAGAAAAUGAUUGCUAAUAAUAUCCAACUACUUCCCUCUUCACAUUUUCACAGUUUGUAAAGCCUUAUAUCCUCAGAGUUUGUGAGACUUAAGAUUUUGUUGUGAGAAUGGUAAAUUUUCAACUUUCUAUUGAAAAAUGUGAUACGGUAUAAAAUGUAGUGUAUUUAUAUGUAUAAGUUGCUAGUUAAUUAUGUUAUUUGAGCUUUAUUUUGAAUGGAAACUACUUUAUUUUGUUAUUAUAUUGGUCUAAUAAGUGAAAAUCUUGACUGGACAGAAAAUAGACAAAAAUAUGGUGAAGAAUCAAUGGAAGAAGAAAACCUGAAGAGUAAGGGGUUUGACUGGAUUGACAUGUUUCAUUAUUUUGGCAAUAACUUGAGUUACACAAAUUGGAUUGAUAUAAUUCUUGAUUCACUUUGAAGUAAGAGAAAGAUCUACAAUUUUUAUGAGAUAUCAAAGUCCAGUUCUUAUGUUUUCAUAACAAACAAUCCAAAAUACUAAAAUAUAGUUUUGCUGUGAUGCUCUUCUGAUUAGUUCUCAGUAUUUUGGACAUAUCUUAGUGUCUAGAUCUCCAAAUGAUAUGAUUGUUAUGGCAUGGGAAAGCUAAUUUAAAGGACUACAACUUUCAUGUUUGCAAGAGUUGAUUCAACCUCUUUGAUCGAUUUUUUUUGGCUUCAAAUAUGAUCCACGUGUAGAUCUAUAGUGAUCCAUUCAUGGCUCUGUUAUAACCGACGCCGAUUAUGCAUUAGGUCUUCAGGGCGGGCUUCCUGUAAUCCUAAUGUUCGGUGCCAAACUUUGGGCUGGACUUUAUUGAAAAAAUAUGCGAAAAUGUUAUUUUUUAGUUCCAAUAAAUCCAAUCCUAUCCCAUUUGAGAUACUACUUUAAGAAACUAUAAAUAAACGCUAUCUAGGACUUUUUUGGAGGUAAGAAAAUAUUAGGCUACAUUGGUUCAUCCUUUUUACAUAUUCUUUUCUUGAUAGAUCAAGGAUGAAGCGUGGAAGAAUAAAAAAGGAAGAUCAAGACGGGGACCAAAGCAUAGAAAAUUGAGAAGUUUUCUUUACUUUAUCUUCUUGUUUGUAUCUUUUCUUUGAAUUCUUGGUUUUAAUUAUGAAUAUGUUGAACUCAAUUUUCUAGGCUUAGAGUUUUAUGAAGGAGAUUUGAUUAUUUAUCUUAGUUAAAUUCUUUACUUUUGUCUUGAUUUAUUUAUUUUUGAUUUAAUUGCAUGUUUGUGAUUGGCCACUAUAGACAUGCCCUUAGUUCUUGUAUUAAACUAAAAAGGGAUAUACAACCGUGCACUAGAUAAAUAAACAUAUUUAAUCUAAUUAUGAGAGUAGGUUAGCAGUUGUAUGACGUAAUUAUAUCACCUAAGAUCUUAAAGAGUAUAAUUAAAUACUUAUGAUCGAGAGAGAGACAUGCGAUUUAAUUAAGCAUAACUUAGAUAUAUCCAGAGAUAAUCUAAGGUAUUUGCGUGUAAUACAUUGUUGGCAUGUUCAGAAAAAUAAUGGGAUGAUUAGUUUAAAUUUUGUAUAAAAAUCUAAAACCCUAGACUCUUGCCAACCAUUUUCUCAACUCUAUUUAAUUUGCCUUGAUUAUUUGUUCAUUUUUUUUAGUUAUAGAUUGAAACCCCUAUGAAUAUGAAUUUUAUUAUUUGUCUAGAAUAAUUAAAGUAGAGAAAAUUAACUCGUCCGUAUAGAUACUAUUUUGGAAUACUACAGGUAAUUUAUUACUACAAUCGAUCCUAUGCACUUACAGGAAUUCGUUGAUCAAAAUGCAGUGUUGGCAUCACCCUCUUUCAACCAUUUGACUCUCGAUUUAUCCUUAUAAAAGCUCUCCUCAGCUUGCAUCCUCAUUCAUAGUCUGUAUGAUUUUGUGUUCUCAAUAUAAAUUUUGGCCAACACAAUUCCAAAAAGUUCCUAAAUGUCCCCAACACGGUUGGUGAAAAGCCCCAAAAGUCCUUAUAGUUACCUUCUAAACUCGAUGUAAUAUCACUGCAGCAAAGCCUGUAGAGGUUUUAUAAAUAUAUGAUUUUGAGUUUAGCUUAAGUCUAUCAAUAAAACGAUAAAGAAUAUAUUAAAAUCUUUGGUUAUCCUCCUUAUUUUGAACAUUAUAAAUGUUGUUAUUACUUAUUAUGAGUUUACUAUAAAAAUUUAAAGAAGUAAAAAAUUAUAAAUUCAUAAAUUAGUGAACUAAAGAUUCCCUCUUUGAAGAAAAUAAAUUACUGAAGUCCUAUUGCAAGAUUUACCAGAAAAAGAACUCUAACAAGGAGAGUAUAUGCCGAGUUACUAAAAGCAUAGACAAAUAAAAAAGACACAAGGAUCAGGAAAACAUCUUUGUUUGGAUAUGAAGUUAUUUGCAACAAUAAAAAAAUAAAAAAAUUAAUUGCAUCAUAAAUACGUUUUCUAAUUAUCUUUUUAGCUUUCUAGCCACCUUUUUAAUCUCAUAUCUAUCAUAUCACAAAGAGUGUUAUGAUGUUAUUCCAAAAUAUUAUUCCAAAUAAUUUCCUAUUCGUACGCACUCAAAUAGUUCAAUCUUCAAUAAAUUAUGCAUAACCCUAUAUGCAGAUUCAUAGAUUACAACAUAAACCCCAGUUUUAGAUUCUUUCCUUCUUUCAUCCUUUCAAGUUCUUGAGUUGCACCACAUCUUUUAACUACCGUUGUAAUUUCUCAAGUUUCUAAUCAUCGCUUUGUUAGUCCACCAUUUCACUUCCAAUUGAUCUUGUUCAUUUUACCCUACAAAACAAAGAGAUUUUGCGAGUAAAAUGUGACAGGUUGUCAGCCUGUGCAAUAAUAAUAAUAAAUAUAGAACCUAGAUACCACUAAAAGCAGUCAAUAAUUAAUCCUAGGUACUGGAGCAGGGACUCUAGGUGUGCAAUGGGUUACUUGAUUCACCCUGUUCCCGAAGAGUUUACUUAACCCGAUAUACCAGAAUUAAUUAAUAGACAAAAAUUACUAAAUAGUAGACAGUGGCAAGUAGGGUCGUCUCCUCAGGGACUGGGGAUAUCUGUCUCUUUUUAAAGUCCAAUUGAUAAGGGGGGAUUUCACCGGAAUGAAACUAAAAAUAAUUAAACAAUUUAAUUAAAAAUAAAUAAAUCACUAGCACAAGUAAAACAGGGAUUAAAUCAGGAAUAAAUAAAUUCUAGCCAAGGAUACAACUACUCAGGCACAGUCCAAUCAUCCGAUCAUUGAUGCAGGAGAGGUUCACUUAAUGUAUUAAUAGGCCAGUUAUAGUCUGACAACCAAUUUUUCCUUAAAUUAUAGAUGACCAAGGUACGACCAUUAAUCACCUCUAACCAGAAAAGUACUCCUAGGUACGACCGUAGGAAUUAAUUUUCCAAUUGUAUUAAUAACUAGAAAAACCUAGCCCUAACCAAUAACACGCUACGAGGGUUAUUUAAAUUAGAUUGCACGUUCCCCUAAUGUGUAAACACACCAGUUGCCACUAACAUUAAUCAAUCAAACAAUUACGGAUUUAAUUGACUAAAUUGGCACGAGAUUAAUAAAUCACAUUGAACAUCGGGCCCUUGACAUCCAAUUAAUAAAGUAAUCCCAUGAAAAUUCAAGCAGAUAACAUGCAAAUAUUAAUAAAUAAAGGAACACGUGAAAACUAAUUAGAUCUCACAGAUUUUCGGAACUGCGCCGUCGAGUUGACCCUUGACUAGAUGGAAGAUUUAGCCACGCCGCAUAAUUAAAUCACCACACGAAUUAAUGGAUUGCAAAGGCAUAGCGUUUUCUAUUAAGAAGCAAGGAAUAAAAGGUGUUUUUCCCGUUGGAGAAUUUUGUCGAACACCUGGCGUGUGUCAGAGACCAGUCAAAAGAAGGAAAAACUAAAACUAAACUAAAAGACUAAAACUAGAGAUGUCCCUGCUACUCUCCGUUAUCUCUAUUUAAGCAACAAAAGAAAGAUGACUAAAGGCUAUUUAGGUGGUCCCCACACAUGUGGACAAAACCUUCAAAGUACUUCUUGCCCCAAGUCUCUUUCCGUAACUUUCUUUUAAGAGCCCAAAGGAGUAGAUGCCUUCCACUAGCUAGUGGUCCCCCACCAAUUCAAGGGCCCAAGAAUUGAAUCCCUUAGAAGUCUCCCUAUUUUCCAUAAAGUCCUUCCUUUUUAGUGGUUUUCUGCUUCAUUCCUGAAAUUAAGUCCAGAUACCAAAUAUGAGUAAAUAUCAUAAAUUAGCACACUAUUUAUCAGGGAUAAAAGGGGAAAUUACUAAUAAAAAUUACUAACAAAUUACACCCUAUCAAUUCCCCCCACACCUGAAUCAUGUUUGCCCUCAAGCAUGAGGACAAUUCAACCCAACAAUGGCCAGCUUUAACAAUAUCAUUGCCAGCUGUGCUUAUACCGAAAUCAAGAUCUAGUGGCUAAGUGUCAAGACAUAUCCCUCCCGAUUAGCUCCCAAGUUCCAAGACCUAUCCAAUUCAUGGCUAACUCACCUAGGAAAUUCAAAUAUUAACUAGCGACAGUCAGCAAUUCAGUCAACUGACAACCAAAAUCUCAACAGUGCGAACCAAGGAUCGGCAGGCCAACAUGAUCAUAAACUCACAUUUUCCACAUCUGAUUUUUUUUUCUUUUCGUUUUCUCUUUUUUCUUUCUUUUUUUUUUUUUUAUAAAUUGCACGAAUAAUGCUUAGUCCCGAGCUAUUCAAGUCUUUUGACGUGAACUCUGACAUUUUUAGAUGAAAGAGCCCAGUUACUCAACUUUUCACAGCUCCAGGACCACUUACUCGUAGAUAUCGCCACUUUUUGACGCGAGAGCCGACACGUGUGGUGAGGACCCCCGGUUAUUGGGUGGCGACACUAGCGGAGUAAAGCCAUAUGUUAUUCAACAAUAACACCAAAAUAACAAGUAAUUACAGAUCAUAGCCCGCUUCAUGUCCUAAAUAUGGAGAACUAAGGUCGACAGGAGACCAAACUACACAACAAUGCCGGCAAAAUAUUUAUAUUGCCUAAACAAGUUAGCCAUAAAUUGCACCAAGUCGUUAAACUCAAAAUAUUCACCAAGAAAGCAUGCUCUUACCUGCCACUAAAAUCCAAUUCAUAGUAUAAACCACCACUAGCAAUGAAAAAGUGAGCUGCCAAAAUAUUCACCAAGAUAACAAAAAAGGAAAAACACCCAAAAGGGACUAAAGGGACAACACCUCAACAGAAAAACAACACUUAAACAAAAAACAUAGGAAAAACACCCCAAAAACGAAAAAUUGAAUAUAUCUAGCACCCAAACCGACCCCCCCACACCUAAAGGACACAUUGCCCUCAAUGUGAUAAUAUAAUAGCAGAGAAAAUGGAAGGGGCAACGGUACUUCCCUGACGUCGUCAAGACAAGGGGGGGUUGGGCGGAAACUACGGAGGGAACCCGGCCUGCUGCAUAAAAGCCGCUAGAUUCUGCGCCAUAUUGUGAAUGUUAACGUCCAUGUGUUUCUGCCGCAUCUCAAGCCGCUCGACUGUGUUGCGGAGCUGGUUCCAUUCCUCAUCCGUAUGGCCGGAAGGGGGAGGAGCGGAAGUCGAAGGACCGGGCCCACCACCGGAAGUGGAACGGCGUGCAAACGAGGAUUUCAGAGGGGCAUGUACCGGUCCCGGGGGAACAAUCUCCCACCCGUUAUCACCCUCCCGGACCAAACCCAUUCGCUCCAGGCACGGGAUGUCCAAGGGCUCCAUUUGACACGCAACAUGCAAAUCAUGGUUAGAGAGAUCAAGCAACUGCAAGUUAACAGCCAAAUGGGUGAUAUAGGACCCAAGAAUCAAGGGACGCUUCUUUUUUGUCAAAACAGACUUAAAUUGAGAAGCGAGCCAGCACCCCAAAUUAACCUUAAUAUUAGUAUGCAUGCACCAUAUGAAAAAGAACUCCGGCUUGGACAAUAUACCCGAACUAUCCCGCCUACCCGAGAAACUAUACGCUAGGAAACGCUGGAUGUAGCGAGAAGCUGGGUCCUUGAUGUACGAGCUCUUGGUCUGGCGAGGAUCAUAAGAGGCAGGGUCGACAGACAACGCCUCCCAUAUACUCCGAUAACGAGAGAAGAAAGGAUCUAUGUAGUCGCACGCACUCUCGGCAUACUCCCGAGAGGCGGCAUAGGCCGGGUCAAUAAAGUCAAAAGCUAAGUUAAACUCAGUAAUCGACUGGUGGAACUCCUGACCCAUCAACCGGAAGUGAAUAACAUUGGGGGUAGACGCAGAAUAACCGGUAGUAAUGGUGAACUCAAAGGUGGCAUAGAACUCCCUAACCAACUCAACAAAGGCCGGGAGAUUGACAAUACGGGAAUAUGGGCGCCACCCAAUGCCAUUGAUCAAAUGGUGGAAGGAUUCGCUAAUAUUUAGAAGGCCCAUGGUGGCGGCGUCCAGAUAACGGCAGGGAGUGAUCUGCCGCUCACAACAAACAGCAUAUCGCUGCUUGUCGGCGGCCUUAGUGAAGUGCAGGUUUCCCUCAAAAUGUGCAGGGUCAGAAAUAUGGACGCCCCUCUGUCUCCCAAGGCGAGCUCUCCUCCCAGAGGAGGAAGGUUCGUGCGAGGGGUCAGAGGCGGGAAUAGUGGGUGGAGGUGUUGGAGGGUGUGAUUUCCUAGGUGUUUUAGACUUAGAAGAAGAUCGGGGCUUCACCAUGGUGACCAACAGGCAACCCAAAACAACCAAAUAGCAAAUAUAAGCGUCACGGGCGCCCCCAAAAAGCAAAUAUAAGCGUCACGGGCGCCCCCAAUAAGCAAGAACAGCAAUUCACCCACACUUGGACAAAAAAUUCAGCAAAUGAGACACAAUUGGACCCCAAAGUAGUAACAACUGCCUCCAACUGGACAGUCAAUUACCCAAUAUAGGUUACCAAAAUCAGCAAUUGAACCACAGAGCUAGCAAGUCCAGCAACAACCGAAUAGAAAUUGAGAAAGUUUAAGCAAUUUAGGCAACACCGCAACCAGUACCACUGGUGCAGACACAGUGUGGAAUUAAAUCAAUCAGGCAGCCAAAGGGUGAGACAAACGUCUCAACAAAACAUCAAUCACAGGCAAGGAGCAAUGGGGAUCCCACGGUAUUCGAACGCACAAUCAAUACAGCCCAACUAUUCCAGAAAUAUCAGAAAACACCCCCACAUUCAACAACAAAGAUAUGCCAAACUAGCCAAAAUGAGUCGCAGAUAUUACCCAAUGAAUUUAACUAUCAGAAACGCCCUCAAAAACCAACCCUAAAAUUUGCAGGAGGACCCCAAAUAAAUCAGCAGAUGACAAAUCAUUACCCCGAUUGCCAAUCAAUUCCAGCAAUUAGUGUCUAGAAAUUGCGAAGGGGGGAGGCAAACAAUACCUCCACCUGUCAAUUGAUGACAGGUGGCGAUGGUGCGGUACAGUGGCAAACGUGAGAGGCGGCGGCGUGGCCCUGCUGAGGCGCGGCGUGAGGAAGCUCCUGGAGCUGGGACUGCGGCGCGCAGGUGGAGGAGUCUGCUGGAGCUGGAGCUGGGAAAGGCGCGGCGAGCCACUAGCUCGCGGCUGCGCAGGUGGAGCUCAGUGGAGGUUGGAGUUCGAGGGAAGAGGAUGGUGGCCGCCAGGGAAGGCUGCGGCUGGCGGGCGCUCUGGUGGGGUGAGCGAGGGAGGAAUGGGAGCGCGGCUUAGUGGUGGCCGCGCGAGGUGCUGGACAGCAGUGGCGGCGGCGCGCGGGUUGGGGCUGCGGAUCGCGGCUGGAGAUGGUGUCGGCGGCGCGUGCUACUGUGGCCCGCAGGUGGAGGCGUCGUCUGGUGGAGGCGGCGUCUGGUGGCUUGGAGGAGGAGCUGGCGACAGCGGCGCGCGAUGGAGCUUGGAGGCGGCGGCGGCUUUGGUUGAAGAAACAAGAGAAAGGGAGAAGCAGCGGGGAAGAAGAAAAAGAAAAGAAAGAAAGAAGAAAAGAAGAAAAGAAAGAAAAGAAGAAAAGAAGAAAAGAAAGAAAAAGAGUUUCUGUUGUUUUUUUUUUUUUUUUUCAAAAACAGUGCUUACGUUGAUCUGAAAUCUAAAAUUUUUUUUUUUUUUUUUGAUGUUUUGGGUUGUCAAACACCGCGUGGGCAUGCCAAGAUUAGAGAGCAUCCACUGACUUCGAGAGUUACCUUACGCACUUUAACGCGUACCCUCCUCGCGUGGGCACGCCAAGAUUACCUAUCCUUCCAGUGUCGCGAGAUGUUGAGACUUUACCAACACGGCGCGGGCACGCCAAGAUUCGCGAGUAUCCACUGCCUUCGAGAGUUCCUUAAGCACCGUAACGCGUGCCCUCCUCGCGUGGGCACGCCAAGAUUCGCUUUCCUGAUCAGAGUUAGAAAACACCAAGAGUGACAAACACCCACGUAAGGAACGACAUGAUUUAAUAAUUAAGCAAUAAAACAACAAAAUUAACAAUUGGGUUGCCUCCCAAAAGCGCCUUUUUUUAACGUCUUUGGCUAGACGUUGUCCAAAACUUUGCUCAAGCUGAGCAAAUCGAGUCCUCUAAGUGCAUCAUCUCCACCCGCUCAAUUGGAAAACCUUCAUAAUAUGGCUUGAGACGGUGACCAUUUACUACAAAUUUCUUCUCAGUUUUCAAACUUUGGAUCUCGACUGCACCAUAAUGAAAGACAUUAGUCACAACAAAAGGGCCAAUCCAGCGAGAACGUAAUUUACCUGGAAAUAACUUUAAUUUGGAGUGAUACAGUAGAACUUUUUGUCCACAUUCAAACGUCUUCCUAGAGAUCUGUUGGUCAUGAAAAAUCUUGUUUUUCUUCUUAUAAAUCACAGCAUUCUCAUAGGCUUCAUUGCGAAUCUCCUCCAAUUCUUGUAACUGAAGCUUCCUUUGACUUCCGCCCUCUUCGAUAUCCAUGUUGCAUUGCUUGACCGCCCAAAAUGCUCUAUGCUCGAACUCGACAGGGAGGUGGCAUGGCUUCCCAAAUACCAAACGGUAAGGGGACAUGCCGAUUGGUGUCUUGUACGCCGUCUUAUAUGCCCACAAGGCAUCUUCAAGUCUCACACUCCAAUCCUUUCUAUCAGGUCGAACCAUUUUUUCCAAAAUCGACUUGAUCUCCCGGUUUGAUGCUUCCGCCUGACCGUUUGUCUGCGGAUGGUAAGACGUGGAGAUUUUGUGCAGGACACCGUACCUCCUAAAAAGUGCAGCAAUCGUUUUAUUGCAGAAAUGGGUACCCCGAUCACUUACAAUUGCUCGCGGCAUCCCAAAGCGGACAAAGAUAUUAGACUUGAUGAAUUCUGCAACUACUUUGGAAUCAUUAGUACGGGUGGCCUUUGCUUCCACCCAUUUCGAGACAUAGUCUACAGCAAGCAAUAUAUAUAAAAAACCAUACGACGAAGGAAAAGGGCCCAUAAAAUCAAUACCCCAAACGUCAAAAAUCUCAACAAAAAUCAUUGGGGUUUGGGUCAUUUGAUCCCUACGAGAAAUAUUACCUACUCUUUGACACUUAUCACACGACUUACAAAAUGAGUAGACUUCCCUAAAGAGGGUUGGCCAAUAGAAUCCACUCUCUAGAACCUUACGAGCAGUCCUCUUUGGUCCAAAGUGACCCCCACAUGCAAAAGAGUGACAAUAAGCUAAAAUAGACUGGAAUUCAUUUUCACCAACACAUCUGCGAAUGAUUUGGUGGGCACCAUGCUUCCAGAGGUAAGGGUCAUCCCAGAUGUAAGAUUUUACGUCACUCCUUAACUUAUCCCUUUUUGCCUUAGGCCAUCCUGCAGGAAACUUGUCAGUAACUAGAAAACUAACAAUAUCUGCAUACCAGGGCAAAGUUAAUUUAGCAGAAAAUAAGUGUUCGUCGGGGAAAGUUUCUCUCAAUGGGAUAUCGUCCUUGGUGACUUGUACCCGACUCAAGUGAUCUGCAACCAAAUUCUCUGCCCCUUUCUUAUCUCUGAUCUCCAAGUCAAACUCCUGUAGCAACAGUAUCCACCUUAUCAGUCGUGGUUUUGCCUCUUUUUUGGUCAACAGAUACCGCAGGGCUGCAUGAUCAGAGAAAACAAUAACUUUAGCACCAAGCAAAUAGGACCGAAAUUUUUCUAAAGCAAAAACUACAGCUAAAAGCUCUUUCUCAGUGGUCGAAUAGUUCAAUUGGGCUCCGUUCAAGACUCGAGAUGCGUAGUAUAUAGCGUGGGCUGCCUUUCCCACUCUUUCACCUAGCACCGCACCCACUGCGUAAUCGCUGGCGUCACACAUGAUUUCAAAUGGGAGAUUCCAGUCAGGGGGUUGGAUGACAGGUGGAGAAGUGAGUAAUUUUUUUAACUUCUCGAACGCUUCUUCGCACUCUCCGUUGAAUUCAAAACUGACAUCCUUUUGUAAAAGCCUGAAAAGUGGUGCCCCAAUCUUCGAGAAAUCCUUGAUAAAUCUGCGAUAGAAACCUGCAUGUCCUAGAAAAGAACGAACUUCCCGUACAGUUACGGGGUAAGGUAAAGCAGAUAUCACAUCUAUUUUAGCUUUAUCAACCUCAAUUCCUCUAGACGACACUACGUGUCCUAAAACUAUCUCGUGCUCAACCAUGAAGUGACAUUUUUCCCAAUUGAGCACCAGGUUAGUCUCAAUGCAUCUUUUUAAAAUCAAUGUCAAGUUAUCUAAACAAUCGUCAAAACUAUCACCAUAGACACUGAAGUCAUCCAUGAAUACCUCAAUUAUUCUCUCUACAUAUUCAGAAAAAAUGCUAAUCAUGCACCUCUGGAAUGUUGCAGGGGCAUUACACAAUCCAAAAGGCAUCCUUCGAUAGGCAAAAGUGCCAAAGGGGCAAGUGAAAGUUGUUUUCUCUUGAUCCUCUGGCGCAAUUGCUAUCUGAAAAUAUCCAGAAAAACCAUCUAAAAAAUAAUAAUAGGCACGACAAGCUAACCUUUCAACCAUUUGAUCGAUGAAUGCAAGGGGAAAAUGAUCCUUCUUGGUCACUGCGUUCAAUUUACGGUAAUCGAUGCACUGGCGCCAACCCGUAGGCUUUCGAAUUGGAACAAGGGCCCCUUCAUGAUUUUCUUCCGCAGUCACCCCUGCUUUCUUUGGCACCACUUGGACCGGACUCACCCAUGGGCUGUCUGAGAUAGAGAAAAUAAUUCCUACGUCUAGAAGCUUGAUUACCUCUUUCUUGACCACUUCCAUCAUGAUGGGGUUCAGUCUCCUUUGUGGUUGUCUUAUCGGUCUAGCAUCCUCUUCCAGGCGAAUUCGAUGCAUGCACACAGACGGGCUUAUACCCUUGAUAUCUGCAAUUGUCCACCCUAUAGCUUCCUUAUGCUCCCUUAAAACCCGCAGCAGCUUGUCCUCCUCCGUGGGUGAUAAUUUGGAUGAGAUUAUCACUGGUAACGUCUCUUUUUCACCUAGGAAGGCAUACUUUAAAUGCUCGGGCAAGGGUUUCAACUCCACUUCAGGUGCCUGCACGAUAGAAGGUAAUAGCUUUAGGUGUGGUUCAGGCACAAAUAUAGGAGCAACAUCAUACCUUAGAGGACUUUGGCCUAGUGAAUGCAAGGCUCCGACCAUUCUUUGCAAAUUGAUGUCUAACUCCAUUUCGCAGGCUGCUUCCAGAUCCAAAUGUUUGGUGAUUGCUACCUCCAAUUCAUCCCUGCCAUUAAUCUCAAACAUUUCUUGCACCAAGGGGUCAAUUAUACUCACAGCAAAAACAGCAUUAGAAUGACACGGAUAUUUCAUGGCCUCAAAUAUACUGAAAUGAACUAUUUCUCCAUCAAAUUCCAUCGUUAGGGUGCCCUUACUAACAUCAAUUUUUGUACGAGCCGUGCUCAAGAAGGGCCUCUGAUAAGAGUUUAUUUUACGUAUUUUUAAGUGCAUUUUAUUAGUUAAUUUUGAGUUGAUUAUCUAGUUUUAUAAAUAAAAUAAAGAGGUUUUUGGUAAAAUUAUAUAUUUUUGGUAAAAGUGGAUAAUAUUGUAUUUUUAGUGAUUUUAAUGAUAAAAACUUCAUUUUUAUGCAGGAAUGAUGAUUCAAUCACCAAAGGAUGUCAAAUGAGAUGAAAAAUAGAAAGUUGGUGAUGAAUUCAAGUGGUAACAAGAAGAAUGAAGUGAAAAACGUUCAAGUGAGGAAAUGCAAGACAAAUCAGUUUUGACACUCUUCAGUAUUUUGAUCAUAUCUGGAGCUACACUUAUCGGAUUACCAUUUUAAAGAUAAGAAAGAGACCUACAAUUCGUAUGAAGACAUCGAAAUCCAAUUCUGCCAUUUUCAUGGACAAAAAGUCGAAAUACAGAAGCUGCACUCUGUGGUCAAAACUAGAAACAGAGGUUUGACCAGGUGAUAGUAUUUCGACUAUAUCUCAGGCUGCACAACUCCGAUCUGGAUGAUUUUUAGAGCAUUGGAAAGCUAACUCAAAGGGUUACAACUUUGGUGUUUUGUACAAAAGCCAGUUCAGCCUUUAUGAUAGAGAAAAUCGCAGAUGAAGUAAGGCCAAAGUGAAUACGCGAGUACACAAAACGUGACUUGUAACCGCGUUUUGUGUAGGCGCGUUUUGUAGCCGAAAAUCUGCAAUUUGCUCAGCCAUUCCUCUUGUGUUCAGACUACUUUCCAGCUAUAAGUUGCAAGGGAAUUCGGUGCACAUGCUUCAGAAGACCAAAGGGCAAGAAAAGGGGCUUAUUUUCAAGUCAAAAAUAUUGGUUUUUGACUAUGCUAACAAAGUGGAGAUUUGGGAAUCAAAUGUUAGAAUUUGAUUUAGAAAAAUGGAGCCUUUGAGUAAUUUUUAUGGAGAGACAUUGAGGGAAGGCUGGGAGCCCGACGUAGCUUAGCUUCUUACAGAAAAACAUAUUCUCUCUAGCUAGGUACUUGCAAAGGGACAAUUGAGGUUUCAUCUUGUAAUCAUCUAAGUUCAAGACAAGGAGAUUUUUGGAAGGCUUCACCAUAUCUUGGCUAAGACUUUCUUUACUCUUUUUGUAUUUGUAAAUUCAUGAUGAUUUGCAUUAAUGAAGUUAUGAGUGUUUCAUCAUUCAUGAGUAGCUAAUUUCCUUUAUCUAGGGAGUAGAUGAAGCUUAUGGCCAAGUGAUAUGAAGUGAUUGUAAUUUAUACUUGUUAUAUCUCGUAUUAACUUAUCUACUUGUGUGUGCUUGAUUACUUGUUGUUGUUUGAUCACCAAUAACAGGUUUAUAGUUGUUUUUAUUCAUUAAGAAAUGGUAAAAAUAAUGGAAUGACACAAGUAGAACUUGAGUUGUAUAUUCAUGAGAAUAGAAAUACAUUCAAGUGGAUGAAAUCUGCAUUUCAUGUGUGAAUAAGAACAGAUUUAGUAUUUACCAAGAGAUUAGGAAAAACUAAUCUGUUUUAACCCAUUAUUAUCAUGAGAAUGUGAUUUUGGUAUUUCUGGAAAUGAAUCCUUGGUUAAACAAGAGCAAUAACAAGUGUUGAAUUAAUUCAUUUUAGAUCUUUUGAGUCAUAAGUGGAAUCUACAUCCCUAGAUCUUAAUAUUUAGUGAAUUCUAUUCCUUUUGUGAAAUUGCAUUUAUCUAGUUAAGAAUUUUUGUAGUUGAAUUAAAUUCUGAAUUUUCUGCUCAAAUUUAUUGUGAGUCUAAAUAAUAGAGUAAAUUAGUGUCUAAUAAUUGUUUUAAUUGCUCCUCGUGGGAUCGACCCGAUACACAUCUUGUACUACAAUUGCGACCUGUAUACUUGCAGUCCAACGGGUGUAAAAUCGGAAUUGAACUUGCACGUAUGUAAAAUACCCGUCAAGUUUUUGGCGCCGCUGCCGGGGAGCGGCAAUAUUAGAGCCUAAUCAACUCUAUUAAUUUAGAUAGAUUUAUUUUUAUUAGUUGAGCUGAUUAUAUUAAAUCUUAUGAUAAGUGACUAAUUUACGUAAUAAUUGUAUGACAUUAUAUAUUAUUUUUAGUCACUUUGGUUAUAUUAUUGGAAGAAUAUGAAUCAUUUUGGCUAUAAUUGAUGAAAAAUGCUUUUAAGUGAUUAAAUGAGGUUUUUAUCACUUUUUACUUGGAUUUUGUGUAUUUUGACAGUUUUGACACAUUUUCGUAUUUCGGCUAUAACUUGAGCUACAAUGAUCGGAUUGGAAUGAGUCUUGAACCCAUUUGAAGAUAAGAGAUAGAUCUACAACUUUGGUGAAGACAUCCGAAUCCAGUUUGAAGGUUUUCAAAAUCAAAAAGCCGAAUUACAUUAGCUAAUUUCUGUUGGUCGAAACUGAAACAGGGCAAUGAGCAGAUAAGGGUAUUUCAGUCAUAUCUCAGCCUACACAGAUCCAAAUGAGGUGAUUCUUGAUGCAUUGGAAAGAUAACUCAAAAGGCUACAACUUUCGUGUUUUACACAUGAGCUGGUUCAGCCUCUAACAUCAAGAAAAGAUCGGUUGAAGUUGGGCCAAAAACAGAGCAAGUGAUCCACACUCGGAUCCACUAUUCAUCCGAACCCUCGGCUAUUUCUGGGUUAGUGGAUCCGAGCUCGGAUCCAUACGGAUCCGAGGCACUGUAGCAGCUCGGAUCACUGGUCAGAAAAGGCUGCUUUAUACGCGUAAAACUCAAUUUCACCUCCACCAACUCACAUGUGAUGCUAGACAUGUGAGAAACAUUCCCAGCUGUAAAAGGGAGUUGAAAACAUCAUUUCUUGACCAACCUUUCAUCAUUAAAUAGCCAAAUUCAUUGCAAAAUGGGAGGAGGAGAUAGAGCAAAAGGGAUGGAGUUCAUAGCAGAAAAAUAGGGAGAGACAUACGGGAGAAGCUUGGAGUCUGCAGAAAUGUAGCUCUUUCAUCUUCCUAGUGUUAGUUUAGCUUAGUAUAGAGUAGUGUAGCUUUUCCAUUCUUGUUUAUUAUCUAGAUUAGGAUGAAGAUGGAGGAUGAAGAAGGCAAGGAAGAAAGCUCAUGUGACAAGGGUUGUAUUCCUUCCAAACUCUUUAUCUUUUGUAUUUGAUUCCAAGUUUAGUUAAUAUACAAGUUCUGGAUUUUGUGUUCAUUAUGUGCUUCUAAAGUUUAUACCUUGGGUUUGGUUGAACUUUCUAUAAUUGUUAGUGUUUAUUAUUUGGUUAUUUGACUGCUAUGAUUUGAGCAAGUUAUUUAGCACUUUGGCUUCUUAAAUCAUGAUUAAUCUGGUACCAUUAAUUGUGAUUAUCUAAGGUGUUGUUUCUGCAAUGGAAAUUGAGAUUUAACACUAGUUCAAGAAGUGCUAAACAUAGGGAGUACACUCACGAAAGUAGAGGUGCACUUAUGUGGUUUUUAGUGAUUCAUUUCAUGUAAUUUCAUUGAAGAAAUGAACUUGUAGCUAAUUUCAUAACCAUGAAAAUAGGUAUGGAUUAGUUAUGAGUAUAGUUGAUUCACUACGAAAGUAGGUUUCACAUGUUUAAGGAAAUUACACUAUAACUAGCCUAGAUGUAGUAAUUAAUGAUCCAAAUAUAGCACUUGCAUGAGUAGUUAGGGAUACCACAACCUAAGGAGCUUUUAUUUGUUAUUUUGUAUAAUUUCAGUAGGUUAAAUUUCUUAUCAUUCAUUGAUAGUCUAAAUAAUAGAGAAGUUUUAGUAAUACCGGUAAUUGUUCACUCUUCCCUGUGGGAUCGACCCGAUAUAUACCCUAAACUACUAGUUGACCUGUAUACUUGCAGUGAACGGGUGUAAUUCGGUUUUUUAACUUGCACGUAUGUAAAAUACCCGUCAAGUUUUUGGCGCCGUUGCCGGGGAAGAUUUGGCAAUAUCGGUGUGAAAAGCAACUUUAUUAAUUUAGACAAUUUCACUUGUUUUUGUUGGUUAAGUGUCUUGUUUGUUUUGAGUCUUGUUGAGUCUUUUAUGUUUAAUGUCUUGUUUUUGUAUGUUUAAAGUCAUCUAUUCUUCUUGACUAAACUUGUUUUUGAGCUACUUUGAGAGCAUGUUUAGGGGAUCAAGGAGAGUAGAAACCAGGGGAGGACAAUGCUUGAGAAAUGGAGGUUUGACAAUGGAUGGUUACCAAGUGCAAAGCUCCUUCAAUAGAGGUAACCAAGAAUUUACUGAAUGUAUGUCUUUUGAAAAUGGUUUAAGGUGCUUAAAGGCUAAAUUUGAUGUUAUGAUGUUACAAGUUCAAAUGGACACAAUUAUGCAUGAAAUUGAACAAAGGAGGAAUGCUAAUGUUUUUAAUUCUUAUCAUGUGAUUUGUGACUUGUGUGGAAGUUAUCAUGCUACUAAUACAUGUAUGCAAGCACAAAAUGUGGAUUAUUAUGAUGAAUUAGAGCAUUACAAUCCUUGUUUUGAUCAAUAUAGUGCUAAUUGGAGCAAUUCUCCUGCUUAUGGUUGGGAUGAUCAAUGUACUUAUAGUGAUUAUUCAUGUUUUUAUGAUUACCAACCUAAAAGUGUCCAAUAUGAAUCAAAACCAUCUUGGGAGUUGGCAAUAGAGAAGUUAGCUAAUGCACCUCUGCCUUGGGAGUUAGAAAAUGAACCAUUAGCUAAUGAUUCUAAUGCAUCUUGGGAGCUAGCUGUAGAAAAUUUUUCUAAUCAAUUUGAUUUAGCAUUAGAAAAGCUAGCAAAUGCAACUUCCGAUCGUUUUGAUAGGAUUGAGGAAAGAACAGAUGAAUUAGCUUCUCACUUUGGUGAUAUACAUGAGCAAUUGAAUGUAUUGUGUGAAGUUAUUUCUUCUAAUAAUUUGCAAAAUGAUCCUAGCAUGAAUGGUGGAAAUGUUGUAUGUGAAAAUGGAUUGCAUUUUGAUGAAAAUGAUGAAUCUCAAGAGUGUUUUAAUGAGCAAAUAUCCAUUUCACAUGAUAAUGUCUUUGGAACUAACUUUGAAUCUCAAGAGGUGAGUUUUAAUGACUCAUUUUUCACCCCUCUUGAGGAGUGCAUUGAAAGUAUAGGUUCUAAAGGUAUUCCUGCUCAAGAUACUCUCAUGGCAUUCCCUUUGGUAAAUUCUCAAGUGGUGCAUAUUCAAGGUAAUGUCUAUGAAUCACUUGGGAUAGGUAAGUCAUUUCCAUUUCUCACAUCAUUAGAUCGUGUGGCUUUUGCUAUAAAGUCACCAUUUAAUGAUCCACCAAGGCCUAAAAUGGUGGAUUAUUCGUUAACUAAACCUCCUUAAAAAAUGAGGUGAUAUAGUCAAGCUAAUGACUAUAAAGAAGCGCUUGUUGGGAGGCAACCCAACGAUUUUUUGUUUUUAGUAAGUUUUGGUUGUUUGAUUAAUGUUUUUGUGUGUUUUGUAGGUAGCAAUGACAAGGAAUCAUGCGAAUUAUUUCAAGUGCAAAGAAGUUUAUAAGGAGUGGAGACUAAUGCGAAAAAGGGAAGCUUAACCUUUAUUUUUUGAGUUUUACAAUGCUUAAUUUUAUGUUAUGAGGUUAAGUUAGUCAUUUGAAUGAAGUUGAAGUGCAUUCAAGUGUUUAAAUGUGUUCAUGACCUAUUUGCACUCUUUUGAACCAUUUGAGCACCAUCAUGUGCUUUGGAAGUGUCGAGGGGACUAUUCGAUCCAAGAACUUCAACCCUCAAUUUGGAUUCUACAUGCUUUUGAUGUGAUUUGAGGUGUUGAGAUUCAUGUUUAAGUCACUUUCCAUGUGUGUAAAGUGUUGAAUUGUUCAAAAUUUCAUUGUAGAGCACGAAUUAGAGAGUGUGUUUCAAGUUGGGGCCAAACUGAAAAUUGCAGAAAAUUCUGCAAUAAAUGCAGAAUCCACGGAUCCGAGCUCGGAUCCAUAUGGAUCCAAGGCCUCGGAUCCACUUCUGCAACCACAGAAAACUCCCUGCCACGGAUCCGAGGCCUCGGAUCCACUUCUGCAAUCAGAAAUUUUUUUUUUUCCUCUCUUCUUCAACUUACACACGCACUCACACAUAAAACACACACUACUCAUUAAACUCACUCUUUUCACCAUCCAAUCUUCAAACCAAGUAUACCAAAACACUCCUUUUUCACUUGAGAGAUGAUUUCAUAGCUAAAAAUUCUUCAAAAACAAGUCUAAAUUCGGAUUUGAGCUUAGCAAGAACAAGGGUUUCAAAUUUUUGAACUAUCCAUUUGAGGCCGAAUUGGAGUGAAAUUUUUGGGGGUUUCUUCACCAUUUGCAUCCAUAAUCAUCAACCAACAAGUUUGAGGUAACAAAUCUUCACCAAAUGUUGUCAUUUGAAUUUUGCCAAUUUUUAUUUUUUUUUAUUUUUGGGGCAAUUUCGAAUUUUUUUCAUUUUGUGAAGUUUGGUGCUUUACAUUGUGCUUAUUGAACUUAUUGAUGAUUAUUGGUGAUGUUUAACUCAUGAGUUUGUAAUUAUUUGGUGAAUUUUUGCUAAAUUUAUGCCUAAUUUGGCUUGGUGACAAAGUUGCAUAUUAAGUGGCCAAUGUAGCAUUUUAAUUAGCUUUGUGGGAGUUUAUGAUAUUCAUGUGAGUAAUUUAGAUUACCUAAUGAAUGAAAAGGGGCUUGGUUGAAUAAUUUCUUGAAUUCUUAGGUAAUUCUAAAAGAAAAGGUGAAUUGAAGAUGACCUUAAUUGAUGAAAUUCAUAAAUGCGCUUAUAAUCCUUGUGGUUCAAUGGUUUCUAGUAUUUCAUGAAUUCUCAAGAAGGUCAUUUAUAUUUUGGCUUGGUGUGUUCGCCUCCAUUUUGAGAUUGCUUUUGUACUUGCGGGGAUUUGAUCAUUGAUGACAAAAUGUAUAAAUGGAACUUAUUUUGUUCAUGAUUGUAGAUUUUUUGUGUGAAAUUAGCUUCCCUUUGCUUUGGAUACUAAUGCAUAUAUUUGAUUAGCAAAGAUUAGCUCAUUUCAUGUUUUUAUCCCUUGAACAUUGUAUGGUUCCACAUGCUUGAUCAUUUUUCCUUUUUCCUUAAAUUGAAUGAUUUUGUUGAUUGCAACCUUUUAUUUUUAAGAAAUUUAUUUUUUUUUAUUUUGUCUUUUUCAGGGUGCAAUAAGUGAACUCUCCACUCUUUCUUAAAUACAGUUGGAAAUUCAUCACUUGGACAUGGAUUCGGAUUGCGCAAGUUCAAUUGAGCAGUAUUUUCUUUUACUCUUUAUUUAUUUUCCUUUUCUCACAUUGAGGACAAUGUGAAGUUUAAGUGUGGGGGAGGAAAUUAUUGAACUUGCAUUUUAAGCCUAUGUGAUGAUAUUUUGUGGAUUUAAAUGCUUAGAAAUGUUGGAAUUGUGUUUGAAAUGUUUGCCAUGUGGAUAAUUUGCUUGAAAUUGGGUUUGUUGGCAGGGAGUUUUCAUCCAUUUAUAAGGAGAAACUCUGUGAAAUUUUUUCUAAAAUCUUUUCCAAUAUUUCACUAUGGCCCAAAAGUUCUUCAAAUUCUUGCAUUUUCAUUCAAAAAGGGCUAAUUGUUCCAACCUUAUUCUUCCAAUUGUUGAAACUUUAUAUGUAUUUUGGAAAGUUUAGUCCUCAUUUAACUUGAAAAUGAUUAUUAUGCAAUUAGGAUUUUUGCAUUUUAGAAAAUAUAUUGGAUAAAGUGAGGAAAAUUAUGCCUAUAAUUUUACAUGUUUAAUGAAAUUUCUUCUCUUUACUUAAUUUUAUAAGUAAGUGAUUGAUAUAGUUGAUAAAAGGUUAUACUCCUCCUUUGAUUAGUCUUAUAUAUUUUCUAAGAGGGAAUAUCUAUUUAUUGUCCUUUAUUUCUAAAAAAAUAAUAAUAAGAAAAAAAAAAGAGAAAAAAAAAAGAAAGAGAAAAAAAAGAAAGUAAAAAAAUAAUAAUAAUAAAAAAAAAUUGUUCUACUCCAAUGAUUCUCGUACCAAGUAACCGGGGGUUGGCAUCUACAAAUGUCGACAUUCGCGUAAAAAGGUACUUGAAUUAAGAGUAUGCAUUAGCAACUUGAAUAAGUGAAAUGUUGAGUAACCGGAGAUCUUCACUUAAAAGUGUCGCUUUUCGCGUAAAAAGGCAUUUUCACUAUUUAAGUAAAAAUUAGUAUGAAUAAAUCCCUCUUAGUUAUAGAAUUUUGAGAAAAAGAUGAUUAUAGGAGGAGGAAAGCUAUAAAUUGACUAUGUGAUUUGGUUAUUUGUAAAAUUAAGUUAGGGUAAGAGAUUAAGUUUAACUUGUUGAAUUUAGGGUAUAAUUAUCUUUCCUUUACUUGAUAUUAUGAGUAUUUAGUGUAAAUUGAAUAAUUGUAUAAUGAUUAUUUUCCAAGUCUUGAGGAAUUAAAUUGGACAAAGUGCAUAUAUUAUUUCACCUCUUGAAUCAUUGCAUUUGAUUAUGUGUGAAUUGCUUGAGGACAAGCAAUGAUUUAAGUGUGGGGGAAUUUGAUAAGUGACUAAUUUACGUAAUAAUUGUAUGACAUUAUAUAUUAUUUUUAGUCACUUUGGUUAUAUUAUUGGAAGAAUAUGAAUCAUUUUGGCUAUAAUUGAUGAAAAAUGCUUUUAAGUGAUUAAAUGAGGUUUUUAUCACUUUUUACUUGGAUUUUGUGUAUUUUGACAGUUUUGACACAUUUUCGUAUUUCGGCUAUAACUUGAGCUACAAUGAUCGGAUUGGAAUGAGUCUUGAACCCAUUUGAAGAUAAGAGAUAGAUCUACAACUUUGGUGAAGACAUCCGAAUCCAGUUUGAAGGUUUUCAAAAUCAAAAAGCCGAAUUACAUUAGCUAAUUUCUGUUGGUCGAAACUGAAACAGGGCAAUGAGCAGAUAAGGGUAUUUCAGUCAUAUCUCAGCCUACACAGAUCCAAAUGAGGUGAUUCUUGAUGCAUUGGAAAGAUAACUCAAAAGGCUACAACUUUCGUGUUUUACACAUGAGCUGGUUCAGCCUCUAACAUCAAGAAAAGAUCGGUUGAAGUUGGGCCAAAAACAGAGCAAGUGAUCCACACUCGGAUCCACUAUUCAUCCGAACCCUCGGCUAUUUCUGGGUUAGUGGAUCCGAGCUCGGAUCCAUACGGAUCCGAGGCACUGUAGCAGCUCGGAUCACUGGUCAGAAAAGGCUGCUUUAUACGCGUAAAACUCAAUUUCACCUCCACCAACUCACAUGUGAUGCUAGACAUGUGAGAAACAUUCCCAGCUGUAAAAGGGAGUUGAAAACAUCAUUUCUUGACCAACCUUUCAUCAUUAAAUAGCCAAAUUCAUUGCAAAAUGGGAGGAGGAGAUAGAGCAAAAGGGAUGGAGUUCAUAGCAGAAAAAUAGGGAGAGACAUACGGGAGAAGCUUGGAGUCUGCAGAAAUGUAGCUCUUUCAUCUUCCUAGUGUUAGUUUAGCUUAGUAUAGAGUAGUGUAGCUUUUCCAUUCUUGUUUAUUAUCUAGAUUAGGAUGAAGAUGGAGGAUGAAGAAGGCAAGGAAGAAAGCUCAUGUGACAAGGGUUGUAUUCCUUCCAAACUCUUUAUCUUUUGUAUUUGAUUCCAAGUUUAGUUAAUAUACAAGUUCUGGAUUUUGUGUUCAUUAUGUGCUUCUAAAGUUUAUACCUUGAGUUUGGUUGAACUUUCUAUAAUUGUUAGUGUUUAUUAUUUGGUUAUUUGACUGCUAUGAUUUGAGCAAGUUAUUUAGCACUUUGGCUUCUUAAAUCAUGAUUAAUCUGGUACCAUUAAUUGUGAUUAUCUAAGGUGUUGUUUCUGCAAUGGCAAUUGAGAUUUAACACUAGUUCAAGAAGUGCUAAACAUAGGGAGUACACUCACGAAAGUAGAGGUGCACUUAUGUGGUUUUUAGUGAUUCAUUUCAUGUAAUUUCAUUGAAUAAAUGAACUUGUAGCUAAUUUCAUAACCAUGAAAAUAGGUAUGGAUUAGUUAUGAGUAUAGUUGAUUCACUACGAAAGUAGGUUUCACAUGUUUAAGCAAAUUACACUAUAACUAGCCUAGAUGUAGUAAUUAAUGAUCCAAAUAUAGCACUUGCAUGAGUAGUUAGGGAUACCACAACCUAAGGAGCUUUUAUUUGUUAUUUUGUAUAAUUUCAGUAGGUUAAAUUUCUUAUCAUUCAUUGAUAGUCUAAAUAAUAGAGAAGUUUUAGUAAUACCGGUAAUUGUUCACUCUUCCCUGUGGGAUCGACCCGAUAUAUACCCUAAACUACUAGUUGACCUGUAUACUUGCAGUGAACGGGUGUAAUUCGAUUUUUUAACUUGCACGUAUGUAAAAUACCCGUCAUCUUAUAUUGUAAUCAGUUUUUGACAAUUGAAAUUGCAUAAUAUCUCUUAUUUCUGUUUGUAGUGUAUGCACCGGGCGUCUCGGGAAGUUACACCUUUCGAUCCAGAAAUUGAGAGGACACUACGUGGACAAAGGAGGCAUCCACCACAGCAAGAGGAACAAGAGAUUUGGCAACCUAUAGAGGAAAUCUCAAUAGAUCUACCAUUUGAGGAAGAGAUGGCCGAAAAUGAAGCAAAUAGGCGAGUUCUACGAGAUUUUGCUCUACCGGGAACACAAGGAUCUCAAACAAGUAUAGUAAGGCCUACGGUAAAUGCUAACAAUUUUGAGAUUAAACCAUCACUUAUCCAAAUGGUUCAACAAUCUCAAUUUGGAGGUAAUGCAGUAGAAGAUCCUAAUACACACUUAGCUACAUUCUUGGAAAUUUGUGAUACAAUUAAAAUGAAUGGAGUUAGUGAUGAUGCUAUAAGGCUAAGAUUGUUCCCAUUUUCAUUGAGAGAUAAGGCCAAACUUUGGCUACACUCUCAUGCUCCUAAUACUUUCACCGGAUGGGAUGAUUUAUCAAGAGUAUUCUUAAAUAAGUAUUUUCCACCAGGUAAGACUGCUAAGCUAAGAAUGGAUAUCACUAGUUUUAGCCAAAUGGAAGGUGAAUCAUUAUAUGAGGCAUGGGAAAGGUUUAGAGAUUUGUUUCGGAAAUGUCCACAUCAUGGACUGCCGGAGUGGUUAAUCAUACAAACCUUCUAUAAUGGUUUAGUUUUUUCUACUAAAACUAUAAUCGAUGCAGCUGCAGGUGGAGCUUUAAUGGGUAAAUCACCCCAAGAAGCUCAUAAUUUGAUAGAAGAAAUGGCAGCAAAUAACUACCAAUGGGCCAAUGAGAGAGGUAAUACAAGACGUCACGCAGGUAUGAUAGAAAUGGACACUCUCAAUAUGCUGAGUGCUCAAAUGAAUAAUGUGAUGAAGUUGCUAAAUAGACAAGGUGGAGUUGGUCCAAGUUCAUCUAAUACACAUGCAGCAUGUUGUUCUAUAUGUGGAGGUGAACAUGAUACUAAUGAAUGUGUUGAUUCUGAGCAGGUACAAUUCGUCAAUAAUUACAAUCGUAAUGCUCAAAAUAACCCCUACUCGAGUACUUACAAUCCGGGGUGGAGAAAUCAUCCAAACUUUGGAUGGAAGGAUCAAGGGAAUCAACCAAGGCCAGCCAAUCCACCGGGAUUUCAAUCAAGACAACAACAAGCUGAAACUAAACCUGGUUGGGAGAUGGCAGUGGAAAAGCUCGCAAAAGUUACUUCAAACAGAUUUGAGCGAGUAGAAAGAAGAUUGGACCAACUCACUACAAUGUACAGGAAUGUAGAGGUCCAAAUUGGUCAAAUUGCUAGUUCUUUGAAUAAUCGUAAUCAAGGAGAAUUACCUAGCAAAACGGAGGUAAAUCCUAAGGAGCAUGUCAAAGCCAUUACUCUUCGUAGUGGUAAGCAAUUAGAAGAUCCUCCAAUGAUGGAAGUUGAGAAAGAUGAGAAUGAAAAACAAGAAGAAAAGCAGAGGAACCAAGAGGCGAUAGUGGAAGAAAAUAGCCGGGAGAAAUCAAGAGAAAAUCAACCAUCAUCUUCCGCUACCAUUCCAAUACCUCCUGCGGUUCCAUUUCCACAAAGAUUAAAGCAAAAUAAGUUUGAUAAAGAUUUUGAAAAAUUUGUUAAACUUUUCAAACAAUUGCACAUUAACAUUCCUUUUGCUGAUGCUAUUUUGCAGAUUCCGUCUUAUGCGAAAUUUCUCAAGGAAAUCAUGACUAGAAAAAGAAAGUUGGAAGACUGCGAAACAAUAGCAUUAACGGAGGAAUGUAGUGCAAUUAUUCAAAACAAGCUACCACCGAAGUUGAAGGAUCCGGGGAGUUUUUCUAUACCUUGCACCAUAGGUAACGUUGAUUUUUCUAAGGCAUUGUGUGAUCUUGGUGCUAGUGUAUCAUUAAUACCUUUAACGGUGGCUAGACAAUUGGGUUUGCAUGAGCUUAAACGCACUAAUAUUACUUUGCAACUAGCGGAUCGGUCUAUUAGAUAUCCAUUGGGAGUGUUGGAGAAUAUAUUGAUAAAAGUUCAAAAAUUUAUCAUUCCAGUGGAUUUUGUGGUAUUAGAUAUGGAAGAAGAUGUAUCUAUGCCAAUUAUUCUUGGUAGACCAUUUUUAGCUACUGCAGGUACUAUUAUUGAUGUUAAAAAUGGCAAGUUGAAGUUUCAAGUAGGUGAAGAAGAGGUAGAGUUUAAUUUGCAUGAAAUGGGAAAAUACCCUUUUUUUACCGAUCAUGCUUAUUCUAUUGGCACAAUUGAUAAACUAACCCAAGAGAUGAGUCAAGUCAACUUUGACUUAGAUCCUCUUGAGUAUUGUUUAAUGAGUUUAGGUAAGCAAGAAGAUGUUUGUGAAGAAAUUGAAGAAUUGGCCAAGUACUUGGAUUUUCAAGCACCUUAUAAAAGGGGAAAUUUGUAUGAAAGUCUUGGCCAAAGAAAAGGGUUUUCACAACCUUCAGAAAUCGAACCUCCAAAGUUAGAGCUCAAGCCACUUCCGACUCAUCUAAGGUAUGAAUUUCUUGGAGAAAAUAAAACUUUACCUGUAAUUGUUAGUGCCGACCUUGAUGAUGAGCAGUGUGCAAAAUUGUUAAGAGUUCUAAGAAGGCGUAAGAAGGCAAUUGGAUGGACAAUUUCAGACAUUAAGGGUAUAAGUCCUUCUAUAUGCAUGCAUCGCAUUCUAUUGGAGGACGGUUGCAAACCAGUGGUGGAAACACAAAGAAGACUCAAUCCAAACAUGAAAGAGGUGGUAAGAAAUGAAAUUCUUAAAUGGCUUGACGCAGGUAUAGUUUUUCCUAUCUCCGAUAGUGUUUGGAUUAGUCCAAUUCAUGUGGUACCAAAGAAAGGUGGAAUGACUACAAUCGUGGGUAAAAAUGAUGAAUUAAUUCCAUCUAAACUUGUGGUAGGGUGGAGAGUGUGUAUUGAUUAUCGUAAGUUAAAUACGGUAACAAGAAAAGAUCACUUUCCCCUACCAUUUCUUGAUCAAUUAUUGGAGCGAAUAGCUGGAUAUGAAUUUUACUGUUUUCUUGAUGGUUUUUCAGGAUAUAAUCAAAUAGCUAUAGCUCCAGAGGAUCAAGAGAAGACUACAUUUACAUGUCCUUAUGGCACUUUUGCCUUUAGAAGAAUGCCAUUUGGUUUAUGCAAUGCUCCUGCAACUUUUCAACGAUGCAUGAUGGCUAUUUUUUCUGAUUAUAUUGAGAAAAUUAUGGAGAUAUUUAUGGAUGAUUUUUCUGUGUAUGGUUCAUCUUUUGACCAUUGUCUUCAUAAUUUGGAAUUGAUUUUGCAGAGAUGCGAGGAAACAAAUCUUGUGCUGAAUUGGGAGAAAUGCCAUUUUAUGGUAAAAGAAGGAAUUGUCUUAGGACACAAGAUUUCCUCCAAGGGAAUUGAGGUGGAUCAAGCCAAAAUAGAAGUUAUCGAAAAAUUGCCACCCCCAAGCAAUGUCAAGGGGAUAAGGAGUUUUUUAGGACAUGCUGGCUUUUAUAGACGUUUUAUUAAAGAUUUUUCUAAAAUAGUAAAGCCAUUAUGUGACUUAUUAUGUAAAGAUACCCCUUUUCAAUUUGAUGACAAUUGUUUGGUUGCAUUUGAAAGGUUGAAGAAGGAAUUGAUUACGGCCCCAAUUAUAACUUCGCCCGAUUGGUCACUACCAUUUGAAUUGAUGUGUGAUACAAGUGAUUAUGCGGUUGGAGCAGUUUUGGGACAAAAGAAGGAAGGACGGUUGCACGUCAUUUACUAUGCUAGCAAGUUGCUAAAUGAGGCACAACUCAAUUAUGCAACUACAGAAAAAGAGCUAUUGGCAGUGAUAUUUGCUUUGGAUAAAUUUAGAUCUUAUUUAGUAGGAUCUAAAAUUAUUAUAUAUACGGACCAUGCAGCUCUUAAAUAUUUGUUACAUAAAAAAGAUGCAAAACCAAGACUAAUUCGGUGGAUUCUUUUAUUGCAGGAAUUUGAUGUGGAGAUAAAAGACAAAAAGGGAACGGAGAAUCUAGUAGCGGAUCAUCUAUCACGCCUAGAAUAUAUUCCAAUCAAGGAUCAAGUUCCUAUUCAAGAGAAUUUCCCGGAUGAGUUUGUCCUAGCAAUUAUCAAUUCUCCAUGGUAUGCUGAUAUUGCUAAUUUUUUGGUAAGUGGAGAGAUUCCAAGGGGAAUUAAUUACCAUCAAAAGAAGAAAUUUUUACAUGAUGUCAAAAGUUACUUUUGGGAGGAACCAUUGCUGUAUAAGCAUUGUGCCGAUGGUAUGGUACGUAGAUGUAUUCCCGAAAAUGAGAUACAUAAUAUUUUAUAUCAUUGUCAUACCUUGAAACAGGUGGUCAUUUUAGCACUUCAAAAACUGUGGCAAAGGUAUGGCAAUCAGGGUUUUAUUGGCCAACUAUGUACCGAGAUGUUCGGAAAUAUGUUAAAAGUUGUGAUGCAUGCCAAAGAACUGGAAAUAUAUCUCGAAAGAAUGAAAUGCCCCUAACUACCUUCUUAGAAGUUGAAUUAUUUGAUAUAUGGGGUAUAGACUUUAUGGGACCAUUUCCUAGUUCUUUUAAUAAUAAGUACAUCUUAGUAGCAGUGGAUUAUGUUUUUAAAUGGGUAGAAGCAAUCGCUUCACCUACUAAUGACUCUAAGAUUGUACUUAGAUUCCUUAAAAAGAAUAUUUUCAGUAGAUUUGGUAUACCUAAGGCCAUAAUAAGUGAUGAAGGAAAACAUUUUUGUAACAAACAACUGGAUUUCUUAUUGUUUAAAUAUGGCUGUAGGCACAAGACAUCACUCCCGUACCAUCCUCAAGCCAAUGGACAAGCGGAGCUAGCUAAUCGUGAGAUAAAGCUCAUUUUGGAGAAAACUGUGAAUAAAUCACGCAAGGAUUGGGCUACAAAGCUAGAUGACACACUAUGGGCUUACCGAACGGCAUUUAAGACUCCUUUAGGGAUGUCGCCGUAUCGUUUAGUCUAUGAAAAAUCUUGUCACUUACCUGUAGAGAUUGAACAUAAAGCUUAUUGGGCUAUUAAAGCAAUUAAUAUGGAUUUUAAUCUUGCAGGUGGAAGGAGAUUACUUGAGCUGAGUGAAUUGGAGGAACACCGGUUACAUGCAUACGAAAAUGGCAAAAUUUAUAAAGAAAAGAUCAAAUAUUGGCAUGACAAGCACAUUAUUCCUAAACAAUUUCAGGUAGGGCAAAAAGUGCUUUUAUUCAAUUCACGCCUGAGGUUAUUUCCAGGAAAAUUGAAGUCAAGGUGGUCCGGACCAUUUGAAGUCACUCAAGUAUUUCCCUAUGGAGCGGUUGAAGUGGCAAAUUCAAGAAAUGAAAGGUUUAAGGUCAAUGGACAACGAUUGAAACCCUACUUGGCAGGUGAAAUCGUACCCAAGGGGCUUAUAUGUCUUUUGGGCGAACUCUCUUCAAUUUAAGAACCCUAAUAUGUGAGUCGAGCCAACGACUAUAAACAAGAGCGCUAAUUGGGAGGCAACCCAAUGUUUAUGUUAUAUAUGUUAAUUUGGUAUGAUUUUGUGGUUUGAAUCAAUGUUUUAGCUACAUUGUUGUUUUUGUAAUGUAGGGUUGGCAAUUGAAGGCAAGGAUGACCUAUUGAGUACAAAAAAGGCGAACUUUGAUCAAACAACUCAACCCCUCGAUUUGCGUUAAAGGUGUUUUUGAUUCAUUAUAAAGGGGUAAAAUGCAUGUUUUUAAUGUUUUACAUUUGUUCCAGUCAUUAAAAUUGGCAAACAAAUGAUCUAUGAUGCAUUUUGAGUCAUUGGGGUACCUUUUGUAAUUUUUCAGAAGUUGAAAUUCUGCUAAAAAUCGAAGCAGAAAACGCGUUUUCCAAGAAAACGCGACUAUAAGUCGCGUUUCUCAGAAUUGCGUUUACAAUUUUGCACCUGCAGAACAGAAAACGCGCCUUCAAAACGCGACUUAAAGUCGCGUUUUGAAGGAAGUCGCGUUUUCUCGCCUGAGCAAAACUGGAAAACGCGACCCAGAUAAACGCGACUUCAAGUCGCGUUUUCAUACGUAAUCGCGUUUUCAAUUCUGCGAUAUUUGUGAAUAAAACGCGACUUCAAAAAAAAAAAAAAAAACGUGCGUUAAAGGCGCGUUUUGAGUCGCGUUUUCGGUUCAUUUUUCUGCUUCAACAAAAACGCGAUUUCAGCCUUUCUUCUUCAGUUCUGCAAUUUUUCCAGCCGCAUUUUUCCCUCUUUCCUCUGCCCAACUCACAAAAUUCCAUUUAUACUCCAUAAUCUUGCUAGAUAUCAUCACCCCAACACCAUUUGAGCUUCAUACACCCUUUUUAACCGAUUAAAAUCAAAGAAAAACACCUAAAAUCAGGUUUUUGAGGGAUUGAAGGUUAGGGUUCUUAAACUCUAAUUUCUUCAAUUGGAGGUCAAUUGGAGGUUGUUUCAUAGGGCUUUUUGCAUUUUUAGCAUCACCAAACAUCCUUCUACGUGAUUGAGGUAAGUUCUUCAUCAAAUCUUUUGAUUUUAGAAGUUCAUAUUUUUUAUCCUGAGCUAUCUGACAUCUUUUAAUUUCGAAAAUUUGAUGAUGUUCAUGAAUAUUUUUGAUUUUAUUCAUGAUUAUUAUGAUUCUUUAAGCAUGUUUAUAUGUUUAAAUGUAGCAAUUUAUUGGUUUUCAUGUACUUUAAAAUUCACAAUUGCUAUAUUUAGACGAAAUCGGAAAAUGAAGUUAGGGUGUUUUUGAGCCAUUGGUGAUGAUUAAUUAGGGUUAAGGAUGGUCAGUUGAUGAUGUUUAAGCAUGUGCAUUGUGUAUAGUGAGUAAUUUGGUUGAUUUGGUGAGUUAAUUGGUUUAAUUUUUGCCUAAACAUGAUUAUAGCUAAAAGCAUAUUAUUAUUGUUAAUUCUCAAUAGUUAUAAUCAUAAUUGUUGCUAAUUUCACUGAUUGGGUUAUAAUUAUUGCAUAUCUUGUUUCAAUUGGUGAUUUUGAGCACUUUUUGGCAUAAUUUAUGGCUCUUCUUGAUUCGGUCUUUUACAUUAGUUAUUGGACGAAUUAUCACUUGCAAGGACACAUUAGAGAUUAUUUGGAUCAUUUUAGGAUAUUCAUUGCCAAAUUGUGCAUUGUGUCUACAUACAUGUGGUUAAUUGCAAAUUUUUCUUUUAGGUACUAUGCCAAGGGGAAGAAGAGCGAUACUUUCAUCUUCUAGUGAUGAUGAGAGGGAGGCUAAUGAGGAAAUGGAAGUAUCCGAGGAGGAGAAUUCACCUUCUCCUCCACCAGUUAACCGACAGCCUGGUGAGGGCACCUCUCGUGGAGCGGGAAGAUCUGUGUUUGACAGUGCAAGGUUCACUAAUCGGAGGAAUCAAGAAUGGCAUGAGGAGCAUGCUAACUUGGAGUUCCUAUUUGAGAUGCACGUGAACCAAACGGUGGAGAUGAUGUAUAACAUCACGGAGGCUUUUCCUCAGCUUGGAUGGGUUCCGAUUCUCACCUUACCAAACCAUUACUACCCCGAUUUGGUGCGCGAGUUUUACGCCAACAUUGAGAGUACGGCGCGCCACAGUGGAGAAAUGGUUGAGUCCUGGGUGCGUGGAAGAAGAAUCGUCUUGUCACGACAAGAUUUGGCCGCUAUUUUGGGGUGUAUGGAUGACGGCCGUCCAGUAGAUUUGAAGAAGGAGUUUGUUCCCCCGAAUAGGAGGUGGGAUCCCUCGCUGGCCAUGGCCAGGUUUGGUCUUGAGUACCAACCUUUUCGCUCUACAAGGAAGGAGACCAUUUUGGCGAAUGUCUUCGAACCUCGUCAUCGGCUUAUCAUUUACAUGAUGGCUCACAAUGUCAUCCCAAAGAAGACGGGGCACACGGAGGUUCGCAAGAGCGAUAUUUACUUCCUUGAUUACAUGUUCCAUAACCGAACUUCCCCGUAUGCUCGAAUUUCAUUGCCGAACAUCAUCAUCAGCCACAUUAGGUCUACGACAAGGCGUAAGACAACUUCCUUCAAACUUUCAUUUCCUCGUCUACUGACUUUAAUCUUCCCCCGUUUUGAGGUUCACUUCGGUGGUAGAAAAACCCGUCAAGUUUUUGAAAAAAAAAAAAACGCGGUUACAAGUCACGUUUUGUGUACUCGCGUAUUCACUUUGGCCUUACUUCAUCUGCGAUUUUCUCUAUCAUAAAGGCCGAACUGGCUUUUGUGCAAAACACCAAAGUUGUAACCCUUUGAGUUAGCUUUCCAAUGCUCUAAAAAUCAUCCAGAUCGGAGUUGUGCAGCCUGAGAUAUAGUCGAAAUACUAUCACCUGGUCAAACCUCUGUUUCUAGUUUCGACCACAGAGUGCAGCUUCUGUAUUUCGACUUUUUGUCCAUGAAAAUGGCAGAAUUGGAUUUCGAUGUCUUCAUACGAAUUGUAGGUCUCUUUCUUAGCUUUAAAAUGGUAUAAAUAUCACCUUAAUCCGAUAAGUGUAGCUCCAGAUAUGAUCAAAAUACUGAAGAGUGUCAAAACUGAUUUGUCUUGCGUUUCCUCACUUGAACGUUUUUCACUUCAUUCUUCUUGUUACCACUUGAAUUCAUCACCAACUUUCUAUUUUUCAUCUCAUUUGACAUCCUUUGGUGAUUGAAUCAUCAUUCCUGCAUAAAAAUGAAGUUUUUAUCAUUAAAAUCACUAAAAAUACAAUAUUAUCCACUUUUACCAAAAAUAUAUAAUUUUACUAAAAACCUCUUUAUUUUAUUUAUAAAACUAGAUAAUCAACUCAAAAUUAACUAAUAAAAUGCACUUAAAAAUACGUAAAAUAAACUCUUAUCAAAUACCCCCACACUUGAAUCAUUGCUUGUCCUCAAGCAAUAUGAAAUAUAAAACCAACAAUGAUCCAAAAAUUGAAAAUAAACAUAUGUAGUAUUUCAACUCCAUUUCCUUGAAUCAAGGUAAAUAACCCUUAUGUGAUCUUUCAAUUAACCUCAAGUACUCAUAAUAUCAAGCAAAGAAGAGCCAAGUAUACCAUAAUUUUACUAAUUUAACUCCAUUUCUCAUUUUUACCCAAUUUUUCAAGCAAGCAACUCAUAUAGUCAAUAAAGAUGCUAACUAAUCUCAUGAUUAACUUCUUUAUUUUUCUUAAAGAGGGAUUUAGUUUCUUUUAUUUUCUUCUUUUAUUUUUAUUUUUUUAUAUAUAUAUAUAUAUAUAUUUUAAGAGUUAAAUACUACUUAAGUUGUGAAAAAUACCUUUUGACGCGAAGAUCGACAUUUUUAGAUGCAGAUCCCCGAUUACUCAACAUUUCACAUACUCAAGUUGCUUUGCAUCCUCUUAAUUCAAGUACCUUUUUACGCGAAUGUCGACAUUUGUAGAUGCCAACCCCCGGUUACUCGGUACGAGAAUCAUUGGAGUAGAAUAACCCUUUUUUUUUCAAUAUAUAUAUAUAAUAAAAUUCCCUCUAAGAGUAAUCAUGAGAAGAGUAUGACACUUAUUAACCAUAUUAAUUUCUUAUCUUAUAAAAUUAGAUAAAAAGAAGAAUUUUCAUCAAAUAUACAAAAUGUAGGCAUAAUUUUCUCCACUUUACUAGAUAUACUUUCCUAUAGAUGAAAAAAUUAUAAUCACAUAAAAAUCAUUUCCAAAUUUCAUGAGAAAAGAAGUAUCAAAACCACAUAUAUUUAUUUCAAAAGGAUAAGUGACAAAAUUUUAUUUAUUUAUUAUAGUUAAUAACCUAUAUAUGUAUAAGAUUUUGGAAAAAAUUUUGACAGAGUCUCCCCUUAAAAGUGGACUAAAUCUCCCUGCCAGCAACCACAAGAAACACAAUUUAAGCACAAGAAUUAUUUCGAACACAACUAAAAUCACAAGUACCACACAUUUCUUCUCCCCAACAAAAUUGGUGAUGGAUUUGGAGAACGUUCAUCACCCAUAUCAAGAAUAUAAAAAUCAGCAGGGAACACUAAAUUGUUCACUUGUACUAACACAUCUUCUAUCACCCCAUCAGGAUAAGCAUUAGUCCUAUCAGCCAAUUGAAUUAUAAUGCCAGUUUCCUUUAAGGGCCCCAAAUUCAAAGAAGUAUAAAUAGCCUUGGGCAUCACAUUUAUAGAGGCUCCUAAAUCUAACAUGGCAUUCCUAAUGCUAGUGUUCCCUAUUUUACAAGGAAUAGUGAACAUACCUGGGUCUCCGCACUUGGGUGGAAGUUUUCUUUGAAGCACUGCAGAUACGUUCUCUCCCACAAUUAUCCUUUCAUCUCCCCUCAAUUUCUUCCUAUUGAUGCAUAGGUCCUUCAAAAAUUUGGCAUACCGGGGUACUUGCUUAAUUGCGUCAAGUAGGGGGAUAUUUAUUUCCACCUUCCUAAACAUCUCCAAAAUUUCCUUUUCCUUGUCUUGCUUUUUAGGCCUUUCCAACCUGCUAGGAAAAGGUGGUGGGUUAGGCUUAACAGGAAUCACUGGAUUACGUAUUACCUCCUUAUUUGUGCCAGACGUUCCUUCUUCCUCAAGUUCCUUCUCAAUGCGGUCCUCAUUCUUGUCCUUCGGAGCCACUGGUACUGGUCCUUCAACCUCUUUCCCACUCCUGAGGGUCAUUGCACUUACAUUCUUGGGAUUCACCUCAGGUUGGGAUGGAAGUUUUCCUUUUCCCUGGGAGUCCAGUCGGUUGACAAUUGAGGCUAAUUGACUCAUCUGAUUUUCCAAGUUUUGCAUACGUGCUUUCAUCUCUUGAUUGCUGGCCUCAGUGUCCUGUUGAAAUUUCAUAGUAUUAGAGGCUAUGGUUUUAACCAUGUCUUCUAGGGACAUACCUGAGGCAGAGGAGGGUUGAUUCCUUGUUUGAUAUUGUUGCUGGAAACCCUGUUGUCUAUUGGGGAUGAAAUUUUGUUGCUUAUUUCCCUCAUAGCUCAGAUUUGGAUGAUCCCUCCAACCCGGAUUGUAUGAGUUGGAAUAGGGCUCAUACUGUCUACGUGGCAUGGGCAUGUUACCAGCCAUGUUUGCUUGCUCAAUUCCCUCCUCUUGUAACUGUGGGCACGAGUCAGUGGUAUGACCAAUAUUCGUGCAAAUCCCACACACUUUGGCCUGCUGUGCAUUUCCUACAGCUAUCUGUCGAACAAAUGAGGUUAAUUCAGAUAACUGCUGUUCAAUGGAAGAUGAACUUACCUCGUUGACCUUUCUCGUAGGAACAUCUGCUCUCGUACCAAAUUGCUGGCAAUUCUCUGCCAUUCGCUCGAUUAAGUCCCAUGCCUCCUGGGUAGUCUUAUUCACCAGUGCACCACCACUUGCUGCAUCAAUGAUAUUUCUAUCGUUCAUCAGUAGCCCCUCGUAGAAGUACUGAAUCAGCAGUUGAUCACUUAUUUGAUGAUGCGGGCAUCGGGUACGCAGCCUGGUGAACCUCUCCCAAUAUUCAUACAAGGAUUCUCCGUGAAAUUGCUUGAUGCCACAUAUUUCCUUCCGCAAACUAGCAGCUCUAGAUGCAGGGAAAUAUUUUUCAAAAAAAUUUUUCUGCAUCUCUGGCCACGUGGUGAUAAUGCCUGCAGGUAGACAGUAUAACCAGUCCUUUGCCGAAUCCUUGAGAGAAAAAGGGAAGGCCCUUAAUUUAAUUUGUUCAUCAGUUACUCCCGAAGGCUUCAUACUCGAACAUACCACGUCAAAUUCCUGCAUGUGUUUGUGGGGUUCCUCUCAUGGCAGACCAUGAAAAACAGGCAACAAACGUAUUAAGCCAGGUUUUAAUUCAAAAGCUGCAUUUUCACUAAGGCGAGGAAAAGUUAUGCAAAGAGGUUGCUGGGUUAAGUUUGGAGCAGCCAACUCCCUUAAUGUCUGUGUGUUAGCCAUGGGGAUUUCUUCUUGCUCUGAGUCACUCGAAGUGUCCCCAAAUGAAUCUGUUGGUUCAACUUCUGGCUCAGGUCUCUGAGAUGUAGCACUGGAGUGCUCCUCUCGGAGCUGUCUGGUCUCUUUUCUUGUCCUACGCGCAGUCUUCUCUACCUCAGGGUCAAAAACCAAAUUACCUGUACGAGACGAUCGCGGCAUACACUAGAAAAAUACCAGAAAAUUAGAGCGAAAAUGAACUUAAUAAAGAAACAAAUAAUAACGCCAGUUCCCCGGCAGCGGCGCCAAAAAUUGACAGGUCGUCAGCCUGUGCAAUAAUAAUAAUAAAUAUAGAACCUAGAUACCACUAAAAGCAGUCAAUAAUUAAUCCUAGGUACUGGAGCAGGGACUCUAGGUGUGCAAUGGGUUACUUGAUUCACCCUGUUCCCGAAGAGUUUGCUUAACCCGAUAUACCAGAAUUAAUUAAUAGACAAAAAUUACUAAAUAGUAGACAGUGGCAAGUAGGGUCGUCUCCUCAGGGACUGGGGAUAUCUGUCUCUUUUUAAAGUCCAAUUGAUAAGGGGGGAUUUCACCGGAAUGAAACUAAAAAUAAUUAAACAAUUUAAUUAAAAAUAAAUAAAUCACUAGCACAAGUAAAACAGGGAUUAAAUCAGGAAUAAAUAAAUUCUAGCCAAGGAUACAACUACUCAGGUACAGUCCAAUCAUCCGAUCAUUGAUGCAGGAGAGGUUCACUUAAUGUAUUAAUAGGCCAGUUAUAGUCUGACAACCAAUUUUUUCUUAAAUUAUAGAUGACCAAGGUACGACCAUUAAUCAACUCUAACCAGAAAAGUACUCCUAGGUACGACCGUAGGAAUUAAUUUUCCAAUUGCAUUAAUAACUAGAAAAACCUAGCCCUAACCAAUAACACGCUACGAGGGUUAUUUAAAUUAGAUUGCACGUUCCCCUAAUGUGUAAACACACCAGUUGCCACUAACAUUAAUCAAUCAAACAAUUACGGAUUUAAUUGACUAAAUUGGCACGAGAUUAAUAAAUCACAUUGAACAUCGGGCCCUUGACAUCCAAUUAAUAAAGUAAUCCCAUGAAAAUUCAAGCAGAUAACAUGCAAAUAUUAAUAAAUAAAGGAACACGUGAAAACUAAUUAGAUCUCACAGAUUUUCGGGACUGCGCCGUCGAGUUGACCCUUGACUAGAUGGAAGAUUUAGCCACGCCGCAUAAUUAAAUCACCACACGAAUUAAUGGAUUGCAAAGGCAUAGUGUUUUCUAUUAAGAAGCAAGGAAUAAAAGGUGUUUUUCCCGUUGGGGAAUUUUGUCGAACACCUGGCGUGUGUCAGAGGCCAGUCAAAAGAAGGAAAAACUAAAACUAAACUAAAAGACUAAAACUAGAGAUGUCCCUGCUACUCUCCGUUAUCUCUAUUUAAGCAAUAAAAGAAAAAUGACUAAAGGCUAUCUAGGUGGUCCCCACACAUGUGGACAAAACCUUGAAAGUACUUCUUGCCCCAAGUCUCUUUCCUAGCUUUCUUUUAAGAGCCCAAAGGAGUAGAUGCCUUCCACUAGCUAGUGGUCCCCCACCAAUUCAAGGGCCCAAGAAUUGAAGCCCUUAGAAGUCUCCCUAUUUUCCAUAAAGUCCUUCCUUUUUAGUGGUUUUCUGCUUCAUUCCUGAAAUUAAGUCCAGAUACCAAAUAUGAGUAAAUAUCAGAAAUUAGCACACUAUUUAUCAGGGAUAAAAGGGGAAAUUACUAAUAAAAAUUACUAACAAAUUACACCCUAUCAAAAUGACAAAAUCAUAGUUAAUUCAUCUAUCAACUUAAGGUACAAAUCAAAGACUAAAAUAAGCAACUUGCACCAUUUAACUUCACAAAUUGACUCAAAAACAAUAUAAAGCACCUACAAAAAUAUCCACAACUUGAGCUUAUAUCAGAAACGAACACUUUUUAUACUUCUGGCAUGGUUCUUAUAGAAUGAGUAGCGUAGUUUUGUUAAUUGGCAUGCAUAAUGGCUGUUUUUGAACAUUCGAAUCUACAUUAUCUUCACAAUAGAUUGUCGUAUUUCCAAAAUGAGAAAGCUGCUUUCUUGCAUUCGGUUUAAUACAUUUUUUGAUUGUUGGCAACAAAGUUUUGCAAUUUGGCAUUGAAACACAACUUCUUGACUUUCUCUUGCUUUUAUUGUGUAAAAAUGAUUACAAACCAAUGGAAUUUCCAUUUAAAAAUUUAAUAACCAAUUAAGAAAAUGACUUCCUCUUUUGGUGUAAUUGUUAGUCGUCUUCUUUUACAUCAACUCAUUAAGAAAUACAUCAAAUCAAAUACAAAAUGCAUAAGUUAUUACUUGACUGAAAUUAGCAUAUUCAAGCUGAAAGUUUUUUUUUUUUUUUUAUUUUAACCCUCCCUCCCUUCUCCACACUCCAUCCCAUCCCCAACUGUCAACUUCAGGAUUCAAACUGUAAACCUGAUAGCUCUUAGCCACUGGACCAAUAUUGCCUAGUGGCAUCAAGCCAAAAGUGGGAAGGAUGAUAAAAUAAUAAGAUAAAAUUACAGGCUUAGCUAUAGUAAUUAAGGUUACGUUGGUGUAUAUUUUCACACCGACCUCAUCAUGGCAGUGUAAAAACGUGUUCCAUGGUGGUGGACCAUGAUUUUUGUGAUUCGGUCCUACAUCACCACAAAUUUCUUUAUGGGGUACAGAAUCACAUUUUUAGGCCCAUAAAUAUAAGGAGUCUGGUUCUCUGCGACCAAGUUUUCGAUAGUCACCAGUUACAAAUAUCUAUUUCCAUUCUUAUUAGUGUUUGAGUUUGUGUCCUUGUACAAGUAUGUCAAAGCUGCACUUAUACGAGUAAAAUGCACCAUUAAAUAAAUAAAAACAGCAGUCUGUGUUUGUAUUUGUAUCUGUGUAUUUUGUUCCUCUGUUACUUUCAAGCAAUUUUCAAUCCCUGAGUUUUGUGUGUCAACUAGGUACUAUAUUCAUGACUAGUUAUGAAGUCUAAUGACUGGUUAAGUUAUGAAUCCAAACCUGAAAAAUAAAUAAAAGAUUAACUGAUAAACAAGCUCUAGCCAAGGAUAUAAUUUCGGAAGUAAUUCAUACAGCUGCUCAUUAAUGCAAUAAUUAUUUCAUUUAUUCGUUAAUAAACAGGUUAAAGUUGCCGAACAUGUGAUGAUAACCAACUUUUCCUUAAUAUCUCGAUAGUUAAUGUACGUUUGUUAACUACUUUCCUAAUCAAGAAACAACUCUAGGUACGCCCGUAUAAUUUAAUUUAUUGAUUGCAUUAAAAACUAGAAAAGUAAUGUUUUAAUCAAUAAACACACUACUGGAGUUUAUUUAAAUUAGAUCAUAUGUUUCUCUAACAUGAAACCAAUCACAUUAGUCACCACUAAUUUAAGACAAUUAAACAAUUAAGAAUUUAACUAUCCUAACUAUCAUUAGAUUGUUAGGUUGAAUUAAAUAUCAAACACUCAUGACAUUCAAACAAUCAUGAGAAAUUAAAUCAAAAAACAUACGAAUACUAACGAAUAAAAGAAAUAGAUAAAAACAAUUGGAUCUCACAGUUGCAGAUGAAUCCUUCGUUACUCCUUGACUAGAAAAAGAAAAUUUAGACACUUAUCACUACGAAUAAUCCAAGCAAUUUUAUUGAUAAAUGUUGCAUGAAUAUUCAACAAAAGCAAGCAAAAAACAGGAAAAGACGGAGAGAAAAGCUCUUCGUUUGGUUUCUGCUUGGUGCCUAGACUAAUAGUCUCUCGGUACCCGAAACAAAGUCUUAAAAUCACGAAAGCCAAGAAUCCCUCCUACUCACGUCACCAACGUUUCCUACUAUUACUACUACCACUAAUACAUCUAAUCUCCUUUAAUUUUCUCUACCCAUAAAUUAACAAAAGGUAAGUUACUUGUUUCUAAAUACAAAACGAAAACCAAUUAUUUUGGAAAAGGAAACCACUUCACAGAACUUCAAAUUGAAUUGAAAAAUUGCCACGCGCGCCAAAUCUCGAUCUCUUCGAACCGGAGGCUAGAAUUAGGUGCGGUCACACAGAACACACCAAGAAUCUUCAUUAAUCCAAUUUUUACUCCUUUUCUUGCCAUAUUCCUGAAAUUAGCAUCAAUUGUCAAAUAUACUUUUUACUCCUUUUCUUGGCCUAUUUCUAAAAUUAGCAUCAAUUCUCAAAUAUAAGUAAAAUCCAUCAAUUAUUACAAUAUUUGGUCAAAAUCAAAGGAAAAUAUUCAUAAAUUUAAUAGCAAUUACAUACCCUAUCACCUUCCACUCUUUACACCCCUUCCCAUCCCCAACUAUCAACCUCAGGAUUAGACCUAUGAACCUGAUAGUGGGGGAGCUCUUAGCCACUGGACCAACCCUACCCAGUGGUAUCAAGCCAAAAGUUUGAAUGAUGAUAAAAUAAUAACAUAAAAUUAUAGGCCUAGCUAUAAUAAUUAGGUUACGUUGGUGUAUAUUUUCACACUACCUCAUCAAGGACGUAUAAAAACGUGUAAAAAUGUGUAAAAACAUGUAAAACGUGUAAAAACGUGUUCCAUGCUGGUGGACCAUGAUUUUGGUAAUUAGGUCCGGCAUUACCACAAAUUAAUUUAUGGUGUAGAGUAUCACAUUUUUAGGCCUAUAAAUACAAGGAGUCUGGUUCUCUGCUACCAAGUUUUCGACAGUCACCAGUUACAAAUAUCUAUUUCCAUUCCUAUUAGUUAGCUAGCUAGUCCUUUAAGAAGAAAAUGGCUGCAGCCAAAUCUGGUAUUGGCAGUGGACAGGUGAAUAGUGAUUGUAUGCCUUGCUAGACUGGAUUUCUUUGUUUUUCAAGUUUGUGUGUGCAUGGUUUUCGGAGUCAACUUAUAAACAACUCGUAUAGAAACGUUUGAAAAAGUAUGAGGAGUUGCAAAUUAAAGUAACUUCAACAUUCUUGAGUCGACUUGAUUAGCAAUAUUUUAUGUUUCUAGUUGUCUACAUGCAGCCGUCUCUUGAAUUGCUUGAUAAAUAAGCUUCUUCCGAGCAAUGUCGUUUCUUAUUAAUUGAUUGGUUGGAUUUAGUUUUCUGGUUGUUCCUUUGUUUGAAAGGACUCUUAACUGAUUUUGGGAACUCAAUUGUGUUGGGUUUUCUUACUGAAAAAUGUUUGGGGUUUGCAGAAAGACCAACCUAUUAUUCCUGUGGCGUCAACCGUCAAACCGAAAGACGAUAAGGUGAUUGAGAUUGCACAAUUUGCAGUUGUAACGUACAAUAAGCAGGCCGGGACCGAUCUGGUUUGCAUCAAUGUGGAAUUCGGCUUCUGGUGGAGCAUUCCUGGUGCCACUUACUACAUGCUUGCCAUUAAAACUCAGGAUGAUAAGGGCACAUAUUGCAACGUAGCGUUGGUUGCUGAUAUACUGGUGAGCGGUGGUAAUCACACUUAUGACCUCAUCUGGUACAAUCAUAAGAAUAAUUAAUCAAGCACUACUCUUGAUCAGCUGAGGAGUGAGGAUCGACGACUUUAAGUGCUUUAAUUAUCUAGUGUUUAUGGUGUGGUUUUCAGUUUAUGCACGGAUGAUGUACUGCUGGCAUGCAAACAUCCUCCCACUGUUGUACUAGUACGUAAUGUAUGGUGCACUUCUACCAACAAAAAUGCACCGUUAAAUAAAAAAAUCCGUCUGUAUUUGAGUAUGUGUCCUUGUACUAAUAUGUCAAAGGUGCACUUGUACGAACAAAAAUGCACCAUUAAGUAAAUAAAAACCUCUGUCCGUGUUUGUGUUUGUAUCUGUGUAUUUUGUUUCUCUGUUACCUGCGAGCAACUAUCAAUCCUUGAAUUUCGUAUGUGAACUGGGUACGAUAUUCAUGACUAGGUAUGAAGUCUGAUAACUGGUUAAGUAUUACUUAAGAUGAAUCCAAACCUUAAAAGGAAAUGAAAGAUUAGUUGAUACAUUGGGAGUAAGACAAGCCGAUGACGUUUUGGUUCUUCUUUGAAGUAUAUUUUGGAUGUUCUUCAUAAAUAUGAAGACUGUUCAGGUCAGCGAGUUAACAAAAAGUUGUUUCUUGACCCAUCAGCGGUUGAAUGUGGCAAGACGACGAGUGAUCAAAAGUGUCACUGGGAAUUCAUAUGCAGGCCAUAGCUAAAUUUCCGUUUUUGGAUCUCUGUACAACUGGUACACGUAAAAUUUGUCAGCUAAAGUCCGCCACCAAUUGUUCACGAUAUGCAGGAUGGAUGUUCUGGACAAGAAUAUAAAGAUUAAAAGGGGGACUACGAUUAUCAACAAGAAUAAAAUUGGAUUUAGAAAAAACAUGGUUGAUUACUUGUAUGAUUUGUGCCUAAUGAUAAUUACAAAGCAGAAGAAGAAAAAGAAGGAAAAAAAAGAAGAAAGAAAGGGUUGGAUUGUUGCACACACACAUACAUACAUACAUAUAUAUAUAUAUAUAUACACAUACAUAUAUAUACAUAUGUACAGGGAAGAGGGAUGGGUUGGACGAUGCAAGAGAAAGGAGUGCAAGCGAGAGGUCUCGGUUCGGAUUCGAGUCCUCCUACUUACACUAAAAAAAACAUAUAUAUGUAUAUAUAUAUAUAUAUAUGUGUGUGUGUGUGUUAAUGAGGCUACAUGCAUAUCAUAUGUACAUUCAAAUUUAAAUUAGGAUGAUGCGCGCUAUGUAUCCAAAUUAAAUCUACUAAUGUAUAUAAUGAUAACGUGGGAGAUUUUUUUUUAUAAAAAAAAAAAGCAUUUUUCUUGAGAUAUAAAGUAUGCAGCCUUCUUUAUCUUGAAAGUAAGAUCACUAUUUUGUGGAUGAGGGCAGUCCAAAUGGGCGGGUCAAGUGGUUGCCUGAAUUUAAUUAGGUACCAGGUGCAGAUAGGUGGACCAUAAAACCCCAUUUAAUUAAUGGGUUUGGUAGGGUUAUGUAAACGUCUUUGUAGUCAAUAAAAGCUUGACUACGACCCAUUCAUAAUUUUUGGUUACUCUCACUCGACCCGUUAACUUCUGUCCAAGCUCAGGCUGCAUUUCUUAGGCAUCCAGCUUAAAACCCCAAAUUAAAAAUUAAAGACCACCUGGUAAUUUCCCUAUGGUUCUCAAUGUAGGUGGAUGUAAUGGGCUUUGAGGAUAUUUUAACUUUUAAUUUUGGAUAUUUUAACAUUUAAUGUCUCCAAAACCCAGCAAACUUGGAAAGAACAUUAAACAUGUAAUUUUGAUAUUUGUAAUUAAUAGAUUGCAAUUUUAUUAUUUAUUUUAUUAUUAAUUUUUCUUAUUACCUGAUCUGAUGUGGAUUAAUUAUUAGAUUCUAUUUAUUUUUCGUAAUUUAUAUUUAUUUUAGGAAAGAGAACGAAAAUACCACAAUCAAAACCAAUUUGACCGUCAUCAGGAAAGAAUUCAAAUGAAACGCAUACAGGAACAUUUUGGGAACAAAAGAGAUGCAAGCCCUUUUUGGCAAUUUGGCCGAAGUGUUCUUUUCCGCUGGAGCCGCCGCACAAGAAGAUAUCUUAGUUAGCAAUUAGACUUUUAGAUAGAAAAGGGUGCAGAGAACAAGCACUAUCUUCUUGUCUUCUUUAGUUUUUCGUCUUGUAGCGUAGCUUGGGGAUAUGAGUAGAAAUUCCAUCGAAGUUGGUCAAUAAAAACCGUCACAUAAUGUGACAAUUUUUGUGAGAGGUAAAAUUCGAACCAUUGACCUCCCGCACCAUCAAACCUAAGAAGGCUUGGGAUGACCACUGGAAAGGCCCAGUGGCUCGUAGCUUGGGGACUUGACUCCCCUUUUUCAGCUUUGAGUAGUAUCUUUUCCUCCGUAUGCCAGAGGAAACAAAAACAAUGAAUUGCCUCCUGUAGCUUUCUUUCCUUAUUGAAUAGAACGAAUUGAAUUCGCUCAAUUUUCCAAUUGAUGGCCGCAGCUCUUGCUUCAAUUUUCUGUGGGUUUUGUUCAUCAAAUAUGAACUAAUUUUUCCACUCUAGUCAAGAGCCAACGGAGGCUCUGGUUAGCCUAAAAAUUGUGAGAUCGAUUUAAUUUUAUCUUUUUCUUUUAUUUAUUGGUAUUCGCAUAUUUCUCGAUUGCAGUAAUUAUGAUUAUUUAAUUAAUUGAUUAUCUUGGAUCCGGAUAAUUAGUUAACUUGAUAAUCUAUUGUCAAUUAGGGCAUUAAAUCCAUAAUUGUUUAAUUGCCUUGAAAUAGUGACAACUGGCACGAUUAGGUUUGUGUCAGAGGGAUACGCGGGCUAAUCUGAAAUAACCCUGGUAGUGCGUUAUUUGGUUAGAAUAGGGCUCCUUUAAUACGUAAGGCAAUCAGAGAAUUAAAUCUUAAGGGCGUAUCUAAAAUUAUUUCUCAAUUAGAGUAGUGAUUAACAGACGUACCUUAAUCACCGACACAGUAAGGAGGGAUUGACUGUCAUCGCUUGUUUGGCAGUUAUAACCUAUUUAUUAAUAAAUAAUUAGAAUUGCUUGUGCAUUAAUGAUCAAUUAGGUGAACCAUUGCUGAAGUUAUUUCUUGAUUAGACUUUUAAUUAUUAUUACCUUGCUUUUAGUGAAUUGCCAUUUGAUUUUUAGUUGCCUAUUUUAUUUUAUUUUUAAUUGUUUUCUUGCUUUAAUUGUUUUGGACCUUUUAUUAUUGUUACUUUAAGUUUGGUGAAUUGCUAUUUAAUUUCAAGUUAGCUAUUUAUUUUUACUUGAAUUUCUUUGAUUGUCACCUUCUGCACAAAAACACCCCUUUGUUACUGUGGAUUUAAAAAGAAACAUUUACCCCCAGUCCCUGUGGAUUCGACCUUACUUAUCACUAUUUACAAAAAUUAACUUUAGUUGAGCAGAUUUUUAUUAUUGCACAGGCUGACAACCUGUCAGUAAUUUGACUAUCAAGCAUUUCUUUCGCUCCAUACUCAAAUAAGACUUAGACCUUGUUUAAUAAUUCAAUUCAGUACUUCAUUUUAAUGGAAUCAUAUCUUAAUAUAUUUAGACUGUUUCAUAAUAAAAAAAUUAAACAUUUAAAUUAAUUAAGUGGCACUAAAUUUUCUAGGUAAAAUUUGCUUCCAAAAUUAAGUGAUAAUAUAUUCACUUAUCACUGAAUGUGAUGUGCACUUAAAUGUAUUAGAUUUAAUAUUUAACAAUUUAAUGAAUUUAAACUUCAAAUUUCAAAUUUCAUACUUCAAAUUUUAUAUUUCAAUUUUAUCAAAUGCACCCUUAGAGUCUUCUUUAAAUUGAGGGGAAAAAAAAAAGAAAAAUAGUAACAUACACGGGAAUGAAAUUGAAAAUGAAAGGAAUCAGGGAAAGCCCCACGAUGACUUCCAAUGGAGAAGUCAAGUUUUCAGGUCUGAUCAUUCCGUGAAGAGAUAAGGCUCAGCUCAUCCGACCAAAAAGAAUCGUGAUUGGAGAAGCCAUCGUAAAAUUGGCGGCAAUGUUCAAUACAAAGGGAUAAUUUGAGAAAUCUCGCCUAAGAUUUCUAAUAAUUUCACUAGCCUCUCUUAAAAUUUAUAAAAUUAUAUAAACCUCCCCUGAAGUUAACAUUUUAGUAACAAAAUUAGUCCAAAUCAAAAAAGUAACAUUAAAGUAGUAUUUAAGAAGAGAGAUAAAACUUCUAUCCCAUAAUUGUCCCUUAUACAUGUUUAUAAGUUGUAUUAAUAAAAAAAAUGAAAACAAUUAAAAAUUAAUUAGAAACAAUUAACACAUACAUUUCAUUGCUUCAAAAGUUCACAUUAAUACAUUAGACAACAAAAAUAAGCAAUAAAAGUACACUAAUGAUCACAAGAUUCAGUAAAACAAACCAAUCAUCAUCACUCUUAACAUUAGGUUUACUAUGAUUCUUGUGAUUUUCAAUAGAAAGAAUUUUUGAAUUUUGCCUUUCUUUUUCUUUCUUUCUCCUUUACUUCUAUGAAAUUACUUUACAACUAUUACAGUUUUAAGAAUUUCAAAGAAAAUUUUCUCAUGAACAAUCUUCUCUUACCUUGUGUUUUUUCUUUUACCAAAGCUCUUUUUCUAAUACUGUGUACAACUAGUUUCUAAUCAUUGUCAAGUACUAUCUAUCACAAAAUAGCGCCAUUUGGUAUAUCAAUUGGCCUUAUUUUACAAUUGCAAGUCACUUUUCCUCAUUAAAGAAAUUCUCAACAAUUAUUUUCGUUAAUUAGUUAUUAAUAGUUAAUUAGUGCUCUAAUUACUUAAUCAUUAGAUAUUAGUUUCUAUAAGACAUAAUGUCUUAGGGUAAAUGAGUAAUUUCUCCCCAUGUGAUGUAAGUAAUUGGGCCCACAAUCCUACUUAGGGAGACAAGUGUAAUUUUAUAAAUCUCAGGGAAGGACAAUGAAAUUGCUAGAAACCUCAAGGGAGGUUUCUAAAAUUAUCCCUAAUACAAAUUGGUAAAUGAAGAGAUAAGGCUCAGCUUAUCCAAGCAAAAUAGACUUGUGAUUGGAAAAGUCAUUAUAGAAUUGACAACAAUGUCAAUACAAAUUGGUUCAAUUAGUAAAAAUGGAGUGUGUUCAGAUCCUACCACCAAUAUGGAUAUUGUGUUAGCAGGUGCUUUGUAAGAACCCUUAUAAUUGACCCAUGAUCUCAGAAGCAUGCUCUAUCCUGUGUUGGUAAUCAAAGCCCCAUCCAAAAUGUACCUGCUUGAUAGUUGAUUUUUUUUUUAAGGCAAUAAAGCAUUUUUUUGAUCUGAGUAAAAGUAUGCAAAAUGUACCUGUCCUGUUACAUACUUGAGUAUACGCAAUUACAAUAAAACAAAUCAAUAGAAUUAGCCCAGAAUACUUCCAUGAUCAAUUCCCCACUCCAAUAUCAACUCCAAGUUUUCUGUGGUCCGAGGAGCUUUGGGCCAAGAAUAACAAGUCACCUGCAACACAUUCAUAAUAGCUUCAACCAAUUGAACAAUUUGAUCUGCUAUUCUGCUGAAAAAUCCUUUUAUUUGCCUCCUGUCAUAAAUGCCAGACUGUAGCAGCAAAAACAAAUAUCUUUAGUUUAACAGCAAACGAAUCAAUCUCAUAUGUGCACUCCACAAACGAACCUCCAUUUGCUAGCUCAUUUCCCCUCCAUACAACAUGCACAUCCUUUAAAUCUUAUGCUGGAUAGAAUGUGAAAAAUCACACUUGAAGAACAGGUAAUCAAUGGAUUCUGCAGCAUAAGAUAGUGCUGAUGCAUUCUGCACUGCCGAUCUACACUGCCUAUCCUUUGUCAUCAGCUUCCCUUAAAUUGCCAUCCACAGGAUGAAAGCAAACUUAGGAACAGAUCCUUUGCCCCGACCAAGUUUAUACCAAAUUUAUUAUUACAAUCAACCCUAUGCAUUUAUAGGAAUUCGUUGAUCAAAAUGCAGUGUUGGCAUCACCCUCUUUCAACCAUUUGACUCUCGAUUUAUCCUUAUAAAAGCUCUCCUCAGCUUGCAUCCUCAUUCACAGUCUGUAUAUGAUUUUGCUUUCUCAAUAUAAAUUUUGGCCAACACAAUUCCAGAAAGUUCCUAAAUGUCCCCAACAUGGUUGGUGAAAAGCCCUAAAAGUCCUCAUAGCUACCUUCUAAACUCGACGUAAUAUCACUGUAGCCAAGCCUGUAGAGGUUUUCUAAAUAUAUGAUUUUGAGUUUUGUUUAAGUCUAUCAAUAAAACGAUAAAGAAUAUAUUAAAAGCUCCAGUUAUCCUCCUUAUUUUGAACAUUAUAAAUAUUGUUAUUACUUAUUAUGAGUUUACUGUAGAAAUUUAAAGAAGUAAAAAAUUAUAAAUUCAUAAAUUAGUGAACUAAAAAUUCCCUCUUUCUAGAAAAUCAAUUACUGAAGUCCAAUUGCAAGAUUUACCAGAAAAAGAACUCUAACAAGGAGAUUAUAUGCUGACAGGUUGUCGAAACUUGUGCAAUAAUAAAUACCUGCUCAACCGAAAUAUAAUUUCUGUAGAUAGUGAUAAACAAGGUCGAAUCCACUGGGACUGGAGAUAUUUGUCUCUUUGAAGUUCAAAUUGACAAUGGGGGAAUUUUCUUGGAAAAUUAGCAAUAACUAUACCAAUCAAAUAUUGCAGUUAAAUAAGAAUUAAAUAAAAAUUAAAUAGCAAUAAGGUAAAAACUCAGAUAGGAUUGGAAAGCUCUAGUCAAAAAUCAACUUCGGAAAUUGUUCUUCUAAUUAAUCAUCGAUGCAAGAAUAUUCCACAUAUAAACUGAUAAACAAGUUAUAAUUGUCAAACAAACGAUGACAAUCAAUUCCUCCGUAAUUAUCGAUAGCUAAGGUACGACAAUUAGCUAUUACUCUAAUUGCAAAAUAAUCUUAGGUAUGACCAUAGAAUUAAAUUUCACAAUUGCCUUAAGAUUUAGAGAAAUCUUGUUCUAACUAGACAACAUGCUACGAGGGUUGUCUACAAAUUAGCCCAUAUAUUUUCCUGACAUAAUCUUGAUUAUGCCAGUUACCACUAAUUUAGAGCAAUCAAACAAUUACAGAUUUAAUUAUUCUAAUUGGGUCUAGGUUAUUGAAUUAAUCUAGCAUCCGGGCCCAAGACAAUUGAAUAAUACAAUAAUCAUAAGAAAAUAAAGCAAAAAAUAUAUGGAUACCAAAAAAUAAUAGAAAAGCUAAAAUCGAUUAGAUCUCAUAAUUUAAGUCGAACCAAAUCCUCCAUUAUUCUUGACUAGAAGAAGAGAUUAGUUCAUUCCUGUUGAGAAGAAUCCGUACAAGAUUUUAGAGAAAAUUGCCACGUCCAUUGUCUCCAAUUGUGACGGCUCGAUUCGUGCUCAUAGGGAAAGAAAAGCAAAGGCUACACGAGAAAAAAACCAAUGUCUAAUUCCUAAUUGCCUUCUAUUCUAAUGCCUCACAUACGAGAGAAAGAAAAAGCAACCACAGGGAUCCAAAAUCCAAUUCCAACCAAAAGUCCCAAUUGGCGGCUUCUUUCUCUCCUUUUUAAUUCCUAUACGGCUGCCAAGAGAAGUCCCAGCAAAGACUCCUACUGCUUCUUGGUCUUUUUCCUCCAACGUACCAAAAGUCUAUCCGAAUAAGAAACUUUGUCUUUCAAUUGGAGUCGGCUUUUAACUCUUUGCAUAUUUGCACAUUGCAUCCUUCACUUUUCAGGAUUUUGUACUUCACCCCUGCAUUUAUGUCGAAAUGCAAAUUUUAAGUAGAAUCCGACAAUCAACAACAUAUUUGGCAUAAAUAAUAAGGGAAAUCAACCAGAAAAUUAAUAACAAUUAACACCCUAUCAUAUGCCCAGUUACUAAAAGCAUAGACAAAUAAAAAAGACACAAGGAUCAGGAAAACAUCUUUGUUUGGAUAUGAAGUUAUUUGCAACAAUAAAAAAAAUUAAUUGCAUCAUAAAUACGUAUUCUAAUUAUCUUUUUAUCUGUCUAGUCACCUUUUUAAUCUCACGUAUAUCAUAUCAUAAAGAGUGUUAUGAUUUAUUCCAAAAUAUUAUUCCAAAUAAUUUCUUAUUCAUACACACUCAAAUAGUUCAAUCUUGAAUAAAUUACAUAUUACCCCUAUAUGUAGAUUCAUAGAUUACAACAUAAACCCAAUUUUUUAUUCUUUUCAUUCUUCAUCCUUUCAAGUUCUUGAGUUCCGCCGCUUCUUUUAACUUUUGCUGUGACUUCUCAAGCUUCUAAUCAUCACCUUGUUAGUCCACUAUUUCACUUCCAAUUGAUCUUGUUCAUGUUACCCUACAAAAACAAAGAGAUUUUGCGAGUAAAAUAACAAAAUCAUAGUUAAUUCAUCUAUCAACUCAAGGUGCAAAUCAAAGACUAAAAUGAGCAGCUUGUACCAUAUAACUUCACAAAUUAACUCAAAAACAAUAUAAAGCACCUAAAAAAAUAUCCACAACUUAAGCUCAUAUUAGAAACGAACACAUUUUAUACUUCUGGCGGGGUUCUUCUAGAAUGAAUAGCGUAGGCUGUUUUUGAACAUUCGAAUCUACAUUACCUCACAAUAGAUUGUCAUAUUUCCAAAAUGAGAAAGCUGCUUUCUUUCAUUCGGUUUAAUACAUUUUUCGAUUGUUGGCAACAAAGUUUUGCAAUUUGGCAUUGAAACACAAUUUCUUGACUUGCUCUAGCUUUUAUUGUGUAAAAAUGAUUAUAAACCAAUGGAAUUUCCAUUUAAAAAAUUAAUAACCAAUUAAGAAAAUGACUUGCUCUUUUUGUGUAAUUGUUAGUCCUCUUCUUUUACAUCAACUCAUUAAGAAAUACAUCAAAUCAUGAAAUAAAUACAAAAGGCAUAAGUCGUUACUUGGUGUAUAUUUUCUCACCGACCUCACCAUGGACGUGUAAAAACGUGUUCCAUGCUGGACCAUGAUUUUGGUGAUUAGGUCCAACAUUACCACAAAAUCAUUUAUGGGGUACACUAUCACAUUUUUAGGCCCGUAAAUACAAGGAGUCUGGUUCUUUGCUACCAAGUUUUCGAUAGUCACCAGUUACAAACAUAUUAGUUAGCUAGCUAGUUCUUUAAGGAGAAAACGGCUGCAGACAAAUCUGCUAUGGGCACUGGACAGGUGAAUAGUGAUUGUGUGCCUAGCUAGACCUAGAUUUCCUUCUUUUUCAAGUUUGUGUGUGGUUUGGGGAGUCAACUCAUAAACAACUUGUAUAGAAACGUUUGGAAAAGUAUAAGGACUUGCAAAUUAAAGUAAUUUCAAUGUUCUUGAAUUGUCUUAAGCUAUAUUUUACAUUUCUAGUUCUCUACAUGCAUAUGGGUAGGCAGUCUCUUGAAUUGUUUGAUUAAGCUUCUUCUGAGUGAUACAGUUUCUUAUUAAUUGGUCGGAUUUAGUUUUCUGGUUGUUUGUUUAUUUGAAAGUAUUCUGAUUGAUUUUGACAACUCAAUUGUUUUGGGUUUUGUUACUGAAAAAAAAAUGUUUGGGGUUUACAGAUGGAAAUCAGUACACUAGAACCAGUGAAGCCGGCUGACGCUCACGUGAUUCAGAUCGGACAAUUUGCAGUGGAACAAUUAUACCACGGCCGGCAGCUUUUCGUUGCCGUGCUUGGCGGAUUCACGGGGAGCGGUGAUAAAGGUAAAAACUACUACCUGAUCAUUGAAACUCGGGAUAGUGUCGGC